CACACCAUCGGAAUAAGCCACUGCACUUCCUUCACGGAGCGUCUAUACCCUAACCAAGAUUCCACCAUGGACAAAACAUUUGCCAACAACCUUAAAACCCGUUGUCCAACUGCGAACUCCAACAACACUGUCAACAUGGAUAUCCUAAGCCCUAACGUUUUCGACAACAAGUACUACGUUGAUCUCAUCAAUAGGCAAGGGCUUUUCACAUCGGAUCAAGAUUUGUUCACUGAUAGAAGGACUAAGAACAUUGUCACAAGCUUUGGUGAGAAUCAGACACUUUUCUUUGACAAGUUUGUGCAUGCCAUGAUUAAGAUGGGACAGUUGAAUGUUUUGACUGGUGGACAAGGUGAAAUUAGGGCUAAGUGUUCUGUGAGGAACAAGGAUAAGUUGUUGGCUGCUGUUGUCGAAGGGUUGGAGAAAACCUUGUCCGCUGCACUCUAAGUUAAUUAACUUGUUUUAUAGUCUUUUGUUAAUGUGUUUCUUGUACGUAAUAAUUGGAGGCCAUAUGUUUCCAUGAUCUACCGAACACGGGCAUGGCAUGGCAUGGCGUUGCUGUUGGUUUUUCUUUUGUUUUUGUUUAAAUAUAUUGAACAUGUUAUUCAAACUCUUAAUUAUAAUUAGAAGUAGUACUUAAUCCACAAACUUGAGUAUAUAUAUAAACCCAAAUUUGAGAAAAAACAAGUAUGAUUAAUGAAAUUAAAUAACACACUAAGAGAUCGUUGAGGAAGAAGCUCUUCAGCGUUAGUGAUUGCAAAAUGUAUUGGCAAAGCAAUGGAGGCCUCUCCUUAUUUUGGCUUGGACUUAAAGCUCUUCAUCUGUUACCUCAGUUGAUCAUGAGAAUAUGGAAUUAAUGGAUUCAACAUUUGGUGUUUUAAAGGAAAGUUGCUGUAUAGGAUACUUAAGGAUGGCUUUUUCCAAUAUUUGUGGCGCCCCAGUCCACCAUCGAAUCUUUCUUGAGCAAGGACAAAGAGGAAGAGACUGCUAAGAACUUGAAACAAGUGCUGAGGUAGCAUAUAAGAUAUUACAGCUUCUGCCUAAUUUAGUAGCUUUUUGUGAUUUUGUAUAUGUGUUAAAAAAUGGUCCGAUCCAAAAAGAAUGACCACUUUUUAAAUUUGGCAAUAAUUUAGCUUAAACUUACAAUUAUAUCCUUAAUAAAAAGUUUUUAUAACCACACAAAUACUCUGGCCCCUUUUUAACUUGUUUAGAAACACAAAUUCCAAAAGUUAGAAUACUUAAUAUGUAAGAGGUAUAUAUUAUAUUUCGAACCCAUAAUUAACUCAAAUAGUCAGUGAGUUUAGUUUCGCUCCGUCACUCAUGACUUAGAAAAGAUACAACAAGUAUGACGCAGACGAUGACAAUUGAGUGAGCAAGAUCCUGAGAAACGAAAGAAGUUGAAAGAAUAUUUGUAAGCAAAUAGAAUUUGUCCGAACGACUAAUAUUUGGAAAUGGAGAGUAUUUUUUAAGAAGUAUCUAUCAAUACUCUUGAAAUAUCACCACAUUCAUGUCCAAUGUACUUAAAUUAAUACAUAAAUUAUAAGUACUUAUAUUUGUGGUAUGUGAUAUUAUUUUCUUGUUAGUCUGUUUAUAAAAAAAAAAAAAUUUAUAUUUCAAUAUCAUAUGACACUUAUUUUUUGUUUUAUCCUUAAUUAAUGAUAAGAGAACUUCAGAUGAUUUGAUUCUCUGUUGUAUUUGCAAGUUUCAACAGAGACGUAUAUAUAGGGAACUAAUAGGAAAUCUUGAUUCUUGUCCUAGUUCUAACAGGAUUAGGGAAGUUUGAAAUUAUUUCUUUUAAGAAAUAAAAUAUGUAAUUCAAAUCAUUAUUAGGGUUUUUAUUAGUGACAUCUUUUUGACCAUUUGUUGUCAGCAUAUUACCUGUUAUUAAUCACAUAAAUUUUAUUUUAUACUAGGUUCUUUAAGAAUUUGAUUUUAUAAAUUGUAUACGGUCGAAACCGGGCUCGUCUAUUAUAUGACCAGUCGAGACAGAAACGUGACGGGUUAAAACUUGACCUCGGGUUAUAUCAAACCAAGGCGCAAAGUUAAAUCAUUGAGUUCGUGACUCCGGGACCGAACAAAAUCGAGAAAACUUUGUCGAGCCAAAUAACGGAAGGCCAAAAUAUCCGCAAUUAGUUAGAUAUCACGGCGAAAAUCUCGGCACGUAUCAAGGAGAGGCCGAUUAAUUAGUAAAUUAUGUGAUUUUAUACCUUUAAUAGAAUUGUAUCAAGAGUGAGACUCCCCUACUAUAUAAAGGGGAAUCUAAUUAUUUGUAAAACACAUUGUAACACGCAUCCCAAAGCAAUAAAUUAUCAUUUCUAAUUAUUAUCUCAUUGCUCUGUUCGGGCACCGAUUGUGGCAUAUCUUGACUAGAGAGUGACCAACCUUCAAGGCUAAGGCUGUCCAAUUUGGUAGUUUGUAUUUAUUUUCUUCUCAUUAAUUUCAAUAUUAAUUUGUUCUCUCAGUUUGUAUCAAGUUAUAUCACAUAUCCUUAAAACCGCGUAUAAAUUCAAUUGUUAUCCGAUUUUAGGGUAAACAGUUUGGCGUCCAUCGUGGGGCUGAGGAUAAUAGUGAUUAUUUGAUACAAAUCUCUAUAACAUACACUGCUUUACACUUGCUCUUUUAAGUGUCUUUGAUUCCAGGCUAAAACACAAAAUGUCAAAUUCUUGAUCAGCACCUCUGCACGUUGACAACGAGUCCGGUCACCAAGAUGAAAAUAACAACAUAGCACUCGAUAACGAGAUACCACCUACCAAUCCCGCUGGAAUUCCGAUCGUAGAUCCGAUUGAUGUUAAUUCACAUGUGGCUAUCGAUGCAAAGCUGCCUAUUGAUCCCGAAAAUAACAUUCGUGGUGGAGUCCGAUCAGCAACUCGAAACACACAAAACAUUGAAGGGGACGGGAUCAGUCUACGAGUGAUCUUCGUAAUGUUGCAGGCACAAUAUGUGGCAAUAUCCCAAUUACAAAACCAAAACCGUGCACCAAGCAGGGUUGAGCCCGAUCCUCCCCGAGAAAUCACCCGCAGGGAUCAACCGGUCAUAAAAAGGUCGAACGAAAAUGAUUCGAGGGCUAACCCUGAGAUUAUAAAGAAGCUCGAGGAAUUGACGAAACAGAUAUAAUCAGGGGAGAAGAAGAUCAAGGCCAAUGAUAAAAAGAUGGAAAAUUACAAUUCCAGGUUAGAUCAAAUACUAGGAGCACCGCCGAUAUUGAAAGGCUUGUAUUCCAAGAAGUUCGUGCAAAAACCCUUUCCCUUGAGCGCGGCUCUAAAACCGAUCCCCAAAAAGUUCCACAUGCCCGAGAUUCCUAAGUACAAUAGAGCGACUGAUCCGAACGAACAUGUUACCUCUUACACAUGUGCCAUCAAAGGAAACGAUCUAGAGGAUGAUGAAAUCAAAUCCGUUUUGUUAAAGAAAUUCGGAGAGACCCUGUCAAAGGGAGACAUGAUAUGGUAUCACGAUUUACCACCUAAUUUUAUUGACUCUUUUGCUAUGCUUGCAGAUUCUUUUGUAAAGGCACACACCGGAGCCAUCAAGGUCGAAACCAGGAAGUCGGACCUUUUCAAAGUAAGGCAAAAGGACAAUAAAAUGCUCAGAGAAUUCGUAUCUCGAUUCCAAAUGGAAAGGAUGGACCUACCACCGGUCGCUGAUGAUUGGGUCGUUCAAGCCUUUACCCAAGGGCUCAACGUUCAAAGCUCCGUGGCUUCAGAACAGUUGAAACAAAAUCUGAUAGAGUUCCCGUCUGUUACUUGGGCGAAUAUGCAUAAUCAGUACCAAUCAAAAAUCAGGGUCGAAGACGAUCAACUCGGGGCUCCUUCCGGGUCCGUCUAUCCUAUUAGAACCGUCGACAAAAUCAAGAGAUAUAUUGACCGGGAACCGAGGACGAACAGAGAUCGGUAUCAUCCAUGUAAUGGGGAUCGGGGAGGCAAUGGGUCCGGGUGUAACUCUAUGAGAAACGAAAGGAGAAAUGACCGAGGUUAGAAUAGCCGGUGACUUAUGACCAAAAAUGGCUUUGACAGACCCAUCGGGCCCAAAGACGCACCAAGGCUAUCAGAAUACAACUUUAAUGUCGAUGGUGCUACCAUCGUAUCAGCUAUCGGGCGCAUUAAAGAUACCAAAUGGCCUUGAUCUCUAUAGACUGAUCCAAACUAAAGGGAUCCUAACCAGAUGUGCAAAUAUCAUGGCACUCACGGUAACAGAACCGAAGAUUGUCGACAGCUGAAAGAGGAAGUAGCUCAUCUAUUCAACAAUGGGCACCUUCAAGAAUUCUUGAGCGACUGAGCCAAGAAUCACUUUAGGAACAAGGAUUCUAACAAACGAACAGAAUAAGAAGAACCUCGGCACGUCAUCAACAUGAUCAUCGGCGGGGUUGAUAUCCCGGAGAGGCCGAUGUUGAAACACACCAAAGUAUCCCUCACUAGGGAAAAAUGAACUCGAGACUACGUACCGGAAGGAACUUUAUCUUUCAACGAUGAGAACACCAAAAGGAUCGUACAACCCCACAAUGAUGCACUGGUAAUUUCUAUACCCGUGAAUAAAAUUUGGGUUAAACGUGUGUUAACUAAUCCAGGUAGCUCGGCCAACAUCAUUCGAUCAAGGGUCGUGGAACAGCUCGGUCUACAAGACCAAAUCAUACCCGCAGUCCGAGUCCUGAUCAAUAUGGCAUGUGAAACCACUAAAGGGGAAAUAACAUUACCAGUCAAUGCCGUCGGUACCAUCUAGGAAGCCAAGUUUUAUGUGAUCGGGGGUGACAUGAGAUACAAUGCCCUGUUCGGGAGGCCAUGGAUCCACAACAAAAGGGAAGUGCUUUUGACCCUUCAUCAAGUGUUAAAUUACCCAACGCCAGGAGGGAUUAAGACGAUUUACGAAGAACAACCAGCCGCAAAGGAGAUGUUUGCAGUCGAUGAAGUAAUUCCGAUAUCAACACUGCAACAUCAAAUGAGCCAAUGUCGGAAGCAAAAUAAGAGGCCAAAUAGCAAUCACCGAUGCCAGCCUCGACCCAACUAGAUAAGCAGGGUACUAACGAAGACAACGAUUACGGGGUCCCCCGAUCCUUUAUAAUCCCUGAUGAUUCCGAUGCUACAAAAUCAACGGUUGAAAAGCUGGAGCAGGUCGUACUGUUUGAACAUCUUCCCGAUCGAAAGGUAUACCUAGGCACGGGACUAAACCCCGAGCUUAGGAAAAAACUCAUUCAAUUUAUUAUAGCUAAAAUGGAUUGUUUCGCGUGGUCCCAUCUUGACAUGACAUGGAUCCCCCCCGGAGGUAACUACCCAUAAACUAAGCCUGGACCCGAAAUUCUAUCCGGUCAAAUAUAAAAUAAGGCCCCAAUCCGAGGUCAAACACGCUUUCAUCAAGGACGAGAUACCUAAACUCCUUAAAAUAGGAUCCAUUCGGGAGGUUAAAUACCCGGAUUGGUUAGCAAACGUAGUAGUAGUCCCUAAAAGGGGGAACAAACUAAGAAUGUGUGUAGAUUAUAAAGAUUUAAAUAAGACAUGUCCCAAAGACUCUUUCCCUUUGCCUAACAUCAAUCGCAUGAUCGAUGCCACGGCCGGCCAUGAGAUCCUCAAUUUUCUCGAUGCCCACUCCGACUAUAACCAAAUAUGAAUGAGCCCAGAUGAUCAGGAAAAGACCUCUUUUAUCACUAAGUAUGGCACAUACUACUAUAACGUAAUGUUAUUUGGAUUAAAAAAUACCGGUGCCACUUACCAACGCCUAGUAAACCGGAUGUUCGAAGAACAAAUAGGGAAAUACAUGGAAGUUUACAUUGACGAUAUGUUAGUAAAGUCCCUGUGAGCAGAGGACAAUUUAAAGCAUUUGCAAGAAACUUUCAGUAUAUUGAAGAAGUACAACAUGAAGCUGAAUCCGGAAAAAUAUGCGUUCGGAAUCGGUUCAGGUAAAUUUCUCGGGUUUAUGGUAUCCAACCGAGGAAUCGAGAUCAAACCCGACAAGAUCAAAGCUAUCAAGGAUAUCACGGUAGUAGACAAUGUGAAGGCCGUACAAAGGCUAACCGGGUGCAUUGCCGCACUAGGGCGAUUCAUCUCGAGGUCCUCCGAUAAGAGUCACCAAUUUUUCUCAUUAAUAAAGAAGAAAAACAACUUCACAUGGACCCCGGAAUGUCAACGGGCCUUAGAAGAACUUAAGUGAUAUUUAUCGAGCCCGCCGCUGCUUCACACGCCGAAGACAUAUGAACAACUAUACUGGUAUUUGGUAGUAUCAGAAAUAGCGGUAAGUGGAGUCCUAGUUCGGGAAGAACAAGGUACGCAAUUUCUAAUUUAUUAUGUUAGCAGGACCCUAAGAGAGGCUGAGACUAGGUACCCUCACCUAGAAAAACUAGUGCUCGCUUUACUAACUGCCUCUAGGAAACUAAAACUAUUUUCAGUGUCACCCCAUAUGUAUUGUAACAACUUACCCAUUACGAAAUAUUAUGCACAAACCCGAACUCUCGGGACGAUUGUCCAAGUGGGCCGUUGAAAUUAGUGGGUACGAUAUUGAGUAUCGACCCCGAACAUCCAUCAAAUCUCAAAUUUUGGAAGAUUUCAUGGCUGAUUUUAUGCCGACCCUAAUACCCGAGGUGGAAUGAGAGUUGUUGGUAAACUCGGAGACGUCUUCGGGAAUCUGGACCCUCUUUACGGACGGUGCUUGGAAUGCAAAAGGGUUCGGACUCGGCAUCGUUUUAAAGCCACCAACAGGCAAUGCAGUUAGCCAAUCUAUUAGGACAAUGAACUUGACUAACAAUGAGGCCGAAUAUGAGGCCAUGAUUGCAGGUCUCGAACUAGCCAAAAGCUUGGGGGCUGAGGUGAUCAAAUCCAAGUGCGACUCCUUCCUCGUGGUAAACCAAGUUAAUGGAGCAUUCGAGGUCAGAGAUGAACGAAUGCAAAGAUACCUGGAUAAGUUAGAGGUAGCAUUACAUCUGUUCAAGGAGUGGACCUUACAACACGUCCCCCGAGAUCAAGACAGUAAGACGGAUGCCCUUGCUAACUUAGGAUCAUCGGUCGAAGACAACGAUAUUCAUUCAGGAGCAGUGGUGAAGCUCAUGAGAUCGGUGGUAGUAGAGGGGCAUGCCGAGAUAAACUCUACAAGCCUGACUUGGUAUUGGAGAAACAAAUACGUAGAAUAACUGAAGACCGACAAAUUGCCCUCGGAUUCAAAAGAACCAAGGGCCCUCCGUAUAAAGGUAGCCCGAUUUUGUUUGUCUGAGGAUGGAAAUUUAUUCAGAAGAAUGUUCGAUGGCCCGCUGGCAAUAUGUCUGGGUCCAGGAGAUACCGAUUACGUUAUGAGGGAAAUUCACGAGGGCACCUGUGGAAAUCAUUCGGGCGCCGAAUCAUUGGUUCGGAAGGUGAUCAGGUUAGGUUACUACUAGAUCGACAUGGAAAAGGACGCAAAGGAGUUCGUACGAAAAUGUGAUGGAUGCCAACAACAUGCUCCGAUGAUACACCAACCUGGGGAGCUGCUACAUUCGAUUUUAUCGCCAUGGCCGUUCAUGAAGUGGGGAAUGGACAUCGUCGACCCCCUUCCAUGGGCACCCGAUAAGGCUCAAUUUAUAUUGUUUAUGACUGACUAAUUUUCUAUGUGGGUGGAGGCCCAGGCAUACGAAAAGGUUAGAGAGAAGGAGGUCAUCGAUUUCAUUUGGGACCAUAUCAUAUGUCGGUUUGGAAUGCCGGCCGAGAUCGUGUGCGAUAACGGACAAGCCCUAUCAAUACCUUAUCACCCUAGUGGGAACGGACAAGCCGAAUCAACCAAUAAAAUCAUACUCCGGAACCUUACAAAGAGGUUGACCGACACUAAAGGAAAAUGGAAAGAACUCUUGCUCAAAGUUCUUUGGGCAUAUCGUACGACCUCGAAAUCCAGUACCGGAGCCACUCCUUGAUACCGAUCGAGGUUGGAGAGCCAAGCAUCAGAUUUUGAUAUGCAACAAAGGAAUCAAAUGACGAGGCCAUGAAUACAAGCCUAGAGUUAUUGGAUGAAAAGCGUGAGGUCACCCUUAUUCGGCUGGCUGCCCAAAAGCAGCGGAUCGAAAGAUAUUACAACAGGAGGGCCAACCUUCGGUAGUUCAACAUCGGGGACUUAGUGCUAAGGAAGAUUACGUUGAACACCCGAAACCCGAACGAGGGAAAGUUGGGGCCGAACUGGGAAGUGCCGUAUCAUAUAUCGAAAUUACUGGAAAAGGAUCAUACAAGCUCGGGAUGAUGAACGGUGAACAACUAUCGAGCAAUUGGAAUGUCACUCACCUAAAACGAUAUUACUGCUAAGGUACGGCCCCAUUCAUUUUCUUUUAUUUAGGACUAACUCUUACAGGUGAUCGAUAAGGAAAAGUACGAGAUUUUAGGUCUGAAAGCACGCGUUGCACUCUUUUUUCCUUGAACCAGUUUUGUCCCAAAUGGGUUUUUCGGCAAGGUUCUUAACGAGGCAACAAGUAAAUCGUGCUAACUUAGAAUCGAAGGCCGACAACGAACCGGUAAAAGUGAUCAAAAUAAUAUUCGAGGACUUACUUCGAUCAACCUCGAACACUGGGGGGCAUUACUCCACGAUAUCAACUUUAGCAUGAAAAGAGAUUUCAGGAUUGAAGGGUCUCGAUCAGUAGGAUUCAAUGUAAGGGCCAACCGGUCAAAUGAGUUGUGCCCACGUAGACUGCUCGAACCCUGAUGAAAAGCAUGUACACAUACAUCUAUAUUAUGCACAAAAAUAAAGAGAAGUCUCUUCCUUGUAGUCAUCUCAUAUUUUAAUAUGUCUUAAAAUUUCUUCUUUACAUUCAUUAAAGAAUUUCCUACUUCCGAUCCCCUAAAGGCAACGAGCCCAAGGGCCACUUAUAACCAGAGUUCGAAUGAUCAUUCUCUCACUUGAGGAAUGCCGACCGAAAAUUCGGACGACCCAAGCUACUAGACCUGGGGGGCAUAAGACAUAUUAGGCAACCAUAAAAUUUUAAAGGCCACAGCCACCCCCGCUCGAGGACUGUUAUCUUAGGCAAGCCCGGAUAACUCAGGAAAGCAAGUCCAAUGGGUGGCUCCCGAACUAAAAGGCUACGACCAUAUUAACAUGGCUCGGACACGUCCGAGGACCGUAACAAAAACUAGGCCUUCGAAAUAUUUUCAUAACCGAUUCUAAAUGCUACCCUCAGCAAGCUACAAACCUAAACUAUUUUAGGAAAAAGAUUUCGGUAACACCGAAUCCCUGCAAUGCCUUAACAUAAAGUAACAUUAAAGGCAAGGUUUGUUCGAACCUUCGAACAUAACCUACUUAUUUCAUGCUAAGGCAUUUCGACCUUUUGCGAAUACAAAUGAUAAAACAAAGAAAAAAUCCAAAAGCUUAAAGGGAAAGAAAGCCUUGUAUAUAUUUACCAAAGAUUCUUUUACACAGGCCAAAUGGCCCCGAUACAGAAAUUUACAAUAGCCAAAACGGCAAAGACAAAACAUCUAAAAAGAUCCUAAGUGGCCUAAUCUUCACCGGGAGCCGCGUCGUCGCCUUCGGGGCCUUCACUGCCUUCGGGCCCAUCCGAGUCUUCAGAUCCCUUGGAAUGGAUAAGCCAGCUUCCUGGCCUUGGCCUCGGAUACCUUGGCAUUUUCGAUCUCCGCCAGCAGGUCGAAGCCCUGAGCUUGAACUCCUUCCAGGGCCUCCCUUUGGGAUUGCCACCUCAUGUGCUUCACCAAGUUUUUCGCUUGGAGCCUUAUAUUGUUCCACCCGCUUAUCAGCCUUGGCCUUAACUGCAGCAACCUCCGAUUUGGCCACCUCAAGUUCCUUGGCCAGAUUUUCUUGGCCAGAGACUGCCAAGCUCAGUUGAUACUGGAGCUCCUCGAUAUUCUUGGCCUGCGCCAUGGUUUAUUCUUUUGCAACCCGGAGAUGGACCUCAGUCGAAGCCAAUUGUUCUCGGGUGGUCUCCUUUUCCGAAGCCAUGCGGUCCAUAUUUUUCUUCCAUUCCUCGGCCUCAGCCUUCACCAUGUCCACCUCCACCUGGAGUUGCUCGAUUUGGUCAAGUCUCUUCUGAACCUGCGGGUUCGGGUCAUUAGCCAUCGAGUCUAAAUCAUCAUUACUAAGUUUGAAUACUCGUCUUACCUGCUCGACCAGAUCGGCAUGUUCCGUCCGAGCCGCUUCUAGCUCAGCCUGGAGUUUGUCGCUGAGAAGCUUGUAGGUGUCCCUCUUCUCAGUCAGCUCCCAAACCUCGACCUUGUAUUGGGAUAACUCCUCCCGACAUCGGAGGAAAGUUUCAUGGUGAAGUAUCGAGGCCUGCGAGCAUAAAGAAAAGUGUUACGAUUAUUUGUUACUUAAAAUCUAAGUACUUAGUAAAGAGGCACUCAAAGUUACCCAAUUCAACACCUCUUGAGCUUCAUUGAACAGGAAGGAUGCUUCCACCUCGUCCAUCUUGGCCUGGUCCUCUUCGGUCACCAAGCACCGAAGAUAGCUAGCAACCCCCACGGGGACGAAGAGAACCUGGGCAUCCUCCGGGACAGAGAUAACUAUUGACCGUUUUUUGUCAGGAUCAGCACUCACCGACCCACUAACCCGAGCUCGAAGAAGGCCCGCUGGUCCCAAAGACGGUGUUUUCUUUGGCACUGGUAAAUCACCAAACCCGGUAACAUCCUCCGAGGCGGUGGAUUCUAAAUCAUCGAAGAAGUUAUUGAGAUCUGCCGCCCCCUUAGGCCCCUCGUUCAAAUGAUCCUUUAGCAUACCGGCCUCGUUGAUCAUGGAAUCAGAGAAUAAAGGAGACCCGGUAAGAUCAAUCACCCCAAGCGCAUCUUUUGGGGAACUCUCCCCUGCUCGAGGAAUAUCAGCCACGGUUUCCUUUUCAACCUUCAUAGCUUAGGGCGUAGUAGCCUCACCUUUCUCCUAUUCAGGGACCCCGGUCACUACCCUCUCAGCAGCAUCCCUAGCUUGGGGCAAUAUGGUAUGGACUCGCACCCGAGCCACCAGUUCGGAAUCUUCUUCUUCUUCAGAUUCAUCCCUCAGUUAGUGGACUAAGUCCGAUGUGAGGGCGCCGAUGCUUUCUUUAGGUUUGCGCGCCUGCCUCUUUUUCAGUUUUUGCUUCUUCGAGUUCGGGGAACUCGGAGCCCCUUUUCUUUUCUUCUCUUUAUCCUUCUUUAGAGCGGGAGAUUGGCGGAGGACGAUUUCAUCAGCGGAUGAGGGCCUCAUUGCAACAUCUUUCCCAAGGCCUAUAAAGAAAAGGAGAUGAGUAAGUUUGGAAAGAAACCUAAAUGAUGUCAGUACGAGGAAAAAAUCUUAACGUGAGAACGGGCUUCCCACCGGCCCUUUGAAAGUUCACGCCAUGUGCGCUCGGAAUAGGGCUUCUGAGAUAUGAUGCCCUCGACCCACUCCUUGAAUCGGGGAACUGCAUCCGGCAUCUAAGCGACAGCUGAACCACGAAGCAUCGAUUAAGUGAGAGGAAAGGAAAAAGCAAUAAGCAAAUCUUAAAAGUGAAGUUAUACUUACGUUUCAUGUUCCAUUUCUCGGGAAAGGGUAUUUCAUCGGCUAGGAUUAGAUCCGAGGUCUUCACUCGAACGAACCGGCCCAACCAGCCUCGAUCUCGGUCCUCAUCUAUGCUCGAGAAUGGGGCCUUAUUAGCUCGACGAGCAAGCUUUAUCAAUCCCCCUUGGUAGAGUCGGGGACUGUACAGACGCAUGAGAUGGUUGAUGGUGAAGGGGCACUUGUCGAGCUUGCUCACAAAAAAAUGAAGCAGAAUAACAAUCCUCCAAAAUGAAGGAUGAAUCUGCCCGAGCGUCACUUCAUACCUUUUGCAAAAGGCUACGAUAACUGGGUUUAGAGGGCCCAACGUGAAGGGAUAAGUGUAAACACUUAGAAAACCCUCCACGUGGGUAGUGAUUGACUCUUCGGGCAUAGGCACCACCACGUGUUUACCGGCCCAAUAACAAUCUUUCUUGACUUUGGGGAGGAGAUCGUCAGUGAUAGAAUAUAUAUACCUCGAGACCGGCUCGUAUCGAACACAGUUGAAGUCGGCCCCGGUUGGGCACCCCACAGGAACGAACACAGUUGAGGAGGGUUCUGGUGUCUUUUCCUCGACAGCAGUAGACAAAGCUUUUUCUUCUUCAGACGGUCUCGAGGAAGAGGGAGUUUCCUUUUGAGGAACAUAUUUAGAAGUCUUUGCCAUUGCUUCUGAGGAAGGGUGAAGAGAUGGUACUGAUGAAAGAGAGGGCGUAAUUGGCGGAUAGUUUAUGAAAAUUGUGAGAAAACUAUAAAGGAAGAAGUUUUAAACUUAAACCAGAAAACUAGAGGAUGAUGGUGAUGAAAUAUUUCUUAAUAGCACAAGAACAAACGUUUGAAUGUAAAAGUUCUAAUUGAUGGAAGGAUGAAUUAUUUAUAGUUUGUAAACGACGGUUCACAACCCGUAGUGGCCGACCAACAACUGACAUACAUUUAAUGCCUUGGAGCUGGACCGACGGGACGUUUCAGUUACCUUUUGCCGCUUACAUCAUGAGUUAUCGAAGCGAGGCUUGGAAGUUCAUAUCGUUUCUUGUGAUCUUCUCUCCGAAAAAUGAGGGGACUAUCUGUAUAUAGUCGAAAUCGGGCUCUUCUAUUAUAUGACCAGUCGAGACAGAAACGUGACGGGUCGAAACUUGACCUCGGGUUAUAUCAAACCAAGGCGCAAAGUUAAAUCAUUGAGCUCGUGACUCCGUGACCGAACAAAAUCGAGGAAACUUUGUCGAGCCAAAAUAACGGAAGACUAAAAUAUCCGCAAUUGGUUAAAUAUCACGGCGAAAAUCUCAGCACGUAUCAAGGAGAGGCCGAUUAAUAAGUAAAUUAUGUGAUUUUAUACCUUUAUAGAAUUGUAUCAAGAGUGUGACUCCCCUACUAUAUAAAAGGGGGUCUGAUUAUUUGUAAAACACAUUGUAACACAUAUCCCAAAGCAAUAAACUGUCAUUUCUAAUUAUUAUUAUCUCAUUGCUCUAUUCCGGCACCGAUUGUGGCAUUUCUUGACUAGAGAGUGAUCAACCUUCAAGGCUAAGGCUGUCCAAUUUGGUGGUUUGUAUUUAUUUUCUUCUCAUUAAUUUCAAUAUUAAUAUGUUCUCUCAGUUUGUAUCAAGUUAUAUCACGUAUUCUUAAACCGGCAUAUAAAUUCAAUUGUUAUCCGAUUUUAGGGUAAACAUAAAUAAAACUACGCUGACUUCAUUCUUUUUGUUUUUAUACUAGUUCUUUCCUUUUGUCCACGUAAAUCUAAUUGAAUCAAUGUUUUUACAACUUUAGCUUUGUAAAGUUUGUUUUUUCAAGGUCUCGAUAGAUUUGUUUCAAGCUAACCAGAUAGCGACACACUCCAUUUAAAAGUGAACUAGAAGAAAUUGUGCAAGUUGGAAUAGUAAAUUAAUCUAUUUCAGAUAGUCAAUUAGAAAAAGCCUUUACUAUUUUCCAGAAUAAUAUGGAGUGUGUCGCUAUGAAUAAUGUUAGCGUGCCUCAGUUGAAAGAAAUUUUUUAAUUAAUAAAAUGAUGCUUAAGAUCAACAAUGUCUAAAGAAGAAAAUUUAAUUAAAUAAAAUUACUAUUUAAUCAAUUAAAAAAAAUAAUUAUAAAAUUUGGCAACUUAGCAUCUGAAAAGUUAUGGUCACACAAAUGCUAAAAUAUGUUUAAGACUAUAAGUUUUAAAUUUUUUUAUUUUCUCCGUAAAUGUUGAAUCACAUAUCAUAUCAAAUUAUAGACCUCCUCCAAAGACUCAUAGUUGUACUACAAAACGAUGAGAAUCCAAUGAAGUAGGUUCAGUUGGAAGUAGCAUUAAAAGAGACCUCAUUGAACAGGUAAUCUUUGUUUAGAUUUGAAAGAGAUUGAGGUAUAGUUGUCUUAUCUCGUGGUUUUGGUUCUCCUAUUUCUUAAAGCUAGGUUGAGCUGAAAUUCGUAAAAAGAUCAGGGGUCCAUCUUGCGGGAGACAAAAGUUGAACGCCAUCAUUUGUCACCCAAGAGGUUCAAAAUAUGAAAAUAACCCUUAAACAGCAAUUCUAUUGUCAAUUUUCAAAUAACUUUUCCUUUUCAGAAAUUUGUAACAAAUAGAUUUUUCAAAACGUUAUCUUCGCCCAGAGGGAAGUUAAGAUUUUAAGUUUAUGGUUUCCUUGAUUAUAGAAAAUGCGGCUUACGCGGCUUACUCGGUUAGAAAACACAUGAUCGUAAAUAAUUUACGACCAAAUCGGUCGAAAAUUUGAAUAUUAAAAUUAAUAUUUAAUUAAUAUUUUCAACGGAGUCGGUCGAAAAAUUAAAUAGUAAAAUUAAUUUUUUAAUUUAAUUUUCUGACCGAACCUGUCGUAAAUAUGAGAAUAAAUUAAUUUAAAAAAAAUCAAAAAAUUCAUAAUUUGCGACCGAAUCGGUCACAAAUUUGGGAAAUUUCUGGUAAGAUUUACGAUUGAUUCGGUCACAAAUCAGUCCCAAAUUUGAAAAAAUAAAUUAGCAAAAUUCUGUUAUAUUUUUAAUUAUACCACCUGCCAAAUAAAACAGCUAACCAAACACCUAAUUUAUCAUCCACCAUUAAUCAUAACAAACCAAACACCAAUAUUAAUAACAAACCAAACACCAAUAUUGAUAACUAACUAAAUUAUAACAAACCAAACACCAAUAUUGAUAACUAACUAAAUUAUAACAAACCAAACACCAAUAUUUAUAACAAACCAAACUACCAAGCAAUCAAACACCAAUUAUCAACAAUCAAUUAUCAAAAUAGUAAAACACACUCAUAAUUUAAACAUAUCUCUGUCUUCAAGUCUAAAAUAUAACAUCCAUAUUCAAAUAGCUACUCCUAUUGAUCAAAUUCACUCUCCUCGUCAGACUCAGAUUCCUCUAUUACAGGUUGAUUUCCUUCUUGCUUUUCUUUUUUAAUAAUUUCUCGAUCAAAGCCUGAGUUGUAUUCCAUUCUUUACCACGACAAACCAUCUGAGUAAUGAAUAUAAAAUAUUUACAUAUAAAAUAAUUUAACAUACCAAAUAUAAACAUAAAAUAUACAUAAUAAAUAUAACAAUAUAAACAUAAAAAAAUCAAGAUGCCAUUAACAAUAUAAAGUAAUUUUAUUACAUAUUACAAUGCUUAAGGAAUAACAUAUAAAUACUCAACAAGUCAUAAAACACAAAUAGCUUAAUCCUCACGACUUGUUUCAUUUUUAUUUUCAUCUAUCAUAUAAUUUCUUCAUCGCUUGUUUCAUUUUUAUCAUAUAAUUCUUCAUUGCUUGUUUUAUUUUCAUCGUAUAAAGUCCACGCAUGGCUUUAAUUAAUAUACUAUAUUAAUUAAUAUAGUAUAUUUGUCAAAUUUAUAAAAUUUCUUUUAAUGUAGCAAUUAUUAAGUUUUAAAUUUAAUAACAAUCCAUUAGUAAAUUAGGAAGCAACAAUAAGCUUAACUUCUUAAAUAUAAAACUAAGGCUUUAAACUAUAAUUACUUAAUACAAUUCCAAACCAUUAAACUAAAAGUUAAUAUCGUUCCAAUAAUAAACUAAGAAGAAACAAUAAACUUAACUUCAUAAAUUUUAAACUAAAGCUUUAAACUAUAAUUAAGUAUUACACUUCCAAUCACAAAUUAAGAAUUUAAAGAAUUAAUCCCAAAACUCAAUCAACUAAUUAAAUCAAUUAAAUUCUUGAAUAACAAUCUCAAACCUAAAUUCAAUCAAAUUCUUCGACAACAAUCUAAAAUCUAGAUUCAACUACUAAAUUAAUAUGAAAAGUGUAACAAAAGCGUAAUAAGAAUAACCAUUAGUUGCACCAAACAAAUCAAAAAGCUCAUACUAAUUUACUCUCUUCUUUUUUAGUAAAUAACUGGUUCCACUAUUGAUUCAUUGUGACUUUUCAAAUUUUGAAAACAAUGAAAACUGUGAAAAAAUAAAAAUUUUAAACACCAAUUUCAGCAAACAAUGUGUUUUUCUCUAUGAGAUUUAGCAAAAAAUAAAAAUAAAGAAGAAAAAGUCGAGGGAGAGGGAGAAGGGAAAACUAACUGCGAGAGGGGACAGGGAGAGGUGUCGCCGGAGAAUGAGGGCUGUCGCUGGAGCAUCGUGCUACAUGAGGGAGGGGGUUUCCAGCGAGGAGAGGAAAAAAAGAUAGAAGGAAGAAAAGAUAUAAAGAAAAAAGAAAGGGAUUAGGGGGUUUUAAAAAAGAACCCGACUAAAUCGGUCGGAAAUUUGAAAAAAUAAAAAUAUUUCGACUAAUUCGGUCGCAAAUGAGGUCAACGAAGUCGGACCUCAUUUUAAUAAAGUUUUGCGACCGAAUCGGUCGCAACUUUUUUAAUUUUUUUUUAUUUUUUUUAUUUUUACGACCGAAUCGAUCACAACAUUUUUUUUUUUAAAAUUUUACGAUCGGUCGCAAAUGAGGCCAAUGAAGUCAAAUCUCAUUUUAAUAAAUUUUUGCAAUCGAAUCAGUCACAAAUUUUUUAUUUUUUUAAUUUUAUUUUUAAUUUUUCCGACUGAGUCGGUCGCAAAUGCCCUCGCGGUAUUUUUCGCUAAAUUUUACGAUGGAUAUAGACGGAAUAUCUACCGUAAAUAUUAAUAAAAUUGGAAAAUAUAUUUUCAGGCCAUUUCCGACCGAUUUCGUCGGAAAUUUUUGACUACUUUUUUCGGUCGGAAUAUUUCGGUCGAAAAUGGGCCAUUUUUUAGUAGUGCACACAAUACACUGUCUUAUCAAUUUUGGAGAUGUGAGAAAUGAGCAGAGCUCGAGAUGAGCUCCAAUGGUGGUGAAGGAGACUUUGAAGAGAAGCCUCAAUCUGGGAUUGUUAGCUCCUCAAUUCAUUUGUUCCGUAUUCUCUCGUCCCAUUUAUUUCCACCCUCUUUUCACAUCAACUACUAUAAGUCCUUUCACUGUAGUCAUCUUUACUAUAGGUGAAAAUAUUUCUGUGUAAUCUAUUCCUUCUUGUUGUGUGUUUCCUUUCACUACUAAACAAGCCUUAAACCUUUCAAUACUUCUAUCAGCUCUAUGUUUUACCUUGUACACCUACUUACAACUGUUGGCUUUCUUCCCUGUUGGUAAAAGGACCAAGUCCCAGGUGUGAUUGGCAUGUAAAGCCUCAAAUUUCUAUGUCAUAAUUGCUUUUCAAGCAGGACUAAUAGUAGCCUCUUCAUAUGAAGAAGGUUCACUAUCAUGACAAAUCCUUUUCAUUAAGAGUGACUAUCAUGGAUUAAAACUUCAGGAGAAAUACAUUGAUGUUUAGAAAGUAAUGCAUUCAGAGAGGGCAUGCAACUAUUGGAUUGCAGGUGGGUACAACAUGAAUGUAAUCACUUAGGUAUGCAUGUGUUUUAAUUUCGGUUCUUCUAAGUGUAGGGGUGUUGCUAGUUUAAGGUGAGUGGUCAUUGAAAUAUGGUAGUGAAUGGUUAUUGAAUGUAGAUGCUGGAGGUGAAUGACAUUAUAGCUUGUGACUGGACUACCACUAAGUAACAUCGGUGAGGUAGUUACAAAUGACAAUUCAUUGUCUAUGAGAUUUGCACCAUAUAGAUUGCUUUUAGCAUUGGUUGAGUGUUAUUAUCAAUAUCAUCCAGAAAAUCAAUAAAGGGAACAUAUUUUAGUACAGAAGGAAAAGAAGAAACAUCUGGAGUAAUUGCAAAAGGGAAUACAUUCUCAUGAAAUGAUACAUCUCUUGAAACAUGUAUAUUCUUGGUAGCAAGACUCAACACCUUUUAUCCUUUGGUCCCAAAGGGAUGGCCUAAAAAGAUAUGUGGGGCAGCUCUAGGUUCAAAUUUAUCCAUGUGCACUUUGGGUACUGUUGGGUAGCACAAGCAUCCAAAACUCCUCAUUUGGGAAUAUAGUGAUUUUCGUUUAUAUAGGAGUUCAAAAGGGCAUUUGUUCUUGAGAUAUGUGGUAGGUAAUCUAUUUAUAAUAUAGGUUGUUGUCAAUAUACACUCCGCCCAAUAUCUCAAUGGCAAUUUUGAUUGGAAAAGGAGUGCCCUGGUUGCUUCAAGCAAAUAUUUGUAUUUUCUUUCUACCACACUGUUUUGCUAUGGUGUAUAGGGACAAGAUUUGUGAUGAAUGAUGCCUUUUGAUUGGAAAAAUGAGUUUUCUUAUGUGUUGGUGAACUCUAGACCAUUGUCUGAUCUUUGGUCUUUAUGAUAAUUUUAAACUGGUUUUCUAUCAUUAAAACAAAGGCCUUGAUACUUUGGAUUGCAUUGCUUUUGUAGGUCAGAAGAUGAGUCCAUGUGGUUCUACUAAAGUCAUCAACCGUUGUGAUGAAAUUUUUAUAGUUAUCAUGGGUGGAAACAUGGUAGGGCCCCCAAAGGUCAACAUGUAGCAAUUCAAAGAUACUACUGGAAGUGCUAGUUCUUUGGGGAAUGUCAUUCUAGUUUGUCUGGCCAUUGGGCAAAUAAAGCAGAUAAAUGGUUGCUUAGAUGAGAAUGUGACAGGUAUGGAUGCUAUUCCCUUUAUUUUCACAAAGGGCACAUGCCCAAGUCUAUUGUUCCACAAGAUAUCAUUUCCAUAAGAUGUACAACAAAGAGACAUAAUCUCUCAUUUUAUUCACAAGUGAAAUAUUUACAGUGGGACUGUUACUAGAUGAAAAAACAUUCAUGGAAGCAGUUUUAUCCAGGAGUGAGUUAUUUACAAAUGGAUGGUUGGCAUUUUGCAUAUCACAAGGAUGAGUGGACAAGCAAGGAACAGAAUUGACUAUUGUGGAAGGCGAAUUAAUACUCUUGUGUUUCAGACACUGAGAGCACAUAAGGUACAACCUAUCCUUGACUCUACCAAUCUCCAGAGGCCUCUUCAGUGAAGGGCCUGCAACGUACAAGCACUAUCAGUGAAGAAAGUAAUACCACUGAGAUUUAGAGUCAACAUAUGAAUAGAAAUGAGAUUAUACUUAAAAGAAGGAACUAGAAGUACUUUAUACAGCACAAUCCCAGGUGCAAGCCUCACGUUUCCAAUCUCUGUUACCUUAACUUUAUAUCCAUUUGGUAGUAUGACUAACAUGGGAUAAGGCAAAAUAGUGAUAUCACACAUUGAGGAUAUAUUAAAGCUCAUGUGAUUGGAAGCUCCCGAAUAUAAUAUCUAUGUAUCAGUCUUGGACUUAAAGCAUCUACAAGACAACUUAUCAAAGUCAAUGAAAGAAGUGCAAACUACAAUACCUGCAAAGUUUGUAGCUCGAAUGUUCAGGUUUGUGCUGUUGGAAUUCUCUCCCCCACUAUUAGCCUGGAAGUGUUGCAGCAGGUUCAUGAGUUGGCCAUAUUGCUCCUUGGUGAAAUUCAUUCCCUGGUUCUUAUUAUGAUGUUCACCUUCAUCUCCUUUGACAGUCAUCAUGUCAGUUGAAGGGCCAUGAACAUUUUCCACUGUUCUCUUCCUUUUAUUGCUCAUAAACCCUUGAUUAGGAUUUUGAAAAUUCUAGUUGGUGCCUUGAAACUUCAGAUUCAACUUUUAGAAGGACUGGAUUGAGUUAUGGAAAUUCUGAGGGUAGCCAUGGAGCUUGCAUCAUUUCUCUUUGGUAUGUCCCGGCUUCUUGAAAUAUUCACAUAUUGGACGAGAUCUGUUAUUAGGAGUGCAAUAGUUUCCUGGAUUAUAAUUGGUUUUGAAACUAGUCCGUCUUAAAGUAUUGACAUUCAAUGAGGCAAACUCAAACAUCAAUUGGUUAUUAGGUUUGAUUUCUCUUUGUUUCUCCUCUUGGAUCAGUAGGGAAAAAGCUUGGGCCAAAGAUGGAAAAGGCUUCAUCAUAAGAAUGCUUUCCCUCACCAUAAUGUAUACUUUAUUCAGUCCCAUAAGAAACUGAAUUAAUCGUCCGUCAUGUUCUGCCUUAUGCAAAUUCUCUUUAGCUCCACAUGUGCACUGGCAGCUGCACCGAGUUUUUGCACUUAAAGUACUAAAUUCUUUCCACAAUUACUUCUUUUUGGUGUACUAACCAGUAAUGUCGAGUGUACUUUGUGACAAAUCGUUUAUCUUUUUUUUAAUUUGGUACAACUUUGCUCUAUUCGUCUGAUCAUAGCGAUCUUCCAGCUCUCUCCAUAGUUCAACUGAAUCAUUGACAUAUUCAACACUAUCAGCAAUCUCCUUUCCCAAUGUAAUGACCCGGCUGGUGAUUUUGAAUAUUUUAUCACCGACCCCCUAUUUAUUACCUACUCUAUGUCGUAUUAUGAUUAAGUAUUUUCCGGGGGUGUUUGGUUUUGGUUCGGGUGAGUUCCGAAGUGAAAUGGGACACAUAGUCCCUAAGUUGGAGCUUUAAGUUGAAAACAUUGACCGUAGUUUGACUUUUAUGUAGACGACUCUGAAACGAAGUUUUGAAGGUUCCAAUAGCUCCAUAUGGUAAUUUUGGACUUAAGAGCGUGCUCGGUUAUUGAUUUGGAGGUCCGUAGGUUGUUUCGACUUGAAUUGGCGAAAGUUAGAAAGUUGAAGGUUUGGAAGGUUGAGAAGUUUGACCGGGAGUUGACUUUAUUGAUAUCAGGGUUGGAUUCCGAUUCCGAAAGUUGGGAUAUGUCUAUCAUGUCAUAUAUAACUUGUGUGCAAAAUUUGAGGUCAAUCGGAGUUGUUUUAGUAUGUUUCAGUGUUAGUUUUAGAAGUUGGAUGUUCAUAGUUUCAAUAGGCUUGAAUUGGGCUGCGAUUUGUUGAAUCGAUGUUGUUUGAUGUGAUUUUUGGCAUCGAAUAGGUCCAUUAUGUAUUUUUGAACUUGUCGGUAUAUUCGGACGGGGUCCCGGGAGCCCCAAGUGAUUCGGAUUGAAUCCAGAACAAUUUUGGACUUGAUGCAUUGCUGAACCUCUGUUGUGUCUAGUACAAUCGCACCUGCGCAUUUUGGGCUGCAAGUAGGGGUGUGCAUAGGGUGGGUUGGUUCGAAUUUUUCAAUUAUCAAACCAAACCAAUGGUAUCAGGUUUUUAAAUUUAUAAACCAAACUAAACCAACAAAGUCAGAUUUUUCAAUCUCGAAUUUUUCGGAUUUUUUUCCGGUAAAGUCUUCAUAGCACAAAAUAUGUAAGUUGUGCUCCAAAUAUUUCUUAAGUCCUAGUAAAAUACAAUAAUAUAAUGUAUUUUUCAAGAAACUAACACAAUAAUAUGAGAUAAGUCAUAGCAUUAUACUAAAAUAUUCAACAACGAAGAUAAAAUAAUAAAAUUACAUAAAACAAAUAUUGCUAAUUAAUAAGCCAUAAUGAAAAUCAACAUAAUCUAAAAAUACUAUAUAGGUCAUGCUAAAAUAAGUAUAGCUAAUAAGUACUAAUAUUAAUUACAUAACUAAACACUAAAGAAAAAGAUAAACUAAGUUAUGCAUUUUCAUUAUAAACCAAUAUAAAACUAAAAUAAUUAUCCAACACUAUCAUCAUUCCUAGUAUUGAAUUGAAUUUCUCUUGUUAUCAUUAGUAUUGAUUUGAACUUUGUUUGAGUUACUACAUUUNNNNNNNNNNNNNNNNNNNNNNNNNNNNNNNNNNNNNNNNNNNNNNNNNNNNNNNNNNNNNNNNNNNNNNNNNNNNNNNNNNNNNNNNNNNNNNNNNNNNNNNNNNNNNNNNNNNNNNNNNNNNNNNNNNNNNNNNNNNNNNNNNNNNNNNNNNNNNNNNNNNNNNNNNNNNNNNNNNNNNNNNNNNNNNNNNNNNNNNNNNNNNNNNNNNNNNNNNNNNNNNNNNNNNNNNNNNNNNNNNNNNNNNNNNNNNNNNNNNNNNNNNNNNNNNNNNNNNNNNNNNNNNNNNNNNNNNNNNNNNNNNNNNNNNNNNNNNNNNNNNNNNNNNNNNNNNNNNNNNNNNNNNNNNNNNNNNNNNNNNNNNNNNNNNNNNNNNNNNNNNNNNNNNNNNNNAAACCAAACCAAAUAUGGUCGGGUUUUAUUUUUCAAUACCAAAUCAAAUCAAACCAAAGCACAUCGAGUUUUUUUUUCCGGUUUGACUCGGAUUAUCGGUUUGGUGUGGUUUAUCAGUUUUUUGUACACCCCUAGCUGCCGGUGCGGCACCGCAGAAGUGAAAUGUGAGCUGCCCAGCUGAGACCACAGAUACGGUCAGUGCUCCGCAGAUGCGGGCGGGCGAAGCAAUACACAGGUCGCAGAAGCGGGGGCGCAGGUGUGCUUUGGUAUCCGCAGAAGCGCGUUCUCAUGACUUAAGUUAAAGCCCCACUUGCGAUGACUUUUCUGUAGGUGCGGAGCCACAGAAGCGGCUAUUGACUCGCAGGUGCGCAUAUAGCUAGGUGGAAAAGGCUUAAUCAAGGGUUUCGCCUCAUUUUUUAUUUUUGGACUUAGAGAGCUCGGUUGGUGGCGAUGUUUUGAGAGGUUUUCAAGGAAAUCAUUGAGGUAAGUUAUUCUAACCCGGAUUUGACUAUAUUACACGAAUCCAUUAUUAUUUUCAUCAUCUAAUUAGUGAUUUGAGUUGGAAAUUUGAGGAAAAAUUGUGAAAACCUCUUUGACUAAAUUUUGGGGAUUUGAAAGGUGAUUUGAUGUCGGGUUUGAGUAACUCUUGUAUGGUUGGACUCUUUAUCGAAUUGGUAUUCGGAUUUUAUAAUUUUGGUCGGGUUUCGAGGUGCGGGCCUGCAGUUGACUUUUUAUUUCUCUUUAAAGAUCAUAACUUUAUUGUUCGGAAUAGUUUCCUAUAGUUUAUAUUUAUUCGUAAAAAGAUGUUGUGGCUAGAUUCGAGCCGUUCGGAGGUUGAUAAUCGAGGGAAAGGCUUACCAGUGGAUUGAGUAGCGUGUUUUGAGGUAAGUGUCUUGCCUAACUUUUUGUGGGAGAAUUACCCCUUAGGAUUGAUGUUGUUUUGUGUUAAUUGUGAUACGUGAAAGCCGUAUACGCAAGGUGACGAGUGAUAAGUGAGAAUUUUGACUACUUAUUAGCGCCUUUUAACUUUUAUUUUAGUCUAAAAGCAUUUAAUUAUGUGCCCGAAACUAAUAAAAUUAUGCAAAAUUACAGGAAUAUUAGAAGUUGGGCUCCCGAUAUGAAAUCCGAUUAAAAAAAAAAAGUAGUCUAAGCACAAGGCAAUAAAGGGCACAAAUGCACAAAAUGUGCAGUCCGCAGAAGGAAUUCUGCGGCUGCAGAAGAAAUUGCGGACCGCAGAAUUCCAUCUGCGGCCGCAAGGAAGAAGGAAAAAUCUGCAGACAAUUGUGCAAAUUGCGGACCGCACAUGAAAUGCGCAAAAGCUGGGCUAGGAGUCAAGAUCAGAGAGUAUGCAAAUUACCAAGUCCAGAACCUUAGUGAAUUGCGGACCGCACAAUAUUUGUGCGGCCGCAGAAGAUUUCCUUGAGGCCGCAACCCUAACAUUGCGGACCACAAAAGAUUGUCUUGCAGUCGCAAUUCUAAAUAUGUGGACCAUAGAAAAGUUGCUUCGCGGUCGCAGUUCAGAAUUGUGCGGCCGCAGAACUCCAUCUCAUGUCAGAUGCAGAAAUCUGCAGACCGCAUAUGGAAUUGUGCGGCCGCAGAACCUCCCGAGGGGUAUUUUGUCAGAGAUUUUCAGCCUUGUAUAAAUAGAUGAGUUUCACAAAAUUAGGUCAAGUUUGAACCUUGCAAUUACUGUAGCCGUUUUUCUUUGCCAUUUUUGGAAGUUUACUUUACUUCGGCGUAUUUUACAAUAGAUUUAAUCAUUUUAAGUUGUCAUUACGAGUUUAAUUAGUCUUUCUUCUCUAUUUUCUUCAAACCCAAGUAUAAGUAGCUAGAAUAUUACUAGGGUUGUGACCCAACCCUAGUGUGUAAACAUUAUGGGUAUCUAAAUUCGUGCUUGUUUAUGAUUGGAUGUUUAUUAUUUAGCUUAGUUCAUGCUUUAAUUUGUAGAAUUAAUGGUUGCNNNNNNNNNNNNNNNNNNNNNNNNNCAUGCCUAUUUGACUUAGUCUCUACUUGAGAAAGAGAGACAUAGUCUAGGAUAACUUGGCUAACAAGGAAUUGGGUCAGUCGAGAGAUUGAUUUACCCAAUUAAAGGGUUUAACCUAGAGAUAGUAAUAACCCGAGUUGAGCUUUUAUCAACUAUUUUGUGUGAUACCCAUUAGGUCUUGAGAAAGCCAAAUUGGGCAAAACCACUCUAUGACCGAGAGGUAUUGAGUGGGUAAUUUAAAGUUGAGAGUUAUAAUACACCCCAAUCAAUAGAACGAGCAUUAAAGUCUUUCUCCCAUUAGGAAAACACCUAGGUAAUGGUCAUAAUCCUAGGCUUUUUAUCAAUUUGGAAAAACCUCAAAAACAAUCAUCUCUAGUUUUCUUUCUUUAUUUUGCAAUCAAUAGAGUAAAAUUAGCAAUAGAAAAUCAAUCUUUUUGUGGAAGUGCAAUUUAGAUAUUCAACCGCACACAUUGAAAUAUAUACCCCUAACUCCCAUCUUAGCUCCCUGUGGAUUCGACCCCGACUCUUACUUGGGUUUCUAUUAUUGCAAACGACCGUUACAUAUCUCUAUUGAGGUGUGCAUUUGGAAGCAAUCAACGAGUGUACACGAGCUAAAUGUGAUAAUUGACCGGUUUAUCUAUGUAUAUUACUUUUAUGCCUUUAAUUGAGUUACCAUAACAUGUUAUAUUCACCAUCAUUAGUCUAUCUUCACAUGCUCUACUUGUCUUAUCUCCUACUCGUUAAUUGUCUUUACGUGUUUAGUUGAAGUCAUUGUUUCCUUUAUUCCUUAUUUAUUAUAUAACAAUUGAGCUUGUUACUUGAAGUUGUUAUUGUUGGAUUAUCUUGUUGUUGAAAUUGGUAUUGAGUUAUAAAGGCCGUGAUUCACAUUGAGGCAAAGUUGUAAAGUUGUGAAAUACAAUUAUUUUUGAGUUAUUCACUUUCGAUUCUUAUUUUGAGACUCUUGUGCAUAUUGUGGUUGAGCCAUGGGCUAUUGAUUGUGGAAAUAACAUUAUUGUUGACUUCUUUAUCAAGUUGUGAUAUGAGGCACUUGAGGUGCGAUUUGUGAUACAUUGUGAUAUUGAUACGCGCGGUGGUAUAAGGUUGGGUUGAAACGCAUGUAGUGAGAUAAGGUGAGAUUGAUCCGCGUGUUGCUAGUAGAGGAACUACUUAAAGAUACACGAUGUGAUAAGGUGGGAUAAAAUAUGGGAAUCUAUAUCGGGAAAAAUGAUUUCAAAAAUAAAUGCAAAGCUCCCGCGGUGAUAUAAGGAAAGAUUAUGAAUUGUUUUGUGAUAUGAGACUACGAGGUAGUACCUCGGUAGUGAUUCUUUUCGAUACUUUUCUGUUACUUCACUUGUAUUUGGUUGCUUUGUUUCCUUGGCAUGUCAUUCCUUAUUUUCUUAUGUGAUGCAUUCUUUGCCUUAGUUCAUUGUAGCUAAUCUUGGUAUUUUUCCUUAUUGUUUCAUUUCCAUUGUUAUCAUUAUUACACCACUGUAUACUUGUUCAGUUUCUUAUUUAUUCCAGUAGGGCCUUGACCUGACCUCGUCACUACUCUACUGAGGUUAGACUUGACACUUAUUAGGUACCAUUAUAGUAUACUCAUGCUACGCUUCUGCAUAUCUUUUUAUGUAGAUCCAGGUACCUCCUACCAGUCCAGGCACCAGUGAGACGAGCUCAGCUUCGGAGACUUCAAGGUAUACCUGUCAGCGUCCGCAAGCUUCGGAGUCACCCUCUAUCUAGUAUACUUCAUUUUUUAUUUCCCUUUUAUAGACAUUGUUGUAUAGGGAUGAAUAGUACUUACUCGUAGAGCUUGUGACUUGUUAUCACCAAAUUUUGGGAAGUUUGUUUAUGCUGAGUUGCGAAGUUUCCUUUAUGAUAGUUAUUGAGUAUUUGAGAGUUUUAUCAUUAUUUUAAUUAUAUUCUACAUGUAUAUUAGUCUUACCCAGUCUUAGAGACUAUGUGCUAUCACGACAUCCUACGGAGGUAAAUUUUGGUCGUGACAAGUUGGUAUCAGAGCUCUAGGUUCAUAGGUGUUACGAGUCACAAAUAGGUUUAGUAGAGUCUCACGGAUCGAUACAGAGACGUCUGUACUUAUCUUCCAAAGGCUAUGGAACUGUUAGGAAAGCUUCAUUUCUUUAAUUCCUUAUCGUCUGAAUUUGUUGAAUUUGAAACUCUAAAUCUCUCUUUCUAUUCUCUCAUAGAUGGUGAGGACAUGCACAACUGGAUCUGAUGAUCAAACACCCGUGCCCUCUGUAGGGCCGCGAGAGGUUGGGGUUGAGGCAGAGGCCGAGGAUGGGCAUGUGGUGCAGCUAGAGCACCUGAUCGAGCUGAGACAGAGGAGCCGCCAGCAGCUCCAGGUUGGGGGGGGGGGGGGGUAGACAACUCUAGCUCAGGCAGGGUUGAUCUCACUUGCACUGGUCACAUCUCAGGGUGGGGGAGGAGCACAGACUCCCACAGCCCGUACCCUAGAGCAGUGGUUCCAGGUUGACCAAGUCCCAAAGGUCAUACCAGUGCAGCCGGUUGUCCCAGUUCAUCCCGAGGUUAGGGAAGCAACAUCUGAGGGGGAGCAGCUCAUGCUCGAGAGGUACUAGAAGUACCACCCCUACUUUCAGCGGCUUAGCUUUAGAGGAUGCACAUGAUUUUCUUGAGGAGUGCCACUAUAUCCUCUGUACUAUGGGGACAAUGGAGUCGACUGGGGUUGCUUUCACAACGUUCCAGCUUAAGGGAGCGGCUUAUCAAUGAUGGCGAGCGUACGAGUUGGGUAGCCCGACCGAGGCAGCUUCAAUCAUAUGGGCUCAGUUUCCAGAGAUAUUCAUGAGAGAGUUUGUACCCUAGAGCCUUCGGGAUAUAUGGCGCACGAAGUUUGAGCAGUUGCGCCAGGGUGGUAUAACCGUGUCUGAGUAUGCUAUCAGGUUCAGCGAGUUUUUGAGACAUGCACCAGCCUUAGUCUCCACAGUCAGAGAGCGAGUCCGUAGAUUUAUCGAGGGGCUCACCUAUGGUAUUAGAUUCAGCAUGGCUCGAGAGUUGGAGACUGAUACCCCAUACCAGUAGGUGGUGGAGAUCACUCCGAGAUUGGAGGGUAUGUGGGGCUGGGAGAGAGAGAGAGAGAGAGAGGACAGGGAGGCCAAGAGGCCUCACAAUUCUGGCACAAAUAGUGGUGCACGUGCCCCAAUUUCAGCCCGUCAUGAUAGAGGUUAUAUGGGUCAUCCCGUUCAUUCACCACUUCCAGCUUCCAGUGGUAUUCUGGCUACUCCCAGGUCUCAGGUUGCCAAUUAAGCACUGCCACUGUCCAGUGCACCUCAUGCACAAGGUGCUUUCAGUGGUCAGUCCAGCCGACCAGGCCCGAGCCAACUUUAACAGCCACAUGCUCCGAGAGCUUGUUUUAAGUGUGGUGAUACUCGUCAUAUGGUGAGGGACUGCCCCAGACUCAGGAGAGGUGCACCUCCACAGACUACUCAGGCUCCACAUAUUCCACAGCCCCCCAGACUUCUCAGGUCGUGGUUAUCGCACCAGUUGCCACUCCACCUGCACAGCCAGCUAGAGGCGGAGGUCGGGCAGGUAGGGGUCGCCCUAUAGGGGGAGGCCAGGCUAGAUGUUAUGCUCUUUCGACUAAGACGGAGGCGGUUGCAUCAGACUCAGUCAUCACAUAUAUUGUUUCGGGUUGUCAUAGAGAUGCAUCCGUCUUAUUUGAUCUAGGCUCCACUUAUUCCUAUGUAUCAUCUUACUUUGCUCCAUAUUUGGGUAUAUCCCGUGAUUCCUUGAGUUCUCCUGUCUAUGUGUCCACGCCAGCGGGAGAUUCCAUUGUUGUUGACCGUGUGUAUAGGCCGUGUUUAGUUGUUCUUGGUGGUUUUGAGACCAUAGUUGAUCUAUUAUUGCUCAGUAUGGUGGAUUUUGAUGUUAUUUUGGGCAUGGACUGGUUGUCACCCUAUCAUGCUAUCCUUGAUUAUUACGCCAAGACGGUGACGUUGGCUAUGUCAGGUUUGUCGUGGUUGGAGUGGAGGGGUACCUUAGUUUAUGUUCCUAGUAGGGUGGUGUAUUUCCUUAAGGCACAUCGGAUGGUUGGGAAGGGGUGUGAUGCAUAUCUAGCCUUUGUGAGGGAUGUCAGUAUUGAUGCUCCUACCGUUGAGUUAGUUCCAGUAGUGAAAGACUAUCUAUAUGUAUCUCCGACGGAUCUUCCGGGCAUGCCGCCCGAUAGGGCUAUUGAUUUUGGUAUUGAUUUAUUGCUGGGCACUCAGCCUAUUUCUAUCCCACUAUAUAGUAUGACCCCAGCGGAGUUGAAUGAGUUAAAGGAGCAGUUGCAAGAGUUGCUCGAUAAGGGCUUCAUUCGGACUAGUGUGUCUCCUUGGGGUGCUCCGGUCUUGUUUGCAAAGAAGAAGGAUGGUUCUAUGCGCAUGUGUAUUGAUUAUAAGCAGUUGAACAAGGUUACAGUGAAGAACAGGUAUCCAUUGCCACGCAGUGAUGACCUAUUUGAUCAGCUAUAGGGUGCCAGAGUGUUCUCAAAGAUUGAUUUGCGGUCAGGCUAUCACCAACUGAAUAUUCAUGAUCCAAAUAUUCCGAAGACUGCCUUCAGGACUCGGUAUGGUCAUUAUGAGUUCCUUAUGAUGUCAUUUAGGCAUACCAACACCCCAGAAGCUUUCAUGCACUUGAUGAACAGUGUAUUUCAGCCCUAUCUUGACUCAUUCAUCAUUGUGUUUAUUAACGACAUCUUGGUGUACUCCUGGAGCCGGGAAGAUCAUGAGCAGCACUUGAGGAUUGUGCUUCAGACCUUGAGAGAAAAGAAGUUGUAUGCAAAAUUUUCAAAGUGUGAAUUCUGGAUUGAUUCGGCGUUUUUGGGUCAUGCAGUGUCAAGUGAGGGGAUCAAGGUAGAUCCGAAGAAGAUUGAAGCAGUGCAGAGUUGGCCCAGACCAUCUUCAACUACUGAGAUCCGGAGUUUUCUUAGUUUGGCAGGGUAUUACCGUCGAUUCGUAGAGGGUUUCUCAUCUAUUGCCGCACCUAUGACCAGAUUGACCCAGAAAGGCCCUCUGUUCAGGUGGACCGAGGAGUGUGAGGAGAGCUUUCAAAAGUUCAAGACUGCUUUGACUAUAUCCUCAGUGUUGUUUUUGCCUACAGGUUCGGGGUCUUACACUGUGUACUGUGAUGCAUCGUGUGUUAGCCUCGGCGUGGUGUUGAUUCAAGAUGGUAGGGUAAUUGCCUACGCGUCUAGACAGUUGAAGGUCCAUGAGAAGAAUUAUCCUGUCCACGAUCUUGAGUUAGCAACUAUUGUUCAUGCCUUGAAGAUUUGGCGACACUAUUUGUACGGUGUUUCUUGUGAGGUCUAUACCGACCACCAGAGUCUACAACAUCUGUUUAAAUAGAAGGAUCUUAACUUGCGGCAGCGGAGAUGGUUAGAUUUGCUUAAGGACUAUGAUAUCACCAUUCUGUAUCAUCUCAGGAAGGCCAAUGUGAUGACCGAUGCCUUGAGUCGUACGACGGAGAGCUUGGGCAGUUUAGCAUAUCUACCGGCAGUGGAGAGGCCAUUAGUAUUGGAUGUCUGACCUUGGCCAACCAGUUUGUUAGAUUAGAUGUUUCAGAGCUGAGUCAAGUUUUGGCUUGUGUGGUUUCUUGGUCUUCUCUAUAUGAUCGUAUCAGAGAGCGUCAGUAUCACGACCCCCAUUUGCUUGUCCUGAAGGACACAGUUCAGCACGACGAUGCAAAUAAGGUCACUAUUGGGGAUGACGGUAUGUUACAGAUGCAGGGCCAACUAUGUGUGCACAAUGUAGAUGGUUUGUGCAAGUUGAUUCUUCAGUAGGCCCACAGUUCGUAGUACCCCAUUCAUCCGGGUGCCGCUAAGAUGUAUCAGGAAUUGAGACAACACUAUUAGUAGAGAAGGAUGAAGAAGGACAUAGUGGAGUAUGUAGCUUGAUGUCUAAAUUGUCAACAGGUGAAGUAUGAGCAUCAUCGGCCAGGUGGGUUGCUUCAGAGGCUUAAGAUUCUUGAGUGGAAAUGGGAGCGAGUUACCAUGGAUUUCGUUGUUGGGCUCCCACAGGCUCAGAAAACUUUUGAUGCAGUAUGGGUAAUUGUGGAUAGGUUGACCAAGUCGGCUUAUUUCAUUCCCUCGUGAUGUUGUAUUCAUGGUUGGGGAGCGAGUCUUGCUCCGAGUUUCGCCUAUGAAGGGUGUGAUGAGGUUCGGGAAGAAGGGCAAGUUGAGCCCUAGGUAUAUCAGACCUUUUGAGAUUCUUGAGAGGAUUGGAGAAGUGGCCUACAAGCUUGCAUUGUCACCUAGUCUAGCUAUAGUUCAUCCAGUAUUCCAUGACUCUAUGCUCCGCAAGUACCACGAUGAUCUCAAGUGUUCAAUUUCAGCUCAGUCCAGUUGGACUGGGAUUUGUCUUAUGUUGAGGAGUCAGUGGCCAUUUUGGACAGGCAGAUUCGAAAGUUGAGGUCGAAGAACAUUGCUUCAGUGAAGGUUCAGUGGAGGGGUCAACCAAUUGAGGAGGUGACUUGGGAGACCAAACAUGAUAUGUGUAGCCAUUAUCCUCAUCUUUUCACCACUUCAGGUAUGUCUCUAUUAGUGGCGAAGCCAGAAAAUUCAAUAAGGGUGUUCAAAUUUUAAACACCCUUUGCUAGUGGGCUAUGCAAGGGUGUUCAAAGUCUAUUUUUAAUCAAUAACAUGCAGUAUUUUACCUUAUACGUAGUAUAAUAUUUCGGUGAAGGGUGGUCAGUUAACCACCCUUGGGCCAACAUAGCUUCGCCCCUGGUCUCUAUACACGUUCGAGGACAAACAUUUGUUCUAAGAGGGGGAGGAUGUAACAACCCGACCGGUUAUUUUGAGUAUUUUUACCCCGAUCCCCUAUUUAUUGCCUUCUCUAUGUCAUAUUAUGGUUAUGUGAUUUUCUGGGGGUGUUUGGUUUUGGUUCGGGUGAGUUCUAGAGUGAAAUGAGACACAUAGUCUCUAAGUUGGAGCUUUAAGUUUAAAGAGUUGACCGUAGUUUGCCUUUUGUGUAGACAACUCCGAGACGGAGUUUUGACGGUUCCAAUAGCUCCAUAUGGUAAUUUUGGUCUUAGGAGCAUAUCCAGAUGUUGAUUUGGAGGUCCGUUGGUCAUUUCAGCUUGAAUUGACAAAAGUUAGAAAGUUGAAGGUUUGGAAGGUUGAGAAGUUUGAUCGGGAGUUAACUUCAUUGAUAUCGAGGUCAGAUUUUGAUUCCGGAAGUUGGAAUAGGCCCGUCAUGUCGUUUAUGACUUGUGUGCAAAAUUUGAGGUCAAUUAGAGUUAUUUUGGUAUGUUUCAGCGUUAGUUUUGGAGGUCGGAUGUUCAUAGUUUCAAUAGGAAUGAAUUGGGUUGCCAUUCAUUGAAUCGAUGUUGUUUGAUGUGAUUUUUGGCCUCGAGUAGGUCCGUUAUGUGUUUUGAAACUUGUUGGUAUAUUCGGAUGGGGUCCUGGGGCCCCCGGAUGAUUCAGAUUGAAUCCAGAACAAUUUUGGACUUGAUGCAUUGUUGAACCUCUGUUGUGUCUGGUGCAAUCGCACCUGCGCAUUUUAGGCCGCAAGUGCGGCACCGCAGAAGCGGACCUCGAGCUGCAUAAGGGAAAUGUGACCUGCCCAGCUGGGACCGCAAAUGCGGUUAGUGCUCCGCAGAUGCGAGCAUGUAGAAGCAGGGGCGUAGGUGCGCUUUGGUGUCCGCAGAAGCGCAUUCUCAAGACUUAAGUUAGAGCCGCACCGACGAUGUCAUUUUCGCAGGUGCGGGGCCACAGAAGCGGCUAUUGGCCCGCAGGUGUGCAUAUAGCUGAGCAGAAAAGGCUUAAUUGAGGGUUUCACCUCAUUUUUUUUUUAUUUUUUGACCUAGAGAACUCGGUUGGUGGAGAUAUUUCGAGGGUUUUUCAAGAAAAUAAUUGGGGUAAGUUAUUCUAACCCGGAUUUGACUAUAUUACACGAAUCCAUUAUUUUUUUCAUCAUCUAAUUAGUGCUUUGAGUUGAAAAUUCGGGGAAAAAUUCUGAAAACUUUUUAGACUAAAUUUUGGGGAUUUGAAAGGCGCUUUGAUGUCAUAUUUGAGUAAUUCUUGUAUGGUUUGACUCGUUAUCGAAUGGGUGUUCAGAUUUUAUAAUUUUGGUCGAGUUCCGAGGCGCGAGCCCGGGGUUGUCUUUUUGAGUUAACUUUUUAUUUCUCUUUAAAGAUAGUAACUUUAUUGUUCAGAAUAGUUUCCUAUAGUUUAUAUUUAUUCAUAAAAAGAUGUUGUGGCUAGAUUCGAGCCGUUCGGAGGUUGAUAAUCGAGGGAAAGGCUUACCAGUGGAUUGAGUAGCGUAUUUUGAGGUAAGUGUCUUGCCUAACUUUUUGUGGGGGAAUUACCCCUUAGGAUUUAUGUUGUUUUUGUGUUAAUUGUGAUACGUGGAAGCCGUGUACGCAAGGUGAUGAGUGUGUACACGAGCUAAAUAUGGUAAUUGACCGGUUUUAGCUAUGUAGAUUCCUUUCAUGCCUUUAAUUGAGUUACCAUAACAUGUUAUAUUCAUCAUUAUUAGUCUAUCUUCACAUUCUCUACUUGUCUUAUCUCAUACUUGUUAAUUUUCUUUACGUGUUUAGUUGAAGUCAUUGUUUCCUCUAUUCCUUAUUCAUUAUUUAACCAUUAAGUUCCUUACUUGAAGUUGUUAUUCUUGGAAUAUCUUGUUGUUGAUAUUGGUAUUGAGUUAUUCAUGAUUCGCAUUGAGGCAAAGUUGUAAAGUUGUAAAUUACUAUUCUUGUUGAGUUAAUCACUUUCGGUUGUUAUUGUGAGACUCUUAUGCAUAUUGUAGUUGAGCUAUGGGCUAUUGAUUGUGGAAAUACCAUUAUUGUUGACUUCUUUGUCAAAUUGUGAUAUUGGGCACUUGAGGAGCAAUUUAUGAUACGUUGUGAUAUUGAUAUGCAUACGGUGGUAUAAUAUUUAUGGUUGAAACGCAUGCGAUGAGAUAAGAUAGACUUGAUACGCAUGUUGCUAGUAGGGAAACUACUUGAAGCCAUGCAGUGUGAUAAGGUGGGCUAAAACACGGGAAGCUAUUUCAAAAAAAAUAAUUUUUAAAACUAAAUGCAAGGCUCCCGCGGUGAUAUAAGGAAUGAUUGUAAAUUGUUUUGUGAUGUGAAACUACGAGGCGGUACCUCAGUAGUGAUUCUUGCUGAUACUUUUCUGUUACUUCACUUGUGUUUGGUUGCUUUGUUUCCUUGACAUGUCAUUCCUUGCUUCCUUCCGUGAUGUAUUAUUUGCUUAGUUCAGUGCAGCUAAUCUUGGUAUUUUUUCUUGUUCUUUCAUUUCCAUUGUUAUCAUUAUUACACUGUUGUAUACAUGUUCAUUUAUUCCAGUAGGGCCUUGACCUGACCCCGUCACUACUCUACCGAGGUUAGGCUCUGCACUUACUGGGUACUGAUGUGGUGUACUCAUGCUACGCUCACAUCUUUUUGUGCAUAUCCAAGUACCUCCUACCAGUCCAGGCACCAGUGAGACGAGCUCAGCUUCGGAGGCUUCAAGAUAUACCUGCCGGUGUCCGCAGGACUCGGAGUCACCCUCUAUAUAGUCUUCUUCAUUUUUCUUUCCCUUUUAUAGACAUUGUUGUAUAGGGAUGAACAAUACUUUCUCGUAGAGCUUGUGGCUUGUUAUCAACAGAUUUUGGGAAGUUUGUUUAUGCUGAGUUGCGAACUUUCCUUUAUGAUAGUUGUUGAGUAUUUAAGAGUUUUAUCAUUAUUUUAGUUAUAUUCUGCAUGUAUGUUAGGCUUACCUAAUCUUAGAGAUUAGGUACCAUCACGACAUCCUACGGAGAAAAAUUGAGGUCGUGACACCCAAGGAGUUCAAAAUCCAUGAGGUGACCAUGUCAUCACACCUUUCCCAUAGUCUAUACUUUGGAGACUCUAGAUCUGGCUUCUUACAAUCUCCAUUAAUAAAUCCUAGUUUAUUUUUAACAGAAAGUGCAUGAAGUACACUUCGUCUCCAGGGCCUGUAUCAAAUUCCAUUAAAGGGAACUGGUACCAACAUUGCACUAGGAUUGUCUGAUGGAUACAUAUAGAAGGGACUACUUGUGUCAAUGGCAGACUCUUUGCUCGAAUCCACAGUAGUUUGCUCAAUUUCGUCAUUAGUAUCCAUGAGAGUAGCUUAAUCAGUAGCAUUUGAGGAAAAACGAAGUAGAGGACAAAAAUUGACUUACGGUGAACCCUAAUUUGCAGAAUCAAAAACAAACUCCAAUUACAGGUGCAAAUCGAAAGAUUGACGAUCUAAUCGAAUUCCGUAUGUGCGAAAUUCCCGGAUCGAAUCAGCUUUCUCUGAUACCAUAUCAAUUUUGGAGAUGUGAGAAAUGAGCAGAGCUCGAGAUGAGCUCCAAUGGUGGUAAGGAGACUUUGAGGAGAAGCCCCAAUCUGGGAUCAUGUGAGAGAAUACAGAAGAAAUGAAUUUGAAAAUGAAAGUCUCAAUUAUAUUUACUCUAUAAUGUUGUAUAUAUACAGCUCCAAUCGUGAAUGAAUGAAAACCAAGUGACUUACAAACUAUAACAAAACUAACCGAUUCAUUUCUAACAGAUUAACUGAAUAGUACAACUGGCUAAGCUAAAGGUACAAAUAAUAUAAACUAAAUAGCAGACUAUAUUAGAUAUUUCAAUAUGGCUCCGCCCCUGUCUUCACUCAUACAAAAAGUUUCCACAAACAAACUCCUGAUCUUCUAAAAACAAUGUAAUUAUGAUGAUAUAAAUAUAGACUGAAAUCUGAAUCCCAUCAUGCGGAUGCCAUAUUAUGAUAAAUCAGAAAUCUGUGCAUGUAUAUACACAUAUUCUUUUUGCUUUCUCAAAUGUAAUGUGUACGUAUUUAGUGUAAAAAUAUGAAAUCACCCUGAUAAGGUUUUCUUCAGUUACACACGGACAUUGAUUUUAGAUUCUGAUAUUUCCACUUUUUCUGUAAUUAUUGGAUUUUCAAUCUCUGGGUUUGUCGCAAGAGUUUAUAUUGCUAUAGAACUAGGUUUACCCUUCUCACGUUACCACAAAUUUAAGGUGAGUUUAAUUUAUUUAGUGAUACCUAUUUUUAGUAGAGCUGAUGCGUCAUAUACAAGCUCGAUUCUCACCACAUCUCUUCCUUUACCAUCUUCCUACUCCAGCCUCUCAAAAAAGGAAAUAAAAGAAAAAUUGAAAUCACAAAAAAAAAUAAAAAAAAUAAAAUAAAAUUAAGCCAUGCAUCAAUCUGAAGCCCUUAGACACAAAGUGAAAUGUAUAAUUGGAAUGUAGAAAGCAUCUUUAUAUAAUCUUCGUAUUCCCUAAUUUUCAAUUUUGUUUGCGCUACAUUUCUCCCAGUGUGCAAUGACAACAAAUAACUGCGCAUUAUUUUUAAAUAAGUUGGGAUCGACUUUUUUAAUCUUCAUAAAUUUUGUUAGGAAGAUUACAAAACCCUCUUCCUUUCCGAACUUGAAACUGACAAUGAGAAUAAACUCACAUAGUCGGAGUAUUCUCCCAUCCAAUGUGCAACGAUAGAAAAUAACAGAUGCUCAACAUCUAAAUUUUGAACAUAUGAAAAGACUUUUUCUUGGUCGUAUACACAGGCUUUUAUUUCCUCACUUUCCUGAGGUGUGUAUUGUCUCUCUGUUAAAGUUGCUUUUGUCAUUUGGGAACCUCUUAAAGUCCUAAUGCUACCCUGCACGUGGGCGGCCUCUAUCACUAAAUUGAAAUUGUCAAAGGAUAAAUCGCUUUAGUCACCAAAAGAAAGAAGAAAAGUGGAAUAUUUAUGUUAGAAGAAAAAAGAAUAAUUGAAAAACAGCUAGAUUAUGAACGUUGAUUUUCUUUUGAUUACUUUUAUUUUCAACGUAUAUUUUUCUUAUAAAAUUCAUUCAACUUGGGAGUGUGUUAGCCAUGCAAGAGGAAAAUGAAAAAGUUGACUUGAAAUCAUCAGUCAACUGUUUGGCCUUAGUUCUAGGGGCCAAAACCACUGGUUUAUGCCAAUUAUCAGUCAACUCUUUGGGCUCUUUUUUUUUCUUUUCUUUUUUGGGUAAAUAAUGACUUCACCUUUGCUCUUCAAUAAGUUGCCAGAUUUUCUACAUUACAAACAUGAGUCGAAGCUUGAAAUCAUGGAGGUCAUAUAUUAAAUAGGAACAAGACAAAAUAAAAAUAUAUGAUAUCGCAAGACAUUUUAAUGAAGAAAUUAAUGAGAUUCAUCGAAUUAAAAUGAACAAUGUUUCACAAGUAUAAAAAUUAGGCCAUUAAAAUGUGUAAUUAGUUAAUAAAAACGAAAACUCAAAUCUAGUAUAUUAGAGUCGGAAAAUUUUGAGAUCGAAAAUGAUAGCGACUAAAAAUUUACAAAGUAGAAAAUCACACCAUUAAAUGAUAAUCCCAGAAGCUUAUUAGAGUAAAAAGAUCAGGCUGCUGCAUGAUUAGGUUGCCCAGUACUAAGAAGGCCGACAUCUACCGAUCGACUACCAUUAACUAAUUAUCCUAUAUUCCUUAUUAAUCAUUUCAAGUUUUCAUCGUAAAUAGUGGAGAACAAGAUAUAAUUACAAAUAAAAAAUAUCUUCUUAUAUUGCUAGCGAGAAAUGAUAACGCAGAUACACCUCUUUAUAUUUGUGAAAUAAAGACACACUAUAUGUCCAACCUUAUUGGGUUAGAAUUACUCUUUAUGUUUUAUUUUAUGUUAUAUAAACAUGAAAUUUAAAAUGUUAAUUUUGAUCCUAUACAUUUUACAUUAUAUGAGUAGUGGUUGCAAAAACAUAAGAAAUAACAAAGAAAUUAUGGGUGUCUAACGGGUUGGAUGAACUGGUUCCCGCCCGGACCGUAUUGGACCAGCCCGUGACGCGGGAGGGGGGGGGGUGCAAAUACUGCUUUGGAUAGUUAAAUGAAUUUAAUUUUUAAAAGUUAAAUAAAGUAAUCUUAUUACUUUCCGUUUCAAUUUAGAUUACACACUUUCCUUAUUAGUCUAUUUCAAUGAGAAAUUUUUAUAACCACCUAAAUUUUAUAGCUCACAUUUUGAGACAUGCCGUAAUUUAAAAAGGUGACAUACAAGUUGGCAUGCAAAUGGUACCAUAAAGAAGAUAAUCUGCAAAUUACUGUGCAUUAUAAGCACACAUAUUGUUAAAUAAUUAGGGAUUAUUAUAAGAAAUAUCAAAUUAUAGUGGAUGUCUACUCUUCCUCCAUGAUCUUCAUCUCAAAUGCUUAAUGACAUAUUCAAUGACAUAUUUUUUAUGUUUAAUGAUAUAUUCAAUGACAUAUUUUCUUCACUUUUCAUGUAUAUAUAAAGGCCUUGUAAUAGAUAGGAAAAUACACACAAUUGAAGAAGAAAUAAUCUUUCAUCUCUUUCUCUCUAUAUCUCUUAGGUUAUUUUUCCUUGCUCUAUAUUGUUACUUUGAGCUAUAUUUCAUAACACGUUAUCACCACGAGACUCUACUGUCGCAAGAAGCUCUUUGAGAAGACUAAGGUAUAAUUUUUCUUCUCUUUUAAUUAUGACGGACAUUAUGAAAAGAAAGUUCGUUGCCCCAGAAAUUUCGGGUAAGAACUAUAUGGCAUGGGUGUUGGAUGCUGAAAUUCAUUUAGAUGCAAUGGAUCUUGGAGACGCUAUUAAAAGAUAGAAAUAAAGCAUCUACCCAAGAUUAUGCUAAGGCCUUGAUUUUCUUGCGCCAUCACCUUGAUGAAUAGUUGAAAAUAGAAUAUCUCACGGUCAAAGAUCCACUUGUUUUGUAGAAUGGCUUAAAGGAAAGAUAUGACAACUUAAAGUUGGUCACACUGCCACAAACACGAUAUGAUUGGGCUCAUCUGAGGCUCCAAGACUUUAAGUCUGUUUUUGAAUAUAAUUCUGCGAUGUUCAGAAUUACUUAUAAAUUGAAACCUUGUGGAGAUAGUAUCACUGACUAUGAUAUGUUUGAAAAAACGUUCACAACGUUUCAUACCUCCAAUAUAGUCCUGCAACUGCAGUACCGAGAGAAAGUUUCAAGAAGUACUCUGAGUUGAUUUCUCUUCUCCUUGUGGCUGAACGAAACAAUGACUUGCUCAUGAGAAAUCACGAUAAUCGACCCAUUGGGUCUAUACUAUUGCCCGACAUGAAUGAGGUGUAUUCUCAUUAUGCUAAGCGUGGAAAAGGUCAUGGCCCUCUUAUGUGCUAAACAUAGAAAAUUAGUACCAAACAAGCGUUGAAUUUUUUUUAUGUCAAUAUGACUUAAUUAUUUAAAGUACCAACAGUAUCAAUGCCGCACUUUGUUCAAGCAAUUAGUUUGUAAGCCUAGUAAUCUGAGUUCUAAUAAAGCAUCAUUAACCUUUUCUUUAAGAAGGAUGUCAAUUAAGAGGUUACAUGUAUAACUUUGACCAUUUUUAUUUAGCAUAUUUUAGGAAAUCUUUUUGUUACUUAACCAUUGUAUAAUAUAUUAUUUAUGGUAACUUGUUAAUAUGACUAUAAUAUUUCGUCCUUUUGCUUAUUGUAUACCUUAUGAACGUUGGUCAUGUUUUUAACGUUUAUACAGUUUAUUGUCUACUUUUGUGUUUAGUUACCUUUAUUUUCACACUCAUUGUUUCAUGUGUAUUAAUAUGACUUAAGUUUUUCGUGUUUUAAAAUCAUAUGACAACCUAAAAAUAAUUGCAUUAUUUUUAUCUAUGGAAUUAUUUGCAUCAUAAUUAGAAUUUGCUCGAAAUUGCAUUAAAAGUCACUAUUGAAUCAUUGGUUUAACUUUUUUUUUUCUUUUUCUCUGAAAAUACUAAUAUUUAUUCAUAUAAUUCUUUUUGUAUGUCAAACCAUGGGAAGCAAAUAUCGAUAUCUCUCAAAGCAAACUUGGAUCAAAGUUCAAUUGUAAAAAUAUUUGCUUAAUUGAUUCAUGUACGACACAUACAAUAUUCAAAGAGAAGAAAUAUUUCUCUCAUUUAAGUAUGUAUAAGGCAGAUGUUACUAUAAUUUUUGGUAGUAGUAAUCUAAUUGAAGGCUCUGAAAGAGCUAAUAUAACUCCACCUAAGGGUAUAAUACUUAUCAUAGAGAAUGCAAUGUUCUCCUCCAAGUCCAAGAGGAACUUGUUGAGUUUUAAAGAUAUCUGUCGAAAUGGAUUUCAUAUUGAGACAAUAGAUGAGAAUAAUAUCGAAUAUCUCAUUGUUACCAAGAAUGUCUCACGCCAGAAAAGGGUUAUUGAAAAGUUUCCAUCUUUAUCUUGUGGCAUGUAUUGCACAAUAAUUAGUGCAAUUGAUGCACAUUCUAUCGUAAACCAAAAGGUUACUGAUUCCAAUACUUUUGUACUUUGGCAUGAUCGAUUGGGACAUCCUGGAUCAAUUAUGAUGAGAUGAAUUAUAAAAAACUCAAAUGGGCAUCCAUUAAAGAAUUUAAAGAUUCUUUUAAAUAAUGAAUUUUCUUGCACUUCUUGUUAUCUAGGCAAGUUAAUUAUUAGACCAUCAUUAACAAAGGUUGGGAUUGAGUCCCUUGCGUUUUUGGAACGUAUACAAGGGGAUAUUUAUGGACCUAUUCACCUACCUAAUGGGUCAUUUAGAUAUUUUAUGGUCUUAAUAGAUGCUCUUCUAGAUGGUCUCAUGUGUACAUAUUGUCAUCUCGCAACCUGGCGUUUGUAAAAUUAAUGGCACAAAUAAUUCGAUUACAGGCACAAAUUCCCGAUAAUUCAAUUAAGUCUAUUCGACUUGAUAAUGCUACUGAGUUUUCAUCCCAAGUAUUUAAUAAUUAUUGCUUAUCAAUUGGGAUAAAAGUGAAACAUCAUGUAGCUCAUGUUCACACUCAAAAUGGCCUUGCAGAGUCUUUGAUUAAACGCCUGCAAUUGAUAGCAAGACCGUUACUCAUGAAAAUAAAAUUACCCACUUCUGUUUGGGGUCAUGCCAUUUUGUAUGCAGCAAUGCUAAUUAGUCUCAGACCGAUAAAUUAUCAUAAAUAUUCCCCGUUACAAUUAGUUUUGGGUCAUGAACCUAAUAUAUCCCAUCUAAGAAUUUUUGGAUGCGCUGUAUAUGUGCCUGUAGCACUGUCAUAUCGCACCAAGAUGGGUCCCCAAAGAAGGUUAGGAAUAUAUGUUGGGUUUUAAUCGCUCUCCAUUAUUCGCUACCUCGAAACAUUAACAGGAGAUUUGUUCACUGCUCGAUGUGCAAAUUGUCGAUUCGAUGAGGCAUUUCCCCCAAAUUUAGGGGGAGAAAUUGGUGAAUUCAAACGGGAAAUUUCAUGGAAAAUCCAUCAUUGUCUCAUCACACGUACCUCUAUUUGUAAAAAAGAGGUGCAAAAGAUUAUCCAUUUUGUAGAAAAUAGCAAAUCAAAUACCAUAUGCAUUUACGGAUUUGAAAAGGAUAACGAAAUCAUAUAUCCCUGCAGAGAAUGUUUCAAUCCAUAUUGAUGUCCCUGUUGGACAAUCUUCUAGUGUCAUAGCUAAUGAGUCAAAAGAACGCCUAAAGUGUGGCAGACCAUUGGGUUCUAAGGAUCGAAAUCCUAGAAAAAGGAAAAUAAAUGAUCAAAAUGACACUAUGAAAGAGUCUCAUAAAUAAACCUAUGAUUUAACCAAUCCUGAGAUUCAUGAGGAUAUCGAUGAGCCUGAGACUCAAGAAAAUAAGGAACUAUCAAUAAAUCCAAUCGAUAUUGAGACAAAUUUGAAUCUGUAACGACCCGACAGGUCGUUUUGAGCUCUAGCGCGUCGUUUGGUGGUUUGAGGCCAUGUGUAGCUUCAUUUUAGGUAUUAUGACUUGCACAUAUGGUCGGAAUCAAAUUUCAGGAAGUUCGGAGUUGAUUUGAAAAGAAAAUUUCUAAUUUCAGAAGCUUUAAUUUGGAAAACUUACUAAGGUUUGGAAUUUUUAUAAAUGACCUCGGAAUCAGGAUUUGAAUGUUCCAAUAGGUUUGUAUGAUAAUUUUGGACUUUGGCAUAUGUUCGGAUCAAGUGUUGGGUAGCCCGGGAGUUUUUCGGCGCUUAUUACGGAAAGUUGGCAUUUUGAAGGUUUAAUAAUUUUCUAAGUUUGGGUUGAAAUAUAUAUUGAUGUUAUCGAUGUCCGUUUGGGAUUCCGAGCCUGGGAAUAGUUCCGUAUGGUAAUUUUUGUCUUAGGUGCAUGUCCGGACGUUGAUUUGGGGGUCCGUAGGUGAUUUCGGCGUCAAUUGGCGAAAGUUAAAAAUUUGGAUGAUUUUGAGAAGUAUGACCGGGAGUGGACUUUUUAAUAUCGGGGUCGGAUUCUGAUUUCGGAAGUUGGAGUAGGUCCGUAAUAUCAAUUAGGACUUGUGUGCAAAAUUUGAGGUCAAUCAGACGUGAUUUGAUAGGUUUCGGCAUCGAUUGUAGGGGUUUGAAGUUUCAAAGUUCAUCAAGUUUGAAUUGGAGGGUGAUUCGUGUUUUUAGCGUUGUUUGAUGUGAUUUAAAGGCUAAAUUAAGUUCAUAUGAUGUUUUAGGACUUGUUGGUAUAAUUGGUUGAGGUCCCGAGGGCCUCGGGUGGAUUCCGAAUGGUAAACGGAUCGAGUUUGGGCUUGGAGGAAUGUUGGAGGUGCUAUCAUCUGGUGUAACCGCACCUGCGAGGUUUUGGCAGCAUGUGCGGAGCCGCAGAAGCGGCAAGGAGGGUCGCAGAAGCGGUUCUGGGCGAGCUGGGCAGUGCCGCAAGGUGCGAGACUUUCUCCGUAUCUGCGAUGGCGCAGAUGCGGCCUCAUGGAGCGCAGAAGCGGAGUGGAGCGUAGGAGCGAGGUGGAUUUGCGCACCUGCGAUGUCGCAGGAGUAGGACAUUGUUCGCAUGUGUGAAGGGCGGCCUCCAGUGUUUUCCACAGAAGUGAUCUUGGUGCCGCAGAAGCGGCCUUUGGCUUCGCAGGUGCGAAAGUCGCAUGGAUAGAAUGUAUAAGUUGGCCAAAUCGGGUUUUGGCUCAUGUCACCUCUUUUCUCUCGUUGGAGCCAGUCUUAGGUGCGAUUUUGGAGUGCCAUUUUAUCAUCCUUCAUGUGGUAAGUAAUUCCCACAUAUUGUGAGCUAAAUAUAUGGUUUAUAUAUGGAUUUAAAUAUCGAAAUUAGGAGAAAUUUGGAAUUUUGAAGAAAAACCUAGACAUUUGCAUUCUUGGAUUUUUUAUCACGAAUUUGGGCAUGGAAUUGGGAGUAAAUCAUAUAUUUGAGUUUGUAGUGUUAUGGGUAAUGGUUAUCUUCAGAAAUGUCCGAAAUCCGGGCACGUGGGCCCGAGGGUGAUUUUAUCGACUUUUCGAGCGGAGUUGAAAAUUAUUAUAAAUUAAAUUAUAAUGAGUAUUAGAGUAUAUAUUUAUGGAUUUGUACAUUUAUUGACUAGUUUUGGAGCGAUGGGCAUUGAUUUGAGUUGUUGGAAAGGCAUUGGAGCCGGUUAUGGAAUUUCGGAGCGAGGUAAGCCUCUUUUCUAACCUUGUAUGAGGGAAUUAAUCCUAUAGACAAAUUGAUUUAAUAUGUGCUUGUAUUUGUGUGGGCUACGUACGCACGAGGUGACGAGAGUCCGUGCGUAGCUACUAUUAUGCUUAUGUUCGGGUAGUCUAGGACCGAAAUUAUGUUAUACUUGCGAUGGUUGCCCCCUACUUGUUAAUUUAAUUGCUUAAAUCAUAUUGAGACUUGAUAAAAGAAUUGUAAAAGGUUAAACUUCAUUUUCUUGACCGUUAAUGAGAAUUUGUUAUUCCUUUGAAUAAUUGCCCCUUAAUAAAUCUUGAAUUGGUUGUUGUAAAUGUAUUUUAUCUUUUGUGGAUUGGGUCGAAUGCCUCGGUAGCAGAUAGAUCCAUCUAUAGUUUGCGCAGUUCGACCCUCGGCAUUGCACAAUUUAAAUAUUUAUGUUGGAUCAGGCCUUACGACCUCGAUAUAAUUUGCGCAUGAUAAAUCUUUGGAACUAAUAAUAAUUGAUAUUGCUUCAUUGACUUGAGAUAUAAAUGGUUAAAUGAUGAAAAAUAAAUUUGGAAACUUCCUAUUAUUAAAUGAAUUGUUUGCUUACCUCUUGUUUAUUGGGUUUUCAGCUGUUUUAUAGAAUCCAUGCUUAAUUAUAAUAUCGAAAUUUUAUUGUUAGCCCAUAGUAAGUGUCGGAGUCGACCCCCGUCACUACUUCUUCGAGGUUAGACUGGAUACUUACUGGAUAUGUAUUGAUUUACGUACUCAUACUGCACUUGCUGCAUAUUUUUGUGCAGGAACAUAUAUGUCUAGUGGCCUUGUGGGCGCAAAGGUGUGGUUGAUGCGGGGACUUAGGGGACCUGCAUUCUAUAUUACGAUCCACAGCCAGCAGAGUCUCCUUCAGGGUUAUUUAUAUCUUUCCUGUCUAAUUUGUAUUCCGGACAGAUGCUGUAUUUUAUUUUACUCCCUAGUUAAUGCUCAUGCACUUGUGACACCGGGUUUUGGGAGUGGUUAUGGGUUGUUCAAUAUUUUUGUUGCGAAAAUAUUAUCAUUUACUCCGUAAGUUCUAUCUUUUACUAUUUAAUUGAAGGAAAUUAUAAUUUUAAAAUACUAAAAUGAGUAAUUAAGUUAAUUAAUUAUCGUUGGCUUGCCUGAUAGCGGUGUUAGGCGCCAUCACGACUUUUAAUGGAUUUUAGGUCGUGACAACAUGGUAUCCGAGUGUUAGGUUCACUUAGGUCUCACGAGUUACGAGCAAGUCUGGAAGAGUCUCGCGAAUCGGUACGGAGACGUCUGUACUUAUCUUCGAGAGGUUACAGGGCUGUUAGGAGCACUUCCCUUCUUGAUUUCUCUUCGUGCGGUUUUGUUUCCUUUUAGGCUUGUGCCUUUAUUUUCUUCCUACUCGAUCUUAUGCGAUGUGAAGCGCUUGUUUGCAAUUGGGAAUCGAGUAAUUUUAAUGGUACUACAGAUGUGGUGCGGGAUGUUUCUCCUUGCGUAUUUAAUUAGGCUAUUUUCGUCACCUUACGAAAGGUCGUUCUGUCGUUUAAACUCAGUAUCAGUAUUACCUAAGGUUUUGAAAUUUGGCAUUGAUUGUUAUGAUGAUUCGUGCAUUGCUAUCGCACAGUGUUUGUGUAAUGGUAGGAUGCUUGUCUAUGCAUCGAGGUAGUGAAUGACUUGAAAGGAGGUUUUACUCAGUGCAUGAUUCAGAGAUUCAGUGUUUUAUUUCCAGCGGAGGAAAGGUAAUCGGACUACGAAUGCUCGGGUUUAGGUCAAUGGGGUAACUAGACUUGGUAUUUUCGAGCAUGGUGGAAUUUUCAUCUGAGAUGUGGUGUCAUUAUCCUUGUUAAAUGUGUUAUGUUCGUCGGUGUUAUGAUCUUCUUCAAUUCGCCUUCAGGGUAGGAUAUUGUGAAAUAGUGUCGGGGAAGCAGCUGUCAGAGAUCGCGGUGUGCAGUGGUUUAGAAUCGAAUCAUUGUUCCAAAUAUUGAUGGCUCGAGAAGGAUGAUCUUCUGAGAGGUUUAGAGUGGUAGCGAUCUAUUGGUUCAAGUGCUACAAAGAUGGAUUUGAUUUAUGACAACAACUGGGCAUAUCUGAGGAAGGACAGGUAGGAGGUGUCUGGCGGUGGUUAAAUUUCUUGGAGGCCAAGUGUGAGAAGCAGAAGUCGAGUAGUUGCUUAAGGAGAGGGUUUGACCAAAGUGGGAGAGUGGUAGAGUAUCAUAUGGGUUUUAUGGUAGGAUAGCUACACGCCUUGAGGAAAGUUUAGAGUGAUCUGGGAUUCAUGGUAGACAGUGACUAGGUCUAUGGACUAAUUUGAAAUAUUGGCUACUACACUGAGGGAGGUUGGAUACGACAUGAGGGAGUUGCUUAAUAAGAAGAGGGAUGCAACAUGACUUUGGAUUGUAAUGUAUCGUCACACUUUUAGCUGAUAUCAAUGGGGAGUGAACGGACUUGUACAGUUGGUGAAUGAGCAUGGGCUCAGGAGGGUUUAUUGGUUCCGUAAUAAUUGUUCACAGUGCAUCGUCGUUGGGAGAUGUCAGCAUGGGAUUUCCACAAGUGAGUUAUCCCCUAUGAGCAGGUUAGCGAUUGCGUGGUGUUGAGGGUGCUUCUACGAAGAAUUCUACCGGCUAUCCGGUAAGGGAUCUAAUAUGUGAAUGUGGCUAGUAAUUCAGAAUGCUCAUGAAAUGUUUAACAGAAAGGUUGCGAGAAAUUUGGCGGGUUGGUUGUGCAAGAUCAUGUCAAUGGGGAAUAAGGAGUCUUGGUGGGUUCCAGGGUUAUGCAAUGGUAGCUUCAAGCUAAGUGGAAGAGCCCCAUCGUCUAUGAUUUGAUUGUAUGGUUGUCUACUUAUGAGGUUUCUAGUUUUCGGUGUAUUGGUGGGUUAUUACGACUAAGGAAAGAAAACAUCAGUGGUAAUCUGAGCAAAGGAUUUGGGGAAUGUGUGCUAUAUUUGGACUUAUUGAUUCAUGUUCAGGCUUUGGGGAGACUCAGAGUUUAUGCUUUAUGUAGAUGUGAUGUACAAGGAAGUAAGUCAGCCAGGUGCUUCUUUGAGAAGGUGUUUAUAUGCUAGCAGGGCCUUGGAGUUUGAUCACAUUUGGGAACAAGACAGAGUGGGUGACUCUCAACCAUGGUCCUAGUGGAUUCAAAAAUUUAAAGUGCGGUGCUUAAGGGUUUCGAGUAUGUAGUAUGGUUAAGUAUCGAGCAUUGUAGUGGAUUACAAAAAGGUCUUGAAGUGUUCUAUAUUAUCAUCGGUCUGCGGUGUAGCAUUGGAGGAAUGGGAGAAAAUAACUUCCGAUUCGUAAAGGAAAUAUCAGAAUGUGUGUACCAGUUGAAGAUACGAAUGUGCGCACAAGCGGGUAUGAGAUGGUUUGUGGGUUUUGAGACAACGUGAUCUCGUGAAAUAGAGUCCUUCUGGAUGAGUGCGGAUUGGGUUAGUCAUAUUUUGAAUGAAGCUAUUAUUAUUCCUAAGGCAAGUCCGGAGUAAAUUAGAAGAAGUCGGAUCGAUUAGCAGUGGUUGAAUCGGCAUAAUGGUGGCAAUGAUCAGUUCCUUCAACGUGUUAAGUUUUACAGGUGGUUGUGGCGGUACGUGCGAGGCUUGACGGCUACCAUAAUUGAUUUAACUUGGAGGCAUUCGAGUUAAUAUGGCAUGUUAUGUGUAGAUGGAUCCUGGAAGAGUCAUGGUAGUUUAGACCACUACUUGGGAUUGUAUUUUUUGCGGUUAUGAGAAUUCGGCCGUGUGUUGGAAUGGUUCUCCUGAAAUGAGUUAAGUGAAAAGUUUCUAUAUGAUAGAGUGUUUAUUCUAUUAGUAGAUCAGAGGUUAUUAUGGAAUUCUUGUACUCUCGCGUAUUAACAUGUUAGGUGCAGUGAGCGACAUGGGAAUCGGAAGUCGAGGGUCAAGGUUGUGGUUCGGUGUUGACAAGAAUGUCACGAGCUCGGAUGAGCAGGAAAGAAUUCAGAUGGUUAGAAUAAACUGGUAUUGUCUUUAGCGUCACUUGAGAUCGGUGUCGUGUGUAAGUGGCUUUGUGUAUUGAUUUGCGGAUUCUUGAUUUGCCUUUCAUCAUUAGUGUGGCUGGCGGUAUGGAUGUGCAGACUUGUUACCUGGUGCGGAAGGUCGUAGGAGUGUAUCCCAUGGGAAGAUUGUAUAAGUGUGACACGUAGUCACUUGAUUGAUUAAAGAUUGAAAUCAAGUAUGGAGAUUUUGGUACUAUCGCUAAUGUGAGAGUUUAGGCCUGAAAGGGGCGCUCUAUUCAGUUGGUUGUGAAUUGUGGAAGUUUGUUCUUGAUACGAUGGUUGUCCUUGUGUGUCAUGGGAAAAAAGGGUUAUUGUGGAUCCUUGGAAGGUUAUUAGCCCAGUGCGGUACGAUCAGAAUCGGCUUGAGGUCCAUGGAUAGAUCUAAAUGUGAACGGGGGCUCUAUAACAGGCCAGAUGUGUCCAUUCCAGCAUAGCAUUGUUUACGGAGGAGUCUUCAGGCCUUGGAUGUUGUUUCCAUUGCCAGGUAUUCUGUGUGAUCUCUAUUUUGCCAUGUGGGUUGUGAGACGAUAUGGCUAUUCGCACUUGUAUUGAGAUCCCAUGUAGUUAUGGUGUUGUGAUGGCAUGAUGGCUCUCGAGAUGCAGGUCCUUUAUUGUACCUUAGUCGUGCUUGAGUUUUGUAGCGUAUGGCGCCAUAUAUCUCCCCAGGGAUGGUAUUAUGCACUUGGCAUGCUUGUGGUCGGCAUUCAGACAUUUCGUAGGUGUGAGCAUUCUAGAUCGAUAGGUAUUUCCUUAUAGAUUAUUAUGUGUGGAUCGGGUGGCACGCCGCCACGAGUACAUUGGUUGGAUCGGGUGGCAUGUCACCACGGGUAUAUUGUUUGGGUCGGGUGGCACGCCGCCACGGGUAUUAUGGUUGGAUCGGGUUGCACGCUGCAGCGGUGUCCUGCGUGGAUUGGGUUGCACGCCCCAAUAGUGGGAUGUGGAGUACAGUUCCCUAUAUCUAUUCGCGUGUGUUUUGUCCCUCAUUUUCUGGAGAAGGUUCAUGACAUCUUUUCGGUCAUUUAAUUAGUUACGUGGGUUGAGUAGUUCGUUCCAGAGUUUGUUUCCCUCAUGUAUCACAUUCGAGUUUGUAGCUUGUCAGCAUAUUGUGGCAUCAAAUGAGACUUUUGCAGUGUCCGGGGUGGCUUAUUGCCUGAGCAUCUUGUACUAGGCGAGACAAGAUUUAUUGGACCUGGGAUCAGUGCGAUCAGAUUUAUAUAAGGCACAUUAAAGAGUAAAUAUCGUUAUUCAGUCCAAAAUGAGGUAAUGGUUCUUGUCGGGAGGAGAGACACUAUGAAUUGUGAUUCGGCCGGUGGUUAUGAGUUUCUUAACACCUCUUCUGUCGUGGCAGUAUUGCGAGAGUUGAAGCAAGGCCUAUAUUGGUCAUGAGGUAUACUACGGGCUUCGGGUCAGGGGAAAUUUCAAAUGUUGUUCUUGGGAGAUUGCCUUAGGCAAAUGAGUUACAUGGUGCAUGGUAUGAAUUCAGUAAGGGUAUACAAUCAUGUUUGGGUACAGUAUGUAGUGAUUAAUACGGUGUUCGUAUGUUGGAAACAGUCCUGGUGGAGAAUUGCGGAUGUUAGAAUUUGACUCUAAGUCUUACUUGAUUUAUCUACGGAUUGGCUCGAGCUAAUGUGCUUAACUGGGUUGUGGUAGCAUGGGUAGGUGCACGAGGUGUUAAAACGUAAUUUUGGACAACUUCGGAACAAUUCUUAGCACGUUCGAGGACGAACGUAUGUUUAAGUGGGAGAAAAUGUAACGACCCGACUGGUCUCUUUGAGAUCUACCGCGUUGCUCGGUGGUUUGAGGCCACGAGUAGCUUUAUUUCAGGUAUUAUGACUUGCACGUAUGGUCGGAAUCAAAUUUCAGGAAGUUCGGAGUUGAUUUGGAAAGAUAAAUUCUAAUUUCGGAAGCUUUAAGUUGGAAAACUUACUAAGGUUUGAAAUUUUUAUAAAUGACCUCGGAUUCAGGAUUUGAAGGUUCCAAUAGGUUCGUAUGAUAAUUUUGGACUGGGGUGUAUGUUCGGGUCGAGUGUCGGGUAGCCCGAGAGUAUUUUGACGCUUAUUACGGAAAGUUAGCAUUUUGAAGGUUUAAUAAUUUCCUAAGUUUAGGUUGAAGUAGAUUUUGAUGUUAUCGAUGUCCGUUUGGGAUUCCGAGCCUGGGAAUAGUUUCGUAUGGUGAUUUUGGUCUUAGGUGCGUGUCCGGACGUUGAUUUGGGAGUCUGUAGGUCAUUUCGGCGUCAAUUGGCAAAAGUUGGAAAUUUGGAUGAUUUUGAGAUGUUUGACCGGGAGUGGACUUUUUAAUAUCGGGGUCGAAUUCUGAUUCCGAAAGUUGGAGUAGGUCCGUAAUGUCAAUUAUGACUUGUGUGCAAAAUUUUUUAGUCAAUCGGACGUGAUUUGAUAGGUUUCGACAUCGAUUGUAGGAGUUUGAAGUUUCCAAGUUCAUCAAGUUUGAAUUGGAGGGUGACUCGUGUUUUUAGCAUUGUUUGAUGUGAUUUAAAGGCUCAACUAAGUUCGUAUGAUGUUUUAGGAAUUGUUGGUAUAAUUGGUUGAGGUCCCGAGGGCCUCGGGUGGAUUCCGAAUGGUAAACGGAUCGAGUUUGGGCUUGGAGGAAUGCUGGAGCUACUGUCAUCUGGUGUAACCGCACAUGCGAGGUUUUGGUUGCAUGUGCGGAGCCACAGAAGCGGCAAGGAGGGUCGUAGAAGCAGUUUUAGGCGAGCUGGGCAGUGCCGCAAGGUGCGAGACUUUCUCCGUAUCUGCGAUGUCGCAGAUGCGGCCUCAUGGAGUGCAGGAGCGGAGUAGAGCGUAGGAGCGAGGUGGAUUUGCGCACCUGCGAUGUCGUAGGAGCAGGACAUUGUCCCCAGGUGUGAAGGGAGGCCUCUAGUGUUUUCCGCAGAAGCGGCCUUUUGGCUUAGCAGGUGCGAAAGUCGCCUAGACAGAAUGUAUAAGUUAGCCAAAUCGGGUUUUGGCUUAUUUCACCUCUUUUCUCUCGUUGGAGUCGGUCUUGGGUAGUGCCAUUUUGUCAUCCUUCAUGAGGUACAUAAUUUUCACAUAUUUUGAGCUAAAUACAUGGUUUAUAUAUGGAUUUAAACAUGGAAAUUAGUAUAAAUUUGGGAUUUUGAAGAAAACCCUUGACAUUUGCAUUCUUGGAUUUUUUACCACGAAUUUGGGCAUGGAAUUGGGAAUAAAUAAUAUAUUUGAGUUUGUAAUGUUAUGGGUAACGAUUAUCUUUAGAAAUGUUCGGAAUUCAGGCACGUGGGCCCGAGAGUGAUUUUAUCGACUUUUCGAGCGGAGUUGGAAAUUAUUGUAAAUUGAAUUAUAAUGAGUAUUAGAGUAUAUAUUUAUGGAUUUGCACAUUUAUUGACUGAUUUUGGAGCGAUGGGCAUCGGUUUGAGUUGUUGGAAAGGCUUUGGAGCCGGUUAUGGAAUUUCAGAGCGAGGUAAGCCACUUUUUUAACCUUGUAAGAGAGAAUUAACCUCAUAAGCAAAUUGAUUUAAUAUGUGCUUCUAUUUGUGGGGGCUACGUACGCACGAGGUAACGAGAGUCCGUGCGUAGCUACUAUUAUGCUUUUGUUCGAGUAGUCUAGGACCCAGAUCAUGUUAUAUUUACGAUGGUUGCAUAUUACUUGUUAAUUUAAUUGCUUAAAUCAUAUUGAGACUUGAUAAAGAAAUUGAAAAAGGUUAACUCCUUUCUUGACCGUAAGGAGAAUUGGGUAUUCCCUUGAAUAAUUUCCCCUUAAUAAAUCUUGAAUUGGUUGUUGUAAAUGUAUUUUCUCUUUUGUGGAGAGGGCCGAACGCCUCGGUAGCAGAUAGAUGCAUCUAUGGUUCACGUCGCUCAACCCUCGGCAAUGCACAAUUUAAAUAUUUAUGUUGGAUCAGGCUGUACGACCUCGGCAUGAUUUGUGCAUGAUAAAUCUUUGGAACUAAUAAUAACUGAUAUUGCUUCAUUGGCUUGAGAUCUAAAUUGUUAAAUGACAAAAAAUAAAUUUAGAAACUUGCUAUUAUUAAAGGAAUUGUUUGCUUACCUCUUGUUUAUUGGGUUUUCAGCUAUUUUAUACAAUCCAUGCUUAAUUAUAAUAUUGGAAUCUUAUUGUUGGCCCAUAGUAAGUGUCGGAGUCGACCCCUCGUCACUACUUCUUCGAGGUUAGACUAGAUACUUACUAGGUACGCGUUGAUUUACGUACUCAUACUAUACUUGUUGCACAUUUUUGUGUAGGUACAUAUAUAUCUAGUGGCCUUGUGGGUGCAGAGGUGUGGUCGAUGCGGGGACUUAGGCGAGCUGCAUUCUAUAUUACGAUCCGCAGCCAGUAGAGUCUCCUUCAGGGUUAUUUAUAUCUUUCCUGUCUAAUUUGUAUUCUGGACAGAUGCUGUAUUUUAUUUUACUCCCUAUUUAAUGCUCAUGCACUUGUGAUACCGGGUUUUGGGAGUGGUUAUAGGUUGUUCAAUAUUUUUGUUGCGAAAAUAUUAUCAUUUACUUCGUAAGUUCUAUCUUUUACUAUUUAAUUGAAGGAAAUUACAAUUUGAAAAUACUAAAAUAAGUAAUUAAGUUAAUUAAUUAUCAUUGGCUUGCCUCACAACGGUGCUAGGCGCCAUCACAACCUAUAAUGAAUUUUGGGUCGUGACAGAAUCGAUUGAAUAUAGUGGUAGAUUAUGUCUUUGCGUACAAUGUUGAAUCUAGCAUUAUGCAAGAUAGUGAGGAUCUUGAACCUCAAUCUGUUGGAGAAUGUCGACAAAGACGUAAUUGGCCAAAAUGGCAAGAAGCAAUCCAAUCUGAGUUGGAUUUACUUGCGAAACGUGAAGUUUUUGGGCCUGUAGUCCAAACACCUAAUGGUGUCAAACUUGUUGGCUAUAAAUGGGUCUUUGUACGAAAAAGGAAUGAGAAAAGUGAGGUACAAAGAUAUAAGGCACGCUUUGUUGCACAAGAAUUUUCACAAAGACAUGGUGUCGAUUAUGAAGAGAUGUAUUCUCCUGUUAUGGAUGCUAUAACGUUCUGUUAUCUCAUUAGUCUUGUUGUCCAUAAAAAUCUUGACAUGCAUUUAAUAGUUGUGGUUACAACCUACAUUUACGGCUCACUUGAUAAUGAGAUAUACAUAAAAAUUACCAAGGGAUUUAAAAUGCCUGACGCACAUAAUUCAAAGUCCCGAAAAAUAUUUUCUAUCAAAUUGCAAAGAUCUUUGUAUGGUCUAAAGAAAUCAGGAAGAAUGUGGUAUAACCGCCUUAAUGAGUGUUUAUUAAAGGAAGGUUAUAUAAAUGAUGUCAUUUGUCCAUGUAUUUUUAUAAAAAAAAAAACAACGUCGGAGCUUGUUGUACUUGCUGUAUAUGUUGAUGACAUAAACCUUAUUGGAACUCCAAAAGAACUCCAAAAGGAAAUUGAUUAUUUAAAAAAGGAAUUCGAGAUGAAAGAUCUCGGAAAGACAAAAUUAUGUCUUGGUUUGCAAAUUGAACAUUUGGCAAACGGGACUUUUUGUUCAUCAAUCUGCCUACAUAAAAAAGGNNNNNNNNNNNNNNNNNNNNNNNNNNNNNNNNNNNNNNNNNNNNNNNNNNNNNNNNNNNNNNNNNNNNNNNNNNNNNNNNNNNNNNNNNNNNNNNNNNNNNNNNNNNNNNNNNNNNNNNNNNNNNNNNNNNNNNNNNNNNNNNNNNNNNNNNNNNNNNNNNNNNNNNNNNNNNNNNNNNNNNNNNNNNNNNNNNNNNNNNNNNNNNNNNNNNNNNNNNNNNNNNNNNNNNNNNNNNNNNNNNNNNNNNNNNNNNNNNNNNNNNNNNNNNNNNNNNNNNNNNNNNNNNNNNNNNNNNNNNNNNNNNNNNNNNNNNNNNNNNNNNNNNNNNNNNNNNNNNNNNNNNNNNNNNNNNNNNNNNNNNNNNNNNNNNNNNNNNNNNNNNNNNNNNNNNNNNNNNNNNNNNNNNNNNNNNNNNNNNNNNNNNNNNNNNNNNNNNNNNNNNNNNNNNNNNNNNNNNNNNNNNNNNNNNNNNNNNNNNNNNNNNNNNNNNNNNNNNNNNNNNNNNNNNNNNNNNNNNNNNNNNNNNNNNNNNNNNNNNNNNNNNNNNNNNNNNNNNNNNNNNNNNNNNNNNNNNNNNNNNNNNNNNNNNNNNNNNNNNNNNNNNNNNNNNNNNNNNNNNNNNNNNNNNNNNNNNNNNNNNNNNNNNNNNNNNNNNNNNNNNNNNNNNNNNNNNNNNNNNNNNNNNNNNNNNNNNNNNNNNNNNNNNNNNNNNNNNNNNNNNNNNNNNNNNNNNNNNNNNNNNNNNNNNNNNNNNNNNNNNNNNNNNNNNNNNNNNNNNNNNNNNNNNNNNNNNNNNNNNNNNNNNNNNNNNNNNNNNNNNNNNNNNNNNNNNNNNNNNNNNNNNNNNNNNNNNNNNNNNNNNNNNNNNNNNNNNNNNNNNNNNNNNNNNNNNNNNNNNNNNNNNNNNNNNNNNNNNNNNNNNNNNNNNNNNNNNNNNNNNNNNNNNNNNNNNNNNNNNNNNNNNNNNNNNNNNNNNNNNNNNNNNNNNNNNNNNNNNNNNNNNNNNNNNNNNNNNNNNNNNNNNNNNNNNNNNNNNNNNNNNNNNNNNNNNNNNNNAAAGUUUUAUCCCACUGGGUUUUCCUUGCAAGGUUUUUAAUGAGGCAACCAAAAAGCGUAUUUCUAAACAUGUGUACUCUUUUUCCUUCACUAGGAUUUUUUUUUCUAAUAAGGUUUUAACAAGGCACAUUAUCUAUGGACAUCCAAGGGGAAGGGUUAUAAGAAAUAUCAAAUUAUAGUGGAUGUCUACUCUUCCUUCAUGAGCUUCAUCUCAAAUGCUUAAUGACAUAUUUUCUAUGUUUAAUGACAUAUUUUAUUUACUUUGCAUGCUUAUAUAAAAGCCUUGUAAUAGAUAGAAAAAUACACACAAUUGAAGAAGAAAUAAUCUCUCAUCUCUUUCUCUCAAUAUCUCUUUGCUUGUUUUUCCUUAUUCUAUGUUGUUACUUUGAGCUAUAUUUCAUAAAAGAGAUGUCGUUCUUUGAGUAAUUAUAUGCAAUACGUAUCCAUUCAGAAUUGGGUAUGAAUUGUCCGUUAAUUGGAAGGUUAGAAACAUUAAAAAGAGUAACAACUAAGGCAAAUAUCUUCAAAAAAUAUAAUGGAAGGUUAAUAUACUUAAUAAAGUCUAAAGCAUACAGAGUCAACAAUCAAAUUCAGUGAAAUUCCAUAAGUGAAAUUUGUGAAAAGUAAUGUGUACGUAAACCUUAUUCUUACCCAGAUAAAGGUAAAAAUGCUACUUUCGAAAUGUCUAAAAAUAAAGUUUAUCCUGCUAUCUUUGUAUCGAGCUAACCUUAUCUAGAAAGAGGCAAAAAGUUUAACCAAGUGUGACGACCACAUUGCUCUUUCUCCCUCGUUAGCGCCUGGCGGGAAAUGAUAAGCUAAAAAACACCUCUUUUUGUUAGUGAAAUAGGCACACACCUAUACUCGAAUUCAUAAUUUCAAAUUUAGUGUGAAAAAAAACUUAUUCAUCUUAACAUCGCUUGAUGAUAGAAAUAAAUUGUACACCAGCAAAUGGGAUACAAUGAAUAGUACCCUCCAUUUUCUCCAAAUAAAGUUGGCGUUCUUUAUUGGCGGCUAACAUAUUCUAUUUUUCUAUUGAAUAUAAUAACAAUGGAAAAGAUAAUUACACUCUGCACGAAAUUUGCAAAUAUAGUACUCUAAAGAUCAGAGAGAUGUGCCUGUCUUGGAAUCAUUAUUUCUAUGCAAUAUAAAUUACUUAAAAUAUAUUCAAAGUAAAAGGUCCAGAGCAGUGUGACGGCCACGCGGCUCUUUCGUACAAUAGUAAUUUCCGAGAUGCCCCUUAAAGUAAAAAAAAUAUCCAAGUGGAUAACUUAAUCUUUGCUAUAAAUCUGAGCCUUGUUCUUGCUGUCUUUGUAUCAAUUUAGCUAACCAAUCUAGAAAGAGACAGCAGCUAUGGUGUCCGCUACUUCAAGUUUUCUACUUCUUGUUCUUGUUUCUUCUUCCUUCUUUGUAAUAGAAGCCCAGAUACCUGCUCCAGUGAAAGGUCUUUCAUGGUCAUUUUAUCAAACCAGUUGCCCUCAGCUUGAAUCCAUUAUUAGGAAGAGGCUUGAAAAACAGAUCAAAGAUGAUGUUGGCCAAGCUGCUGGCUUACUUCGCCUUCAUUUCCACGAUUGCUUUGUUCAGGUAAUUAAUAUUGAGAAUGGAGUUUAAGAAAAAAGAAGAUUUUUCCAACAAAUACUAAAGUACUCUAGAAUAUGCUAUGAUAUUUCAACACAGGAGCAUGUUCUUAAGAGUACUGUUGAAGAGUUUCUAGAUAUAAAAUGUGUCAUUCUUUUUAAUACAUAAAAAAAUAAUACAAGAGCGCAUUGAUUAUGUUACUUCAAAGUAGAUUAACUCUAGUAUUAAUUUUGAUGGAUAUGUAAUGCAGGGAUGUGAUGGUUCAGUGUUGCUAGAUGGAUCGGCAGGAGGGCCAAGUGAGCAAACUGCAAUUCCUAAUUUGACACUAAGAAAGAAGUCAUUCAAGAUAAUUGAUGAUCUUAGGAAAAGGGUUCACGAUGCCUGUGGGCAAGUUGUAUCUUGCUCUGACAUUACAGCCAUUGCUGCUAGGGACUCUGUUGUCUUGGUAAGACCAAAACUCCCAUUUAGUCCUUGUUUCUUGGUUUAGAUCGUACUAGUUUACUAGGCAGAAACUCUUCAUUUUCAUACCAAAACUAUAUGUUUUGAAAGAUCAUAAUAAGAUAUGGAGUUCAUUUACAGAAAAAGGUGAUUUUCUUUUUUCUGAAUUUGGGACAGGAUAAAGGUGAGAUAAUGACAGAUAAAAUUUUUAAAGACUGAAGGCGUCAUGAAUGAUAAAAUUUGGGACAGGAAAAAGUUGGUUUUUAUCAUUAAUUUCAAAGAACUCGCCCCCCCCCCCCCCGUCUUCAAAUUUAUACUUGUCAAAUCUCUCUCUCUCGUCUGUUUCAUAUCCAUUUUUUAAAAUUUUGACUUUUAUAUAUUGUCAUAAGCUAGACUUAUUGGAGUAUUUACUUGUGAGCUUAUGGUCAUUUCAGACUGGUGGACCCAACUACAAUGUACCCUUAGGAAGAAAGGACGGACUCAACUUUGCAACAGAACAGGCAACCUUAGACAACCUUGUUGCACCAUUUGCCAACACCACAGUCGUCCUCAGUCGCCUUGCAACUAAGGGUUUAGACGCCACCGACGCCGUCGCUCUAUCCGGGGCCCACACCAUCGGAAUCAGCCACUGCACUUCCUUCACCGACCGUCUCUUCCCUAACCAAGACCCAACCAUGGACCAAACAUUCGCUAACAACCUUAAAACCAGUUGUCCAACCGCGAACUCCAACAACACUGUCGACAUGGAUAUCCGAACCCCUAAUUUAUUUGACAACAAAUACUACGUUGAUCUCAUGAAUAGGCAAGGGCUUUUUACUUCUGAUCAAGAUUUGUUCACUGAUAGAAGGACUAGGGGAAUUGUCGAGAGCUUUGCUAAGAACCAGUCACUGUUUUUUGACAAGUUUGUGAUUGGUAUGAUUAAGAUGGGACAGUUGAACGUGGUGACCGGUGGAAAUGGUGAAAUCAGGACUAGGUGUGAUAGGAGGAACAAGGAUAAGAAGGUUGAUAUUGCUACCGUUGUUGAAGAUGUGGAGGAAACUUUCUCUGCUUUGUUUUAAGUUUAAUAAUCCUUUGUUUUAUCUCGGGGAUAAAAGAUUUUUAAUGCUUUUUUGUAAUAAUAACGAGUGUCUUAGCUAGCAUAAUAAUAACCUUUUGUUUGUUAAUGUAAUGUAAGAAUAUGUGUUUUGGAUCUUAUUUUUUCUUCUGAAAAAGUUUGCUAGCUCCAUGGCAUCAUAAUUAUGUAAGUAUUUAUUGUUUACCCGUAAAGCGGUAUAGUUGAUUUUAUACGUGUUUUCUAAACAAAUGAAUUUAUUUGAUCCUAAAAUAGUAAAAUCAUCGAAGAAUUAUUUAUGCAAUACUUAAGUCUUAAGAUAUAGACAAAAUAGCAUAAACAAUAGUUCCGGGAACAGAGUUUUCGGGCACAACAACAAUAAAAUAAAAAAGUAAUAAGAUAAGACUGUAUUGAGCUUUGUGUAGAAUGUAGCGUAAAUUUGCCAGAAAAUUCGUGUCCUUUACAAUGACAAGUGAGCUCACUAUUUAUGGCUUCUUCCUCAAAGUGUACCGGAUUUUCAAAGACCAAGAACAAGGCCGAUGACUCUGCUCCUCCAAUAGUGGGCUCCAUCAUCCCUAGAAGUCUUAUUACCACAAAAGACUUCGAAAAGAAAUUUUCUACUGCUAACUCUCGUACAUAGGUCGUCAGUGGGUACCCUUCUUCCAUACGUCCUUCUAGCAUUCCUGUUGUGAAGGAAGACUGUCACUGCCAUGACUUGGAAAUUAUUGCUCCUGAUCUAUCGGAGCGAGUCUCCCUACCGAAGGAGGGUUUUACAUAUUUUUACACGUAUCCCUUUACUUUGGGUGCGUCCUCUUUGAGCGGAGAGCUUGACUCCGUGAUUGUGGAGUUUUGCUUCCGCUACCAAGUGUGUUUGGCACAAGUAAGUCAUUCUGUGUGGAGGACGGUUGCUUGCCUUCGGCGUUUGUGCCAUGAGACUGGAGAAGAGCUAAUCUUAGCUCAUAUGAUGAAUCUCUAUUCUCCCAAAAUCUUCCGCGGGGGAAUGAUAAACCUCUAUAAACGUGUCCACCAUGAUUUGUUGUCUAGCAAACAAUGACCGUGGGUGGAUGGAACGGUUCGUUGCAGCUGCCACCAACGACAUCAUUCCGGCAAUGGCUCCAUCCUUUCCGGCCGCUUGGAAACACAUUCGUAAGCUCUUUGUUUAGUAUUUCCUUUUACUAAAUAUUUUUCUAUAGUCGUAUUGAUCCUCCAUCCUUCGCCUGGUUUAACAACUCGAUGGAUCCCACCGGUGGUUGAAGGUUUGGAAAUGUGGGUACAAAAGAUUAUGGACGUUACGAUGCCCGAGACUCGCUUGUGGAAAGAACUGCCCCCUAAAUACUGGUGGAAGGCCUAGAAUCGUGGUAAUUCAAACUCACCUUGUUUCAAUUUUUCAUGUGAAGAACUUGAUUGAUCCCUUCUAACCUGUCUAUGAAAUUAGGUCUACCCGCGAGCUAUGUUGAUAUUCCCGAGAAGAAUGUCUUGGCUGAUCCUGCCGAUGCCCCCGAGUCAUCUCCGGUAGUGAUGGUGACUGGCCCUCCUUCCGGGCCGCUCAUAGACACCGUGACGAUCGACGAUGAUGAAAAAGCUAGUGAUGAGGGAGCUUCUCUACAUAGAAGAUGACAAUCCUUAUCAUCUCAAUAGGAUGCUCGACCUGUUGAGAUAGUUACACCAACCGAGGACGAUGCCUCGGCACUUUGGGGAGAGUUUGAUUUGGUAUAUUAUGUCAACUCCCAUUUUCGGGCCCCAAUUGUUGUGCCCGGUACUGCUGGGCUGAGAAUCCAACAACCAGCACUACCUUUGAUGCAACUGCUUCUCACUCUUCAACUCCAUUAGCUUCAUCUCCAUCUUCACCAACACUACCAACUGCUACAUAACUUCCAUCUUCAUCCACUCUUCCACCAGCAAUUGCUACAACAUCUCCAUCGGCCGUACCUGACCAUCAAUAAGGUGUUCCUCUUCCACAAAACCCUGUUCAUGGGAAUUUAGGGCAAAAUUAUGCUGCCCCUUCUGAAGAUCCGCAAAGGAGGAGGAAUGUUACUCUUUCGGUCUCUACCGGAUGUAACUUGCUAUCCCGAUGAAUGGAGCUUGCUAAUUAUUUGAAGCCUUUGGCUUCAGAGAAAGACUAGGAAAAGAUUCUGGCACUCUUGGGAGAAUGUCUGUUGAACAACGCCAUGCACAAUGCUGCAGCAGUACAUUCCUUUCUUCCUUUAUUACUCCUUCUAUUUUUGGGUAUGAACAUAUCCUAAAUUUUACCCUUCUUAGUUUGUGGGGCAACUUUCUUGCUUUUGAGGGCCUUGAGAGGUUGAUUCGUGAAAAGGAAGAGAUUACCUCUGCAUGGGAUCAGCUUUUGGCAGAGCAGGAGCAACAUAUCGCUCGCCUUUCGGAACUGGAAGCCAAAGCUUCUGAGGUUGUUGUAUUGGAGGCUCGUUUGUGGCAAGGCGAGCAAGAAGUGGUAACCCUUAGCCAAGAAAUUGGCAUGCUGAGGGUUAGAUUUGACGAAGCCAAGGCCAAAUGGGCUGAAAUUCAUAACACAGUUCUUGUUGCAACCGAACAUGAGACUGCCUCCGCUGAAAUAGUGAUCAACUUAGAGGUAACCUUGAACUCAAAAAUUGAAGAGCUUCCUGCUACGGGGGCGAAACACGCCUAGCUGGAAGAGACGUACAGGAAAACUAUCGAGCAUAAUAGGCUUUUUAGUUCAACUGUACGUGACCUUGAUGUUAGCUUUAAAUCUGCUAUGUCCUCCCGGGAAAACCUUUCUAUCGAGGUAACCCAACUCAAAGAAGAACUUAACUGCGGAGCGAUUUCCCUCGACUUUGAGAAAACUUACGCUAUGUACAUCAUGAGAAGAAAAACCUUGGAAGAGGCCAAAGUUGGUGUCAUUAAUUUUGAUGCCGAAAUUGCUAAGGCCCGUGAGCUUAAGUUAGCUGCUAAAAGUGGACUCCCAGCGAGGUCUGAUGCACCUAGUCCUUCUGGUUCCAUUUUCGAGUUCUGGAGAACUGAAGAAGAAUCGGAGGAUGAUGAUACUAAAGGCCAAACUGGUGAAAAUGUUGAGCCAUCGGUGCGUCUGUCUACUUCUCCCGGGGGCGCGGACACUUCUCUUCCUCCUAGUUUCGGAGAUAAUACAGUUUAGCUUUUCUUUUCUUUUUCCAAUUCUUGUACCUGUGCCGUUUUAACUCUUUUUUUUUUAAAUAAAAGCAUCUUUUGCUCAAGUAUUGUUUGAGUCUUCAUUUUGUUUGAAUAUUCAUGCAAGUCUUUAAUAUUUGCAUUUUCUUCCUUUUGCUUAAGAAUUUUGCGCAAGCUUUUCUGUUUUGCGUCUUAUUAUACGAAGCCUUGGGUGUAUUCUCCCCGAAAGCAUUUUCGGCUUUGAGCAUCAACCCUUUUUUGUGAGGGCUUUGAUAAGUAUUUGCACAAGUUUACUUUUUGCGUCCUUUCGUAUGCGACUUCGGGUGUAUCUUUCAUCGAAUGCAUUUUGAUUUUGGGCAUAAAUCCUUCCGGAACCAACCGUUUAACGUGAGGGUUUUUAUAAGAGAGGGCCCUCUUAUGUUUACGACAUCUCUUGUUCAUUACGACACUAGCAUUUGAAGUAUUUGUUUAACUUUCAAAUGACAAAGUUAAUUCAUCGUUCAAACAAGAAACAAGAUAAAAACAAAAGCAUUUCAUUUUAUUCCUUCUAUUUUCAAAAAGUACAUAUGCAUUUGCUAUAUUGAAAAGAAAUUACCAUUACUUGUGGCUAACUUGUAUAACUUGUUUCUACGGGGCUGUCUGCGGAGUCCCCAGUCCCGAUGAUGCAAUUAUAUUUCCGUUUUUUUGUUUCCCAGUUGACAUGGCAGUCAUUAUUGCCGUAUCCUCAUAUUAUCCCCCCCCACGUAUUCAAAUGCGAAAAGUGCGAAUAGGAACACUGGAAGUCUUGUAUCUUCAAAUAUUCUACUAAUGCACCUCUAGUGGUUUGUGCUCGUGAACGAUCAGGUAACCUUUGCUCAAUAGCAAACUUAACUUCCCGGUGGGAAUUUUCUAUAGAGAAAAAGAUUAUCUAACUAUCCCCGAGUGGAUCCUUGUUUGUGUGCCUUGCUAUUAAAGGUCUUAUUGUUGUUGUCUUCGUAGUAUGCUUUCUGUUGCUGCCUCGUUAAAAACCUUGCCAGAAAAACCUAAUUGGGACAAAAACUGAACGAAGGGAAAAAGAGUGCAACACAUACUUUCUGAUUAGAUAAUGUUCAUCAGCAAUAAUAUCUUUUGAGGUGUGCCACGUUCCAAUUGCUGGGAAAUAUUUCUCCAUUUUGGUUUUUCAACUCGUAUGAACCUUUCCCAGUGAUAGCUGAAACCCGGUUGGGGCCUUCCCACAUUGGACCUAGCUUCCCCGCAUUGAGCUCAUGGGUGUUUUGAGUUACUUUCCUUAGGAUCAAGUCUCCUGCUUUCAAAUAAUAGAGGUUGGCUCUUUGAUUAUAAUACCGCUUCAUUCUCUGCUUUUGAGCUACCAUUCUUACAUACUCCAAGCCCCUGCAUUCAUCGAGCAGUUCCAAGUUGACUAACAUUGCUUCAUUGUUCGAUUCUCCAUCUGCUGGAAAUAUCUCAAGGUGGGUUUCACUACUUCCACCGGGAUUAAAGCUUUUGCAUCGUACACGGGGGAAAAUGGGUUUCUCCUGUGCUUGACUUGGUCCUAGUUCGGUAUGCCCAUAGAACUCUAGGUAAUUCCUCGGGCCAAUUACCCUUAGCCGCUUCCAAGCUUUUCUUGAGGUUUUGAAUAAUCAUUUUGUUUGUCGACUCUGUCUGUCCGUUUGCGCUCGGAUGAUAGGGUGAAGAUGUGAUCCUCUUUAUUUUUAAAUCUUGGAGGAACUUUGUAAUUCUUGCGCCGAUAAAAUGUGGUCCAUUGUCACAUGCUAUCUCUUUUAGAAUUCUGAACCUGCAAUUUAUAGUUUCCCACAAGAAAUCCACCACUUAGCAUUCUCCGAUCUUCUGAUAAGGACCUGCUUCCACCCAUUUAGAAAAAUAGUUAGUCAAAAUUAAUAGAAAUCUUACCUUUCCAGGAGCUGGUGGCAGUGGUCCGACGAUGUCCAUCCCCCAUUUCAUGAACGGCCACGGGGACAGAACCGAAUAUAAGGGUUCCGCCGGUUGAUGCACCAGUGGUGCGUAGUGUUGACACUUAUCAUAUUUUCGUACGAAGUAUUUGGCGUCUUGUUCCAUGCGAGGCCAAUAAUAUCCUGCCCUUACCGACUUCAACACUAAGGAAUUUGCGCCCGAGUGGUUUCCGUAUAUCCCUUUGUGAACCUCUCUCAUGACAUAGUUUGCUUCGGAUGCCCCUAAGCAUCAGGCCAGCGGGCCUUGGAAAGAGUUUCUAUACAAUUGGCCUCUCUUGAAGCUAUAUCGCGCUGCUUUGGUGCGCAUCGCUCGGGGUAGUUUGGGGUCUUCAGGUAGCUUCCAGUGUUUGAGAUAAUCGAUGAUUUCAUUCCUCCAGUCCCAGACCAGAUUAGUCGAAUUUACCUCAUAUUAACCAUCUGUAUCCAGGACUGAGUUCAUCAGUUAUGCUACCGUCCUGGACUCCGACCCUUUAUUUCCGUUAAUGAUCCUAGGUUUGCCAAUGCAUAUGCUUCUGCGUUAUCUUCCCUUGAAAUAUGAGUAAUUGACCAUUCCCGGAAUCACGCCAACAGAGCCUAAACCUUUACCACGUAUUGUUGCAUGCACUUCUCUUUGGUCUCGAAGAUCUCGUAGACCUGAUUUACCACCAGUUGUGAGUCGCAUUUGAUUUAGAUCACCUCAGAGUCAAGUCCCCGGGCCAAUUCGAACACUACAAUCAAAGCUUCAUACUCUGCUUCGUUGUUAGUUAAAUAGACCGUCUUGAUGGCUUGCCUUAGGGUUUCCCCCGAAGGCGUGAUUAAGACUAUACCGAGCCCGAACCGUUUUACGUUGGAAGCUUCGUCCGUAAAUAAGGUCCAAAUCCCUAAUGUCGAUUUUGACACCAUUACUGCCUCCUUGGUUUCCAGAGGCAAUAAUCCCGAACUGAAAUCGGCCACGAAGUCAGCCAAGACUUGCAACUUAAUUGUAGUCCUUGGUUUAUAUUCUAUGUCGAAUUCACUCAUUUAGAUGGCCUAUUUGGCCAAUCUACCCGAGAUCUCGGGUUUAUGGAGGAUGUUUCGCAAAGGAAAAGUAGUCACCACGGCUAUCGGGUGGCAUUGGAAGUAGGGCCUCAGUUUCCGAGCGGCGACUAUGAGAGUUAAGCCCAGUUUCUCCAAAUGUGGGUAACGCGUUUAUGCUCCCGUUAAAAUUUUACUAACAUAAUAAAUGAGAGAUUGCAUACCUUCAUUCUCUCGGACUAAAACCACACUUACCGCAACUGUCGAGACCGCGAGUUAAACCAAUAAUGUUUUACCUUCUUUUGAUUUUGAAAGCAAUGGAGGGCUUGAAAAGUAUUUCUUUAAAUCCUUCAAAGCCUGUUGGCACUCAGGGGUCCAUUCAAAAUUAUUUUUCUUUUUUAGCAGUGCGAAGAAAUGAUGACACUUUUCUGAUGACUAGGAAAUGAACCUGCUUAAAGCUGCCAAUCACUCUGUAAGCCUUUGGACUUCCUUCACGUUUGAUAGUUGAUCUAGAAUGUCUUCUAUGGCCUUGAUCUUAUCGGGGUUUACAUCAAUUCCCCUUUGUGAUAUGAGAAAUCCCAGAAACUUACUAGAGCUGACCCCGAACGCGUAUUUCUCUGGAUUAAACUUCAUAUUAUGCCUCCUUAGUAUGUUGAAAGUUUCUUACAGAUGUUUAAGAUGAUCACCUACAUUUAAAUACUUAACGAGCAUAUCGUCUAUAUAAACUUCCAUAGUUUUUCCUAUUUGAUUUUCAAACGUCUUGUUCACGAGUCGUUGAUAAGUGGAUCCGGAGUUUUUCAACCCGAAGGGCAUCACAUUGUAGCAAUAUAUACCGAAAAUCGUUAUAAAUAAAGUUUUUUCCUGAUACUCCUGGUUCAUCUUAAUUUGAUUGUACCCAGAAUAAGUAUCGAAAAAACUCAUUAACUCGUGCCCAGCCGUGGCAUCAAUCAUUUGAUCGAUGUUUGGCAGUGGGAACGAGUCUUUCUGGAACACCUUGUUAAGAUCUUUAUAAUCUACACACAUGCAAAACUUAUUGUUCUUCUUAGGAACUACUACUACAUUGGCUAGCUAGUCUGGAUAUCUUACCUCUCGGACCGAACCAAUAUUAAGUAAGCGAGUUACCUCUUCUUUGACGAAUUUAUUCCUGGCUUCGGCAAUCGAGCGUUUCUUUUGUCUUACCGGAGGUAUGUUGGGAUCUAAGCUUAACUUGUGUACGGCUACCUCUGUUGGGAUGCCUGUCAUAUCUUCAUGCGACCACACAAAAUAAUCGGUGCUAAAUUUAAGGAAUUUAAUAAAGUCAGACUUGAGUUUUGGGUCCAGUCCUAUCCUCAAGUGGAAUUUCCUUUCUAGGAAUUCUUCGAACAAUGCCACUUUCUCCAGCUCUUCCGCUGUGGAUUUGUUUGCAUCAGUCUCUUCUGGGACUUGGAAAUAUCUCGGCACCUGACAAUAUUCUGACGCCUCUGCCCCCGAGUUAACUUUAUCUAGUUUGGGAGUAGGUGUUGGUCCCUGUAAUUGCUAUGCUAAGUGUUCCUUUCCUUUGCUACUGGAGACCUAAAUUGCAUUCAUCUCCUUUGCCGCCGGUUGAUCACCCCUUGUAUGCUUAAUCCCUUCGGGCAUUGGAAACUUCAGCAAUUGAUGAUACAUUGAUGGUACAACUUUUAUCUCGUGCAACAAUGGCCUUCCCAGAUCCCAUAUCACCAUCUACUACUUUGGAAAAAGUUGUUUUCAUUACUCCUUCAGCGUUCGUGAGUAAUAAAAUUUCUCCCCAGGUUGUCACACUUGCGAGGUUGAAUCCGGCGAUGAGCUUUGUGGCCGGAAUAAUGCUUUCAGUGAGUUUAGCUUGCUCCAAUACUCUCCGUUGUAUAAUAUUAGCUGAACUUUCUGGAUCCAUUAGAACAUAUUUAAUCUUAAAAUCUAGCUCAUUUAAAGAAAUUACAGUGCGUCGUUAUAUGGUAGCAACAAUCUCUUUGCAUCCUCCUCCGUAAAAGUGAUAUCGUCUUCCCGAAGCCUUUUGCUAUGCGUUAUUGAUUCUUUCAUGUUCUUUGCUGCUGAAAAGGUGACCCCGUUAAUCUCGUUCCCUCUGAAUAUCAUGUUGAUUGUUUGACGCAGGGGAUCUUCUCAUGCUUUUGAGGGUUCCGCAUUGUCCCGGUUAUGACCAUAAUUGUUCUUAGCUCGGUCACUCAAGUAUUCUCCGAGGUGAUCAUUCUUCAAUAAUGUUGCCACUUCUUCCCGGAGGUGUCGAUAGUCUCCUGUCUGAUGGCCAUUCGUCCCGUGGUAUUCAUACCACAAGUUGGUAUCCCUCUGGCUGGGAUCAGAUCUCAUCGGUUUCGGGAACCAUUCUUCUUUGAUGUUUCUCAUGGACCACACCAACUCCACUGUACUGGCGUUGAAGUUGUAUUCCGAUAACUUUGGGUAAGAAGGAUACCGUGAUCCUGACACUUCUUUAUCCUGCAGUGAUCGAUUGUUCUGACCACGAGCAGUCCUCCUGUCAACGACGCAUCUAUCCGCUGUCCGGGAACCUCUGUUGCGACCUUCGGUCCGUUCGUAAGGCAAAAACUGGCCCCUCGAAGUCUUUCUGUCCGCGUCAUAAUCAUCCUUUGAUUUUUCUCUAUUCUUUUCUCAUCCUUUGGUCGACGAUGGAAAACCAACUUUAUCAUCUUUGAUCCUUAUUUUUGAUUCAUACCGGUUGUGGAAAUUCGCCCAGGUCGUUGCUUGAAACUCGAGUAGGCUUUCCUUCAAUUUUCGGGAAGUGUCUGAACUCCUCGGAUUCAAUCCCUUGUUGAAUUCUUCAGCCGCCCAUUCAUCUGGGAUAGCCGGGAGCAACAUUCUCUCUUUCUGGAAUCAGGUAACGAACUCUCGUAGAAGCUCGGACUCUCCUUGCGCAAUCAUGAAUAUGUCAGCCUUUCAGGCCUGUAUCUUUCUAGCCCCGACAUGAGCCUUGAUGAAAGAAUCUGCGGGCAUUUCAAAAGAGUCUAUGGAAUGCUCGGGUAACAGCGAAUACCACGUCAAGGCUCCCCUCGUGAGGGUUUCUCCAAAUUUCUUUAGCAACACAGAUUCAAUUUUGUGAGGAGCUAAAUCAUUUUUCUUUACCGUCAUUAUGUAGGUGGUAAUAUGCUCCUGGGGGUCUGCAAUUCCGUCAUACUUUGGCACUUCAGGCAUCUUGAACUGCUUCGAGAUUAACUAUGGUACCACACUUGACUUGUAUUAAAAUUGAGUAUACCUUUUCGAGUUCGGACCUUUCAGCACUGGUGGCACACCCGGGAUCUUAUCCAUGCGGGCGUUUACCUCCCUCAUAAACCGUAAAAGUUCACUCUUGAAAGGAUCAUUCUUGUUGUUGAGGCCAGAUCCGCUCCCCCUGCCUUAUCGGAGCCAAUUUCAUCCCUGGGAGUGUUGUUGUCGCCCCUCUGCGUUGUUUGAUUUACGGGGAUACCGGGAGCAAUCGGAUCUCGCAUGUUUGCAUUAUUUGAAGCUCUCGACAGCACCUAUUUCAACUUCGUCAUGACCUUAUUCUGUCGCGUGAAGUGGCCUAGAAUGAUCGCUUGUUGCUCUUGCAAGACCCUUACAACGUCAACGACAUGUUCCUCAUUAGCAUCAUCGGGAGUGGUCUCCCGAACAUAUCGAGGAUAUUGCUUAUCAUACACCGGUGUAGCGCCAUUUCCCUCAUUAUGGGUGUCACUAAUUGAGUCCUCAAAAUGAGGAUGAUCUACUCGAAUCUCGGGGUUGUGCAUGUCGUUAACAGUGUUAUAUGUCAUUUCUUAUGAUUUUUUCUAAGAUAAAAUAAUCAAAACACGUUCGUAAAAAGGCAAGGGUCAAUUUAAUUACACGGCUGUCUAUGCCCCACGGUGGGCGCCAAACUGUUUACCCGUAAAACGGUACAUUUAAAUUUAUACAUGGUUUCUAGACAGAUAAAUUAAUUUGAUACUGAAAUAGUAAAAUCAUCGAAGAAUUAUGAAAUACUUAGCAUUAGGAUAUAGACGAAACAGCAGAAGCAACACUUCCGGGAACAAGAUUUUCGAGUACAACAACAACGAAAUCAAAAAGUAAGAAGAUAAUACUAUAUUGAGCUUUGUAUAUAAUGUAGCAUACGUUUUUCAGAAAAUUCAUGUCCUUUACAAUGACAACUGAGCUCACUAUUUAUAGCUAUGAAGGAAGUCCUAGGAUCGUGCCCUUCUUUAAUGUCAAUUAUGAGGAAUAUUGGUGAAGAUGUAACGGUGAACAUAAAUGGUAAAUUCCCUGUAACGGGUAAUUGCUCUUAAUGCCGUGGAAUAUUCUCUAUUAAAUGCUACCGGGCGAAGAGCAUUUAUCACAUCUUUAUGAACGUUAUUCUUUUCGGUUACAAACAAAACAGUUGCCUUCGGUCUUUGGUCAUCCCCCGUCUUGGAUUCCACGUGUCUCUUUUUUGGACGGCCACGUGUCAUAACAUAUUUUACCCUAUACAUUUAUAUAUUCACUUUUACUGCAAAAGUAUAGCCACAAUGUGUCAUUAUUAACUAGAUGUGCGCAUGGCCGUGGGACUUUAAUUCUAGUAAUGUGGGGGUAUUAAUAUAUUUGUAAGUUACAACGUUAAUAGGUAAAUUUCACAAAUAGUCAUAUAACUAUGACCUUUUUUCAUCAAAGUCAUAUAACUUUAUUUUCUCACACAAAAGUCAUAUAUCUUUCACCAUCUUACUCAUUUUUUUAAUUUUUUAAUUCAAACUAAUAAAUUAUGAUACAAUUAAAAUAUGUCCGACCCGACCCGACCUAAUAUCCAUAUCCACAAAUUAAGGUAGAUCGUUUGAAUUUUCAACCAGAAAUUCUUUAAGGUAGCCUCAAAAUACGAUACUUCUCAUAAUUAUGCUUACCAACAAACUAUACAAUUUCAUGAAUGCAAAACAAUUAUCAUGCUAUUUUCUUUUCAGUUAUUCGGUUAUUCCUGGACCUCUCUCCUUAUGUAAGUAUCUUAUUUGUGAUAAUGGGUAGGUGCUUCAUAGAUCCAUGACUAUCCUGUCACAAUCUAUUUAAUUCUAAGGAAGUACCUAAUAGUAAAAAUCAUAAAGUAAAACAUUCCUCGAACUAAAAGAACUUUUAUGGAAAAAUAGAACUACUUUUGUAGGAGAACGAGCAACACUAUUGAACAAAAUAUUGCUUACUAAGCAAUACAACAAAUAAAAUAUGCGUCAACCAAAAGACAAAAGCAGACACAAUAUAUUGUGUCAUUUUAAGUGUAUGCCAUUUACAAAAGAUAAUUUUUUUUUUAGACAAACAUCCCUAUUUUGUCUUUUGAGAGUUUACACAUCUUCUUCACCACAACUUGCACAUAAUCUUGUAUAACGUUCUUCUUGACUUCCCUGCCUCUUUUUUAUACUUUCACAACUUCAGUGGCACCUUGCAUAAUUUUAUGACCAUGUACAGCUCUCCUGGCAACAUCUUGUUCAGCAACAUCCUAUAAAACAAUGCAACACCAUGAAAAAUUAAUAAAAGAUGUAUUUUACGUCUAUAGUUGAUUGAUUUCUUAAGAUGAGGUCCACAUCUAUCCUUUCUGCAUUUUGAGGUUGUUGAAUGAAACCUUGAAUAACCCACAUCUCUGGAUAAUAAGUGUCACGACCCAAACUCUGGUUUAGACCGUGAUGGCGCCCAGCACCCUUGCUAGGCAAGCCGACAGUGAACAAUCUAGUAAUUUUCAUUUUUAAUAAGUCAAACAGCUAACUUUCUUUAAAAAUUUAGAGAAUUUAGCAAAUAACGGAAUUUAAAGUGAACAAAAUGAAAACAGCUAAAUGAAAUCAUAAACGUAGAAAUACAACCUAAAAUCAUAAGUCUACUAGCUAGUGUAUGUCAAGACCCGGUGUCACAAGUAUAUGGGCUACUAGUAGAAUAUACAAAAGAAUUCUAAUCUACCGUCUAAAAUGGGAUAGACAAAACAAAUAAACAAAGAAAAAGACUCCGGCUGCUGCAGAACGACUCGAAAGGGUAGCUCACCGAGUAGUCUUAUAGCGGGGAUCAAAUAUGCGCAUCGGGCUGGUAAUCAGAUGUACUUGCCUCAGAUCCUGCACAAUCAAGUGCAGAAGUAUAGCGUGAGUACAUAAACAACAUGUACCCAGUAAGUAUCUAGUCUAACGUCGAAGAAGUAGUGAUGAUGGGUCGACUCUGACACUUACUAUGGGCCAACAAUAAUAUAUCAAAUAUAUACUAAGCAUGGAUUUCAUGAACAAUACUGAAAGCUCAAUAUCAGGAAAUAGUAAAUUCUUCUUUCGCAAGUAUUAAAUCCCAAGCUUAGUUUCAUUAUUUAACAGCUUGCAAUUCAAGGCAUUUUAAGUGUAAAUCAUGAAUAGUUCCAAAGUUUUUCAUGCGCAUAUCAUGCCAAGGUCGUACGGCCCGAUCCAACAUAAUAUUUAAACUGUGCACUGUCGAGGGUCAAACGGCACGAACCAUAGAUACAUCUAUCUACUAUCGAGGCGUUCGGCCCGCUCCAUAAAUAGAAAAUAUUUCAAAUAACACACAAGUUCUCAUUUAUAGUCAAGUGUUCCAUUCGCAAAUUUAAGUAAGUAACUUUAACCUUUUUCAAUUCUUUUAUCAACUCAAAUAUGCCUUAAGCAAUUAAAUCAACAAAUGAGAGUGCAAACAUUUCAAGUAUAGUAUGGUAUAGGUCCUAGACUACCCGGACAAUAGCAUAAUUAGUAGCUACAUACGGACUCUCGUCACCUCGUACAUACGGAGCCCUACACGUAGGAGCACAUUUUAGUUAUAAUUUACCUAUGGGGUUAAUUCCCUCUUAUAAGGUUAGAAAAGAGACUUACCUCGUCUCAAAGCCUACUUCCCAAUUCAAGAAUGCGCUCAAACCUUCAAAUUUGAUGCCAAACGACUCGAAACUAGUCAAACAUUUCAUAAAUCAAUCAAUCUAUGCUCAGAAGUUCAUAUUUUUAUUAUUAGAGUGAUUACCCAACCCAAAUUGCAAGAUCCCUAAAAUUCACCCCGGGGCCCACAUACCCGGAUUCCAGAAUUAUUUGAAGAAAGUUAUUACCCAUAAUCUUAGGAACAUAAAUAUAUGAUUUUCACUAAGUUUCAUAAUCAUUUUCAUGGUAAAAUCUAAUUUUUAUUAAACCCUUGAUUUUUCAUCUAAACCCAUGAUUUCUACCAAUUUUCAUAUUGAAAUCUACCCAUAAUCUAUGUAUUAAACUCACAUUAAGGUAGGAAUUACUUACCCUCAAUAGCUAGGUUGAAGUCUCCCUUUUUGAAGCUCUAAAAUCUCCCAAAUGUGUGAAGAAUGGGAGAAAAAUGCCUAAGUCCCGUAUUAAAUGAAGUUCACUGUCUUCAGCAAUUUUCGCACCUGCGGUCAUAGGGCUGCACCUGUGCCCUCGCUUCUGCGGACAAAAGUCCGCUUCAGUGAAACUCCCCUGGACCGGCUGGCGUCACUUCUGCGGAUGGGUAUCCGCUUCAACGGAGGAUGGGCUGCCCUUCCUUGGCCGCUUCUGCGAGGUUUGGCUCGCACCUGCGGCUGGCCAAGCGCAGGUGCGAUUAUGAUAGACCUGAUGCUUCAGCUAUUGCUCCAAAUUCUCAUCUUGGUCUGAGCCUCGUCCGAUUGACACUUGGGGCCCCCGGUUCCCCGCGCAAACGUACCAACAAGUUUGGAAUCAUAAAACGGACUCUCUCGAAUUCUCGGAACACCCGAAACAACAUCAAAACUAAGAAUCGCACCCCAAAACCAAUUGAAUCAAACUUAAGAACUUCAAGUUCUUCAAUUUACUCCCAAUGCACUGAAACGUACUUAAACUACACGGAAUGACACUAAAUUUUGCGUACAAGUCUUAAAUGACAUUACAGAACUAUUCCCGAUCUUAGAAUUCCGUUUGACGUUGAUAUAGCCAAAACCCGCUCCAAACCAAAUUUAAAGAACUUCAAGAUUCUUCAAGAACCAACUUUCACUAUUAGGCGCCAAAACGCUACAAGGUCAUCCAAAAUCUGAUUCUAACAUACUCCCAAGUCUAAAAUAUCAUACGAACCUAUUGGAACCGUCAAAUACUAAUUCGAGGUCGUUUACUCAAAAUGUUGACCGAAGUCAAACUUGGCCUUUUUAGCCAACCUUUAGGAAUCAAGUGUUCUGAUUUCAACCCGAAUCCUUCCAAAUCACGAACCAACCAUCCCCGCAAGUCAUAUACUAAUGAAAGCACAUACAAAAAGUCUUAUUUGGGGGAACGAGAUUCUAGAAAGUAAAACGACCGGUCGGGUCAUUACAAUAAGUAUUUGACUAGCCCAAAAGGUAAGAUCUACUUACACAAUAGACAUGGGAAAGCCUUUUAUUUUCUCUCUCAGUGCAUGUUAGGUGACCUAGCUUGUAACACCCUGAAAACGUUUGAAGUGUUUUAAGACUAUUAAGAAGAUUGGUGGGUGCCAAUUAUAUUAAUUCGAGUAUGAACAAGACUAAUAAUAUGAAUGAUAUCAAUUGAUCAUGAUAAUAUAUGUAUGAGGUUCAUUUAGAAUGGUUUAUGAUCCAAGCAGAGCCCUAAGGCUAAGUCAAGUUGUAAAUUAUAUAAUGGAGUAAAGUUUCAAGUGAGUUCGCACAAGACAUAACUUCAAACGAGCAUAAAUCUCAUGAUAUGAAGAGUUAUAUGGUUUAUCACAUAUCUAAUUAAAGGUCUAUGUGUCUAGUUUCUAAUACUUCAAACCGUUCAUCAUUUGGAGGGUUUUACAAGGAGUUAUGACAUUUUUACCAAAGGAUAGUAGAACAGCUAUGUGAGUCUUGCGUAGCUUACACACCAUGCGUAGGCAAAUCCAACAGGUGCUAAUAGAAGAGGAAUGGUCGGACAUCCUCUGUAACCUUUGUGCGUAGCCUACGCAUCCAUCAGACUCAUUUUUAAAAUGUAGAAAUAAGGGUUUUGAGAGAGAAAGUGUUAGUUCUUCAACUUGGAAUUGAUUUCUAGAGAGAACGGGAAGCUCUUCCACCAUGGAUACACUUCAAGGUAUGUUAUUUUGGUACAAAGAUGAUUAUAUUACAUCAUUUAGUAAUAACACUAAUACUAUUAUGGAUCAAAUCCAUAGAAAAUGGGUUGAAUCUUCAAGAACAUCAAAAAGAGGAAAAGUGAGAUUCUUCCACCAAGAGGUAAUCCCUUCACUUGAGCUUCAUAUAUAUGUCAUAUUGGAGUAUGGGUAGCAUAUUUAUGAGUUUUAUUUGAAGUUGUAAUGGGAUAUUAAAUGAACCCUAUAAGGGUGGGCCUUGAAAAUGAUAUUUUGGGUAAAAAAGAAGAUGAAAGUGAUGAAUUGAUAUAAAUGAAAUUGCUUUGAGUUUCUAAUGAUUCCAAUAGACUUGAUAACUUAAUUGAUGAACGAAUUGAAUAGGAAAUCACCAUUUGGACAAGAUGCAACACUAGUUCUUGAAAUGGGUGUUCUUGAACCUAGAGUUUUGUUGGAGAAGACAAUGAAUAGUGACUUGAUGAUAUUGGAUAAUUAACAUAGUGUUAUUAAAGACUCUAAAUGAGUAUUAAAUGAUAAGAAUGGAAUUGAAUAGGCUAAUGAGUGAGCCUAUUGGAUAAUUUGGGAUGGUUGUAGGCUUGUUGCUGAAUUGUGAAGCUUAAAAGAAUAUUUAUAAAUUUUUUUGUAUUUGUAUUGAUGUAUUUAUGAUAUCUAAUGGUAGAUACUGAAUUGUGAGCGAUAUUUGAUUAUUUUAAUUAAUUGGAGCAUUGUAGUAGUUUUGGAGCUUGAAGGUUGAGGUAAGUUGAUUAAGACUUACUCUUCUUGAGGAAUUCUCUUUAAAGCAUGUAUUAAGUUGAUCUAUUGUAUUAUUUGUAAAUGUGCAUUCGUACUUGUGGAGACAUGCGAGAAAGAUGUCACAAUGUGUUUCUAAAUUAUUGCUUAUGAAGUGUCAUGCAAUUUUAUAAAAGUCUUAUUUUUAAAACUUGGUUGCAAAAUGACACUUAAGGAAAUUCUUAUAAGUUUUAUUAAAACUUAUUUGUUGAUAAGAGUAUAAAAUGCUUGAGUGCUAAAUAUAUGUUUUCAUGAAAAAAGUUUAUCUUUUGAAAUUACAACAAAGGAAGCACUUGUUGUAUUUUUAGAUUGAUGUUAUUUGGUAAAGGCUUUAACAUGAAAAAGGAUAUUCAUUUGAUUUUGUUCAAAUAGUUUAGAUUGUCUAUGAAAAUCAUGAUUCGAUAAAAAUAGAUCCUUUGAGGUAAUUAUGCUAUGAAUCUAUUUUUGAUAUGUCAAAUAUUUUGGGAGUUACUAGCGGAGACCACCGAGAUUGGUUCGAAUGUUGAGUUCGUUACCAUGAAACUACACGUGCCGGUGUAGGGACACAUUCCAAGGCAAAGCCGAGGUUUGUGGGAUAAAGUCCCCCAUUGAGAGGGAAGAUGAUCAUUACUUAAAGUAAUGAGGUUAAGUCGACUCGUACGGCACUACGGGAAGCCGCCCAGACAAGUAGGGUCAAAUACUUGUUGCUAGGAUGAUCACCUAGUAGUUGUUCAUUAUGUCAGUGUCAGUAUAGUACUCCCGGUGAAAGAAAAAAGAGAACUUUCUUAUGUUUAGGCCUAAGGAGUCGAAAAUAAUUUCGAUGACUUAAUGAGAUUGAAAUGGUUUUAUAUGAUUUCUAUGAAAAUCUUGGGUUGAUAGAGAUGUUCUAAAAUUUUAUAGCAUGGCUUAAAUUUCACUUGUCUUUUAUUUAAAAUGAUAAGAGCAUGAUUUAUAUAAUUGUUUAUCACUUUAUGUCCAAUAUUGGUUGCAUAGUUUUUUAAAAUCUUGUCCCAGGAACUUGAGUUAAAGAGAGUCUAUGUCAAUUAUUGAGUACCGAUGUGGUGUACUCAACCCUUAGAGGCCCAUCUCCAGGGCUCCACUUAUUUUACAUGUUUCAAAAUGAGGUAUGAUAUGUGGCAUGCGGUCAGGGCUAGGAUGACUCUCUUCCUGAGGUAUAUGGUGAGGCACCGCUCCUAUUUUAUGGUAGCUAUCAUGUUGUUUUCUUAAUUUAUACUAGUCGGGUAUUAGCCCUAUUGUUUAAUUCUAUUCUUUGGUAUAAACGCUUCAUAGAUAGUUGUGAAACGUUGUAGUAAUGGCAUUGUACAUGACGAACAUGAAAAGAUACUUAUUUUACUUAGUCUCAUUGUAAUAAUUAUUAGAAGCUUCAUGUAUAUUUGAAUUGGAAAAAUAUUCCAUUGUUUAACUUGAAAAUAUAUAAAAUUUUCAAAGAGCUUCCGCAGUUAAAUUAGUUUUCAUGCAUAUGGUUUGGGUGCAUCAUAUUGGUUGGUUCGCUCGAGUCGGAUAGUAUGCCGGGUGCUGGUCACGUGGAUUUGGGUCGUGACAUAACUAACUUGCGCCUUCGCUAGAAAUGGGAGGAAGAGGAAAAGCGAAGAAAAACACUAGUGGUAGAAAGGAAACUAACAGACAUUACCAUGCGAGAACAAGGAAAACGAACAGCAAAAGCAAAAGACAAAAUGCAAGAGGAAGAUCAGGAUCACGAAAUUGACAGUGACCUAAAUUGGCCAGAUCUGGGUAGUGCUCGAGCUAAAUUGGAAACGCCGGUGAGCUCAGGAACUCAAUUGAUACCUGUGGCGAGCUCUGGAGCUAAAGGACCAAUUAUAGUGCCGAUCACAAUUGGUGAUGCGAGUACGAGCAAGUUACAAAGAAAUAGAACAGUACAUGUAAGCUCGCCAAAGGAACAGAGGCCUGCAGAGAUUGACAAUAGGAAAAACACUCAGGAGAAGAAACCAGAGUAGGCUGGAGAUGGGGGAAGAUGGCGGGCAGGGUUGUUCCAGGAGAACAAACUCGCAGCUAAGGGUAUGAAUCUAACAUACAUUCCCCCCCGGGUGAUGUAGGACGGGGAAAUCAUAGUACAACUACUAAAAGUGGACAUUGCAGAAGAAAACCAGAAGUGGAAUCGAGCGAUGAUCAUGUAUGUGAUGGGUAAUACUCCAACUAUUGGAGCAAUUGAACGCUUCAUAGCUAACCAGUAGAGUAAUGUGAAAAAACCUAAGGUACUCUUCCAGAAUGAUGGAUAUUUCAUAAUUUUGUUGAAUAGUAGUGAAGAGAGGGAUGAAGUACUGCUGAAUCGUACUUAUACUAUCAAUAGUAGGCCAAUCUUAAUUAGUCCAUGGAUGGCAAGAUUUUAAUGAAAAAGAUCUGAAAACCAUUCCUCUAUAGGUCAAGUUCCCUAAGCUGCCGCUCAACUACUGGAGCAAACUAGCCCUAAAAAAAAUUGGGAGUAGUUUAGGCAAGACCCUGUAUGCUGAUGUGUGUACUACAAUGGCUGAUAGAGUUUUCUAUGCUAUGGUCUUGAUUGAAAUGGACAUCAUUAGGCCCCUACCAGAGAAAUCAAACUACAUGAUCCUAAAGGCAAGGUGAUCGAGCAGAUGGUGCAAUUUGACUGGAAAUCUCAGUACUGCCAGACCUGUUGUCAACUAGGUUACUCGUGUAGAGAUUAAAAAAAAGCAGAAGCAAGAGGGUGGACAUCAGAGAGGUCUAGAAUUGAAGCAAAACCAGGAAUGGAGAAUAGUGAGGGAGUUUGACCCUAAUAUGGACAAAAUUGAUGCUCAAGGCAUGUUCCUUAAUCAAUUGGAGUCAGCAGGAGAGGCGCAACCCAAUAGGGGUGGGCAUAAUAUCGACCGAAUCGAAAAAACUGGCUGAACCAAAAAUUUUGUUUUAUUCUAUUUUUAUUUUUCGGUUUAUUCGGUCAGUUUGCGGUUUAUAGUUUUAAAACGUUUGGUGUUCGGUUCGGUGAUCGGUUUUAAUGGUUCGAUUUUCAGUUAAACCGAAAAAUCAAUUUUUUUAAUCAGUUUUUUUACUCUUAGUCCCUUAUCGUGUUGCUCUUUCUUAGCCUUAAAGCCCAAAACUCAUUCUCAACCUAUAGAAGCCCAAUCCAUUGGAUAUUCUAACACAAACACAACUCCAUUUAUAUAUCCGUCCACUUCUGAAUUCUCCUUGCUUAUUUCUUUCUUCCAUCCAAAAAGUACUUAAUAUGUUUGUUUGAAGCACUAAAUUGAAAAAAGAUAGAAAAUAUUAAAGAUAAUUAAUUCAUACUAUUGAAGUUGCUGACUUACUGUUAUAGUAAUUUGAUUGGAUCUCCACUCUAUACAUUAGUUAGAUAUAAGAUUUUAAUUUUUUUUCCUUCUCUUGUUUUCCCUUCUCUUCACUUAUUCACGGCCUCAUCCAUAAUUCAAAAACUUUUAAGAAAAAAGAAACUAAAAAUAAAUCAAAAGGAAGAGAGUAAAGGAAAAGACAAAAAAAAAAGAAGGAAGAACAUUCAUAAAGCAUUGUAUCAGUUGUUGAUUUAUAAUAUUACUUCAUGAAUGAAGUAUAUAUAUCACCGCAAACUUUUAAAUUCUAUAUAUGGACAAACAUAAAUAAAGUUUACUUUAUAUUGGAUCAUCCAUAAUAAAUAAAAUUAAUUAGUAACUCAAAAAAAUAAAUCAUGUCUCAAGCUCUUUAGUUAAGUUGGGCUUCCAUAACUCUUGCAUAAAUACUCUUAUCUUUUUAGUGUAUUUGAUGGUAUUUCUUAUUUCUUUUGUUAUUUACUGUCAACAAGUAAUCUAUUUUCGUUGUUUUGUACUAUUUUUGUCAUGGUUUGAAAUCGAAAAACCAAACCGAACAUGAAUAAACCGAACUGAACUGAAGUUAUUAUGGUUCGAUUUUGGUUAUUAAAAUCACAAACUGAAAACCAAAUAAACCGAACCGAAAUUCUAUAAAACCGAACCGAACCAACUGAUUCCCACCCCUAUAAUCCAACCAGCAGGGAAAUGACUCACAAUGGCAACUUGCUAGAGAAAAGUCUGUAUCAAAGAAGAAUAUAGGACCCAUAAGAGAGAAUGAAGUAGGCAUUGGCAAUGCCUUCAAAGCACUGGUUGACACAACACAGAAGAUAGUGCAACUAUCUGAAUCUCAAGGUACAAAAGGGCAACAGAGUAGAAGUAAUAGAGGAGGAGGCCCACAACAAACAACCAUAUUAUGAUGAUCAUCAUAGCAUAGAAUGUUAGGGGGUUGAAUAAAGUCUAUACACAAAAAGAACUAAAAAAUUACAAGGAGAAUAAAGUGGUGAUUUUUGAUGUUAUAGAGAAUAGAGUAAAGGAAAUCAAUGCAGGUUCAAUAUUGAAGAAGAUACUUAACAGCUGGUAAUGGGCAGGAAAUUAUGAUGAAGUAUCAAGUGGUAGAAUAUGAGUUGUAUGGGAUCAAUCACAUGUGGAGUUCUCUGUGAUCAGAAUAUAUGAACAAUAUAUAAUGGGGCAUGUUACCAUGAUCCAGCACAGAAUCAAUUUCAAUUUAUGUGUUGUCAAUGGAAUGUAUAUUAUACAAGACAGGAAAAGCCUAUGGGAUGAUUUAAAGGUGACUAUGAAUGGAGUCAGUGGCCCUAGCUUAAUAAUGGGUGAUUUUAAUACUAUCAUAUCUAAGUAAGGAUAAGGUACAUGGAAAUCCAGUCCAGGAGAUAGAGGUAAGGGACUUCAAGAACUUCAUACUUGACACAAGACUAGAUGAACUUAAAAUAGUUGGAUGAAAGUUCACCUGGACAAACAACCAUAUCUAUAGUAAAAUUGAGAGAAUACUGGUAAAUGCAGAAUGGAUACAGAACUGGCCUUACAUAGAGUGGGCCUAGCUUCUCUGAUCAUUGUCCUUUGAGUGUGUUUUUUUAUGGUACUAACCAAGAAGGUAGGGGACCUUUUCAAGUUUCUCAAUUGUUUGGAAAGCCUCAAUGAUUUUGAUGCAAAAGUAAAGCAAUGCUGGAAAACUAGUAAUAGGGGACCUGCCAUGCUUAAUGUGUGGAAUAAGCUCAAAGUGCUAAAAGGAGCCCUAAAGUAACUGAAUAAACAAGAGUUCGGUGGUAUUGGGUAUAAGAUUCAAGUGGAAAGGAACAAACUGGAAGGCAUCCAAGCUCAGAUGACUAUGCCAGGACAUGACACUGAGGCAAUACUACAAGAGAAGGCUGCAAAGCUAGAACUAGAAAAAUGGCUGAUGGUUGAGGAGAGUGUCUUGAAGCAAAAGUCAAGAAUUCAAUGGCUUAACUAGGUGAUUAUAACACAGUAUACUUCCAUGCUUGCAUGAAAAAUAGGCAAGCAAAGAAUCAUAUUGGCAAGCUGACUAACAGUGCUGAGCAAAUCCUUCAAAGUGAAACUGAAAUUGAGGAGGAAAUAUUUAGUUUCUACAAAAGACUACUUGGUACUGCUGCUCCACAACUGCCAGUAGUUAUCCCAGAUAUCAUGCAUAAUGGUUAUACUUUAACUAGGAAUCAACAACUAUAGCUUAUCAAACCAGUUACUAAAGAGGAAGUAAAGCAAGCUAUAAUGGAUAUUGAUGAUAAUAAAGCACCAAGAUGUGAUGGUUAUAAUUCAUUCUUUUUUUUAAAAAGACAUGACACAUCUUGGGUGAUGAAGUUACUGCAGCAGUAAUGGAGUUCUUUAAAACUGCUGAUAUGUGCAAAGCCAUCAAUUGCACCACUAUUACCUUGAUACCAAAAGUUAAGAACCUAACUAACAUCAAGGAGUUCAGGCCAAGUUCCUGCUGCAUAAUGCUUUACAAGAUCAUAUCUGAAGUUCUAACAGCAAGGCUACAUGAUGUUAUAGCAGAUUUAAUAGAUAAUUGCCAAAUAGACUUUGUACCAGGUAGACUGAUCACUGAUAAUAUCAUCAUGAGCCAUGAGCUGAUGAAAGGCUAUGAGAGGAAGAACAUCUCCUCAAGUUGUAUGCUCAAAAUAGAUAUACAGAAGGCCUAUAAUUCUGUUGAAUGGGUGUACAUUGAACAAGCGAUGAAGGUGUUGGGAUUCCCUGAAUUGUUUGUGAAAUGGAUAAUGGCCUAUAUCUGCACAAUGUCUUACUCAGCAAUAAUCAAUGGUAAGCUUGUUAUGCCAUUUGAGGCAAGGAAAGGGCUGAGACAGGGUGAUCCCCUAUCCUCAUUCCUAUUUGUAAUGGCCAUGGAGUACCUAAGUAGACUAAUGAAGCCACUGAAGGACAACAAGAAGUUUAAGUUUCAUCCAAAGUGUGCCAAAGUCAACCUAGUUUAACUGGGGUUUGCUGAUGAUCUACUUCUUUUCUGUAGAGGGGACUUAAAAUCAGUGAAGAUACUCGAUUAAUACUUUUAAAUAUUUUCUACAGCCUCAGGCCUAAUUGCACAUCCAAACAAAAGUUGUAUUUACUUUGGUGGAGUGAGCAACAUGACUCAACAACAUAUUAUGGACAUGCUAGGAUACUCUAAAGGUGAACUACCCUUUAGAUACCUUGUAUCUUACUGAGCACUAAGAGGUUAUUAGUUAUUCAAUGUGAACCUGUAAUUGACAGAUUGUUAAGUAGGAUUCAAAGCUGGACAACAAAAUUUCUAUCAUAUGCUGGAAGAGCAAUGUUAGUAAAGAGUGUUAUAUUUGCUAUACAGACAUUCUAGGAUCAGAUAUUCAUUUUGCCAAGGAAAAUCAUUCAGUUUAUAGAAUUAAUUUGCAGGAGAUUCUUAUGGACAUGAGUUGUUGAACCUACUAAAAGGCAUUGAUUGCCUGGGACAAACUGUGUUCCCCAAAGGUAGCAGAGGGCCUUAAUAUCACCAAUGUGGAGUUAUGAAACAAAGAAGCUAUUUGCAAGCUCUUAUGGAAUAUUUGCACAAAGAAGGAGAAACUGUGGGUACAAUGGAUUCAUUCAGACUACAUAAAAGGAAACACUAUCUGGAAUACAGAGCCCAAGAGUGCAUCAUGGAUCAUCCAAAAGAUAUUCAAGGCAAAAAACUACUUCGAGGCUGCUGGAUUUACAGAAGAGGAUGUACAUCAUAUGGAGAGAUUUCUCUAUGAGACUGUUAAGUCUCGAUCAAGGACAUAAGGUCUUGAACAACUUCGUAUUAUGUGUAUUGAUUUGCGUGCGUGGUGGAAUUCAGUUAUCGGAUGAUUCAGAGUCAAAUUGGAAGAAGGAUGCAAGUUUUAGAAGCUUAAGGCUUAGGAUUUUGACCGUAGUUGGAGUUGUGUUAAGACAACUCCGGAAUGGAGUUACAGUGACUCCAUUAGCUCCGUUGGGUAAUUUUGGACUUAGGAGCGUGUCCGACCUGUGAAUUUGAGGUUUGCAGCUGAUUUAGGCUUGAAAUGGUGAAAGUUAAAUUUUUGGCGAUUUUGACCGGUAGUGGACUUUCUGAUAUCGGGGUUAGAUUCUAAUUUCAGAUAUUGGAGUAGGUCUGUAAUAUUGAAUAUGACUUUUGUGCAAAAUUUGGGGUCAAUCAGACAUGGUUUGAUCAGUUUCGGCAUUGGUUGUAGAAAUUUAAUAUUUCAUCGGAGGAUGAUUCGUGAUUUUAGAAUUGUUUGAUGUGGUUUGAGGGCUCGACUAAGUUCGUAUGAUAUUUUAGGAUUGGUUGAUAUAUUUGAUUGAGGUCCCAGGGGCCUCGGGUAUGUUUCGGAUGCUUAACGGAGGAAAUAUUGGACUUAGGAAAUUUCUAAAGUUUGCUGGUUUCUGGUGUUUCGCACCCGCGGUGGGGGAACCGCAGGUGCGGGGCUGCACAUGCGGAUGAUUAAGCGCAAGAGAAUUUGGAGGGAGUGGUCUGGGGCCGCAGGUACGAGGUGAGUUCCGCAUCUACGAUGGAAUUUCCACAGGUGCGGAACCGUAGAUGCGGUUGAAGGCCCGCAAAAGCGGUUUGACGUGAAGAAAAAGGGCUAAGUGCGAGGGUUUGAUUUCAUUAUUCUUUUUUGGACUUGAGAGCUCGGAAUUUGGCAAUUUUUCGAGGGAUUUUCAGAGGAAGCUUUGGGAUUUGGGCCAUUCGAAGUCAGAUAUUCGUGGAAAGGCCUUGUUAGUGAUUGAUUGAGCUUGGUUCGAGGUAAGUAUCUUGCUUGACUUUGUGUGGGGGAACUACCCCUUAGGAAUUGAGUCUUUUAUGCUAAUUGUAGUCCGAGUACGCGAGGUGACGAGUACGUGCUCGGACGUAUUUGUGGAAAAUUUUCCUUUUAGGGUUCUUAGGUCCUUGUAUUCACUGAAUAUGCAGUUAUUCCCGUUAUGAUUACGUUUCUAAAGUACUAGUUUCACUUCUACCUUCUUUUAUUAGAAUUAAUUGCUUCAUGAUCCACUCUUGUUGUUCAUUUGAUUCAUAUGUGCCUAAACUGAAAUUGUUAUCUCUUCUAUUGCCAUGUUGCAUUUUCCCUAACUGCUUAUCUUUAUUUGAAGUUGUAGUUAUCCCGUUUGUAAAUCUUCACCCUUAAUUGAGGUUAUGAUUAUCUUUUCGCCGCCUACCUUUAUUUGAAGUUGACUUGCCCUUAUUUGGAAUUAUUUGACUCUUGCUAGUUUUCUUGUUGUUGAACCGUAUAUUGUGGGAUCAUUGUUACAUAUUAUUUUCGUCCCUGUUGAGCUAUUCUUAUUACACCUAGUAUUCUUUAUUAUGGCUAUUCCUUGCGAACUAGUUUUACCGUUUCUUGAAAUCGAAGGUUCUUGAGUUGAUUUAUUUGUCGUACCCUCGUAUUAGUGUUAUUGUUGUUGUUGUACUUGUUGUUCUUGNNNNNNNNNNNNNNNNNNNNNNNNNAGCUGGUAUGAACUAUGUUAGGACACUUGCACAAGCAUACACGUAGUUAAGUCACUCUUUCGGUAUAAGAGGUUUCCUUGAUAUUGUUGAGUAUAGAUGCACACCCUCGCUUACUUGCCUUCUAUGUGAGAAUGGCUCUAUUUGGCACGCGAGUCGUUAGUGCGGUCAUGAUGUGUAACAAGGGCACAUGAUGCCAAGUGUUAGGGUUCAGGUAUUGAGACCCGUGAUUUGUGAUUUGUCCGAGGUUCGGAACCUCGUGGAGUUUAUUGACUAAAACCCGGUGUGAAAGCUGUCGUAUUGUUGAGUUGUUACUCGUCCUUUCUUUAUAUGUGAUUAUCGAACUUAGGUUGUGUUUCCGUUCAUUCUUCUAUGUCAUUAUUAUGAGUUUCCGUUGAUAGUUGUUAUUUUCCUUCCUUAUUGAAAUUAUCAUAUUAAUUACCAUAUCGCGUAGUCUUUAUGCAGAUUUCAUACUCUGUUAUUUCUAUACUUAUACUUGUUCAGGUUAUUUAGUCCAGUAAGUGUCUUGACUGUUCCUCGUCACUACUCCACUGAGGUUAGUCUUGAUACUUGCUGGGUACCGCCGUGGUAUACGCAUACUAUACUUCUGCAUAUUUUUGUGCAGAUCCAGGUAUUUUGAAGUCAGUUGAUCAUUAGCUAGCUGUGCGGACUGUUGCUAUGGAGAAUCAAGGUAAACCUGCUGCUGCGUUCACAGGCUUCGGAGUCACCUUCCUAUUUUGUAUUCACAUUGUUUUACCUAUUUCCAAACAAUUGUAUAUAGAAAUUUGUAGCAAUCUUUGUAGAGCUUAUGACUUGUACUACCGGUUUUGGGAAUUGUAAAUUUUUUUACAAAGAACUCCAUUUCAAGUUGUUAGAUGUUAUUUAUUAUGGUUGUUAUUCAGUAAAUGUUAGGCUUACCUAGUCCCUAAGACUAGGUGCCAUCACGAUAUCCAACGGAGGGAAAAUUGGAUCGUGACAAGUUGGUAUCAGAGCUCUAGUUUCAUAGGUGCUAUGAGUCAUAAGCGAGUUUAGUAGAGUCUGGCGGAUCGGUACGGACAUGUCUGUACUUAUCUUCGAGAGGCUACGGAACUAAUAGGACUGUUUCACUUCCUUCAUUCCUAGCGUGCGAGUUCAUUGAUCUCGAAGUUUGAACUUUUAUCAUUCCAUUCUCUCACAGAUGGUGAGGACACGAGCUGCAGUCAUUGAUGACAUUACCCCCGGAACAGAUAUCGCUAGGGGCAGAGGCCAACGAGGAGCACGUACCGCAGCUAGGGCACCUACCAGAGCAGCAGUUGAGGAGCCGCCAGUAGUUCCAGUUAGGGGGGAGGGGCAGGUACCGGAGGCGUCUUCUGUUACCCCCAGACUUCAGGAGACCUUAGCAUAGUUCCUGAGCAUGUUUGGUACAUUGGCUCAGGCGGGGUUGAUUCCGGUUGCACCAACUACUUCACAGACCGGGGGAGGAACUCAGACUCCCGCUGCCCCCACUCCAGAGCAGCGAGUUCAUGUUGGUCAAGUUCCAGGUGUCAUGGCGACACAGUCUGUGAUUCCAGUUCAGCCUGAGGUUAGGGCAGCAACAUCCGAGGAAGAGCAGCUUAGACUUGCAAGGUUAAAGAAAUAUUACCCUCCUACUUUCAGUGGUUUGGCUUUAGAGGGUGCACAAGGUUUUUUAGAGGAGUGCCAUCAUAUUCUCCGCACUAUGGGCAUUGUUGAGACGAGUGGGAUUGCUUUUACUACGUUCUAGCUUAGGGGAGCGACUUAUCAGUGGUGGCGGGCAUACGAGUUGGGUAGCCCGGCCAAGUCAGCUUCACUUAUAUGGGUUCAAUUUUCAGAGAUGUUCUUGAAAAAGUUUGUACCUCAGUCCCUUCGAGAUGCAUGGCGUGCAGAGUUUGAGCAUUUGUGCCAGGCACUAUGUCAGUGUCAGAGUAUGCCAUUAGAUUCAGUGAUUUGGCCAGGCAUGCACCUGCUUUGGUCACUACAAUUAGAGAGCGUGUCCGUAGAUUCAUUGAGGGGCUCAGGCAUGAUAUUCGGUUCAACAUGGCUCGGGAGUUAGAGUCGGACGUUUUGUUUCAGCAGGUGGUAGGGAUCGCUCGUCGAGUAGAGGGCAUAUGGGAUCAGGAGAGAGGAGACAGGUGAGGUCAGGAGAGAGAGGACAGGGAGGCGAGGAGGCCUCGUAGACCGGAGAGAUCUACUGGUCCUUAUUUUGGAGGCGGGUUAUGACAUGGUAGAGGUUUUGUGGGUCAGCUAGUUCAGUUUGCACUUCAGGCUUCGCACAGUAUUUCAGGUGCUCAUGGGUUUCAGAGUACCCGUACCACACAGUUCCCAUAGCCACGUCAGUAGAAAGGUUGCUUCGAGUGUGGAGAUACCAUCCACAGGGUGAUUGAUUGUCCUAGACUCCGUACAGGUGUGUCACAAUAUAGUAUUCAGGCGAGUAGAGGGCACCCAAAAGUAGAAGGCUCAACCCGUUGAUGUGUUUCAUAUAGUAGGCUUGAGGCCUUUGCACCAGAUGAUGCCAUACAGGUAUGCUUUUGAUUUGUUACAGAGGGACACCAUUCGUAUUUUGUUUCAGUUCUGCUUAUCGGGGCGAGUUCCCCUAUUUGUUGUCCCACCUAUGGGUGAGUUCAUGAUUUAGCAUUAUGUUUAUGUGUUUGCCCCUGUUGGGAGAUUCUAUGAGUGAUAGUCGUGUCUAUCGUUGUUUUAAUUCAUUGUUGAAAGUUACGAGACUAGAAGUGAAUUCAUGUUGUCUAGUAUGGCAGGUUUGAUGUGAUUCCUGAGUAAUUUGGUUACGAUUUGUGAUUGGAUACUCUACCCGGGGUAACAGUUUAGUAAGUGUUGUGAUUUUAUUGGCAGAAUUGAGUUAAAGGAAGAUUUCCAUUGGUAUGAUGUGUAUUCGACUUGUGAUUCCACGUUGAGGGUGAGACCCUCACGAUUCCAUAUGAUUUGAUAUGUUUGAGCCGGGCUGCGUGCUGCGGUAGAAGUUAUAUCAAGAUGAGAUACUUGUGAUUUGUUCAUAUACCUUGAUUCUUCCUUUUUAAAUUGAUUCGUAGUAUGGUACUGAUAUAGAGUUUUGCCUGUCGGGCUUGUUUAAUAUUUCUCUUAUGUGUUUCUAUUUACAUAUUCAGUCAUUUUUGUUCUGUGCUUCUUGAGUUUUAGCUUGCGGGGUAUAUGUCCGGUGGCGUUAGUUGUGACGUGUUGAUUCGGGUGUAUAGUUAAGAGGUCUUCACAUUUCUUGUAUCGUUGUCAGUGUUGUGAAGGUUUGAAAUAGGGUUCUAACGGAUAUGAGGCUAAUUGCCGGUGCUGGUUUUGAUUACGGGCAGCUAUUGUGAGCAGAAAUGUUAUCAUGGGCCUAAAUGUGGUGUGUCACAUUGUGUGGUUGUACCUUGCGGUUGUAGGCAUGAGUUGCUGAAGCUAGGUGAGACUGAUACCGGGUAUGGAUUUAGAAUCAAGUCUUUUGGAGAUGAAUUGAAGGUGAGAAUUCUGACUGUAAGCCUUAUCGGUGCUGGUAGAAAGGAUAAAUUAUAGUUCAGAUGGUGUCAUAAGGCUUAUAUGGAUUGGGGUGACGUGGGGUCACUCGCGGGUGUAUGUUGGAUAUGUGCUUUCAGUGAUUUGAAGACUUCGAGGCGAUUCUUGGAACGUUCGAGGACAAACAUUUGUUUAAGAGGGGAAGGAUGUAAUGACUCGGCCGGACGUUUUGAGAAUUUAAGUACUGAUCGGUGGCAUAAGGUCCUGAGCAGCUUCGUAUUAUGUGUAUUGAUUUGCGUGCAUGGUUGAAUUCAGUUAUCGGAUGAUUCAGAGUCAAAUCGGAAGAAGGAUGCAAGCUUUGGAAGCUUAAGUCUUAGGAUUUUGACCGUAGUUGGAACUGUGUGAAGACAACUCUGGAAUGGAGUUCCGGCUGCUAGGUUAGCUUUUUUGGGUGAUUUUGGACUUAGGAGCGUGUCCGGAUUGUAAAUUUAAGGUCUGCAGCUAAUUUAGGCUUGAAAUGGCGAAAGUCAAAUUUUUGGAGACUUUGACCGGUAGUGGACUUUCUAAUAUCAGGGUCGGAUUCUGAUUCCGGAAGUUGGAGUAGGUCUGUAAUCUUGAAUAUGGCUUGUGUGCAAAAUUUAGGGUCAAUCAGACAUGGUUUGAUAGGUUUCAACAUCGGUUGUAGAAAUUUGAAGUUUCAAGAUCUUUUAGUUUGAAUCGGAAGAUGAUUCGUGAUUUUAGCGUUGUUUGAUGUAGUUUAAGGGCUCGACUAAGUUCGUAUGGUGUUUUAGGAUUGGUUGGUAUGUUUGGUUGAGGUCUCGGGGGCCUCGGGUGUAUUUCGGAUGCUUAACGGAGGAAAUAUUAGACUUAGAAAAUUUCUGAAGUUUGCUGGUUUCUGGUGUUUCGCACCUGCGGUGGGGGAAACGCAGGUGCGGGGCCGCACAUGUGGAUGAUUGAGCACAGAAACAGAUUUGGAGGGAGUGUUCAGGGGCCGCAGGUGCGAGGUGAUAUCCGCAUCUGCGAUGCCCGCAAUUGCGCUGGAGAGAUCAUAGGAGCGAUGGAGGACCGCAGAAGCGGACAUAGGUCCGCAGGUGCGACCUUUUGAUCGCAGAAGCAGUCGAUGAGUUUUAAGUGAAAACCGCACAUGCGAUGGAAUUUCCGCAUGUGCGGAACCGCGGAUGCGGUUGAAGGCCCGCAGAAGCAGUUUGACCGAAAGAAAAAGGUCUAAGUGCGAGGGUUUGAUUUCAUUCUUCUUUUUUGGACUUGAGAGCUCGGAAUUUGGCGAUUUUUCAAGGGAUUUUCAGAGGAAGCUUUGGGGUUUGGGCCAUUCGGAGUCAGAUAUUCGUGGAAAGGCAUUGUUAGCGAUUGAUUGAGCUUGGUUCGAGGUAAGUAUCUUGUCUAACUUCGUGUGGGGGAACUACCCCUUAGGAAUUGAGUCUUUUAUGCUAAUUGUAGUCCGGGUACGCGAGGUGACGAGUACGUGCUCAGACGUAUUUGUGGAAAAUUUUCCUUUUAGAGUUCUUAGGUCCUUGUAUUCAUUAAAUAUGCAGUUGUUCCCGUUAUGAUUACGUUUCUAAAGUACUAGUUUCACUUCUACCUGCUUUUAUUAGAAUUAAUUGCUUCAUGAUCCACUCUUGUAGUUCAUUUGAUUCAUAUGUGCCUUAACUGAAAUUGUUAUAUCUUCUAUUGCCAUGUUGCAUUUCCCCUAACUGCUUAUCUUUAUUUGAAGUUGUAGUUACCCCUUUUGUAAAUGUUCACCCUUAAUUGAGGUUAUGCUUAUCUUUCUGCCGCCUACCUUUAUUUGAAUUUGUUGCAUCUCUUUCGUAAUUGUCCAAACUUAUAAAAACACUAGAUCUGCCACUUGGAUAUUAAUAUUGACUUGGAUUAACCAUUUUCUCUAGAAAUCUAAUUAUAUAAAAACCUAGAUCUAAAUUUUGGGUUAUACAACUUACUAUCAUAAUUUAAAAUUUAUUGAUAGUAAUUUUUUUAAAAACACCUAAUGUAACCUAAAAGCCUUUUAAAUCCUACUAUUCCUAUUCGAAGUCCCUUUCUUUAGAGUAUUGUUCAAUGUGCAACAGUAAAAAAAAUUAAAGGUACUGUUCUUCUUCUUCUUCUUCCUUUAAACAUACUAUGAUGACUCAUUUUGAUUGGGGCUAGCAUUGAAUAGGAAAGUACCAUUAUACCAUGUGCAACUAAUGGUAUUUACUUUUUUCAAAAAAUAUCUUCAAAGCAUUAUUUGGUAUACAUUGGAAUGAUUUUUUUGAUUUUUUUUUUCUUCUUUAAGAAUGAGUUUCAAGUACCAUUUNNNNNNNNNNNNNNNNNNNNNNNNNNNNNNNNNNNNNNNNNNNNNNNNNNNNNNNNNNNNNNNNNNNNNNNNNNNNNNNNNNNNNNNNNNNNNNNNNNNNNNNNNNNNNNNNNNNNNNNNNNNNNNNNNNNNNNNNNNNNNNNNNNNNNNNNNNNNNNNNNNNNNNNNNNNNNNNNNNNNNNNNNNNNNNNNNNNNNNNNNNNNNNNNNNNNNNNNNNNNNNNNNNNNNNNNNNNNNNNNNNNNNNNNNNNNNNNNNNNNNNNNNNNNNNNNNNNNNNNNNNNNNNNNNNNNNNNNNNNNNNNNNNNNNNNNNNNNNNNNNNNNNNNNNNNNNNNNNNNNNNNNNNNNNNNNNNNNNNNNNNNNNNNNNNNNNNNNUAUCAUUUCUCAAAAGAAAAAAGAUGAGCCCCAAACUGAUAGUUGGCCUAGCAUCCAAACAAGUUGUUUUGGCUCCUAGAAAUUUAUCGUUUUCAGAUAAAUUUAUCUUCGCUUAUAGGCAAUUACCAGUGGUUUUAUAUAUUAGUCGUUUUGAUAGAUUAACAUUUUAGAAAAUGAAAAGGUAAAUAUUUAUUACCUAUUUUUUAAAAAUUUAUCCUUACUAUUUUAAUUACUGAAGUGUUAUUUAAAUAAAAUAUUUAAACAAAGAUAAAUAGUGGUUUAAAUAUGUACUCUCUCAUGAUUAAGGCUAUGAAGUAAUUUUCUUAAAAAGUCUUGCGAAAUUUUAAAAGGCAGACUAUACUGUUCUUUCCGUCUUUUGUUUCUUUUUAUAUGCAUAUUCUGCUUCUUUUUUUUCCCUUUCUUCUUUUGGUGAUUAAAGCAGUUUAUUCUUUGACAAUUUCACUGAUAGAGGCCGCCCACGUGCAAGGUAGCAUUUAAGACUUACCAGUACGUAGGAACGUAGGUUCAGUUAAAUAAUGACUCCAACUUUGGUUCUUUUCUUUUUGUUGGUAAACAGUUGCUCCACCUUUGCUCUUUGAUAUAAGUUGCCACAUGGUCUGCAUUACAAUUUACAAACAUGAGUCAUAGCUUGAAAAUUGAAAUUUAGUGAAGAAUUCUAUUGAAAUUCAUCAUAUUAAAACGAACAAUACCUCACAAGUAUAAAAGAUUAGAAAGUUGAAUAUUACGUGUGAGCUAAUAAAUAGGAAAACUAAAAGGUAGAGUUAGAGUAGAAAGUAGAAAGGUGACAUUUAACUAAUUGAGAUGGAAGAAGUACAGUAAGAAAACUUAUUCACAUUUAUUAGAUGUCUCAAACUAAUAAGUCCAUGAUAUAUUUUUUUAUACAAAUAUUAUAACCCAAGCUAAUUAAUAUGUAUUGCUAUGACAAUUUUGUCACUUAAUUAUGAAGGAUUAACAUGUUCGUCCAUGCACCAGAUCAAAUAUCGCAGUAUAACUUAUUAGGAUACAAUAAACCAUUUACACUCUUCUCGAAAUACAAGUUGGCCUAUUUACUGGCGGCUAACAUAUUUUACUUUUCUGAUUGAACGUAACAAUAAUUAAGAAGAUAAUUUGCAAAUCUCACUCUGCAAUCUGCAUGAUAUUCGCACAUAAUUUUAAAUAAUUGGGAUGGCCUUUCUUGGAACAAGGAUGUCUCUCUUGGAGUAAUAAUUACAUGCAAUGCAAUAUGAAAUAUUUAAAUCGAAAGGUCCACAGCAACGUGACGACCAUGUGGCUCUUUCAUAAAAAUUAACCGUGAUGCCUCAUAAAGUCUAAAGCAUAUACCAAAAAAAUCCUAAAGUGUACAGGUUUAUCUGGCCCUAAAGUUGACCCUUUUACUUGCUGUCUUUGUAUGAAGCUAAUUAACCUAGAAAUUAAAGAGGCAAAAAUUAACCUAGUGUAUAAGCAAGUCUGCGACCACGUGGCUCUUUCUCCGUUGUUAGCGGAAAUGAUAAGUUAAUACAACCCCUUUAAUUUGUGAAACAAGCAAACACUAGAAGUUAAACCUCACUGGGCUAAAAGUUACAUUAUUUUCUUUUUAUGUUAUUUAAUAGGAAUAUUAUUUAAUUAGGCGUAAAUUUUAAAAUGUUAAUACAAUUAUUCAUUAUAUGAGUAAUAGUAGUUGAAAGAAAACUACUUAAAUUGAAUGAUAGUAGAAUGCAAGUUUGAGUAGUUAAUUUUUCUAAAGGUCAUACAUGAGUAGUUAGUAACUUUCUAGGGGUCAAGGUUUUCUCUCUCUAGAAUGAAAUUUCCUCUUAGCGACGGCCGAAGAUGACGAGGAAAUCCAAAACUAGGGGAGGAAGGCAAUGAAGUCAAGAGUGCAUACAACCUCCAUCUACAGAAUAAAAAAUGAGAGUGCCUAACUCGGCGGAUACAAAAAACACUCUUAAUAUCAACGCCUUACAAGGAAUUGUACAGCUAGAUUUGCAUCAAUGCUCGGCAUCGAAUACCGAAAAAAUGCUGUCAUAUAAUAUGUGUUGGGUUCUAACCCCUUAGCAGCUGUGAUGAAUGGCUACUUUCAUAGAAUCUAGGAAAAAUUGGGGAUUGAUAACGUUGUGCAAGUAAACAGAGGAUUUUUUCUUGUGAGAUUCACCCAAAUUGAAAAUAGGGUAAAGGUUGUGGAAGACGGAGUCCAGAUGUUCGACAAAAAGCCAGUGGCAGUUAAGCCUUGGUCGCCUGAAAUUGAUACGAGGAAUAAACAUUAACUAAUAUUACAGGGCUAGCGGGCGAUCCUCUAAAGGCUGGCAGAGCCACCACAUAGAAGGAGAUGAUGACAUUUGCUAGGAUGCUUGUGGAAGUAGCAUUGGACCAGCCUUACCCAAUAUGUAUCAUGUUUGAAAAUGAGUAUGGCAAAAUCAUUGAGAAACAGGUGCACUAUGAAUGAAAACCUGCACUAUGCCAUGAUUGCAAUAACUAUGGACAUGAACUGAAGGAAUAUAGUAAACAAAUGCAAGCAGAAAAGCAGAAACCAGACCAACAAGGAAAGGAAGUAGAACAGAACAAGACAUGGAAUGACACUAGAGGGAAUGUGCAUGUAGAGGGACUGAACAACAAAGUGGUAGAGACUAACCAGAAUGCAUGUUUUGUGCAAAAUUGAGGCAGGGUAAGGGUUAAUAGCCCUAAAAGAACCAUGGGAGGUCCUAAUAAGGAUCAAACACUAAGCAUAGGAAACUCGUUCGAGGCACUAGGGAGCCCAGCAGGAUGGGGAUAGCGGAGCAAGGGCAUAUUACAACAGGAAAUAUGGUACAGGGAGGGAAAGAUGACCCAAAACAGGGAAGGGUGGGGGAUUUCCACCCCUUCCAAUGGAUAGUAUCGGUUUUUGGAACACCAGGGGACUAAAUAGGCUAAAUAAACAGAAGGAAUUGAAUCUGUUUAUGCAUCAGUGCAAAGUUGGCUUAUAUCGUCUCCUAGAAACUAAGAUGAAGAGAAAUAAUACUCAAAAUGCUUCCCUUAAUCUAUGUAGAGCCUGGUCUUUUACAACCAAUUUGGCUUUACACCCAGGGGAAAGAAUAUAGGUGGUUAGGACGCCCUCAAUAAUUUAUUUUCAGAUUGAAUUCAGCUCUAAACAAGUGAUUCAUUGUGUGGUAACACACAUGGGCAUUGGCCUAGUUUUCAAUGCAACUUUUGAAUAUGGAUUCAAUGAUCCAUCAUUAAGAAGAACCUUGUGGCAGGAUAUAAGAAAAAUAAAUAGCACUGUGACGGGGCCAUGGGCAAUUAUGGGUGAUUUUAAUUGUAUGUUGCAUAAGGAGGAUAGAAUUGAAAGACAUGUAGUCAUGCUAGAAAUUAAAGAAUUCAGAGCAUGUGUGGCUGAUUGUAGACUGCAGGAGUUAAUAUCAUCAGGAUAUUAUUUCACAUGGAAUAACAAACAAGAAGGAAGGGGGAUAGAGUAUAUAGUAGGAUUGAUAGAGUGUAAGUGAACACUGAAUGGAUAACUCUACUACCUGUAUCUGAAGUUUAUUAUAUGAAUGAAGGGCUCUAUGAUCACUGACCAGCAAUUAAAAGUAGGAGAAUGGUCAGCAUAUAAGCAGGAAGCAAUUCAAGUAUUAUAACACGUGGACAAUGACACUUGACUUCUAAGAAAAAGUGAAAGGGAGUUGGGAUGGAGAGAUAGAUGGGGACAAAUUAUUUCAAGUGGUGGGGAAGAUGAACAGAUUAAAGGCAGUGUUACUCAGCUUGAACAAAGAAAGGUUCCCAGAUAUAGAAAAGAAGGCAGAUAGAGCAAUGUAGGACUUAAAGAAAUGUCAGUCAAAAGUGCAAGACGUCCCCAUGAAUAAAACACUAAUUGAGGAAGAAAUGCACUUAGCUAAGGAAUGCAAAAUCUAGGGAGAAGCUAGAGAUCAAUUCUUGCGCCAAAAAAGUAGAGUUCAAUGGCUAACUCAAGGAGAUCAAAACACAAAAUUUUUUCACAGUGCAAUAAAGGAAAUAAGAAAUAAGAAUAGAAUCUUCUCUGUUAUUGAUGCACAACGGUCCACUAAAAAAGAACCAGGGGAAGUAGCAGAAGCAUUUAUAGGCUUCUGCAAGAAUUUGCUGGGGAUAAAAAGUAGAAAGGAGGCAACAUGUAUGCAGUGAACUAGUUAGGCAAGGGCUCACAAUCACAUAGGAACAAAGGGAAUGGCUAGAAAAUAGAUUCUCUGAAAUGGAGGUAAAGCAAGCAGUAUAAGCAAUAUCAGGGGAUAAGGCUCUAGGGCCUGAUGGCUAUGGUAGCCGGUUCUUUAAGGAUUGUUGAGAAAUUGUGGGUAAUGAUAUAAUUACAAGAGUAUUAGAGUUCUUUUAGGCUGGAAAAAUGCCAAGAAGUCUCAAUGUCACAACAAUUCAUUAAUUCCAAUGAGCAUCCAUGCAGAACAUGUGGGAGACUAUCGACGUAUAGGCUGCUGUAAUACCAUCUACAAGGUGAUAUCUAAGAUGUUGAGUGAGAAUGAAGUCAGUUUUACCAGACAUCAUUUUAGAAAAUCAAAGUGCAUUUGUUGUUAGGAGAACCACUAUCCAGAAUGUCCUCAUCUGCCAAGACUUAGUGAGAUUAUACAACAUGAAAGCAACCACAAAAAGAUCCCUAAUAAAAAUUGACUUGAGAAAAGCCUACGAUACUGUAGAAUAGGACUUUGUGCAGGAGAUGCUACAUGCUUUAAACUUCCCCAGUAAAUUCAUCAAAUAGAUAAUGUUAUGCAUCACUACGCCCAGAUAUUCAAUAGCAAUCAAUGUGGGGUUAUAUGAAAACAUAGAGGAUUGCGGCAAAGGGAUCCCAUGUCCCUAUUCAUUUUUGUGAUUUGCAUGGAAUACUUCACCAGAAUCAUGUACAGGGUGGCCACACUUCAGGGUAUCACAUUUCACUGUAAAUGUAAAGGUCUGCAACUAAAUUAUUUGUGUUUUGCAGAUGAUAUGCUCUUGUUUUGUAAAGAAGAACUACACUAUGUUGCAUUUAUGUUAAGAGGCCUAGCCAGCAUCUCCAAUGCAUUGGGGCUGACCACAAAUGCAACCAAGUCCAACAUAUAUAGUGCUAACAUGGAAAUGGAAAGUGUUAAGGACAUAUUUAAAAUGACAGGCUACAAGAAAUGAUCAUUACCCUUCAGGUACCUAGGAGUGCCAAUCUCAGCAAAGAAAAUCUCUUUUGUAGACUGUGAAAUGUUAGUGAAGAGGAUGUGUACGAGAAUCCAAAGUUGGGGCACACGAAACAUGUCGUAUGCUGGGAGAGUUCUACUAGUGAAUUUAGUUAUAAUGCAUAUUCACUCAUACUGGUCAUCCAUAUUUUUCUUGCCUAAGAAGAUAUUAAAAAAUAUCAUAGCCAUCUGCAGGUUUCUAUGGGAUGGGAAAGUCAACACCAACAAAUUAUCACCGGUGGCUUGGGAAUUAGUGUGCAGACCUAAACAAGAAGGUGGGCUAGAGAUCAUAGAUUGUGAGUUGUGGAACCAAGAAGCUAUAGCAAAAUAUAUGUGGAAUGUAGCCAAGAAGGCUGACAACCUAUGGGUAAAUGGGUGGACCACAUAUACCUAAAAGGAACUUCCUGGCUAAUUAUAUUAAUUCGAAGUGUUUAAAGGUUUUAAAGAAGAUCGACAUGUGCUAAUUAUAUAUAUUCGCGUGUGAGCAAGGGCUAAUGAUAUAAAUAAUAUCACUUGAACAUAAUAAUAUAUUUAUGAGGUAUAUUAGAAAUGGUUUAUGGUCUAAGAAGAGCCCUAAGGCUAAGUCAAGUUGGAAAUUAUAUGAUGGGCUAAAGUUUCUAGUGGGUUCGCACAAGACUUAACUUCAAACAAGCAUAAAUCUCAUGAUAUGAAGUUUUAUACGGUGUAUGACCUAUUAAAUGAAAGGUCUAUGUGUCUAGUUUCUAAUGCUUUAAACCUUUCAUCAUUUGGAUAUUUAUAAAAUGAGUUAUGGGCUUUGUACCAGAAGGUGGUAGUGCAGCUAUGCAGUUUCAGAAUUUGGCCAAGGGAAUAGCCUCCUGCGCAGUGUUUUAAAAGGCAUGGGUGUAGGGCAAAGCGCUUUACAUAUGCCUCAACGAGGCCUACGCUCCGAGGCANNNNNNNNNNNNNNNNNNNNNNNNNAUAUGUGCUACUUACAACUUACAAGCACAAGUAACUUAUUAAUCAAAAUAAUUUAUUAUACGCUACUUACAACUUACAAGCACAAGUAACUUGAGUCGAAAAUAGGAUGACUAACCUGCAAUUUGAAAUUUGAACUUGCUGAUAUGAAGGAGAAUGAAGUUCUCUUUGUAUUUGUAAAGAAAUUGAAUAUUCGUUAUUUUGGGAGAUAUUAGCAGACUAAGGAACAACAUAAAGAAUUGGGAAAAAUCAUAAAUUAGGGUUUUAAUCAAUAAAAAGAUCUUAACUUUUAAAUUUGAUACAUUUCAGUUCCUUUUUAAAACUUUUGAGUAAUUACAAGCUGACUUUUGAGAAUUUGGGUAUUAUACGAAGGACUUAUUCAACAAAUUUUAUUUUAAUUUGAAAAGGUCUCUGGGGCUUACGUCUCACUACAAAAACGUGCCUCAAACGCCCAGGCGUACACCUCGAACGCCCGGGCGUACGCCUCUUGAAACUUUCACCCCACACCUGCGUAGGUUUUAUGUGUAGGCUAAGCUGCUUUAGGGGCCAUUUUAAAGGGGCAGAAACAAGGGGUUUAGAGAGAGAAAAAGUUAAUUCUUCAACUUGGAAUUGAUUUCUAGAGAGGAGGAGCUCUUCCACCAUGGAUACACUUCAAGGUAAGUUAUUUUGAUACAAGGAUGAUUUUAUUACAUCAUUUAGUGAUUACUAACACUAUUAUGGAUCAAAUCCAUAGAAAAUGGGUUGAAUCUUUAAGAACAUCAAAAAGAAAAAAAUGAGAUUCUUCUACCAAGAGGUAAUCCCUUCACUUGAGCUUCAUAUUUAUGUCAUAUUAGAGUAUGGGUAGCAUGUUUAUGAAUUUUAUUUAUAGUUGUAAUGGAAUAUUGUAUGAACCCUAAGAACGUCUUGAAAAUAAUAUUUUGGACAAAGAAGAAGAUGAAUAGUGAUGAAUUGAUAUAAAUGGAAUUGUUUUGAGUUUCUAAUGAUUCCAAUAGACUUGAUAACUUAAUUGAUGAACGAAUUGAAUAGGGAUCACUAUUUGGACAAGAUGCAACACUAGUUCUUGAAAUGUGUGUUCUUGAACCUAUAGGGGUUUGUUGAAGAAGACAAUGAAUAGUGACUUGAUGAUGUUGGAUAAUUAAUGUAGUAUUAUUAAUGACUCCAAAUGAGUGUUAAAUUAAAGGAAUGGAAUUAAAUAGGCUAAUAGGUGAGCCUAUUGGAUAAUUUGGGAUGGUUGAAGGCUUGUUGACGAAUUAUGAAGCCUAAAUAAAUAUUUAUGAAUUGUUUUAUAUUUGUUUUGAUGUAGUUGAGAUAUCUUAUGGUAGAUACUGAAUUGUGGGCGAUAUUGGAGCAUAAUAGUAUUUUUGGAGCUUGAAGGUUGAGAUAAGUUGAUUAAAACUUACUCUUCUUGAGGGAUUCUCUUUAAAAGCAUAUCUUAAGUUGAUACAUUGUAUUAUUUGUAAAUGUGCAUCCGUACUUGUGGGAAGAAGCGGGAAAGAUGUCACCAUGUGUUUCUAAAUUGUUGCUUAUGAAGUGUCAUGUCAUUUUAUAAAAAUCUUGUUCGCAAAAUGACACUUAAGGAAAUUUUUAUAAGUUAUAUUAAAACUUAUUUGUUGAUGAGAGUAUAAAAUGCUCGAGUGCUAAAGAUAUGUUUUGAUGAAAAAGUUUGUCUUUUGAAAUUUCAACAAAGGAAGCACUAGUUGUAUCUUUAGAUUGGUGUUAAUUGCUAAAGGCUUUAACAUGAAAAAGGUUAUUCAUUUGAUUUUGUUCUAAUAAUUUGAAUUGGCUAUAAAAAUUAUGAUUUGAUAAAAAUAUAUCCUUUAAGAAAAUUGUGCUAUGUAUCUAUUUUUGAUAUGUCAAAUAUUUUGGAAGUUACUGGUGGAUCACCGAGAUUGGUUCGAAUAUUGAAUUCGUUACUAUGAAACUACACGUAGCGGUGUAGGGAUACAUUCCAAGGCUAAGUCGAGGUUUGUGGGAUAAAGUCCCCCAUUGAGAGGGAAAAUGAUCAUUACUUACAGUAAUGAGGUUAAGUCAAGUCGUACGGCACUAUGGGAAGCCGUCCAGACAAGUAGAGUCAAAUAAUUGUUGCUAGGAUGAUCACUUAGUAGUUGUUCAUUAUGUAUGUCGGUAUACUACUCCUAGUGAAAGGUAAAAGAGAACUUUCUUAUGUUUAGGCCUAAGGAGGCGAAAGUGGUUUCAAUGACAUAUAUUUAAUGGCUUACAUGGUUUACAUUUUACUUGUUUUUUAUUUAAAACGAUAAAGAGCAUGAUUUAUGUAACCGUUUAUCACUUUAUUUCCAAUAUUGGUUGCACAAGUUUUGUAAAAUCUUGUCCAGGAACUUGAGUUAGAGAGAGUCUAUGACACAUAUUGAGUAUCGCUAUGGUGUUCUCAGCCCUUAGGAGCCCCCUUCUAGAGCCCCACUUACUUUACAUGUUUCAGAAUGAGGAAUGAUAUGUGGCAUACAGACAGAGCUAGGAUGACUCUCUUUCUGAAGUAUAUGGCGAUGCACCGCUCCUAUUUCCUGGAAACUAUCAUAUGUUUUUCUUAAUUUAUGUUAUUCGGGCAUUAGCCUAUGUGUUUAGUUCUAUUCCUUGGUAUAGAGGCCCUAUAGUAAUUGUGAAAAGUUGUAAUAAUGGGAUUGUAUGUGGCAUACGUGAAAAUAUAUUUAUUUUACUUAGUCUCAUUGUUAUAAUUAUGAGAGGCUUCAUGUAUGAUUUUGAAUUGGAAAGUUUUUCCAUUGUUUAACUUGAAAAAUAUAUAAAAUUUUCAAAGAGCUUCCGCAAAUAAAUUUGUUUUUAUGCCUAUGAUUUGGGUGCAUCAUAUGAGUUGGUUCGCUUAGGUCGGAUAGUGUGUCGGGUUUCGGUCACAUGGAUUUGGAUCGUGAAAAAUUUGGUAUCAGAGCACUAGGUUCUAAGUAGAGUCCUAGGAAGUCUAUGGAGCCGUAUCAAGUAGAGUCCCUCUUAUCGGUCUGUUGCCGGCCACACUUAUAUCGGGGAGGCACCAAAGACAUUUAGGGAGUUUCACUUUCUUUUUACUCUAGUUUGUGUGUUGUGCCUGAAAUGAGAGAUAUGAUUCUCUGUCAUAUUGAAUACCCGGCAUGGUAGAUACUGAAGUGGUGAGCACAAAGCUCAAGGUUCAAGAUAUCACAUGUGCUGCUUGAGAAAUAGUUGGGAAUUAUCAGUCUAUCCAUGAAAUAAAUGAUGGGUUAAGGUCAAGAACAUCUUUAAAAGAAAUUGAUAUAGUCAAGAUGAAUAACUAUGGUGAACAGGAAUCAUAAGUCGAAUUCUGAUAACUCAUGGAAAAGUAAAUAAGGUGAUGAUGUCAGUUGGUACUGCUAGAAUAGUGACAGAACUCACGAAGGAUUCCACUGAAGGUUGAAAAAAAGGUUAAGUCCUAUAUAGGAAUGUUUCUAAAUUGUAGAUCAAGGUAUUGGGAUAGCUAUCUGCUAUGACAAUUACUAUUUACUAGUACAACAAAGGAAUAAAUAAAUAAAAAAGAAACACAAUGGUUACAAGAUAAAUGGAAAGGUAAUACCUCAAAUUACCGUGAUGUGCUGUCGAGGAAUGACAAGAAUCGAAUUGGUAAGAGAAUGUACAUCAAUCAAGUUCAUACCGAUCACCUUGUAAUUCAUAGGGAUGAGGAUCUAUUUGGGAUAACACCAAGAAUUUCCAAAAGUAUAUUUUAGAAAAGGGGAUGUAAGGAAACCUUCAUGAUUUUUAGAAAGGUGAACAAGGAAAAAUGCAAGAGAUGACCCUUAGUCUCACAAGAGAUUGGGAGACUGUUGACUUGGUAAGGUCUUCUCAUAGUAGUGGCUCAUGCGAUGAUAUAACUUAUAAGAAAUAAAGUACCAUGUGGGGGCACAAGUUGAGGGUAUUUGAAGCAUGUCAUAUGCAAAAACAAAAGGGGGUAGGUGAACUUUGAAUACCUCCCAUAUGUCAAAUGUGAUACAAAUGAAUGUCAAUCUUCAAUGAUACACACUGAGGUAUGUGAAUUUAAAUGGGUAAGUGAAAAAGUGUUAAUGCAUGAUAUGCACAAAAGGUGUAAUCUUAGAAGAUUUCAAAAAGCAAAUAGGUUGCCAAAGAAGGUAAAGUAAUGUGGAAUGACAACCUUGAGUUUGUCUAAUCGGGACAAGCCUUAUUUUAUCCUUUUGAACUUCUGGGAAUUGAAAAUUUCUAAAGGUAACUUCCAAAGCACCUAUACAUUGUCAAGUGGAGCUAUUAACUUGUUAUUUUGAUGGAAUCUUAAGAUUUAAGAAGAAUAAAUAUUUGAAAUGAUGUAUCAGGCCAAAUUGGAGCUUCAGGCAGAUUAUGAAUAUUGCAUAUGUAGUUUAAGGCUCAAGAGCUUGCAAACGAUGACGGUACACGUGUGAAAUUGAUGAGUUACGAGUGAUCCAAGGCUACGUAGUGAUGCCUUACGAAUCCUAGUUGUUAUUUACUGUCGCGCCCCAUUUUCUCGUGAAAGCGGGCUUCAACAUGUGACAUAUCUUUUAAAAGGAGGUAUUAAAAAAGAAGAGUCGCCACCUAAUAAUUUUUAAGGUGCGUUAGGGAACCUAGUUGCAAAUAACUCUGUUUGACUAGUCAACGAUACCAAAUAUCGGGUAAGGGCUUAAAUUACCUCAAAGAGAAGGUGUUAGGUACUCUUCGAGGUCCACAACUGUGGGUCCCGACCGAACUUUAGAGCAUGUGGAUUAUACAAUUAGGCUAGGCGAUUAAAUAAAUAGAAGGGAAGUUCAGAGGUUGUAGAGACAUAUGAGAAUCGGUACAAGUCUUAAUGACUAUAAGGAUACAACUAUAUUGGUCUAUAUUAAACGACCAAAUAUAGAUAACAAGUACAUAAAUAAAAUGAGGGGGGGGGGGGGUCCUAAGUUUUUAGCCUAAAGGAUCACCCCGUGCAACAUAAAUAAUACUUUGCAACUCCCUUAAAGUAGAGGUUGCUCGUAUUAUUUAGCGAGCACAGACUAUUAUCUCCUGCUACCCGAUUACUAUGUUGAAGUUGUUUACUUAAAAGCGUUCUAAUUCAAUUCCAAGUCGUACCCUAUGCGUGCACUACCUGUCCCUUGCCUAUGGUCCAGGAGGCUUUGGACCUACUAUAAGGUGGUUCUAGACUUUACUUAGGUUGCUCAAAAUGAUAAAACUAGGCGAUAUGCAAAAUAGAUAGGACUGCAUAUAAUUACAAUAAAAGACUUAAGUAACCUCCACACAUAAGUAGGAAAGCACGAAUAAAUUUCUAGUUAGGCAGUAGAUGACAUUACGACGUGUUGGAAUCGUUAAGUCCUAUAAGCAUGAUUUCUAUGUGAUUAUGGAUUCCAGUAUUAUAUAGGAAGUGCUGUAAUUUUUGGACUAACGUAGAGGCAAAUUAGAGCGUUGCAAGUCCUAUAGACAUGAUAUCUAAUCGUUUGCAUAAUAAGGUUGUGAAAAUAAUCCAAUAAUUCUGAAUUACUAAAGCUGAUUUUAUAGAUAUGCGUCUUAGGCAGGCAAUAAUACACUAUAGGCAUGAUCUCUAAAAGUCGCAUAAUUAGGCAGUGAAGUUAUUUGAAAACACAAAAUUAGUAGUAUCAAUAAACAUCCUAUGGACAUGAUUUCUAACAAUUGACAAUUGGACUUGAUUUUUAUACACUUUAUCCCUAUAGUCAUGAUAUUAAAAUGAAACAAUGCAAAAGCAGCAUGAAAUAAUUGAUUAAUUAGUUAAGACCCUAUAGUCAUGGUAUCUAGAUAAGUAAAGGUAUUGCAUUGUUGUAUCCUAUAUGCAUGUUAUCUAAUAGUGCAUAGAAGUAAACAUGCGAACAAUUGAAACACUUAGGUUCUUACAAACAUGUUUCUGAUAGUGUGCGGUCAUUAGACAUGUUGAGUAGGUGAAGUGUUUGAGUUCCUAUAGGCAUGAUAUCUAAGUGGAAGAAGUCUAGUUUGGAUCUUAUAGGCAUUCUCUCUAGCCAUUCAAGUCAUAACAUUGUGUGCAUAUAAUUCCAGAGAAUGAGGCAUGAUGAGUAAACAAGCUAUUAAGAUCCUAUAGGCAUGAUAUCAACCCAUUCAUGCAAAAGAUAAAGUAUCCCAUUUCCCCUUUUUCACUAAUCCCCAAUUGUUCGUUAUUACAAGUUAUUACAGGUCCAAGAAUGAAAUAAUACAAACUUAAAGAUGACAAAACACAAACUGAAAUGAAUACAAGCCCACUAAAGCAAUUACAUGUCCAAUGUAAAAGUAACCUAGGAAUAUCACAGGCCUUCAAUAGUCUUACUCUUCGGGCAAACAGCAGGCCCAAACCACAGGAUCACAAGAUAACUAGAGUGCACUUGAAUCCAGUGCCUAGGUCCAACAACACCCAUGGCCCAUCUCAAGGCCCAAUGAAUAACUUACUUACCCACAUGGAUACUAAAUUUAGCUAUGCAGGUGACACAAUACUCACAGAACAACUUAAUCCCUUAGUUCUUAGAGCUGAAUCCAUUAACAGCUCUAGCCAAGACAUAUAAACAGGAUCAUGCUAAAUGAAAAGGCACACAAGACACAUAUGAGGCAAGCUUAUUCUUUGUAAUUCCAGAAAGAGAGUUUGAUAGUGACAAGGUUGACCGUCAUAGGACAGUAAACCAUUCCAGUAAAGCAUGAUCCAGAAACAACCUAAGGACCUUUAGAUGAUAGUCUAGCAGAAUUAUGAACAAGAAGCAGGUAGAGUGCAGUCUUGAUAUGAAGGUUUUAACAUGAAAACCUAAUGAGAAUGUGGUUGCAAACAGCAUAACAACAUGCUAGCUGGCACAAUUUGGAAAACAUACUUGGUUGAUCAUGAAACUUAACCCGAUGGACAUUAACUAUAGCACAACGAUUCUAAAGAACUCAUAGUAGGCAAAAGAACAUGUCACCUAUAGGCUAACAGGACAGACAUACAUUGGGAUUCAUGUUAGUCGACCACACAUGAGAGAGAACUACACAUUGGUAUUUAUCCUAGAAGCAAUGCUAAAGGGUGCAGGAUUGCCCAAUCAGGGAACACAAUUAUCAGAGUUACAAAUCGCAGACAAACAUGCUUGGCUAGAGAUUAAGACAAUGCUAUAACAUGGGAGAGUUAAGGAUCAGUUUGCAUGAAAUAAUAGGUUAUACCUAAAGGAUCUAGUAGGAAGGGAUUCAUUAAAGCAGACUUUGAACAGGCAAUUUCUACAAAAGGUCCCAGAAAUCCAAGGCAUGCAUAUGAACUAACAACGGACAAAGGACACGACAUUGAGGCUAAUAUGAGCAUGACCAAUCAGACAAAACCUAAGAAGGCUAGAAAUCAUUUGAGUCAAAUACAUAGAGUGAAAGUAUACUAUACAUGUUGAAGCUUAUCAAGUCUAAUAAUAGAGAACAUGGAACUGCGGAACGUCAUUGAGACAAUAGAACUACAUAAAACAUACAACAAUACAACACUGGGAGUUCACAAAUAACAAAAAAGCUUAGGUCAUGCUUGUCUACAAAAGUUCAAACAAUAUUGGCACGCAUAAUACACAUACAUGAAUAAGUAGAGGAGUAAUAAUUAAGGCUGUAAAGUGUAGAGAAAAGUAACCAGUUGCUAAGAUAAACGAGCAAAAGAGUGAGUAACUUAGAAUCUCAGCGAUGACAGCAAAGAAAGAUAACAGUGAGAAUGCUAGAUCCUAGUGCAUCAGAGUUCACAGGAGCUUCAGUGAGCCCGGAGCAGUGCUCGCACUAUGGAGGUUAAUAGUGAAGAUUCCGUUGGUAUCGGCUUUCAGCCGACCACAAUCAAGAGAGCAGAAAUAAUAUAAAGGGUGAAAAGUGAGAGAAUAACAGUAGUUCUUAAGCGAUUACAGUAUGUCCAAAGAGGAAAUUGGGGAUGGGGUUUAUAUAGUAAUAAAAAUCAACACAUAAAUAAGGAAAUAUAGUCAACCGAACAUAAACAAGGAAAGAAGAACAUGCAAAAAUCAAUUUAGAAUCGGAUUAGGAGAAGAAACCAGGUAAACCAUGGUUUGACUAGGAUCAGAAAUUGGCCGGAGAUCUUGGUGAAUCAGAACCCCAUAGCCUUUCUAUGAACAUAUACGGACAAAUUAUCCUCCAAAUCUUGGAGAGUAAAGCCGAUCUCCUUUGAUUCAGAGACUGGUACUUGCCAAAAAUGGGCAAGUACUAAGUAACACCAUAUUUAUACAAGUAAUAGCGGUAUAAUCCGGAAAAAGUAAGUAAAUCAUGGUAAAAAUCCAUGGAUGAUUUGGAUUCGGAGAAGAUUGGAAUGACCUAAAAUCCGCAUAUCGUGAUGGGGCCUAUCUUAAUACUAGGCAAGCCGACAACCUCAAUAACCCAUAAUUUCUUUUAAAUAGUGAAAACAUAAUAAUUAAUUUUAAGGGAAAAGUCCCACAAAUACUGAAUAUAAAUAUACUCCCAAAACCCGGAGUCACUGAGUACAUGAGCAUCUAUACAACACAAGUGUGGAAAAUACGGUCUAUAAUAGUCUGAGACCAAAUACAGUAAACUAAGAGAUAGGGAAGGAGAGACAAGGUCUACGUAACACCGCAGCUACCUCGGAAUCUCCGAAAAAUUAACUGUGCAAAAGAACUAACACCCGCUGUGUUCGGGAUCACCUAGAUCUGCACACGAAGUGCAUGGUGUAGUAUGAGUACAACCAACUCAGCAAGUAAUAAUAAUAAAUAAAGAAUUGAAAGUAGUGAUGAGAUUCACAUCUAUUCCAAAUACAGUAAUUUCCAACAUGAAAAGGUAGGCAUGCUUUCAAGUUCAACAUUUAAAACUCUGCAGUAAUUUCAUAUCAACUUUGAUUGAGACAAAAAUAAUGUCUUUCAGAGUUUUUCCAAAACAAUGAUAUAUGACAGCUGAAAUGCAGCAAUAAUGAAAUCAAUGCAUCCUCUCAAAAUAACAGUCACCCAGUCCUCCCAUUCACUCCAACCUCACAAUCACUCUUUCCUUACAUUCACUCAUUCCUCACAGUCACUCAUUCCUCUCAAUCACUCCGCACUCGCACUCAAUAGGUACCUGCGCUUACUGGGGGUGUAUACAGACUCCAGAGGGGCUCCUUCAGCCCAAGCGCUAUAUCAAGACAAUCAUGGCAUAUAAUAAUGAACAUGAUGCGGCAUGCAGACCGAUCCCAUAAAUAUCCUCAUAAUUAGGCCCUCAACCUCACUCAAUCAUCAUCCUCUCUAGUCUCUCGGGCUCUCAGAAAUCAUGAUAAGCAGCCCAAACAACAAUGAUAUGAUGCAUCAAUAAUGAACAAUAGAGACUGAGAUAAAAUGUGAAAAUAAAAUUGUGACUGAGUGCAAAAAAACAAUUUAGCAAAUAAUUCCAUAAGUACACAACCUCUCUGUGUCCCAAUGGUGUAAACACAUCUCUCUGUGUCCCAAUGGUGUAAACACAUGGUUUAAACAUGAUUUAUAGUUCGAUUUCUCUAAAACAUGAAAAAUGUACGGAUAUCAACAGAUUAUUCAACUACACAGUUCCAUGGAAUUGACCAAGUAACAAUUCCUACGGUGCACGUCCACACGCCCGUCACCUAGCAUGUUCGUCACCUCAAAACCAAAUCACAUAACAUAUAAUCCGGGGUUUCAUACUCUCAGGACCAAAUUUACAACUGUUACUUACCUCAAACCGUGUAAUUCUUUAUUCUGCAAUGCCUUUGCCUCGCGAAUCGGCCUCCAAAUGCCUCAAAUCUAGCCACAAAUAAUUUGAUUCAGUCAAUAAAAAUUAUAGGAAUUAAUUCCAUAUGAAAAUAUAAAUUUUCCAUCAAAAUCCGAAAUUUCACCCAAAACUGCCCGUGGGGCCCACGUCUCGGAACCCGUCAAAAAAUACAAAAUUGGAAAGCCCAUUCAACCACGAGUCUAACCAUACCAAUUUUACCUAAUUCCGACAUCAACUCAACCCUCAAAUUUUCAAAUUAAACCAAGAGGGUUUUCUAAACUUUCCAACUUAAUUUACCCAUAAAAUGUUAAAAAACAACUAUGGAUUCGGGUGAUUUGACCAAUAAUGAGUUAAGAAUAUUUACCACGUUAGUUUCCUUGAAAACCUCCAUAAAAAUCGCCUCUUCUCGAGCUCCAAUUUGUCAAAAAUGGAAAAUGGGAUGCAGUUCCAUUUUCAGAACUUAAACAUUCUGCCAAGGCAUUCCUUCUUCGCGAACGCGACAGGUCCCUCGCAUUCGCGAAGCACAAAAUUGUGUUGUCCAAACAUUUCCCUUUGCGAAUGCGAGACACAGCUCGCGUACGCGAUUCUUUACCGGGUGAACCUUCGCGAAAGCGAAGGCAAAAUCCUCACCAGCUAUUUUCCCUUUCGCGAAUGCGAUACCCCAUCGCGAACGCGAUGAACAACCUUGCCUGCCCCUAGCUCCUCUUCGUGAAUGCGAGGCCCCUUUCGCGAAUGCGAAAAGAAAAUUUUUGCCUGCCUUUAGUUCCUCUUCGCGAAUGUGAGAGCCCUCUCGCGAUCGCGAAGAAGGAAACCAGACACAGGCAUCAGAAAAUUCCAGCCAAGUUCCAAGUUCAAAAGUCAUUCCGUUAACCAUCCAAAACUCACCCGAGGCCCCCGGGACCUCAACCAAACAUAUCAUCAAGUCCCAAAAUAUCAUACGAACUUGGUAGAACCCUCAAAUCACCUCAAACAAUGCUAAAACCAUGAAUCAUAUCCCAAUUCAAGCCUAAUGAAACUAAGAACUUUCCACUUCUACAAUCAACGCCGAAACCUAUCAAAUUAAGUCCGAUUGACCUCAAAUUUUGCACAUAAGUCGUAAAUGAUAUAACAGACCUGUUCCAAUUUCCAGAAUUGGAUUUCGAUCCCGAUAUCAAAAAGUCAACUCCCUCGUCAAACUUCCCAAAAAUUCAACUUUCUCCAUAUCAAGCCUAAUUCCACUACGGACCUCCAAAUCACAAUCCAAACACGCUUCCAAGUCCAAAAUCACCCAACAGAGCUAACGAAACCAUCACAAUUCAAAUCUGGGGGGUCGUUUACACAUAAGUCAACAUCCGGUCAACUUUUCCAACUUAAGUUUCCAUUAUGAGACUAAGUAUCUCAAUUCACUCCGAAAUCUUUUCGGACCCGAACCAACUAACCCGGUAAGUCAUAAGACAACUGUAAAGCAUAAAUUGAGCAGUAAAUGGGGGAACGAGGUUAUAAUACUCAAAACAACUGGCCGGAUGAUUACAAAGAUUUUGGGUGGCGGCUAGGGUUUCUUAGAGAAGAAAAGAGUAGAGAAUUUAGGGGAGACUGGAGUGUGAGAAUGAGAUUAGGGCUUAGGGUGAGGGGAUAUAAGGAAAGGGUAGGGAUUAUUAUGGGCUGUUGAUCAUCUGAGAUCAACGGUCGUGAUUAAAGGAAAGUGGGGUGGGUCGAGUAAAUGGGUCCCGACCGGGUUGGAACAAAAGGGGUCGUUUGGUUUGGGCCAGCGCAGAUUGGGGUUGGGAUCAUUUGUUUGGAUCUUAAUUGGUCGGGAAAUAAGGCAUAAUUUAGGCCAAAUUUUGAAGUAGGGGGAUUAAGAGGAAAUAAUUUUAAUAAAAUAUAAAAGAUGCUAUUUAUGCAACUUAAUACUUUAAAAUAAUAGUUGAAAAUUAUUAAAAAUGUAAACAAUUAUUUUGUCCUUAAAUAAAAUGACAAAUGCAAUUUAUUGUAAAAUAUGGGCUAUUAUUGCAAAAUUACGUAUUUGGCAUGAAACGUGCAAAUGUAAUUAUAUAAAAUGAAGUAAAUUAUUAUAACACAGAUAUGUGAAUGCAAAUAAUAGAGUUGGAUGGUUAAAUCAUCACAAAAUAAUUUUAAGGGGGUAAUUAAUACAUAUUCAAUUAAUUUAUCUGCAAGAAAAUCAGUUUUAAAGCUUUAAAAAUUACGAACAAUUAUAAAACUACUUGUAUAACUAUUGUAAAUNNNNNNNNNNNNNNNNNNNNNNNNNCAAAAUUGGGUAUCAACAGCUGCCCCUCUUUACUUGGGAAUGAUGAAAGAGUUGUCGGGUAAAGAAAAUGAUGACCAAUUUUGUCUGAAAUGAGAGGGGGAUGAUGUGUUUUUAAAAAAUAGGGGACCGAACCCUGGUUCUUGAGUUGCCUAUAUAUCUCUGGUAUUACGGGAAUCAAGCUGUGUGUAGUUUUGGAUCCAACGACGAACGAAACCGAUGGAGUUAUUAUAAGAGUGGUCGUACAUUUCAAAAGGAUAUUUUGGGUAAGAUAGUGUCGUAAGUAACGAAUAAUUUUGGAUGGAGUCAUGGAUGUGAAAUGAAUAUCACAGAUGUACGAGGCAGAUAUUUGGACGGUUAUAGAAUAAAAAGUAAUUAAUUACUGGUCGUCGGUUACGUUUGAGAUAGUCAAAGGAUACGAACGUUGUGAAUGGAAACCGGAGCGAGAAUUGCUCCUGUUUGUAGAACGGUUACCUCCCGAGUGACCUGCAAAACUUAAAACAUGAUGCACACGAAUAUAUGAGGUUAUUGCGUAAUUUAAACAUGAUGAAAAUUCCCUUUUGGACCAUGAGGGUUGUCUUCGGACGUUUGUGGAUGAUGUCCUUGGACCGUGACGUCCUGGGCCAUAAAGCGUAUGAUAAGGGAUUCACAAGCCAUGAAAUGGUGUCCUCGGUCCAUGAGGAUGGUGCCUCUGAACUAUGACGUCUUUGAAUAAUGAUGUGUAGUUUCUAGAGAUCCUCCGGUCUUGGCAUGAUGUCUUCGGGCUAUGAGGAUGAUGCCCUUAGACUAUGACGCCUUCGGACAAUGUGGCGAUGUUUCAUCCCGUGAAAUGCAAAGAUGCUGUAAUAUGGAUCGCUUGUCAAAGAAAACAGGUGAUGCUCAGUCGUAUGCGAGAAUGAGAUGAGGCAAGGUUUUGUCUUGUAUGAGAUGAGGGUAGUAUGGAGACAAUGCUUAGUCUCACGUAGCGAAAAGGCAGUGCUUAGCCUUAUACAAUAUGGAGGCAAUGCUUAGCCUCUUUCAAUGUAUGGAGACAAUGCUUCGUCUAAUGCAGAGAAAAUGCAUUGCUUACCACUUAUGCGAUAUGGAGGCAAUACUUAGCCUAAUGCAAGGUAUGGAGACAAUGCUUAGUCUCAUGCAGAGAAAAGGCAGUGCUUAGCCUUAUGAAAUAUAGAGGCAGUGCUUAAUCUCAUGAUAGAAAACCAAUGAAUAAUUGCUAGAGAGUAAAUCAUUUCUUAGCUUGAUGUGUUAGCGUUUGGCGAUUCUUGUUGGUGUGAAGAUAGUGAUCUUGCUAUGUGUAUGUAUUUGCAGAUGUUCCUGUUAUGUUCAUUAUGCCUGUGGCCAAAGAAAAAUCGUGAGUUUUGGUCAGGGGGAAUGUUGGUUCGUGCUCUCGAUUCCUUGCUUCACCAUUACUCUUGUCUUGAGGUCUUGCUUGAGUCACCUUGGGUAACGUCUGGCUGCCAUAGAAACAAAAUUUCGAAAAACAUGCAUGCAUUUGACAAAUUAUUUGUAAAAAUGUAGUUGUUUGAAAUAUGUGAUAAUGCACAAGAUCAAAUAAUUUUGAUGAACUGAUGAUUGCGACGUAUUUUUGAGACAUUUCAACCUCCUUGAUUCGGAAUUUUGAGGAUCCUCCUCAAAAUUCUGCCCUAAUUUAAAUGCGUACUUCUGGCGCUACAUUCUUGGCGGUUCCAAACACGAUGAGAUCAGGAAAACUCGAGAUCUUGCCCCAGUUUCUGACCAUAGGGGGAAUGAAGAUUUUAUUAUUAUGUGACCAAAGCCACAGGGCUGCCUACGUAUCCCCUCUUAAACGAGAAUUAGGCCGAGUGUAGUUCAGUUACGUCAAAUAGAAAGUGCAAACAUAAUCUUAAACAUAGUAUCUCUUGACUGCGUCCGAAUUGAUGGGUUUUAGACAUAUCUCCCCAUCCAUCUCUGCAAGUAUAAGUGCUCCUCCUGUUAAUACCCAGUGAACCAUGUAAGGGCCUUGCCAGUCAGGUGAGAAUUUCCCCUUUGCUUCAUCCUGGUGUGGGAAGAUUCGCUAUGGUACCAAUUGCCCCAGCAUGAAUUGCCUCGACCUGACCUAUUUGUUGAAAGCUCUUUCCAUUCUAUUCUGGUAGAGUUGACCGUGACAUACUGCGUUCAUUCUUUUUCCAUCGAUGAGAGCUAAUUUUUCAUACCGGUUCCAUAUCCAUUCUACGUCGCUGAGCUCGGCUUCUUGUAUGAUUCUUAAAGAAGGGAUUUCCACUUCGGCGGGGAUAACAGAUUCAGUACCGUAGAUCGGGUUACCAAAGUUGAGGUACGAUCUGUGGUGCGAUACCCGAGCAAAGCAAACAGUAGCUUCUCGUGCUAUUAUUUGUAAUUAUCUACCAUUUUCCUUAAUAUCUUCUUAAUGUUCUUGUUGACGGCCUCUACGGCUCCGUUCAUUUGCGGUAUGUAUGAUGUAGAGUUCCGAUGCUUGAUCUUGAAUGUUUCACACAUGGCUUUCAACAAGUCUCUAUUAAGAUUGGCAGCAUUGUCAGUAAUGAUUGACUUAGGUGCUCCAAAUCGACAAACGAUGCGGUCUCGAACAAAAUCUGCUAUAAACUUCUUAGUUAUAGUCUUAUAGGAUGCGGCUUCAACCCUUUUUGUGAAGUAGUAUAUAGUCACCAGAAUGAACCUAUGUCCGUUUGAAGUAGCGGGUGUUCGAUUGGUCGAAUGACAUCUAUACCCUAAGUGAAGAAGGGCCAGAAUGAACUUGUUGCAUUAAGUUCGUUGGGUGGUACCCGUAUCAUGUUAGCAUGUAUCUGGCAUUGGUAAAGCUUUUGAACAUAUUUGAUGUAGUAUGUUUCCAUAGUCAUCCAGAAAUACCCUGCUCUUAAUAUCUUCUUGGCCAGAACGAAACCAUUUGUGUGGGGUCUGCAAGUUCCGACAUGUAUUUCUUCGAGCAAUCUAGACGAAUCCUUGGCAUUGACACAUCACAACAAACCUAAAUCAGGGGUCCUUCUGUACAGAUUCCUCCACUUUGAAAGAAAUGGUUGGCCAAUCUUCUAAUCGUGUGCCUCUGAGUAUGGGUAGUGUGCUCUGGAUAUUCUCCUUUUUCCAAGUAAUUCUUGAUGUCGUGGAACCACCUAUUUCCGUCAAUCUCUUCUUCAACAUGAGCUCAAUAAGCUAGCUGCUUAUGAAUUCCUAUUGGGAUAGGAUCAAUGAAAUUCUUAUCUAGGUGUUUUAUCAUGGAAGACAAAGUAGCUAAUGCAUCUACAAACUCAUUCUUAAUCCUUGGAACAUGUUUGAACUCUAUCUUUGUGAGCCUCUUGAUCAGCUCUUGUACACAGUGCAAAUAUGGUAAUAUUUUGGUGUUCUUUGUAGCCCAUUCUUCAAGAAUCUGGUGCACCAACAGAUCUGAAUCUCCGAUUACCAGCAACUCCUGAAUGUUUAUGUCAAUGGCCAACCUGAGUCCCAGGAUGCAAGCCUCAUAUUCCGCCAUAUUGUUGGUGCACAGAAACCUAAGUUUUGCGGAUACCGGAUAAUGUUGACCGGUUUCUGAUACUAAGACAACUUUGAUACCCACUCCUUUGAAGUUUGUUGCUCUGUCCAAGAACAUCCUCCAACCAUCGUACGCCUUGGUGAUAUCUUCUCCUACAAACGACAUCUCCUCAUCGGGAAAAUACAUUUUCAAUGGUUCAUAUUCUCCGUCUACGGGAUUUUCUUCCAAGUGAUCCGCCAAGGCUUGCCCUUUGACUGCCUUUUGAAUUACAUAGACGAUGUGGAACUCACUUAGCAAUAUUUUCCACUUUGCUAACUUAACCCUAGGUAUGGGUUUAUGAAAGAUGUAUUUUAGCAGAUCCAUCCUUGACAUGAGAUAUGUAGUGUACGCAGAGAAAUAAUGUCUCAGCUCCUGGCUAUCCAUGUCAGAGCACAACAAGUUCGUUCUAACAAAGAGUACUGGGCUUCGUAAGGCAUGAAUGUCUUGCUCAGAUAAUAUAUCGCAUGCUCCUUCCUUCCAGUUUCAUCAUGUCGUCCUAGAACGCAACCAAAAGCCCCAUCCAACACAGAUAGAUAAAGCAGCAGAGGUCUUCCUGGUUCUGGUGGGACCAGCACAAGCGGUUUAGAUAAAUACUCCUUGAUUUUGUCGAAGGCUUUCUGGCAUUCCUCAGUCAACAUCUUUCCUCAACAUUCUGAAGAUUGGCUCACAUAUCACCGUUGAUUCUGCUAUAAAUCGGCUGACGUAAUUGAAGCACCCUAGAAAACUUAUCAUAUCUUUCUUAUUCUUUGGAGGCGGCAAGUCCUGGAUAGCUUUGAUUUUUGACGGGUCUAACUCAAUACCUCGGCGACUAACGAUGAAACCUAACAACUUUCCAGUAGGGACUCCAAAGGCACAUUUUGCAAGAUUCAACUUCAAAUUGUAUUUCUGAAGCCGGUCAAAAAUUUCUUCAAAUCUGCUAUGUGAUCCGAACUCCUUUUAGAUUUGAUGAUAACAUCAUCCACGUACACCUCUAUUUCCUUGUGUAUUAUGUCAUGGAAAAAUAGUCGUCAUGACCCUCAUGUAGGUGGCCCCAGCAUUCUUCAAACGAAAUGGCAUCAUUUUGUAAUUAUAUAUUCCCCAUGGUGUGAUAAAGACGGUCUUUACGGCUUCCUCUUCAUCCAUCCAGAUCUGAUGGUAUCCUGCGAAGCAAUCCAUGAAGGAUUGGAGUUCAUUCUUGGCGCAGUUGUCAAUCAGUAUAUGUAUGUUGGGCAGUGGGAAAUCAUCCUUAGGACUUGCUCUAUUCAGAUCUCGGUAAUCAACACAUACUCUAACUUUUCCAUCUUUCUUCGGAACUGGCAUAAUGUUGGCCAACCAGGUCGGGUAUUCGACUACUCGAAGAACCUUGGCUUUGAUUUGCUUGGUGACUUCCUCUUUUAUCUUCAAUCUCAUAUCUGGCUUGAACUUUCUGAGCUUCUGCUUUACCGGUAGACACAUGGGAUUGGUGGGUAGCUUGUGAGCUACUAUGGAUGUGCCUAAACCAGUCAUAUCAUCGUAGGACCAUGCAAAGAUGUCCUCAUACUCCUUUAGGAAUCUGAUAUACUCGUCUUUCUCUGACGGUGAUUUAUGAAUGCUUAUUGUCAUGGGCUGCUUUCCAUCAUCGACCCAUGACCCCUUGGACGCACCUCGUGGCGUCCUGGCAAGCCUCCCAAUGCCUAGCACCACAGUCGGCCCCGUGGUUUUGGCAGCGCCAAGUGACAAGCGCGCAUGCGCCUCUGUCGCCCCACCAAUAAUCAGUGCCAGUGCCCAGCGGCUGGCAAAUGCCAACAGUGUCGCGCGCACCGACAAUACCGCAUGCACAAACCAUCAUGUUGCCAAUAGCACCGCACGCACAGACAGUGCCCCGCACACAGAUCCAAUGCCAAGCACCAGUGCCCAGCCGCAGGCAAAUCCAAAUAGUGCCGCGCGCGCCGACAGCAAUACGCGCGCAGACCCUGAUGCUCAAGACAAAGUUGGUGCCAUCGGACUUGCUUCUACCUUGUAGAAGACUAAGUCCUUUUCAUUGUAAUUAUAGAGUAGUUGUACUUCAUUCAUUUUCAGUGUGCUUCUACAUCUUUCAUAGGUCAACUCAUGUAACUUUGGUUUAUUUGUUUUAAGCAUUAUUAAGGGGGACCAAAGCAUUCAAACAUUCAAGCAAUCAAACAAUUUUCUAUACUGGUGUCUCUCCCCCCGACACCGCAUAGCAUUUUGUAAUAGCUUUCAUCAUCAUCAAUAAAAUCAUCAGCUUUCAUCAUUAUUGCUCAUUUUCGCUGCUCAAUUGCUCACGACAUUGGUUUUUCCAUACGAAACUGACAAUCUAGUCUAGCGUAUAGAAGGGGCCUCAGUUGGCGCAUAGCAACCGCACUGACAUCAGUUGCUUAGCCUUACGUCGCCCUUCCAAGGAACUUAAGGAAGGCGCCGCAUAACAGUUGAUAUCAGAGCCUAUGCUCGACAUCGGAUGAGGGAACUCAUUGCCAUCAUCACCCUUUCUGACCAUGGUGAAUUACGGGGAUCGCAUCACGACCCUGCAAAGGUUGGACGACCAGGACCGCAGAAUGCGGUAGGCUGAAGUUGACAUAGCAAACAUCAGUUGCGACUCUGAGGAAGACCGGCAUACGACAGCAGUUGAGGCAGCCACAAUUCAUGGUAAAUUCGACGACCUCCAACAGGAGCGUGCCGAGGAUUUAGCCCAUCGUGACCUAGAGGCAGACAGACUGACUGCCAUGCAGCAAACCAUAGACAACUUUACAGGCCAACUCAAUGUUGUCAAUGCUUCCCUUCAAAGCCUACUCAAAGGAGGCGAAAACCAAAUCAGGGUUGCCAUGAACAUUGGCCCAAUGCCACAAAAGCUGAAAAUCCUGGAGCCAAAGCCAUACAACGGAGCUCGGGAUGCUAAAGAAGUGGAAAACUUCAUCUUCGACAUCGAACAAUACUUCGAUGCCAUAGGACAGUUGGAAGAAUCCAAAAAGGUAGCAACUACUACCAUGUAUCUUAAAGGAGAUGCAAAACUCUGGUGGCGAGUCAAAUACGAAGCCAUCAGGGCCGGUGAAGAUACUCUCAACACAUGGGCAGAACUGAAGGCAGCCAUACGCCUGCAAUUCUUCCCCGAAAAUAUGGAAUACAAUGCACAGAGAAAGUUGCAUGAACUCCUCCACACCAGGUCAGUGCAGGACUACGUGCGUGAAUUCUCCGUACUCAUGCUAAACAUACGGGAUAUGGGGGAUAAAGGCAAAUUGUUCGCAUUCAUAGAAGGUUUGAAACCUCAUGCUCGUAUGGAGCUGCAAAGACAAAGGAUAGAUACCCUACCCAAGGUCAUUCAAGAUGCAGAUUGCCUUAGGGAUUAUCAUAUGAAAACUCAGAAGGAUAGGCCCCGGCCGCCUGUCCGAUGGGGAUACAACGGGAGCCAACCUAGAAACGGUGGCCCUAACAGAAAUGGAGGAGAUCAAGGUGCAUCCAAAUCCAAGACUCCUUCCUAAAGCAGCAAUAGUGUUGCAUCAGUCAACAACAAUCAGGGGAGAAAUCCCCUUUCAGAAUACCGUCAUUGCGGCGGGGAACAUUGGAACAAUCAAUGUCCCAAUACACAGAUCAAUGCUCAACAGACUGUUGAAGAUGAGUCAGAUCCUGACGACUCAAACAACGCAGAGCAAGUAGGUGCCUUCAACAUAUUUGUUGGCUCCAUUCAUAAUACCUUUGUGGGAACCAGUGCUGGUAACCCCAAGAAGAAUGCCUGACCAAUCAUCAAGAAAGGGAAAGAAAAGGCAGAUGAGAAGCCUCUCACCACACAAAAGAGGACCUUAAUGUUCGUCGACAUAAAAGUAAACGGCAAACCUAUUCGGACAUUGAUAGACACGGGUGCUACCCACAACUACCUGGCCUCAACUUAGGUGCAGCACCUCGGUCUAGCGGUGAAAAAGAGUAGGGGUCGUGUCAAGGCUAUCAACUCUCCAUAUCAGUCAGUGAGUGGAAUAGCCAAAGAAGUGCCAAUGAAGCUUGGACCAUACAAGGGAAUAUUCGACCUACGCAUAGCUAUCAUCGAUGACUUCGAAGUGAUAGUGGGAUUGGAAUUCCUCAUGAAAACAAACUCCAUCCUGGUGCCAUAUGCCAACAUGCUCCUACUGAUGGGAGACAACAGGGCCAAAUCCCGCGCCAUACCAUGCAUACCUAUAAAGAUGGCCGCUGAAAGCAUCUCGGCCAUGCAGUCAAAGAAGGGAAUCAACAAACCUGAACCAACGGUUCCGGCUGCCCUCAACAUCAUCAAUCAAACAUCAGAUCAUCGGUGCCCAAUAACUCAUGGCACCCCUCAGUAUGUGAAGACUUGUCAAGCAUGCCUAAAGGACAAGUCGGAUCACUCAGCACAAGCGGGACUCUUGGAGCCGCUACCUGUCCCACAAAGAACUUGCGAAAGUCUUUCCCUGAAUUUCAUCACAGGAUUACCCAAGGUCGGAAAUAUUGCAACUAUCAUGGUGGUAGUAGACCGAUUUUCCAAGUAUUCUACCUUCAUAGCAGCCCCACAAAACAUAUCGGCAGAAGAUACAGCUCGACUCUUCUUCUCUCAUAUAGUCAAAUAUUGGGGCAUGCCUAAAGACAUCAUUAGUGACUGCGACCAACGCUUCACUAGCAAAUUUUGGACCCAUAUCUUCAGUUGCCUCGGAUCCAAAUUGAGUCAUAACUCAAACUUCCAUCAACAAACAGAUGGCCAGCCAGACCGGUUCAAUGACAUGCUGGAGGAAUAUCUCUGCCAAUUUGCAACCGGGUCACAAACACAUUGGGUGAAGCUUCUGGAUGCUUCUCAGCUGUGUUUCAAUUCACAAAAGUGCGCCGAUACAAACAAAAGCGCUUUUGAAAUUGUUACCGGACAGCAACUGCUACUCCCACAGACGGUGAAUGCACCAAACAUACCAAUAUCAUCUCGAGCUGCCAGUUUCUCACAAGAAUGGGAGCAAACUUCUACGAUAGUGUGGAUUUAUCUUGUCCAAGCCCAAGAUAGGGCAAUGAGAUAUGCCGAACAAAACCUUCGCUUUGCCCAACAUCAAGCAGGGGAGAAAGUGUUGGUAAGAACCCCGAGGUGGAAUUUGUUUGCAAAGAGGACCCAAGAUCCUCACAUAUUGCAAAGAUACAUCGGACCUUUUUCCAUUGAAAGGCGCAUCAAGAAAUUCACAUACCAGUUGAACACACCAGCCUGGUGGAAAAUCCAUCUAGUCUUCCAUGUCAACCGCCUCAAGUCAUUUCAGAAAUACAUGGAAGAUCAUUCAGAAAGCCAUCUCACAACACCAAGGGGAACAGACCUCCCAGCCAACAAGAGCCUGACCAAUCAUCAUCAUCCGACAGGUAAGGCUCCGAGGACGUCGCCAACUCAGGUGGGGGAGAAUGUCAUGGGCUGCUUUCCAUCAUCAACCAUGACCCCUUGGACGCGCCCCGUGGCAUCCUGGCAAGCCUCUUAAUGCCUAGCACCCAGUCGGCCCCGUGGUCUCAGUAGCGGCACGUGACACGCCGCAUGCGCCUCUGUCGCCCCAUCGAUAAUCAGUUCCAGCGCCCAUUGGCUGGUGAAUGCCAACAGUAUCGCACGUACCGACAAUGUCGCACGCACAAACCAUCAUGUUGCCAACAAUUCCACACGCACAGACAGUACCCCGCGGGCAGAUCCAAUGCCAAGCGCCAGAGCCCAGCCGCAGGCAAAUCCAAAUAGUGUCGUGCGCGCCGACAGUAAUGCGCGCGCAGACCUUGAUGCACAAGACAAAGUUGCUGCCAUCGGACUUGCUUCUACCUUGUAGAAGACUAAGUCCUUUUCAUUGUAAUUAUAGAGUAGUUUUACUUCAUUCAUAUUCAGUGUGCUUCUACAGCUUUCAUAGGUCAACUCAUGUAACUUUGGUUUGUUUUUUUAAGCAUUAUUAAGGGGGACCAAAGCAUUCAAACAUUCAAGCAAUCAAACAAUUCUCUAUACUGGUGUCUCUCCCCCCAACACCGCAUAGCAUUUUGUAAUAGCUUUCAUCAUCAUCAAUACAAUCAUCAGCUUUCAUCAUCAUUGCUCAUUUUCGCUGUUCAAUUGCUCACGACAUUGGUUUUCCCGUACGACACUGACAAUCUAGUCUAGCGUACGGAGGGGAACUCAGUUGGCACAUAACAACCGCACUGACAUCGGUUGCUUAGCCUAAUGUCGCCCUUCCAAGGAACUUCAGGAAGGCUCCACGUAACAUUAUACGCGUUUCCUUGACCAUUUCGGAAUCCCCUAAUUUAACGACCUCAAUUUUCUCCAAAUUAGACUUCGGUUUGUUUUCAAAAUUCUCUACUUCUCUGACGAUUUCCUCAGGUAUUAUAUCAUCUUCCAGAUCCUCUGAAUCACUAUCCUUAUGUUUAUUGUCUCAAUAUAUGUCACAGUCGUGGUUCUUUAGGAUAUGUAAUAAUUAUGCUGAAAAGAAUGUAGAAAGAUAAUAAUAAAUAUGAAAAGUAGUAAUGCAUUAAUAAAACUUUAAAAAUGUUAACAAGUACGACUCGAUGGCUCGAGUAAUUAUUUCAAAAUAAAAUAUUGAAAAAUGUCUUAAAUGCUCAAAACUAUUUGAAAAUAAUUCAUGCUAAUUUGCCAGGCUACCCAGGAACUCGGUGAGCUCGGGAUGGUGCAACGGUCCAAUUCUUGAGAAUAGCUCCUUUUUCCAUGGUUUGAAUGGUAAGUUCUUCCUCCUCCUCCUCCUCAACAAUUGCACUGUAGUCUAUGUCUUCUUCAUCUAGAAACAACUUCCUCAUGCCAUCCAAAACCUCAUCUUCCUCAGAUCCUCACAUCAUGUCAGCCUGAUGGAAUGUCUGGUGCAGAGGUUGUAUGGGUUGUUCCAGUGGAUAAUAAGGAGCACGCCAUGGAGGUGACCAAUCCUGAUAUUCUUGCCAUGUGUAUUAAUAUUCGAGUCCAAAGGUCGUGCCAUGGUACUGUGGUUGUACAGGUUUGGUGAUCCCCUGAAGCUUUUGCCGAGACCCUUUCCUAGUUCAUACUCCAUCCACAUCAAUAUUAUUUCUAUCUUGUUUCUCCACCAUCGGUCCUUUUCAAUUGCGUUAACCCGUUCAAUGCGAUGAUGUGUUUCUCCACCCAGCUUCCUUCUAUUUUUGACGACUGAAAUGGUCUGGUUGGUGUAUAUGGGGUUGUUCACAUCUCUAUAGAUGAUCACCUCCGGAUGAUUCCACUCAAACUUCAUAGCCUGGUGUAGAGUUGAAGCCACUGCCCCGACUGCAUGUAUCCAUGACCGUCCCAACAAUAGAUUGUAAGUAGCAGAUAUAUCUAGCACUUGGACCCAUCUGUAGAUUGAGGUUGAUUUCUCCAAUGCUGGCUCUCUCAGAUCCAUCAAACGCCUUCACAUUCGUGCUUCCCAUUCGUAUCUCGUGCAGGACUUUACCCAGUCUCUUUAGAGUGGUCAAUGGACAUAUGUUAAGACUCGAACCUCCAUCUAUCAAGACCCUGGUGAUGAACUUAUCUUUGAAUUGCACCGUGAUGUGCAAUGCCCUGUUAUAACUCAGUCCUUCUGGUAGUAAUUUAUUUUUGUGGAAAGUGAUUUUGUGGCUCUCCAAUACCUGUCCAACUAUGUUAUCCAUCUCUCCACUAGAGAUUCCGGCGGGUACAUAAGCUUUACUUAACACCUUCAUCAGAGCAUCAUUUUGCGUGUCUGAGUUUUGCAGUAGUGAUAAGAUGGAUAUUUGAGCAGGAGUUUUGUUCAUGUGGUCAAUAACAGAGUACUCCCUUGCUUGUAUCUUCAUCCAAAGAUCGUCAGUGCCAGUCUCGACAACAGGCGCCUUAGGUGUAGCUUCCUUACUCGUUCCUCCCAGAUUUUCAGUUGUGUAAACUCUGCCAGUUCUAGUCAUACCUUGCGCGAUAACUAUUUCUUGCACUUUUGCUUUUCUCUUUCUUCUUGCUUCUGCAACAUAAUCCCAUGGGAUGGCAUCAGACUUGUAAGAUGGUGUGGGAGCUACCAUCACAGUGAAGGGUGUAGUUACAUCAACUUCAAAUGGCGCCUAAGUUUGUACCACAACUGGCGUGAGGAUGACCGAAGUUGUUUUAGGGGUGUCUCAUUCUCGAAUGAGUCCGAAGGACCCUUCCUGAUCCUAUUCCUCAUCAAUUUCUAUCACAUUCACUCCCUCACCUCUGUGAUCUGGAAGAGGGUUGUUGCGAACAUUUGGUCUAGAUUCCUUUGCUUAUAUAACCUCAGUGUCGAUCAAUGUAUGAAUCUUGUCUUUCAACGUGCGACAUUCCUCAAUGGUAUGACCUUUCAUGCCUGAAUGAUAAGCACAUAUUUUGUUGGGGUUGAUCCAUUGGGAAGGAUUAUCCACAACAAAGACAGGAAUAAGGGUAACAUAACCAGCAGCCUUCAGUCUCUCAUACAGUUGGUCUAUGGGUCAGCAAUUGGGGUGUAUUGUCUAGGAGGUCCGCGGUCAAAAUUUGGGCGUGGCUUCGGGUAGUUUUGGCCUUCGGGUAGAGGUGAAUGGUAAUAUGCAGGUUGAGCAUUGUAGGUAUGGUAGGUGGCAGGGUAUUGGUAUUUCAGGGGUGAGGGUUGAUAUGUGGAUGGAGGUGUUUUGUAUGUGAGGGGAGACUUAGGGCCCUCGACUACCAUCACGGUACACACUUCUUUCUUCUUUAAAAUAUCCCCUGAUUGCAAAGCUUUAUUCAUGGCCUGCAGUACCUCGAAAUUGGUUACCAUCCCAUUCUUAAUUCCUUCUUCUAUUCUUUCUGCUAGCUUGAUGAUGUCGUAGAACUUGUGAUUUUCAAUAACCAUCAACAUUUUGUAAUACUGGGGGUCUUGAGCUCUGAAGAAUUUUUUUUUUAUUUGUUCUUCUUCAAGUGCUAGCCUUACCUUUGCAGCCUCUGAUCUCCGACGAGUAGCAUACUCGCGGAAGGUUUCUGUCGGCUUCUUCUUGAGGUUUUGAAUGUAGAAAAUGUUUGGCGUAUUUUUCGUGUUGAACCUGAAUCUAUCCUUGAAAUCUGAUGCCAUACUUACCCAACUAACCCACUUAUUUGUGUUUUGAGUGAUAUACCAAGACAAAGAGUCUCCCGUAAGGCUUCGCAUGAACAAUUUCAUGCAAAUUUGUUCAUUCUUGCCCAACCUACAAGCUUGUCACAGUAUGUUCUCUGAUGCACCUUCGGAUCACCGGUACCAUCGAAUAUUUUGAACUUGGGAGGUUUGUAACCCUCCGACAGUUCCAUAUCCGGUUGAAUACAUAGGUCCUCAUAGUUUAGACCUUCAACGCCUUUACUGCCUUCAAUACUCUGGACUCUUCCUGUGAUCUUCUUGAGCUCCUUUGCCAUGUUUAUAAUGAGCAGGUCCUUUUCAGUCGAUUCGGGUAUGUAUAGGGUUUGUUGCGGGGUAUGGGAUAAGGUUUCCACAUAUAUCGGGUUGCUUUGAUGAGUUCCCGAAACUUGGGUAUAUAGAUGGUCAUUGGUCGAGUUCUGGGGAUCAGGAGUGGGUUACAGUGCAUUUUGAGGGGUGUGAUAAGUAAUUGUUUGCGGUUAUUGAGUUAGAUGAUGGUGGUGUUGUUGUGGGGUCGGCACUGGUGGCGGGUUAAGGUUCUAGGGAGGUUCGGGAUAAUGGUAUGGUGCGGAAGGAUUUGGUGGUAGAUUUUGGUUUUUUGUGUUUUGUGGUGGUGUUUGGUUCUGUGUAUUCGGGUUUUGGUGGUUGAUGUCGGGAAUAUUGAGAGUAAGGGAAAUGUUUGCAAAAUUUCGGACCUGCUCAAGCUCGCCCUGUAGUUCUAGGAUUUUCUGCUCCAAACGUAAGACCAACUCAUUUUGCCCCGGAGUACUUCUGCCAUCUGAAGUUUCCACAUUUUCUGCCACAAUAGCAUUGUCUUUCCUGAUACUUAAAUCAUCCAUCUUCCAUUUUCCCUUUCUUUUGCUUUCGGGUCGCUUGGUGGAGGAGGAGGUGGAGAAUCUCUGGAUCUAGUAUGGCAUGCUAAUGAUGCCAGUAUGUAUGAACCAACCUUUGGGAAUGGGAAUAAUCAAAAACUAAAAGAAAAAGCAAAACGUAACCAAGUUAGUAAGGUGAAAAUAAAAGAAUGUUUGCAGUAUUUAAACAUGUUUCACAAAGUCAUGCAAUAAUUCGCGUCCUAAUUUUAGGGACAUCAUUGUGUCUGAGGUAGGCCUAAGCGACACAUAGACUUGGAGAAAAUUGAUGCCAACUUUGCUUUAUUUCAUUAAUGCGAAAAUAGGCCAAAUCAAACUUUCACUAAAUCGACAAUAAUAAUAAAGUCACUAAUGGCAUCAAGCCUUAUUAAAUCAAAAUCUAAGCUAGAAAGUUUUAAAGAACAUUAUCUCCUAAUCUACUGGGUCCCUAAAGGAUCUUCUCUAUGCUUAGCUCUCUUGUCUCCAUCAAUUAGGUUUCCCAGAUCGCGCAUAUCCAACAGUAAGUAAGCUUUUGCCAGAUUUCCUCCUUCAUCGUCGUUCAUGCCUUGACAGUCCGAGAGUCUCAUUCUAUCUUCCCUUCUAGCUCCAUUAGUUUGUGUUCCAAGUAUUCCAAUCUUUUUGUUGACUUAGUGACAAUCUCCUUCCAUUCCCUUAUCGCCUUCAUGUUCACUUUGUGCUUCUCCAGAUGUUUAGCUUCGGACUCGAACACCCUUUUGUGUAGCCUCUUAUACUUAACUUGUGCCUCAUCCACUUCAUCUAUGAUCCUAUCCUUCAGAUUGACUCCUGGCUUGAUGUCCCUUGCUACGUCGUCUUCCAGCCAUGAUAGAUAGUAGUACAUAUGACCAGCGGGAUACCUGUCCGACUCGAUAGUUUCUCCUUCCACAAUGAUCUUUCGGUUCCACAUAUGUUGCGCCUCUAACUUGAAUGGAAUGACGUCUCCCUUGAAAUCUGCUUUGUAUUGGACUAUAUUGGAAACUCGAGGUAUGACUUGUUUCCUUUUAGCUUGUCUCACUACCCUUAUAGGAGCGUAAGGAUAGAUUCCUUGCAACCCAAUCAGUGCCAAAUGAGUAGUCCCCCUUGACCUGAUGAUGAACUCACUACUAGGAAACCAUUCAAACAUCUAAUGUACCUGCUCGUCUGUCAGAUUGCUGAAGAAACACACCCAACUUACAGCAUUUCUAGGCUAUGCAAACCUGUCCAGAAUAAACGUCAUUUUCUUUGGGUUAUGGUUAGCUACAUAGUCAUUCAGUGGCUUUCGCAGAAGCUCUUGACGGUACUCUCCUCUCUGAAAGUGUUCUAGCAGCCAGACUUGUACCAAUAGAUUAUAACCCUCAAAUUGUCCAAAUCCCUACUUGCACUGAUUUAUAGCGUGGUACAUCUCAGCUAAGAUCAUAGGGAUGUUGGUAUAAGUUUGUCCCUCGAUGCCAUCCAUCAAGGUCCUGGCGACCAUGGCUAAGCGAGUAUGAAUCAUUCCUCCUUUCAUUGGAAAUAUCAACAACCCCAAGAAACAGACGACGAACAUAUAAACCCGCGGUGCACCCAACCCAAGGAAGUAAUGGCGAGUUCAUCAUGGUGAUGAUGAUACGACUUACUAUGCCCAUAACGCUCGUAAAGAAAUUCAAAAAGGAUGUAUGAUUUCUUUAGACAUAGAAGUUCAUCAUUCUUCUUAAAACCCAACAUUUUCAGAAAACCGUGGGGAGUGCGAUUCUUUGGUACUAGUAAUCCCGGACUAUCCCAUAAUAACUUGGCAAAGCCUCCUAUUUAUUCUAAAAGAGGAGUCAUUUCUAUAUUGCCAAAUCGGGAAACAUCUCUUUUCUCAUCCCAAAACAUAGUAGCGGCCUCAAUCAGUUCCCUUUUUGGUCGAAUGUUUAGCAAUGAUGGCAGGUCAUCAAGUACUCUCCUCACAUAUUUUUUGUCGCAAAGUGCAAGGUCUUUCCACCAGUCAAGUAGCAAAUGUGGGAUGUUUUAGACCAUACCGAACCUCGGGAUUUCAUGCUUUAUUUUCUGCAAACAAACAAAGGUUAGCCCUUUCCCCCUCCAGAUUUGACUACUUAUGAAACAAUGAUCAACACGUUGGCACAUUUUCUCCAAAAAUGCAAAUAAUAUGAUAGUGUCCAUUGGGAUUGUGAAAAUCCCGUCGGACUUUGGACAAGAUUCAUCUUAGCGGGUCGUUACAUUAAUAACGCUUCAACCCAUACUAGGUUUAGCAUGUUGCAUGUACAUUUCAAAUCGGAGUGGAGUUUCUAGAAUGGUCUAUACUGGUACUCCCAAGUGGACAACUUGAGAGGGAAAAGCGUGGGACCAUCGAUUGUACCGCUGAUCGACUAGUCUACCGCAAAUAAGCCCUUCCUAUUUCAAAAGGGUGGUCUCUGGAAAGCGCGGACACUCAUCAAGCGCUGCUAUAUUGAUAAUUGGCACGAGUGGAGUAUGAUGUGGAGCAUGCUUUAUGCAGAAAUAAUAACACAUUACCAAGUAUUUGCAUAAUAAAAGUAUGUAAAAGCAGUAAAUAAAAUAGCAAAAGUCAACAUGAAAAGAAGAGAAAAGAAAGACAAAACAGAGAAGUCGGAUUAGCUCAUGAAAAUGUGCGAGAACGUAAUGAAGAAGGUGGGGAAAUAGGGAUGGGAGAGUCAUAAUAUAGCAGUCUUAGUCAAGAAGAAAAGAGAUGGAGAAGGUCAUACAUGUCAUAGCAAACAAAGGAGAAUAAUGGAAGGGAUAUACAUGUCAUAGCAAUUUUAAACAAAUAAAGGUGAAUAAAGAAAGGGAUGUGCAUGUAAUAGCAAUUUAAAAAAAAAAUAAAGAAAAAUAAAAGAAAGCAAUCCACAUAAGUCAAGUUCAUUAUGGUAAAAGCCUGAGUAUUUCCCUAGCAGAGUCGCCAUGCUGUCGCGCCCUAUUUUCUCGCGAAAGCGGGCUUUGACAUGUGACAACUCUUUUAAAAGGAGGUAUUAAAAGAGAAAAGUCGCCACCUAACGAUUUUUAAGGUACGUUAGGGCACCUAGUUGCAAAUAACUCUGUUUAACUAGUCAACGCCACCAAAGAUCGGGUAAGGGCUUAAAUUACCUCAAAGAUAAGGUUUUAGAAACUCUUCGAGGUUCACAACUGUAGGUCCCGACCGAAAUUUAGACCAUGUGGAUUAUACAAUUAGGCUAGACGAUCAAAUAAAUAUAAGGGAUGUUUAGAGGUUGUAGAGACAUAUGAGAAUCGGUACAAGUCUUAAUGACUACAAGGAUACAACUACAUUGGUCUAUAUUAAAUGACAAAAUAUAGAUAACAAGUACAAAAAUUAGGGGGGGGGGGGCUAAGUUUUUAGCCUAAAGGAUCACCCCGUACAACAUAAAUAAUACUUUACAACUCCCUUAAAGUAGAGGUUGCUCGUAUUAUUAAGCGGGCACAGACUAUCAUCUCCUGCUACCCGAUUACUAUGUUGAAGGUGUUUACUUAAAAGCAUUCUAAUUCAAUUCUAAGUCGUACCCUGUGCGUGCACUACUCGUCCCAUGCCUAUGGUCCAGGAAGCCUUGGACCUACUAUAAGGUAGUUUUAGACUUUACUUAGGUUGCUAAAAAUGAUAAAAUUAGGCGACAUGCAAAACAGAUAGGACUGCAUAUAAUUGCAAUAAAAGGCUCAAGUAACCUCCACACAUAAGCAGGAAAGCACGCAAACAGAUUUCUGGUUAUGCAGUAGACGACAUUAAGACGUGUUGGAAUCCUUAAGUCAUAUAGGCAUGAUUUCUAUGUGAUUCUGGAUUCCAAUAUUAUAUAGGCAGUGCUGUAAUUUAUGAAGUAACGUAUAGGCAAAUUAGAGCGUUGCAAGUCCUAUAUACAUAAUAUCUAAUCAUUUGUGUAAUAAGGUUUUGAAAACAAUCCCAUAAUUCUGAAUUAGUAAAGCUGAUUUUAUAGAUAUGCCUCUUAGGCAGGCGAUAGUACACUAUAGGUAUGAUCUCUAAUAGUAGCAUAAUUAGGCAGUGAAGUCAUUUGAAAACACAAGAUUAGUAGUGUCAAUAAACAUCCUAUGGGUAGGAUUUCUAACAAUUGACAAUUGGACUUGAUUUUUAAACAAUUUAUCCCUAUAGGCAUGCUAUCUAAAUGAAGCAGUACAAAAGCAGCAUGAAGCAAUUGAUUAAUUAUUUAAUACUUUAUAGUCAUGGUAUCUAGAUAAGUAAAGGUAUUGCAUUGUUAUAUCCUAUAAGCAUGUUAUCUAAUAGUGCAUAGAACGCGAACAAGUGAAACACUUAGGUUCUUACAAACAUGUUUCUGAUAGUGUGCGGGCAUUAGACAGGUUGAGUAAGUGAAGUGUUUGAGUUCCUAUAGGCAUGAUAUCUAAGUGCAAGAAGUCUAGUUUGGAUCCUAUUGGCAAGUUCUCUAGCCAUUCAAGUCAUAACAUUGUGUGCAUAUAAUUCCAGAGAAUAAGGCGUGAUGAAUAAACAAGCUAUUAAGAUCCUAUAGACAUGAUCUCUAACCAUUCAUGCAAAAGAUAAAGUAUCCCAGUUCCCCCUUUUCACUAAUUCCUAGUUGUCAGUUAUUACAAGUAAUUACAGGCCCAAAAAUGAAAUAAUACAGUCUUAAAGAUGACAAAACAUAGGCUGAAAUGAAUACAAGCCGACCAAAGCAAUUACAAGCCCAAUAUAAAAGUAACCCGGGAAUAUCCCAGACCUUCCAUAGUCUUACUCUCCGGACAAACAGCAGGCCCAAACCACAGGCUCACACGAUAACUAGAGUGCACAUGAAUCCAGUGCCCAGGUCCAACAACACCCAUGGCCCAUCUCCAGACCCAAUGAAUAACUUACUUACCCACAUGGAUACUAAAUUUAGCUAUGCAGGUGACUCAAUACUCAUAGAACAACUUAAUCCCUUGGUUCUUAGAGCUGUAGCCAUUAACAGCUCUAGACAAGACAUAUAAAUAGGAUCAUGCUAGAUGGAAAGGCACACAAGGCACAUAUGAGGAAAUCUUAUGCUUUGAAAUUCCAGAAACAGAGUUUGAUAGUGACAAGAUUGACCAUCAUAGGACAGUAAACCAUUUCAGUAAAGCAUGAUCCAGAAACAACCUAAGGACCUUUAGAUGAUAUUCUAACAGAAUUAUGAACAAGAAGCAGGUAGAGUAGAGUCUUGAUAUGAAGGUUUUAACAUGAAAACCUAAUGAGAAUGUGGUUGAAAAUAGCAUAACAACAUGCUAGCGGGCACAAUUUGGCAAACAUACUUGGUUGAUCAUCGAACUUAACCUGAUGAACAUUAAUUAUAACACAAAGAUUCUAAAGAACUCAUAGUAGGCAAAAGAACAUAUCAAUUAUAGGCUAGCAGGACAUGCAUGAAUUAGGAUUCAUGUCAGUCGACCACACAUGAGGGAUAACUAAUCAUUGGUAUUUAUCCUAGAAGCAAUGCUAAAGGGUGCAGGAUUGCCCAGUCAGGCAAUACAAUUGCCAGAGUUACAAAUCACAGACAAAAAUGCUUGGUUAGAGAUUAAGACAAUGCUAUAACAUGGGAGAGCGAAGGAUCAGUUUGCAUGAAAUAAUAGGUUAUACAUAAAGGAUAUAGUAGGAAGAGAUUCAUUAAGGUAGACUUUGAGCAAGAAGUUUCUACAAAAGGUCCCAGAAAUCCAAGGCAUGAAUAUGAACUCAUAAUAGAUAAAGGACACGACAUUGAUGCUAACAUGAGCAUGACCAAUUAGACAACACCUAAGAAGGCCAGAAACCAUUUGAGUCAAAUACAUAGAGUGAAAGCAUACUACACAUGUUGAAGCCUAUCAAGUCUGAUAUUAAAGAACAUGGAACCGCAGAACGUCAAUAGAACUACAUAAAGCAUACAAUAAUACAACACUGGGAGUUCACAAAUAACAAAGAAACUUAGGUCAUGCUUGUCUAUAAAAGUUCAAACAGUGUUGGCACGCAGAAUACAAAUACAUGAAUAAGUAGAGGAGUAAUAAUUAAGGUUGUAAAGUGUAGAGAAUGCUAACCAGUUGCAAAGAUAAACGAACAAAAGAGCGAGUAACUUAGAAUCUCAGCGAUGACAACAAAGAAAGAUAACAGUGAGAAUCCAGAUCCAAGUGCGUCAGAGUUCACAUGAGCUUCAGUGAGCCCCGAGCAGUGCUUGUACUAGGGACGUUAAUAGAGAAGAUUUGGGUGGCCUUUUCUAUCAGCCGGCCAUAGUUAAGAGAGCAUAAAUACUAUACAAGGUGAAAAGUAAGAGAAUAACAGUAGUUCUUAAGCGAUUAGAGUCUGUCCAAAGGGGAAAUUGGGGAGGGGUUUAUAGAGUAAUAAAAAUCAACACAUAAAUAAGGAAAUACAAUCAAUCGAACAUAAACAAGAAAAGAAGAAUAUGCAAAAAUCAAUUUAGAAGCAGAUUAGGAGAAGAAACCAGGUAAACCAUAGUUUGACUAGGAUCAUAAAUUGGCCGGAGAUCUUGGUGAAUCAAAACCUCAUAGCCUUGCUAUGAAUGUAUACAGAUGAAAUAUCGUCCAAAUCUUGGAGAGUAAAGCCGAUCUCCUUUGACUCAGAGACUGGUACUUUCCAAAAAUGGGCAAGUACCAUGUAACACCAUAUUUACACAAGUAAUAGCAGUAUAAUCCCUAAAAGGUAAGUAAAUCAUGGUAAGAAUUCAUGGAUGAUUUGGAUUCGGAGAAGAUUUUGGGUGGCGGCUAGGGUUUCUCAGAGAAGAGGAGAGUAGAGGAUUUAGGGGUGACUGGAGUGUGAGAAUGGGAUUAGGUUUUAGGGUGAGGGGAUAUAAGGAAAGGGUAGGGAUUAUUAUGGGCCGUUGAUCAUCUGAGAUCAACAAUCGUGAUUAAAGGGAGGUGGGGCGGGUCGAGUAAAUGGGUCUCGACCGGGUUGGAACAAAAGGGGUCAUUUGGUUUAGGCCAGGGAAGAUUGGGGUUGGGCUCAUUUGUUUGGACCUUAAUUGGUCCGGAAAUAAGGCAUAAUUUGGGCCAGAUUUUGAAGUAUGGGGAUUAAGGGGAAAUAAUUUUAAUAAAAUAGCUAAAUAAAAUAUAAAAAAUACUAUUUAUUAAACUUAAUACUUUAAAACAAUAGUUGAAGAUUAUGAUAAAUGUAAAAAAAUAUUUUGUCCUUAAAUAAAAUGACAAAUGCAAUUUAUUGUAAAAUAUAGGCUAUUUUUGUAAAAUUACGUAUUUGGCAUAAAAAGUACAAAUUUAAUUAUAUAAAAUAAAGUAAAAUAUUAUAAAAUAGAUAUGUUAAUGCAAAUAAUAGAGUUGGAUGAUUAAAUCAUCACAAAAUAAUUUUAAGGGAUUAAUUAAUACAUAUUCAAAUAAUUUAACUGCAAGAAAAUCAGCUUUAAAGCUUUAAAAAUUACGAAAAAUUAUAUAAAUACUUGUAUAACUAUUGUACAACAACAAGAUUGAAGAUACCUCGAGAUAUAAAGGUAAUUAUCAUACAAAUGAUUGAGUACCCACACGUAGAAUCCAUGAAUAAUGUGGAAACAAAGAGGUAAUAUUAAUUGCACGAUGAAUGAUGAUGUGAAGGUGUGAUAUUGACUAUAAUUAGAAAAAUUUAAGUUGUGAUGUUUUCAUGAAGAAGAUUGCACGUUUCUUACCUUUAGCAUUAUGAAAAUAGUGUAUGUUAUGAAAAAUUACAUGAAAGUUAUGCGGGUUUAGCCUGAGGCAGUUGUAUUUACCAGUAAUAUAUUUGAGCAUGGACUAAAGGGCAAAAUGCUAGAAAAAGAUUUUUAAAAGUAAACUGGGCAUGAAAAGUGAUAUGCUAACUUUAUUGUUGUACGGGUAGAAAGAGAUGAUACUUGGCAACAUGAGUUGCGACUAGAAGUGUCAUAGUACUUGGGUAUGCGAGGGGAAAAGGAAUCCUUGAUGAGCAUAACCAUUUUUCUUCUAUUGUUAGGAUAGUAGGUACUACUAAGUGUAAUUGCAAAGUAGAAGUCAAGUCUUCGUGAAAAUCUGAAAUGGUGAAUAAGAUUUUGAGCUGGGAAUAAAUAAUUUGUAGUAGUAUAUGGGCGUGUGUAUAAUCAGAUGGAAUGGAAUACGACUUUAAUGAAAUCUUCGAGUUUCAGGUUCAAGUUUUAGAUUUGGAUUUUACGUUUAAGUAAGGGAGCGUCAUAGCAAGUAAAAGUCACCUUAAAGGUGAUGGUUGAAAAAAUAAAAUGUAGAAAUUUUAUUCUCAAAAGAAAGAUGAAGGGAAAACCUUCGGUAAGAUUCCAGAUGAAGUGAGUAAAAUUGUCAUACAGUGCCGGUAUAGGGAUCACAUGCUUAUCACGAGCAAUAUGUACGGUGUUCAAUAUUGGGGUUAUUAAAAGGUACUAUCUAAUAGUCAAAUAUUUAAUGGGCUACUUGAAUAGAUUCUUAUAGCUUUGGAGCAUGUGUCACUUGAAUUAAAUUCAAGCAAUGGCGCAAAAUAAGAAAAUACUUUGGUCAUACAUUGGACUUAGUAGAACAAAUGAAGGUUAUAUUAUGCAUAUUCCUGAAUACAAAAAUACUCUUGCAAACCAAAACAAUGUGCUCCAAUAAGAAGCACGACGUCAAAAAAAAACAAUUAAGUGGUGCAAGUAUUAUCCUAAUAGCAUUGUCACUUUGGAGUUGAAAGCCUACAAUAUAUGAUAGUAUUAUUAUGAUAGGCGCAAUGGCAAAUAUAACUUAAAUUUCUGGUAAGAAAAUAUCAUAAAGAACUUGGUGAUAUCAAUUAGUUGGUUAAGGUUAAGAAAAUAGAAAUAUGUAAUGUGAUGUUCAAGAAUGAAUAGAUACAUGUGCCAUGAAAGGGAAGGAAGCGGAUUGAACAUUUGUCAUAUAGCGGACUUGUUAGCAACCGUAUCAAUCAAUUUUAGAUAUAAAGGAAACUCAAAAGGUUACAUGUGUAAGUGGAGGUAUAAAUCACCCACGUGAUGAAUGGAUCUAAGUAAGACAAUAUCUUAUUGGUAUUCGGAUGGAAUAAAAGAACAUUAUAGAAGGAUUUGAUAACUAGAGAAUUAAGAGUCCUACGAGGACAAACUAUGCUUAGAAGUAAUUUUAUAUUAAUAAUAAAGUCUUUGAAUGGAAGAUUUUUUUUUGUUGCAAGAAAUACUCUUUCACGUGCGACUUGGUGUAUACAUAAUAGAAAGAGAAUACGAAUAUGCAUGACAGUAAUAUGUGUUGCAAUAUAGAGAAACCAAUAUUGGAAUGAGCGAGGUAUAGAUAUGCAACUGUUUAAAAUUGUAAAGAAUUAUUCGAUGCAAUUUUAGUAUAUGCACGGCCAUGUGGGACUUAGAUAUUUUGUUGUUAUACAUUGAGGACGUAUGUGUGGCCGUGCGGGUCCUAGAUAGUUUGUUGUUGUACAUUGAGCAUAUAUGUGUGGCCGUGUAGGGCCUAGACAUCAUAUUAUGUAAAGAUAUUUGGUUGUUGAAUUAUAUUAAAAUUGGUGCCCGUGUGGGGACUGAUAAGUUGAGAUUUUGACUACUUAUUAGCACUUUUUUAAUUUUGUUUUAGUCUGAAAGUAUUGCAUUAUGUUCCCGAAACUAAUAAAAGUGUGCAAAUUACAGGAAUGUUGGAAGUUUGGUAUAUGGGACUCAAAAAGGAGUGUUCCGAAUUAGAAGGCAAGAAAGGGGCACAGAACAAAAGAAGUGCGGACCGCAGAAUUCCAUCUGCGGCCACAGAUCAAGUGAAAAAUCCCAGCAGGAAUUUGGCCAAUGUGCGGCCGCAGAACAAGGUCUGCACUCACAAAUGAUUCAAUGUUCAGAGACGGUGCAAAAGACCAAGUUCUGAAGCCUUGCUGAAGUGCGGACAACAGAAGAAUUAUGCACUCACAAAAGAUGCUUCGCAACCGCAAUCAAAAAUUGUUCGGCUACAGAAUCCAAGAUCUCGCCAACUGAAGAAAUCUGCGGACCGGACUUGGAAUUGUGCGGCCGCAUAACCUCCCGAGGGAAAUUUUUGUCAGCGAAUUUUGGGCCACUAUAAAUAGACGAGUUUCACAUUUUUAGGUCAAGUUUCAAAGUUCGAACUGUUGUAGCCUUACAUUUUGCCAUUUUAGGAAGUUUGUGACUAUUUUAGUGUUUAAAUAUUAUAUUAUAUUAUAUCAUUUUAAUCUUAGAUUAUGAGUUUAAUUAGCAUUUCUUAUUUAUUUUCUUUAAUUUUUACUAUGAGUAGCAAGAUUCUUACUAGGGUUGUGACCCAACCCUAGUGUGUAAACCUUGUGGGUAUUUAAUUUAAUGUUUGUUUAUGAUUGGGUGUUGAUUAUUUAGCUUAGUUUAUGCUCCAAUUUUAGAAUUAAUGGUUGUAAACAUUGAUUCAUGCUUUUUUUGACUUAGUCUCUAUUUGAGAAAGAGAGACCUAGUCUAGGAUAACUUGGCUAACAAGGAAUAGGGCUAAUUGAGGGUUUUAUUAGUCUAAUUAAAGGGUUCAAACUAGAGAUAGGUAGAACAGGGUUUGACCUCAAAUCAACUAUUUUGUUUGAUACCCAUUUGGACCUGAGAUAACCAAAUUGGGCAAAAUCACUCUUUGAUCGAGAGGUAUUGAGUGGGUAAUGUGGAGUUGAGAGCUAUAAUGCACCCCAAUCAACGAAACAAGUAUUAAAGUAUUUAACUGUCACGACCCAAAAUCCCACCACAGGAGUCGUGAUGGCACUUAGUCUCUACAACUAUGUAAGCCGAUUAUAACGGCAAUUCAAGCCAUUUUUUAAAAUUCAAUACAAGUGCCAACAUUAACAACGGAAAUACUCAAACAAUCUCCCAAGACUGGUAAUACUGAGUUACGAACUCUAACUGAAUGCAUGGAAUGAUCUCGAGGACCGAAUAUACAAUACUGUUCGAAUAAGAAAUUAACAGUACAAUAAAUUAGAAAGACUCCAAGGGUCUGCGACGACCAAGCAGCUCUACCUUGAAUUCUUACGAUCAACACACUAACUUUGUCCGAGUUCGAUAUCUCCAACACUUGGCUCUGUACAAAUAUGUGCAGAAGUGUAGUAUGAGUACACCACGGUCGGUACCCAGUAAGUAUCAAGACUAACCUCGGUAGAGUAGUGACGAGGUACAGUCAAGACACUCACUAGUCUAAUAACUUGUGCAAUAUAGCAUAUAAAAAUAAUAGGAAACUAAUAUCAGUAAUAACAACAAUAAUCAACAUGUGAUAUAAACAGCAAGGCAGCAAGAACACCAUAAAUAUUGCUUAAAACAAAUAAUGAACACAAGUACAACCAAUAAUCAAGUCCUUCAAAAUAUACAUCUUUCAUCUAUAAGUUUUUCAAAUAAAAAUCUUUAGAAUAUAAUCCUUUCCAAUAAAUAUAUUUUGAAUAUACUUCCUUCAAAUAAAUAUCAUCCAAAUAUAAUUCUUUCAAAUAAAUAUCUUACGAAUAUAAUUCUUCCAAAUAAAAUAUCUUUCAAAUAUAAUUCUCUCAAACAAAUAUCUUUCGAAUAUAAUUCCUUUCAGGUAAAAGUCACCAUGUGACACCUCAUUUCAUAAUUAUAAAACUUACGGGUCUCAUCCCACUUUCAUAUUUCCAUGGCACUUCAUGCCCAUAUUUCUGUCACAACCACACGGACAACUCACGUGCCAAUAAUAAAAUUAUCAUAUUUCUCCAGCACCUCGUGCCCAUAUUUCUUUCAUAACCUCACGGACAACUCCCCUGCCAAUAAUAAAAACCACCCGGUAAUAGCCACAGGAUCACAAUUACAACAUGAAUUAGACUAUUAUCACGUUUACCGAUACAACAAGACAUGUUGCACAAGAGAUAAAAAUAAACACCAGAAAAAUCACAUCAUAUAAAAAUCAUCAACACAAUAAUCACACAUCAUCACGUAUCAUCCCUGACAAUAGCCACCCUUACCUCUCCCAUAGCCACCCGUAUCAGUCCAUAAUAAUAGCUACCCGUAUCCCUCUGUCCUGACAAUAUCAAUAGCCACCCUUAUUGCUUUUAUAGUCGCCCUUAUCACUCCUAUAGCCGCCCUUAUCACUCUUAUAGCCGCCCUUAUUACUCCGCUCAGACAAUAUCCCAACACACAUAAACACAGUAAAAUGCCACCCUUAUACCCACACAAUAUUAACAGUGGAAUGUCACCCUUAUGUCCUAAUAAUAAUAACUCAAAUCACAUAAUUAUUCACACGGAACAUUAUCACGACAACACAACACAAUCAAUUUAUAUCACAAAUUGCCCAAUGGCCACAACCAAUUCCAAAGAUACAACAAAAUCAAUAAAUUUCACAACAAAUAGCUCAAGGCUUUCCACAACGUAUAUAAAAUCUCAAAGACAACAACUGAGAUGGAAAAGUAACUUAACAUAGGACAUCGCCUUCUUUAAUCCAAAUUUUUAAUAAAUAUAUUAAAGUUUCAUUUUGAACUUAUUUGAUAAUAUUUGCGGAUAACAAUCCAUAAUAAAAUUAUUUCCAAGAAAUGCCAACCCAACUAACCACGGUAUUUAACAUAAUAAAACAAGGAAUGAGGCAUGACAAAUAAAGGAUUUAAUAAGCUCCAAUAAUUUUUUUAAUUUAAUAUUUAAUUAGGAUGUCUGCGAAUUUUAACCGAUAUAAUUUGCACAUAUAAACCAAGUACAUACUCGUCACCUCGCGUACAUGGCUUUCAAUCACACAAUUUUCACAUAAAACUCAAUGCCUAAGGGGUAUUUCCCCCACUCAAGGUUAGGCAAGAUACUUACCUUUUUGAAGUUAGGCCGAUAUUCCAAAAUAGCCUUCUUUCUUGAAUUGACCUCCGGACAGUUCAGAUCUAUCCAAAUUAAUUGUAUAACUUCAUUAAAAUUUCGGAUAAUAAAAUACCAAUUUAAACUUUUAUUCUAAUAAGUCAACGUGGGCUGGCCCCUCGGAACCCGCUGGAAUUUUUAAGAAAUCCGAACAUCCAUUCCGAUACGAGUUCAACCAUACCGAAAUUAUCAAAUUCCGAUAACGGACUGCCCUUCAAAUCUUAAAUUAAAGUCAAGAGGAUUUCUACCAUUUUCAACCCAAUUCACUAAUUUAGUGAUAAAAACAAUAAUAGAUUCAUGCAAUUUAACCAAAAUCAAGUUAGGAAUUCUUACCCCAAUGUUUCCCUCGAAAAACUCUAGAAAUAUAACCUCACCCUGAGCUUCCUUGGUCCAAAAAUGGAAGAAUGAGACGAAUUUGGACUUUAUUCUACUGCCCAGGGGUUUGUUCUUCGCGUUCGCGUCCGUCACCUCGCAUUCGCGAUGAACAAAUUCUUCAACAACCAUUUUCACACUCUUUUCUGACAGCCUCUACUAGAAGGGUCAUAACAUUUUGUACAAAACUCCAAAUAAUGAAUGGUUUGACCGUUUGAAAACUAGACUCAUAACUUUAAUUUGUUGCUCAUCUCCCAAUUCCUUAUAUAUUGCGAGAUAUAAGCUUCCAAAGUCAGCCCUGUACAGUAGAGAUUUCCAAACUCUUCCCAGACAACCUGUAGUUUAUCCACCAUAACUUUUUGUACAAAACUAGAAAUAAAAAAUGGUUUACCUUUCCGAAAUCUAGACUCAAAGGUCUACAACUUUUAUUUUUGGAUCAUCUCGAAUUCCUUAUAGAUUGCGAGAUAUGAGCUUCCAAAGUCAGACCAGUGCAACAGAGAUUUCCUUCUUCGCGAAUGCGAGAGUCUCUUCGCGAACGCAAAGAACAAAAUCCGAGAAGCCAAAUCCUUCUUCGCAAAUAUAAUGACCCGACCAGUCGUUUUGCUUUCGAGAACCCCAUUCCCCUAAAUAAGACUUCUCGUAUAUGCUUUUACUGUUUUAUGACUUGCGGAGAUGGUUAGUUCGUGAUUUGGAAGGGUUCGGGUUGAAAUCAAAAUACUUGGUUCCUUGAGAUUGGCUUAAAAGGCCAAGUUUGACUUCGGUCAAUAUUUUCAGUAAAUGACCUCAGAAUCGGGAUUUGGCAGUUCUAAUAAGUUUGUAUGAUAAUUUCGGACUUGGGCGUAUGUUCGGAUCAGGUUUUGAAUGACCCGGGAGCGUUUCGGUGCCUAAUAGUGAAAGUUAGUUCUUGAAGGUUUUAAAAAAUUUUUAAAUUUGGUUUGGAGCGGGUUUUGGUGAUAUCAAGGUCCAAACGGAAUUCCGAGCACAGGAAUAGUUCCGUAAUGUCAAUUAAGACUUGCACGCAAAAUUUGGUGUCUUUCUGAGUAGUUUAAGUACGUUUCGGCGCAUUAGAAGUAAAUUGAAGAACUCAAAGUUCUUAAGUUUGAUUCAAUUGGUUUUGGGGUGUGAUUCGUAGUUUUAAUGUUGUUUCUGGGGGCCCGAGGGUCAAUCGGACAAAGCUCAGACUAAGUUAGAAGUUGGGAGCAGCUGCUGAAGCUCCAGUUCUGUCAUAACCGCACCUGCACUUGGCCAGCUGCAGGUGCGAGCCAUGAGCCGCAGAAGCGGAAAUGCGAAGGAAUCCCAGGUACCGCAGGUACAGAGGAAUUUACGCACCUGCGUGACCGCAGGUGCGGGAACUAUUUUCACAGGAGCGGAAAGGGCUCACAUAUGCGGCUCCUGGUGUCCGCAGAUCCGGAGCCUGUCCAUGCGAGGAAAAGGCGCACCUACGAAGGUCUUGCCGCAGGUGCGGGACCGCAUAUACGACCCUAUAACCGCAGGUGCGAAAACCGCUGGAGGCAGUGAGCCUCAUUUAUUAUGGGUUAGGGCCAUUUUUAUCACAUUUUCUUCCACUCUUGGGUGAUUUGAGAGCUUCUAAGGAGGGGAUUUAGACCUAGAUUUGUGAGGUAAGUAAUUUCUAUUAAAUAUGAGUUUAGUACAUAUAUUAUGGGUAGAUUUUCACAUGAUAAUUGGUAGAAAUCAUGGGUUUAGGUAAAAAAACCUAGGAUUUAAUAAAAAUAAGAUUCUACCAUGCAAAUGAUUAUGAAACUUAGUGAAUAUCAUAUAUUAUGUUCCUAAGGUUAUGGGUAACUACUUUCUUCAAAAUAAUUUCGGAAUCCGGGAGUGUGGGCCUGGGGUGAAAUUUAGGAAUCUUGCAAUUUGGAUUGGGUAAUCACUUUAAUAGUGGAGAUAUGAACAAUUGAGCAUAGAUUGAUCGAUUUAUAUAAUGUUUGGCUAGUUCCGAGUCGUUUGGCAUCAAAUUUGGAGGUUUGAGCGCAUCCUUGAAUUGGGAAGUAAGCUUUGAGACGAGGUAAGUCUCUUUUCUAACCUUAUAAGAGGGAACUCACCCCAUAGGUGAACUUAAUUAAUAUGUGUUGUUAUUUGUGGGGGGUGGGGGUGGGGUGGAGGGCUACAUACGCACGAAGUGACGAGAGUCCGUACGUAGCUACUAUUCAUGUUUAUGUCCGGGUAGUGUUAGGUCUACGCCAUGCUUGUGGACACCGUUAUUUGAUUAGAUUUGUUAACUGUAUCAAAUGAAACUAAGUCGAGGAUUUUUGAGGGUUUAAAAGCUUCAAGCCGAAUUGUCUUUAUUUUGAAAAGAAUCAAGAAAUGAUUAUGAUUUAUUGAUAAAUUUAUUGAUUUAUUGAUAAAUUUAUUUUGAAAAUUCGCGCCGUUCGACCCUCGGCAGUGCACAGUUUAUAUUUAUGUUGGAUCGGGCCGAACGUCCUUGGUGGUAUUCGUGUGUGAUAAUAGUACUCGAAGUUUCUUUCAUAUUUGGUACAAAGUCAUUGUUUUGUGUGAUCAUAUAUUUUAAAGGAAGGAAAUGAUUUAAGCUCUUAAAGAUGGUGAAGAGUUGUUCAGUUAUUUCUUGUUAUGAGUCUUAUUGUUGUAUGUUAUGAUUAAUUAGAUUUUCAUAUUAUCAUGUUAUUGGCCCUAGUAAGUGUCGGAGUGCACCCCUCGUCAAUACUUCUUCGAGGUUAAACUAGAUACUUACUGAGUACAUAUAAUGUAUGUACAUACGCUACACUUUUGUACUUAAAUGUACAGGAUCUGAGGCAGGUGCAUCUGGUUACCAGUCUGGAGCGCAGUUCUGAUCCCCAUCUCGAGACUUCACGGUGAGCUGCCCUUCCGAGCCGUUCUGCAGCAGCUGGAGUCUCUCAUGCUUUAUUUUUUUCUGUCUAUUUCCUUUCAGACAGUAGGCUAGUACUCUUUUGUAUAUUCUAAUAGAUUGCCCACACACUUGUGACACCAGGUCUUGGUACACACACUAGUAGACUUAUUAUUUUAGAUUUGUUUACAUGAUUACGAUUAGUACUUGUUUUUUUCCUUUUAAUUAUGUCACGUUUGCAAAUUUCUAAAUCUUUUUAACAAAUGAGGAAAUGUUAUCCAAUUAGUAAUUUAUUUAAACGAGAAAUCAUUAGUUUGAUCAGCGUUGGCUUGCCCAAUAAUGGUGUUGGGUACCAUCACGGCCUAUGUUAGAAUUGGGUCGUGACAACAUGGUAUCAGAGCGCUAGGUUCACAUAGGUUUCACAAGUUAUGGGCAGGCCUAGUAGAGUCUUGUGGAUCGAUGCGGAGACGUUCGUACUUAUCUUCGAGAGGCUAUAGGGUGUUAUGAAACUACUCUUUAAUCAUUUCCUAUCAUGCAGUUGAUGGUGUACUAAAUUCCUUUCUCUCAUUCUGUCACGAUGGUGAGGACGCGUACGGCGGACAUUCCAGACUCGGGAGGAGCUGCUUCCCCCAUUGCUAGAGGCCGGGGGAGGGCACCAACCCAAGGUAGGGGAUGAGGGAAUCUCAGUGCUGCCCCAGUAGCACCACCAGCAGACCCAGUAGAGGAUCCCAUCAUUGAGGAGUAGGGAGAGGUGCCUGCCGCAGAGCCAGCCUCGGUAGAUUUCAUAUCAACAGCGGGUUUUCAGGAGGUCAUGGGCCGUAUGCUCCGGUUCAUGGACACCAUGACUCAGGCUGGUUUAUUUCCUGCAGACCCAACACAUCUCAGGCGGGAGGGGGAGCACAGACCCCUACUGCUCAGGAACAUGGGCACGCAACUGCAUUAUACCAGACUCCGGGUACACUACCUGUGGGUGGAGCCCAGCCAGUUGCCACAACUGCACCUGAGCCUAGACAAGCUGUGGACAGUGAUCCACAGAAGCUAUUAGACAGAUGGACUAGGCUACACCUUCCUAUCUUCGUGGGCGAGCGGCAUGAGGAACCCAGGACUUCAUUGACCGGUGCCGGGACAGACUGCACAAUAUGAGGAUAUUGGAGUCCUAUGGGGUAAAUUUCACUACUUUCCAGCUGGAGGGCAGGGCCCGUAGAUGGUGGCAGUCUUAGGACCAGUAUGUUCUCCUCCCAUGACUUAGGACCAGUUUACACAGCUUUUCUUGGAUAGGUAUAUUCCACCCUCUCAAACAGAAGAGUUGCGAGGUCAGUUUGAGCAGCUCGAGCAGGUUCAGAUGUCAGUGACCAAUUAUGAGGAGAGAUUCUCUGAGUUAUCUUGCCAUGCACUUAUGAUACUUCCUACCGACGUAGAGAGAGUGCAGAGAUUUAUUGCGGGGUUACACCCCAGUAUUCGGGCUAGUAUGGCCCGAGAGGUUGAGAUGGGUACUGGCUAUCAGCUAGUAGUGGAGAUUGCUUAGAGUAUUAAGGGCUACCGCCAUAGGGGUAGAGAGCAGAUACAAUAGGACAAGAAGGCCCGAUUCUCUAGAGAAUUUAGAGGUGCCCCGGCCAGGGGCAGAGGGCAGUUUGGGAGGGAUCAGCCUAGCUGGCCCACAUAUCCAGCACCACCACCUCCUCGGAGUACUCCGGUGUGACCCUAUUUCAGUGCUAUGCCAGAUAGUUCUUAUCGCCCACCAGCUCAUCAGGGUUCUUCCAUUGCCUAUUUUAGCGCCAUGCCAGAGAGUUCAUACCGCCCACCAGCCAUUCAGGGUUCUUCUAGUGGGUAUUCAGGCCAUCAGGGUUAGAAUUCGGGGCAACAGUCUAUGGUACCGAGAGGUUGCUACGAGUGUGGAGAUUCGGGUCACAUGAAGAGAACUUGUCUCAGACUUUGGGGCAAGUUAGUACAGUAGGGUCAUCAGCCCAUGAUUCUAGCACCAGCCGUCCGACUGCCCAGAGGUGGGGGACAGGCGGGUAGGGGCCAUCCUAGAGGUGGAGGCCAGGCAGGGGGAGGUCAGCCAGCUAUUGUUCAGCCAGGUGGAGGCCAUCCAGCCGGCGCUCCAGCUAGAUUCUAUGCUUUUCUGUCCAGACUAGAUGCAGUGGCCUCAGAAGUCGUGAUCACGGAUAUUAUUUCUGUCUGCGGUAGGGAUGCUUCAGUAUUAUUUGAUCCAUGGUAUACCUAUUCAUAUGUAUCAUCUCUGUUUGCUCAUUUCCUGGAUAUUCCUCGUGAGUCCUUGGGUACUCCUGUUUGUGUGUCCACUCAUAUGGGAGACUCUAUGGUUAUGGAUCGGAUCUAUCGGUCCUGUGUGGUCACAUUCUGUGGUUACGAGACUAUAGCAGACCUUCUAUUACUUGAUAUGACCGACUUUGAGGUCAUACUGGGCAUGGACUGGUUAUCCCCAUAUCAUGCCAUCCUUGAUUUCCAUGUCAAGACUGUUACCUUAACAAUGCCAAAGUUUCUUAGCUUGGAGUGGAAGGGUUCAUCUGUUAGUACAUCUAGUCGGGUUAUCUCUUUAUCGAAGGCUCGACAUAUGGUCAGGAAGGGUUGUUUGGCUUAUCUAGCCUAUGUUCGGGAUACCACCGUAGAGUCUCCGACCAUUGAUUCGGUGCCAUUAUUUCGGGAGUUUGCCGAUGUGUUUCCUUCGGACCUUCCAGGCAUGCCGCCAGAUCGUGACAUUGAUUUCUGUAUAGACUUGGCUUCAAGCACUUAGCCUAUAUCUAUCCCACCAUAUCGUAUGGCUCCGAAAAAGUUAAAGGAGUUGAAGGAACAACUUGAGGAGUUGCUAGCAAAGGCGUUCGUCAGGCCGAGUGUAUCACCUUGGGGUGCACCAAUAUUAUUUGUGAAGAAGAAGGAUGGGACUAUGCAGAUGUGUAUUGAUUACCGCUAGUUGAACAAAGUACCAUUAAGAACAAGUACCCCUUGCCACGUAUUGAUGAUUUGUUUUACCAGUUGCAGGGUGCUAGCGUGUUUUCUUAGAUCGACUUGAGAUCGGGAUACCAUCAGUUGAAGAUUCGGGACUCAGAUGUUCCGAAGACUGCCUUCCAUACUAGAUAUGGCCAUUAUGAGUUUCUAGUGAUGUCAUUCGGCUUGACUAAUAUUCCAACGGCAUUUAUGGAUUUGAUGAAUAGGGUGUUCAUGCCUUAUAUCGAUUCCUUUGUUAUUGUCUUCAUUGAUGACAUCUUGAUUUACUCACGUAGCAUGGAGGAGAACGAGUAACAUUUGAGAGUGGUGCUUCAGACCUUGAGGGACUAGAAGCUAUAUGUUAAGUUCUCCAAAUGUGAGUUUUGGUUAGAUUCUGUGGCAUUCUUGGGGCAUGUGGUAUCAGGCGAGGGUAUUAAGGUGGAUCCCAAGAAGAUUGAGGCGGUUUAGAGUUGGCCUCGUCCUACUUCGGCGACUGAGAUCAAGAGUUUCCUGGGGCUAGCAGGUUAUUAUCGCUGAUUUGUGGAGGGUUUCUCAUCCAUUGCAGCACCUUUGACUAAAUUGACCCAGAAGGGUGCUCCGUUCCGUUGGACCGACGAUUGUAAGGCGAGCUUUCAGAAGCUCAAGACAGCUUUGACUACAGCAAUGGUUCUAGUGUUGCCUUCCAGUUCGGGGAUGUAUACUGUGUAUUGCGACGCCUCACGCGUUGGCUUGGGUUCUGUAUUGAUGCAGGAAGGGUGAGUUAUUACAUAUGCUUCACGUCAGCUGAAGCUCCUUGAGAAGAAUUAUCCUAUGCACGAUUUAGAGUUGGCCGCGAUUGUUCAUGCUCUUAAGAUCUGGAGGCACUACCUAUAUGGGGUGCCUUGUGAGGUUUACACUGAUCACCGCAGUUUGCAGCACUUGUUCAAGUAAAUGGAUCUCAAUUUGAGGCAGCGCAGAUGGCUUAAGUUACUGAAGGACUACGACAUCACUAUUCUUUAUCAUCCGGGCAAGGCGAAUGUAGUCGCGGAUGCCUUGAGCAGGAAGGCAGAGAGCAUGGGUAGCUUGGCAUUCAUUUCUGCAGAGGAGAGGCCACUAGCUUUGGACAUUCAGUCCUUGGCUAACAUACUUGUGAGGUUGGAUAUUUCAAAGCCCAGCCGAGUUCUUGCAUGUGUUGUUGCCCAAACUUCACUAUUGGAGCAGGUAAAGGCUCGACAGUUUGAUGAUCCGCAUUUGGCAUCUCUCAGAGAGAUGGUACUACAAGAUAGUGCCAAGGAGGUUUCUAUUGGCGAGGAUGGUGUCCUGCAACUCCAGGGUCGUCUAUGUAUUCCUGAUGUAAAUGGCUUGAGGGAGAGGAUUCUGUAGGAGGCGCACAGUUCUCGGUAUUCUAUUCAUCCAGUUGCUACGAAGAUGUAUCGGGACCUGAGACAACAUUAUUGGUGGCAGUGGAUGAAGAAAGACAUAGUUGAGUAUGUAGUUAGGUGACUAAAUUGAUAGCAGGUUAAGUUUGAGCACUAGAGGCUAGGUGGCCUACUCCAGCAGAUGACUAUACCGAAGUGGAAAUGGUAGCGCAUUACUAUGGACUUCGUAGUUGGGUUGCCGCAGACCUUGCAGAAGUUCGAUGCAGUUUGGGUCAUUACUGACAGGUUGACCAAGUCAGCACACUUCAUUCUAGUUGCAACUACUUAUACUUCAGAGAGGUUGGCCCAAAUUUAUAUUCGGGAGAUAGUUCGGUUGCACGGUGUGCCGAUUUCCAUCAUAUCAGACAGAGGCCCUCAGUUCACUUCGUAUUUCUGGACAGCCGUACAGAGUGAGUUGGGGACUCGUGUCGAGCUCAACACUCCGUUCCAUCCACAGACCAACGGGCAGUCAAAGCGGACAGUCCAGAUCUUGGAGGACAUGCUCCAAGCAUGUGUGAUUGACUUUGGGGGACAGUGGGAUCAAAUAUUUCCUUUGGCUGAGUUUCCUUACAACAACAGUUAUCAAUCCAGCAUCGAGAUAGCUCCAUUUGAGGCUUUAUAUGGUAAGCGAUGUCGUUCCCCUAUCGGGUGGUUUGAGCCCGACGAGGCUAAGUUAUAUGGUACUUAUUUGGUGAAGGAUGCCUUGGAAAAGGUAAAGUUGAUUCAGGAGCGAUUUCGCACAGCACAGUCCAGACAGAAGAGUUACGUGGAUAAGAAAGCGCGUGAUUUAUCUUUUAUGGUGGGUUAAAAAGUUCUCUUGAAGGUUUCGCCGAUGAAGGGUAUUAUGAGAUUGGGGAAGAAGGGCAAGUUGAGCCCCAGGUUUAUAGGAACAUUCGAGGUGUUGAGGUGAGUUGGGGAGGUUGCUUAUGUGCUUGCUUUACCUCCCAGCCUAUCAGGGGUUCAUCAGGUUUUUCACGUGUCUAUGCUCCGGAGGUAUCAUGCCGACUUGUCACAUGUGUUAGACUUCAGCACUAUUCAGCUAGAUGAGAGCUUGGGUUAUAAGGAGGAGCCGGUUGCCAUUGUUGCUAAACAUGAUCUCCAGUUGAGAUCCAAGAGGAUUUUCGUGGCAAAGGUCCAGUGGAGGGGCCAACCAGUCGAGGAGGUGACUAGGGAGUCCGAGGAGGACAUGCGGAGCAGAUAUCCACACUUAUUCAGCAUUUCAGGUAUGAUUCUAAACCUGUUCGAGGACGAAUAUUUGUUUAAGAGAUGGAGAAUGUAACGACCCGACCAGUCGUUUUUCUUUCUAGAACCUCAUUCCCCUAAAUAAGACUUUCUGUACACGCUUUUAUUGUUUUAUGACUUGCGAGGAUGGUUAGUUCGGGAUUUGGAAGGGUUCGUGUUGAAAUCAAAAAUCUUGGUUCCUUAAGGUUGGCUUAAAAGGCCAAGUUUGACUUCGGUCAAUAUUUUGAGUAAACGACAUAGAAUUCGGUAUUUGACGGUUCCAAUAGGUUCGUAUGAUGAUUUCAGACUUGGGUGUAUGUUCGGAUCGGGUUUUGGAUGAACCGGGAGCGUUUCAGUGCCUAUUAGUGAAAGUUGGUUCUUGAAGGUUUUAAAAGUUUUUUAAAUUUGGUUUGGAGUGGGUUUUGGUGAUAUCGAGGUCCAAACGGAAUUUUGAGAGUGAGAAUAGUUCCAUAAUGUCAUUUAAGACUUGCACGCAAAAUUUGGUGUCAUUCCGAGUAGUUUAAGUAAGUUUUGGCGCAUUGGAAGUAAAUUAAAGAACUUGAAGUUCUUAAGUUUGAUUCAAUUGGUUUUGGGGUAUGAUUCUUAGAUUUAAUGUUGUUUCGGGAAUUCCGAGAGUUUGAGUUCAGACUAAGUUAGAAGUUGGGAGCGGCUGCUGAAGCUCCAGUUCUGUCAUAACCGCACCUGCGCAUGGCCAGCCGCAUGUGUGAGCCAUGAGCCGCAGAAGCGGAAAUGCGAAGUAAGCCCAGGCACCGCAGGUGCGGAGGAAUUUACACACCUGCGUGACCACAGGUGCGGGCACUGCUUUCGCAGGAGCGGAAAGGGCUCGUAGAUAUGGCUCCUGGUGUCUGCAGAUGCGAAGCCCGGCUAGGCGAGGAAAAGGCGCACCUGCAAAGGUCUUGCCGCAGGUGCGGGAUCGCAGAUGCGGCCCUACGACCGCAGGUGCGGAAACCGCUGGAGGCAGUGAGCCUCAUUUAUUACCGGUUAGGGCCAUUUUUAUCACAUUCUCUUCCACUCUUGGGCGAUUUGAGAGCAUCUAAGGAGGGGAUUUCGACUUAACUUUGUGAGGUAAGUAAUUUCUAUUAAAUAUGAGUUUAGUACAUAUAUUAUGGGUAGAUUUCCACAUGAAAAUUAGUAAAAAUCAUGGGUUUAGGUGAAAAACAAAAGGUUUAAUAAAAAUGAGAUUUUACGACGAAAAUGAUUAUGAAACCUAGCGAAAAGUAUAUAUUAUGUUCCUAAGGUUAUGGGUAACAACUUUCUUCAAAACAAUUUCGGAAUCCGAGCAUGUGGGCCCGUGGGAGAAUUUUAAGAAUCUUGCAAUUUGGAUUGGGUAAUCACUUUAAUAGUGGAGAUAUGAACUAUUGAGCAUAGAUUGAUUGAUUUAUAUAAUGUUUGGCUAGUUCUGAGUCGUUUGGCAUCAAAUUUAGAGGUUUGAGCGCAUUCUUGAAUUGGGAAGUAAGCUUUGAGACGAGGUAAGUCUCUUUUCUAAUCUUGUAAGAAGGAACUCACCCCAUAGGUGAACUUAAUGAAUAUGUGUUGUUAUUUGCCGGGGGGGAGGGGGGGCAGGGGGCUACGUACGCACGAAGUAACGAGAGUCUGUAUAUAGCUACUAUUCCUGUUUAUGUUUGGGUAGUGUUAGGUUUACGCCAUGCUUGUGGACACUGUUAUUUGAUUAUAUUUGUUAACUGUAUCAAAUGGAACUAAGUCGAGGAUUUUUAAGGAUUUAAAAGCUUCAAGCGGAAUUGUCUUUAUUUUGAAAAGAAUCAAGAAAGGGUUAUGAUUUAUUGAUAAAUUUAUAUUUGACCGCAUCGCAUGUAUGAUUCACAAGCAGGGUAAUAGAUGCAUCUAUGGUUCGCGCAAUUCGACCCUCGGCAGUGUACAAUUUACAUUUAUGUUGGAUCGGGCCGAACUUUCUCGGUGGUAUUCGUGUGUGAUAAUAGUACUCGAAAUUUCUUUCAUAUUUGGUACAAAGCCAUUGUUUUGUGUGAUCAUAUGUUUUAAAAGAAGGAAGUGAUUUAAGCUCUUAAAGAUGGUGAAGACUUGUUUAGUUAUUUUUUGUUCUGAGUCUUAUUGUUGUAUAUUAUGCUUAAUUAGAAUUUCAUAUUAUCAUGUUAUUGGCCCUAGUAAGUGUCGGAGUCGACCUCUCGUCACUACUUCUUCGAGGUUAGACUAGAUACUUACUGGGUACAUAUUAUUUAUGUACUCAUGCUACACUUCUGUACUUAAAUGUACAAGAUCUGAGGCAGGUGCAUCUGGUUACCAGUCUGGAGCACAGUUCUAAUCCCCAUCUUGAGACUUUACGGUGAGUUGCACUUCUGAACCGUUCUGCAGUAGCUGGAGUCUCUCUCAUGCUUUAUUUUUUUCUGUCUAUUUCCUUUCAGACAGUAGGCUAGUACUCUUUCAUAUAUUUUACUAGAUUGCCGACAUACUUGUGAUACCAGGUCUUGGUACACACAUUAGUAGACUUAUGAUUUUUGAUUUGAUUACAUGAUUACGAUUAGUACUUAUUUGUUUCCUUUUAAUUAUGUCACGUUUGCAAAUUUCUAAAUCUUUUUAACAAAUGAGGAAAUGUUAUCCACUUAGUAAUUUAUUUAAAUGGGAUACCAUUAGUUUGAUCAGCGUUGGCUUGCCCAACAAUGGUGUUGGGCGCCAUCAUGGCCUAUGAUGGAAUUGGGUCUUGACAGCGAACAUGAGAGGCUCCUUGCGAAUGCGAAGAACAACACUAGACAUCAGAAAAUCAGCAUCCAAAGUAGCCCAAAAUGAUCCGAAACACACCCGAGGUCCCCGGGACCCCAACCAAAUAUACCAACAAGUCCUAAAACAUCAUACGAACUUAGUCGAGGUCUCAAAUCACAUCAAACUUCGCUAAAAGCAUGAUUCACAUUCCAAUUCAAGCCUAAUGAAACAAAGAAAUUCCAACUUCUAUAUUCGAUCUCGAAAACUAUCAAAUCAAGUCCGAAUGACCUUAAAUUUUGCACACAAGUCAUAAAUGGAAUAACAGAGCUUUUCAUAUUUCCAGAAUCGGAUUUCGAUCUCUACUCCCCGGUCAAACCUCCAAACUUAACUUCCUAUUUUCGUCAUUUCAAGCCUAAUUUAGCUACGAACCUCAAAAUAAAUAUCCGAACACACUCCUAAAUCCGAAGUCACCAUACGAAGCUAUUGAAAUCAUCAAAAUUUUAUUCCGGAGUUGUUUUCGCAAAAGUCAAACUCCGGUCAACUCUUUUCAUUUAAGCUUCAAAAAUGAGAAUUGUUCUUUAAAUUUAAUUUUGAAUCUUCCAAAAAUCAAAUGACCGCACAUGUAAGUCAUAAUACGCAUUACGAAAUUGCUCGGGACCUUAAGUAGCUGAAUGUGGCAUAAAUUAUUAAAAUAACUAGUUGGGUCGUUACAUUAACCUAUUAGGCGAACACUUAGGUUAUGGUCACAUCCUUAGGCUUUUUAAUUAUUUGGAAAAACACCAAAAACAAUCAUUCGCUUCUAGUUUAUUUUCUUACCUUAUAAUUGCUAGAGUAAAAUUAGGAUUAGAAAUCAAAAACUUUUGUGGAAGUGCAAUUUAGUUAUUCCAUUCUCUUUCGUUAAGUGUAUACUCCUAACACCCAUUGUAAUUCUCUGUGGUAAUCGACCCCGACUCUUGUUGGGUACUAUUCUUCCAAUGAUCAUUUUCACUCACUAUUGAGUGCGGAUUAGACAUGGAUCAAUUUUUGGCGCCGUUGCCAGGGAGUUAAGACGAUGUUAGCUAUAUAUUUGUGUUUGUUUUUGGAAUAUCUUCUUUUUCUUCUGUGUUACUAACUUCUGCGAGAACCUUUAGGUAUAACCAUGGCGGCGAACAAUGAUCUCGGUAAUAUGCCUUUGGGGGAUGUGGACGGUGAGGAUGGGCAAGUUGGUGAGGUACCUCUUGAACCUCAGGCCAAUCGAAGAAGCCGAUUUCCUCAUGAAAAUGUGCCCUCUCCAACCCCACCUCCACCAUGAGCGGCUCCACAUCCGAUAUUGCCCAACAAAGGUUAUGCUAGUGCAAUAGUCCCUCCCCGCAUUAUGGCAGGCAACUUCCUAUAACCAAUGUGAUGUUCACUUUUCUUGAACAACGAGAAUUCUUUACCGGUGCUCCAACACAAAAUGUUUACAAAUAUUUGAAGGUGUUUGUGGUUACUUGUUAGAGAAGAAAGCAAACAAAUAUCUCCGAGGAUGCAUUGAGGCUAAGGAUUUUUACCUUCUCUCUAUAGGGAAAGCAUUAGAUUGGUUGGAACGAUUGUCAAACAAUUCAAUUCACACUUAGAAUGAGUUGGUAGAAAAUUUCAUUGCUAAGUUUUUCUCUCCCGGACACAUGGCUACACUUCGAGAUGAGAUCUUGGCAUUCAAGAAAGAGCCGAAUGAACCACUAAACGAGAUAUAGGAGCGCUAUAGAACUAUGGUCAAGGAAUAUCCCAAUAACGAUAUGACAGAAAAUAUUAUUCAACAAACCUUCUAUCAUGGGAUUAACACGACCAACCAAUGUGUAGUGAAUCAAUUAGUCAGUGGAAACUUUAUGACUACGCCUUAUUCGGAGGCGUGUGAGAUUUUGGAUGAGAUGAUGGACACAUUUUAGGCUUGGAAAUCCCGGGACAAGAUGACCCGAAUAUGAUCCACCUUCACAAUGAAUUGCAAGACCAUGGGUAAGCCAUUACCGAGUUGACAACUACCAUGACUCAACUAGAAAAGGCCCAACUGAACCAAGUGCUAACUCCUAACCAAGUCAAUGUUAUGGAAGGAGUGAACAUCAGAAGCGGAUGUAGUGUACUACUUACGGGUUCAACUGAACCCAUAACUUUCGACGCUGAGUAAAAAUCUGUAUGUAAAAUUUCAUUAAAACUACAAAAAUAGUAGAUGCGAACCCAUAACUUUAAAAAUAUAAUGGGUUCAAUGUUAAAAACAUUAAAAUUGAACCCAUAGGAUUUAAAUUCUGGAUCCGCUUCUGGUGGACAUGAUGGUGAACAAGAGGAGGACCAAGGGUCCACAAGUGCAAACUCGAGUGGAGAACUAUGUGCAAGAAUAUGGUAGUUUUGAGCACGAUGAUUCCUAUAAUGAACAAGAAGAGGAAGUACAAUAUGUGAAUUAUUUUCAAGGGAAAAGAAACAACUUCCAAGGCCCAAGCCAACAACAAUGGCGACCACAAAACAAUCAAGGCAAUUGGAAUUCUAGCAAUCAAGGAAAUUGGAGUGGAGGCAACAAUCAAGGGAAUUGGCAUAACAACAACAAUCAAGGAAAUUGGAGUGGACACAAUCAAGGAAAUUGGGGAGGUAACAAUCAAGGCGGAUGGAACAACAUUCAAGGCAACCGGGGGUCGAGUUUUCAAAGGCCCCCAAUGUACCAACAACCAAGCAACCCAGCUCUUUAUCCGUCUCAUGGUUCGAGUUCCUCCAACAAUGAGAUGGGGCAUAUUGAAAAUAUGUUCAAGAAAAUGAUGGAAGAGAAUGCUGAUUCAGAUACCCAACUUUCCUCACACAACACAUCAAUAUGCAACCUCGAAGUUCAAAUGGGGCAAAUCUCUCAAGCUUUAAAUUCUCGUCCUAAGGGGGCACUAUCAAACAAUGUGGUGCAACAUAAUGAUGAAGUUCAGAUUGAUAUUGAUGAUAGUGUAUAAGAGACUCAAGAGGAGGUGAAUCCGUCUAGGGAACACAUUAUUGAUAUACCGGAGCCUGUAGUGCAAAAGGCUAAGGCAACAUUGCCUAAGCCUCCAACUCCAUACCCUCAAAGACUUGCCAAGAAAAAUGGUGAGAAUCAAUUCAAGAAAUUUAUUCAAAUGACGAAGAGUCUCUCAAUCAAUGUGCCAUUAGUUGAAGCCUUGGAACAAAUUCCCGGUUAUGCAAAGUUUAAGACCAUCAAAGUCACUCAUCAAGUGAGUGCAAUUGUGCAUUCAAUGGUUCCUAAGUUGGAGGAUCCCUGUGCUUUCACGAUUUCUUGAACGAUUGGAAGUGCCGAAUUUGCUAAAGCUCUUUGUGAUCUUGGGAAAAGUAUCAAUUUUAUGCCUAUUCGGUUUUCAAGACUUUGGGAAUUGGGAAACCAAGACCCAUCUCUAUGAGAUUGAAAAUGGCUGAUCAUAUCGUGAAGAGGCCCUUUGGAGUGAUUGGAGAUGUUUUGGUUCGUGUUGAUAAAUUCAUUCUUCCGGCAAAUUUAUUCAUUCUAGAUUGUGAAGUUUAUUAUGAAGUGCCGAUUAUUAUUGGUAGACACUUCCUAGCUACGGGUAAGGCUCUUUGUGAUGUUGAAGCCUAAUAACUCACUUUCCGGGUUGGUGUGAAAAAGUAGUAUUCCAUGAGUGCAAGUCCUUGCGGAAACCGAAUAGCAAUGAGGUGUGUUCUUUUGUGGACUUGGUGACCGAUGCUAUUGUUGAUAAAACAAGUGCUACAAUAAAUGUUGGUGAUAUGUUGGAGGCCGUAUUGCUCAACUUUGAUGAUGACGAAAUGGAUGGCUUCAUGAAAUGUGUUAAACUCUUUGCAACAAAUGGGGUCGUACAACUAUGCACCUCGGAAAUUGUCUUUAGAUCUUGAAAAUAGGACAACUCCUCAUAUAAAGCCUUCUAUUGAAGAGCAUCCUACCUUGGAGUUGAAGCCAUUUCCUCCAGAUCUUUUGUAUGAAUUUAUUGUUCCUUGUUCGACUUUACCGAUUAUUCUUUCCUCUUGUUUCACUAACGUGCAGAUAGAUUCCACAUUGGCGGUGCUAUAAAAGAGGAAGAAUGAUAUUGGGUGGACCUUGGCGGAUAUUCGGGGGAUAAGCCCCGCCUUUUGCAUGCAUAAGAUCAAGUUGGAGGAUGGCACCAAACCAUAUAUUGAACAUCAAAGGAGACUCAAUGAGGCUAUGCAAGAACUUGUCAAGAAAGAGAUUAUCAAGUGGUUGGAUGUCCGGGUUGUUUACCCCAUCUCUAAUAGUUCAUGGACUUCUCCGGUUCAAUGUGUCCCAAAGAAAGGGGGGAAUGAUGGUGAUCACCAAUGACAAGAAUGAGUUGAUUCCUACAAGAACAGUGACCGGUUGGAGGGCAUGUAUGGACUAUCGCAAGCUCAAUAAAUUCACAAGGAAGGAUCAUGUUUCACUUCCUUUCUUAGAUCAAAUGCUCGAUAUAUUGACCGAUCGUGCUUUCUAUUGCUUUCUUGAUGGGUACUCAGGCUACAAAAAUUCUCAUUGCUCCAGAAGAUCAAGAGAAAACAAUAUUUACAUAUCCCUAUGGUACUUUGCUUUCAAGCGGAUGCCAUUUGGAUUGUGCAAUGCACCGGCGACUUUUCAAAGGUGUAUGAUGGCUAUUUUCACUGACAUGUUGGAGGAAUACCUUGAAGUUUUCAUGGAUGACUUCUCGGUGGUUGGAGAAUCUUUUGAUGAUUCUCUUGCAAAUUUGGACAUAGUGUUAGCUAGAUGUGAAGAAACAAAUUUGGUGCUCAAUUGGGAGAAAUGUCAUUUCAUGGUCAAGGAAGGUAUUGUUCUUGGCCACAAAAUCUCAAGGAAUAAAAUUGAAGUUGACAAGGAAAAAAUUGAGAUAAUUUCUAAGAUUCCACCCCAAACUUCGGUGACGGGUAUGCGGAGUUUCUUUGGCCACGUGGGUUUUUACCAGCGCUUCAUCAAAGACUUCUCUAAGGUUGUGAACCCGUUGUGCAAGCUUCUUGAGAAGGAUGCUAAGUUUCAUCUCAAUGAUGAUUUCAUGAGAGCUUUUGAAUUGUUAAAUCUCAAGUUGACAACUACUCUCAUCAUCACCACUCCAAAUUGGAGUGUGCCUUUUGAACUCGUGUGUGAUGCAAGUGACGUAGCGAUUGGGGCUAUUUUGGGGCAACACAUCAACAAAACUUUUCAUCCAGUUUACUAUGCUAGUAAGAAUAUUAAUAGUUCCCAAGUCAACUAUAUCGUUACGGAGAAAGAGCUCCUUGCUAUUGUAUUUGCAAUUGAGAAGUUACGUUCGUACUUGAUGGGUGCAAAGGUCAUUGUCCAUAUCGAUCAUGCGGCACUUCGUUAUCUUAUUAGCAAAAAGGACUCCAAAGCUUGGUUGAUGAGAUGGGUGCUCUUGUUACAAGAAUUUGACAUUGACAUCUAAGAUAGAAAAGGGUAGUGAAAACCAAGUGGCGAACCACUUGUCUCAUUUGGAGGAAGAGGGGAGGACGUGUGAUGGCCUUGAAAUUAAUGAAUCCUUCCCCGAUGAGCAACUCUUAGCAAUUUCAAUGAAAUAGGUGCCAUGGUUCACAGAUUUAGUAAAUUUUCUUGGGUGUGGAAUCAUUUCGGAUGAGUUCUCUUCAAGCCAAAGGAAGAAGCUCAAACGGGAUUGUCAAGAUUAUUAUUGGGAUGAACCAUACAUUUUCUGAAUUUGUACGGAUGGGGUGAUUAGAAGAUGUGUACCGGAAGAAGAGCAAGGUAAAAUUCUUAGGGCUUGUCAUUCUUCGCCAUAUGGUGAUCAUCAUGGUGGAGUAAGAACGACGGCCAAAGUGCUUAGUUGUGGUUUCUAUUGGCCUACUCUUUACAAAGAAACUAGUUAGUUAGUGAAAAGAUGUGAUGAAUGUCAACGGGCCAAUGAAAUCUCAAACAAAAAUGAAAUGCCUCUCACAACCAUUUUGGAGAUUGAUAUUUUCGAUGUGUGGGGUAUUGACUUCAUGGGCCCUUUUGUGAGUUCUUGUGGAAACAACUACAUUUUGGUCGCGAUGGAUUAUGUGUCCAAAUGGGUUGAGGCCAUUGCUUUACCCAAUAAUGAGGCGAGAAGUGUGGUGGCUUUCUUGAAGAAUUAUAUUUUCACAAGGUUUGGUACUCCACGUGCAAUUAUAAGCGAUGGGGGGUCACAUUUUUUGUAACAAGACUUUCGACUCUUUACUUAGAAAGUAUGGUGUUACUCACAAAGUCACGACUCCCUAUCACCCACAAGCUAGUGGGCAAGUGGAAGUCUCCAACCGGGAGAUAAAGAGUAUUUUGUCCAAAAUGGUGAAUGCUAAUCGGACGGAUUGGUCCAAGAAUCUUGAUGAUGCAGUAUGGGCUUAUCGGACGGCUUGCAAAAUACAUAUCAGAAUGUCGCCAUACCGGUUGGUGUUCGGAAAAUUUUGUCAUCUUUCGGUGGAACUAUAGCACAAGGCCAUGUGGGCUCUAAAAAUGUUGAAUCUUGAUUGGUAUGUAGCCACUAACUUGAGGGUUGUACAUUUGAAUGAAUUGGAUGAAUUCCGGUACCACGCUUAUGCGAGUUCGUCCUUGUACAAAGAAAAUAUGAAAUAACUUCAUGACAAAUAUAUUUGGAACAAAGAGUUCAAGGUAGGCCAUCUUGUAUUGUUGUUUAACUCAAGGUUGAGGAUGUUUCCCGAGAAGCUAAAAUCCAAAGGGGUGGUCCUUUUGACAUUGUGAGUGUGACACAUUUUGGUGCAUUAGACUUGAAGAACAAAAACAAUGAAGUAUUCCGAGUCACUGGUCACCGGGUGAAGCACUACUUGGGAAAGGUUGGAGAUAGCCACGUUGUGGCAGUCAUUCAUUUCACUUGAGGGUAUUCUGCGUCGUGCCAAAAUAUUAAAUCAGGCACUUCUUGGGAGGCAACUCAUGUUUCAUUUCCUUUUUCUUUUGUAGUUAGAUGUUAUUUUUUUUCUAACUUAAUUUGAAGUGUGCAACAAGAGUGAGUGUGACUUAGAAGAAUUGUGGACGAAAAUAUGGCUAAGUGCUCAAGAGAGUGCGGACCACACAUUUUUAUGUGCCAUAGCAGAUGACCAUUUCGUCGGUACAUUUCUCUUGCGGACCGCACAUUUGAAACAUGAAAACUACCAACUCUCUGAAUUUUAAUCUUGUCAGUGCAGAGGUCGAUCUGCGACCGCACCUAAAACUGUGCAGACCGCAUAUUGGUUUUUGAGAAUAAUCACCCAGGUGGUAGGGUGCAGACCGCACAUGAAAAUGUGCGACCGCACUUGUCUCUUCUCCCUUCUCAAAUUUUUGGGUAUAAAUAGAAUAGUGGUCCUCAUCUUACACUUUUCCCUCUUUGAACAAAACACUAUUACUCUGCAAAUGUUUCUUGGAGAUUUUCCCUGUCCACACACACAGCCACCUAGAUUACUCACUCAGUGCAUUCACUAUAUCUGGUAUCCCUCAAUUUCAUGUUAAUUUUUUAAGUUAGUUUAAUUUGUCAAUUUUUUAGUUCUUUUUAGGCCAUCUGUUAUUAGAGUUCCAUUGUGUGUCCAUGUGGGGUAGAUCUGAAUUCGGUUAACUUGAUACAUGCUCUAAGGGGACUGGGUUAGUGAAAUUUCAUGCUUUUACAAUGUUGUCAUGCCUAUUUAUGCAAGAAAUUAAAACAUCUUAGACUAAAAAAAGUUAUUUGUUCGUAAUGGUUUGAAUUCUGCGGUCAUACUUGAAUUGUGCGGUCCGCAGAUAUGAAUGUUUUAGACACUUAUGUGAGGCAGGAAUCUGCAGUCGCGGGUCAAAUUGUGUGGACUGCAGAUUUUCUCUUGCAGCCACAGAUUAGGCUUUUUUCUCUGUCAUCAGAGAGUCUUCACUUUUAAGACUCCAAGGUGUAGCCUCAAGGCAAAUUGUGCGAACCGCAGAAAUCCUCUUGCUGCCGCAGUUUGACCAUUUCUCUCUCAUCAUAGAGUUCACAAAUUUGGGGCUCAGAAGUGCGGUUGUAAUCCUAAUUGUGCGAACCGCACUUCCCUUCUACGGCCGCACAACACAAAUGUGCGGACCGCGAGUUCCCAUCUACGGCCGCAGGUCAAAUUAUGUGGAGCACAUAUCCCGUAUCCUGCAGGCAUGACUCAACUGUACAACCCCAUUGUGUCCUAUGGUUUCUCCCUUACCUACAUGUCUCAUGUAUGUAUUUGAACAAUGAAUUGCAACUAAAAAUCUCCUCUACUUGAUACAGGUACUGGUUCGAUCAAGCGGACGAGGAGACACUUCAAAAGGGAGAGGUGAAUCUGAUCGAGGUUAAGUGACGAGCGCAAAACACACACUUAAAUUUUGCUCGCUAGUAAAAUAUCAUAUAGUAUAAUAUCGUAUCCACAGGGAUUGAAUUUGAAUAGUAUUGUUGUAGUUCCUAUCUUGAUUGAUAUUCAAUAUGAUCAACAAUUGAGAUUUAUAUAAUUUCUAACAAAAAUUAACUAGGACUCUAAAGCUAUUGACUAAAGACAAUUGAAACAAAGAAGGUUAUCACCGAGGGAAAAUAGGAGUUGAUAGGAUAGGUGCAAGAUAAUUGUUUGGUAUCUAACUCUAGAUAAUUCACUUCUAAUGUUCAAGUGAGUCUCUCGAAUUCACUCAAUUAUUAGUUCAAACGUUCAGAAAAAACUCCUCUCUCGAUUAAGUCUUAACCUUACGAGAUGAACCAAUUUAAGCACGUGAAGAUAUGCAAGAAUACUUAGUGGAUUGGUCAUUAGGAAACUUUCUUUCGAUUAUUCUCAUAACUAGGUUUAAUCAAUGAUUCAACUAUCCUCUUUCGAUUACUAAGAAGAAUUAAUGAACUCAACCAACAAUAUAAUGCAAAGAUAUCACAAGUUAUGCCUCUCUCGAUUACAUGAACCAGUGAAUAUAGAUUCAAUAAUUAAAUCAUCCAAAAAUGCUUCAAUACAUAAAACUAGAGUAAUAAUCGAUAAACAAUCAUCAAUACACCAAAUCCAUCAAACCCUAAAGAGAACUACUCUAUAGAUAUAAAGCAAUUCAUCACAAAUAAGUUUAAAGUAAAGGAAAACAUAAAUUCAAUCCAAACUCGGGUAUUGAGUGAGGAAGUAAUGAUGAAAUCCUUGUGCUCGUGUUUUUCCAACUCCUCCUUAGACUCCUUAGGUCGAAUAUGUGUCAAAAGUUCAGAAAAUAAAUGUUUUCCAUGUAAUUAUAUCAAGUAGGGUCUGGUCCAAACGAAAUCACCUUUUCCUAGCCGAAAUAGGACAUUCACUCUGUAAAACUUGCAUAGGCGCGCCGCAUGGGCAACGCGCCAUGCAGGGCGUUAGUGGGGAAAUCCAUAGAGCUCAACAAUUCAAUAGGCAGCAAAAAUACACUGCUGCGUCGCACUAUGCCUCGCAUCCUGCGCCGCACUAGUGCAAAUUUCUCAAAGUACGGCUCAAAUCUUGUGUUUUGACAUCCAGACUUGGUCCUAGACCCCCAAACACAAUCCUGGCUUAAUCCCUUAGGCUUUUACUCAGACUUCAAAGAUCCAAUCGCUCGAAUUCAUUCCAUAACAUCUACAUAGCUCGGAAUCACUUCUACAAGGCAUAAAACACAUAAUAAGUGCAAAACACUAUCAAUUAAAACUCAAACACAAGUAAAGUGCAGUUAAUUAGAGUACAAUAAGUGACUAAAAUACGAGAUUAUAGCCUACCAUAAACACCCCACACUUAAACCAUUGCUCGUCCUCGAGCAAUCAAACUAUACUUCACAUAGACGCGACCUUUUUCAAUAACUCAUAACUCAUCACACCAGAAAUAUUUAAAACAGAUUAAGUACAAUACCAUAACAUCCUAGCCUCAAAAUUUUACUCAAAAGCACCACACAUUAUUUAUAACUCGCUCACUUACUCUAACACAGAGGUCAAGCAUCACCUUUCCUUCAUGAAUCAAGUGCCCUCAUACAACAAUAGAGAGUAGUUCCAUACGCAAUAAUAUUUUAGAGCAAUUAGGAACUCAAGAUAGAAAGAAUUUGCUCACUCUGAGAAACAACAUUCAUGUGCCACAAAAGACGUACCAGGCUUGCCCGUAGUGUACUGCUCUACUAAUUGAGCUCAUUCAGUCAAGGAUCAAGUAGGACUUUAUUUGGUUGUAAUGCAGGCUGCGGGACGGGUAGGAUACAUUUGGAUAUAAGAGUGACUACACCUCCCUAAUCACCUUAAUACAUACAUUGCAUUGUUCAAAACCCCACAUUUAUAUCAAACCAUAACUCCACCCUCACAUCAAUAUACAUUAACUUCCUACUUCUUUAAACACAAGUACAUCAAGAGUCACCACUAUCAACGAAUCUAAUUUUUCUUUUCUUUUCUUAUUAAAUUCAAGUGGCUCUUACUUUUUCAAAAUAGUGCACCUUUCUCUUUAUUUCAAUAGUUCCAUUCAAAAGUCAAACCAACCACCCCACACUUCAACUUUUACAAAGUUCAUAACAAAUUCAAGGUCUCACGAGAGGUAAAAGGUUCAAAUAGAUGGUCAAUUCAAACAAAUGGGUAAAGCUUGUAAUGUGGUUGCCAAAGAAACAAGAUUACAGGCUCAACGGGGUUAACUAAGAUACAUAACAAUUAGGUAGGUAAAAGCAUAUAGUUGGCUCAACAAAGAAAUGCCUAUAUCACUUCCAAGACUGAAUAAAACUACUAUUUCACUUUGCAAACACACGGGGCAAGUUCGAGACAUCAAAUGCAAUGCACAAAAUAACACAAAACCUCACACACACCUAGCACAUAACUCACUCAAGAUUGGAUUAUCAAGACACUCUAGUCAAAGAAGUUAAGAAAAGUUAAGAUCAUGCAAUUUAAGGUACUUAUACAAUAGUAAAAAUCUGAGCCAAAGCAUCACAACUAAAGCACUUACUAUUCUCAAGGUAUGAUAAAGUCAAGAUAUAUUGCCGUCCAUCUAAACCAUAGCACAAGGUUUGCUACUCCUAACAAAAAUAAAAACUAAUUACACCUGAUUCACACAAAACACUUAGAAACGAACCGCGACACAAAGAAAAACCAAUUGUGCCUUGUUACACUACCUAACAAAAGAUAAUCUUUUUUUCGUUUUUCCUUUGACUUUAAUCCCUCCAAAAAACUGUUGAAUGAUAUCCAUCAUCGGAAAAAAACAAAAAUAUUCCAAUUUUUAUGGGUUUUUCAAUUUUUUUCUAUCUCUAACUACUAAAACUAACAAAACAAAAAAAAAACUAAUAUACAAACGUACUGUCACGACCCAAAAUCUCACCCGUUGUGAUGGUGCCUAUCUCAAUACUAGGAAAGCCGACAAUCUCAAUUAACCACAUAUCUUUUAAAUUUGAAAACACAAUAAUUAAAUUCAGCAGAAGAAAUCUCACAAGUACAAAUAUAAACACUCCAAAAACCCGGUGUCACUGAGUACAUGAGAAUCUAAUAUGAAUACAAGUCUGGAAAACACAGUCUAUAAUAGUCUAAGACCAAAUACAGUAUAUAAGGAGAUAGGAAAGGAGAGACAAGGUCUCUGAAACACAACAGCUACCUCUGAAUCUCCGAAAAAUUAAUUGUGCGAAAGAAUCAAUACCCACUAUGUCCGGGAACACCUGGAUCUGCACAAGAAGUAGAGGGUGUAGUAUGAGUAUAACCAACUUAACAAGUAAUAAUACUAAAUAGGUACCUGCACUCACUGGGGUGUGUACAGACUCCAGAGGGGCUCCUACAACCCAAGCGCUAUAAUACGCACGGAUAACUCGCGUGUUUCACGGACAACUCACGUGCUAUAGUAUAAUAUAUGAAUCCGCACAGACAACUCACGUAUUGCACGGAUAACUCACGUGCUAUAGUAUAAUAUCUCACAAUCAGGCCCUCGGCCCCACUCAGUCAUAAAUCUCUCUAGUCUCUCGGACUCUUAAUAAUCAUGAAAAUCAGCCCAAACAACAAUGAUAUGAUGCAUCAAUAAUGGAUAAUAGAGACUGAGAUAAAAUAAAUAAGUAAACUGUGACUGAGUACAAAAUAAUAAUUUAGCAGAUAGUUCAACAUGUACACGACCUAUGUGGGUCCCUACAGAGCCAACACAUAAUCUAAACAUGAUCUGUAGUUCAAUUUCUCUACUACAUGAAGAAUGUAUAGAUAACAACAGAUUAUUCAACUACAAAGUUCCACGAAAUUUGACCAAGUCACAAUUCCUACGGUGCACGCCAACACGUCCGUCAACCUAGCAUAUGCAUCACCUCAAAACCGAUCACAUAACACAAAAUCUGGGGUUUCAUACCCUAAGGACCAAAUAUAGAACUGUUAGUUACGGAAAACUGUAAAAUUCUCUAUUCUUCUAUGCCCUUGCCUCGCGAAUCAGCCUCCAAAUGCCUCGAAUCUAGUCACAAAUAAUUUGAUUCAAUCAAUACAAAUUAUGGGAAUUAAUUCCAUAUGAAAAUACUAAUUUUCCAACAAACAUCCGAAAUUGCACUCAAAAUCUCCUGUGGGGCCCACAUCUCGGAACCCGACAAAAGUUACGGAAUAUGAACGCCCAUCCAACCACGAGUCCAACCAUACAAAUUUCACUGAAUUCUGUCAUCAACUCAACCCUCAAAUCUUCAUCUAAAGUCUUUGAAGAUUUCUACCAUUUUCAACCCAGUACUUACCCAUUUGAACUCAAUAAUCUUGCUACAAGCCUUAUUAAUCCCCCAUCUUUUACUCCAAACUCGAAAUUGAAGAAUUGGGAAAAGAAAUUAUUACCUCUUUGAAGCCCUAGCAAGAACCUUGUGAAAUCUUCAAGCUUUGAAUAAGAAUUGAUGAACAAUUGACUAGGUCUUCACUUUCUCUCUCUAAGAUUCUCUCACCACUGUCUAAAAUAUCAGUUUUUUUGCUCCAAAAGAGUCCCUUUGCCUCAAUAUAUCGAAAUAGGGUUGGGUAAAAAAUUAGAAAAAUUGAAGCCCCGACGUAGAUCUGCGGUCGCAUAUGUGACCGCAUAAUGCUUCUGCGGUCCGCAUAAUGGGCCGCAUAAUUGCCCUCUGGAACUGGGCGAAACUGACUCAGACUGCGGUCAACAUUUUCAACUUAAGUUCUAAACCUUGUAACUAAGUGUUCCAAAUCAUUCCCAAAUCUCACCGGACCCGAACUAAUCACCCUGGCAAGUCACAUAACAACUGUAAAACAUAAAUUGAGCAGUAAAUGGGGGAACGGGGUUGUAAUACUCAAAAUGAACGGCCGGGUCGUUACAUUCUCCCCCUCUUAAACAAACGUUCGUCCUCGAAUGGGUUUAGAAUUAUACCUGGAGUCUCAAAUAGGUGUGGAUAUUUGCUCCGCAUCUCCCGCUCAGUCUCCCAAGUAGCUUCUCCGACUGGCUGUCCUCUCCACUGCACUUUCACUGAAGCUAUGUUCUUUGAUCUCAACAUUCGAACCUGCCGGUCUAAAAUGUCCACUGACUCCACAUCAUAAGUCAAAUUACCAUCCAAAUGCACUGUGCUGAAAUCCAAAACAUGAGAUGGAUCCUCGACAUACUUCCGGAGCAUAGAUAUAUGAAACUCUUGAUGAACACUCGAUAGACUAGGCCACAAUACAAGUUCAUAAGCCACAUCUCCAAUCUUCUUAAGCACCUCAAACGGCCCAAUAUAUUGAGGGCUCAACUUGCGCUUCUUCCCGAACCUCAACACACCCUUCAUGGGCAAAAACUCGAGUAGAACCUUCUCCCCAACCAUGUAAGCAACAUCACAGACAUUCCGGUCGACAUAACUCUUAUGUCUAGACUACACCGUGCGAAGCCGCUCCUGAAUCAAUUUAACCUUCUCCAAAGCAUCCUGAACCAAAUCAGUACCCAAAAGCCUAGUCUCACCCGGCUCAAACCAACCCACCGGAGACCGACACCGUCUCCCAUAUAAAGCCUCAUAUAGAGCCAUCUGAAUGUUCGAUUGGUAUCUGUUAUUGUAAGCAAACUCUACUAGUGGCAGAAAUUGAUCCCAAGAACCCCCAAAAUCUGUAACACAAACGCGUAGCAUAUCUUCCAAUAUAUGAAUAGUGCGCUCAGACUGUCCCUCCAUCUGAGGGUGAAAUGUUGUACUCAGCUGAAUUUGUGUACCUAAUUCUCGUUGUACUGCUCUCCAAAACUGUGAUGUGAACUGCGUACCCCGAUCUGAAAUGAUGGACACUGGCACACCGUGCAGACGAACAAUCUAAUGGAUAUAAAUCUCAGCCAAUUGCUCCGAAGAAUAAGUAGUACCAACUAGAAUAAAAUACACAGACUUGGUCAACCGAUCUAUAGUCACCCAAACAACAUCAAACUUUCUCAAAGUCCGUGGGAGCCCAACUACAAAGUCCAUGGUAAUACGCUCCCACUUCCACUUCGGAAUUUCAAGUCUCUGAAGCAAUCUUCCCGGUCUCUGAUGCUCAUACUUCAGCUAUUGACAAUUUAAACACCGAGCUACAAACCCAACUAUAUCUUUCUUCAUUCGCCUCUACCAAUAGUGCUGCCUAAAAUCCUGAUAUAUCUUUGCGGCACCCGGAUGAAUGGAGUACUGCAAACUGUGAGCCUACUCGAGAAUCAACUCACGCAAACCAUCUACAUAAGGCACAUAUAGCCUACCCUGCAUCCGUAAUACACCGUCACCCCCAAUAGUGACUUCCUUGGCAUAACCGUACUGAACCGUGUCCUUAAGGACAAACAUAUGAGGGUGAUCAUAUUGACGUUCUCUAAUACGAUCAUAAAGAGAAGACUGAGAAACCACACAAGCUAAAACUCGGCUUAGCUCAGAAACAUCCAAUCAGACAAACUGGUUGGCCAAGGCCUGAACAUCCUAGGCUAAAGGCCUCUCUGCUACGGGUAAGUAUGCUAAGCUGUCCAAACUCUCCGCCUUACGACUCAUGGUAUCGGCCACCACAUUGGCCUUUCCGGGAUGAUAGAGAAUGGUCUGCACGAAAUACAUUCGGAAAGUCUCGCACUACCGGUACUGAAUCAAUAGUAGAGGUAUCUGCAUCAACGUUUAUCACAAAGGCCAAAUAUGACAUACACCCCUUCCCCGCCAUAUGUUAGGCUUUAAAAUAAGAAAUUACCAUGCUGGGAACAUAAUCUAGAGAACCUCUCCAUUCGACCUUUGGUAACCCCAGCAUUGCCAAUGUCACAGUUUUUGCGUGACAGUCUAGAAUAGCAUGAUAUGGAGACAACCAAUCCAUACCCAGGAUUACAUCAAAAUCAACCGUACUAAGCAAUAAGAGAUCAACUCUAGUUUGCAUUCCCCCAAUAGUUACCACACACGACCGAUACACACGGUCCACCAUAAUAGUAUCGCCCACCGGCGUAGAUACACAUACAGGUGAAACUAAGGACUCACGGGGCAUAUCAAGAUAAUGAGCAAAAUACGAUAGUACAUACGAAUAAGUAGAACCAGGGUCAAAUAAUAUAGAUGCCUCCAUGUGGCACACUGAGACAGUACCCGUGAUCACUGCAUCUGAGGCAACGACAUCUGGCCUGGCGGGAAAAGCAUAGAAUCGUGCUUGACCGCCACCUGAUCGGCCUCCCUCUCUUGGGCGACCCCUAACUGGCUGAGCCCCACCCCGAGCUGGCUGGGCGGGUGGUGUAACUGCUGGUGUUGGUGCCGUCGUCCAAGAACUCUGUUGUGGAGCCCCACUCAACAGCGUAGAAAAAUCUCUCUUGAAAUGACAAAAUUCUCCGCACUCGAAACAACCCCUCCUCUGACGGAACUGCUGCUCAUGAUAACCCGAGGAAUUAUCUAUCGAAUCCUGGGCGGACGAGGCAUGAUGAGAACUCUGUGCUCGUAGUUCACUAAAUGAAGACUGGCCUGAGUGAGAACAGUAAGAACUGUGGCUAGCUGAUGCACCACGAUGAGCUGGACGAGUCGUCUGAGUGGGCCUAUAAGGGCGACCCCUGCUGUGGUAGAACUGUCCCCCAGAAGGUAUCCCACCAAAACCUCCUAAACCACGAGGCCUCUUGGCCUCCCUGUGACCACGCUCCUGGCUACGGACCACCUCAUCAAAAGUGGCACCAGAUACCCUCUCCCUAGUCAUAAGAAACUGUAGUUGAUAUGUUACGACAACAAUGAACCUCCCAAUCCUCGCCCUAUCAGUGGGAACCAACCAAACUGCAAGACGAGCCAAUUCAGAAAACCUUAUCUCGUACUGGGUCACAAACAUGCCAUCCUAUCAAAGCUGCUCAAAUUAUCUGCACAGCUCCUCCCUAUGAGACUGCGGCACGAACUUCUCCAAAAUGAAAAUAGAGAACUCAUACCAUGUAAGUGGUACUGCACCAACCGGCCUGCGCCUCUCAUAAGCCUCCCACCAUCUGAAGGCAGCCCCAGAAAACUGAAAAGUAGUGAACGAGACGCCCACUGGUCUCCAAAAUACCCGUUGUCCGAAGCAUCUGCUGGCUUUUAUCCAGAAAACCCUGAGCAUCUCUAACUCAGCACCGCUAAAUGAUGGAGGUCGAAGCCUCCCAAAUCUCUCAAGUCUCCUCUGCUCAUCAUCUUCCAUAACUGGACUAUCGGGGCCUGAGCAGCUGUAAUCGACUGGGCUGGUAGUGCCCCAGGUAUUUGAAAUCCCUGCGCCACCUGCUCUGGAGUACGGGAAACAGGGGUAUGAGUACCUCCCCCAGCCUGAGAAGUGGUUGGUGCGGCCUGAGCCAAAACCACUUGAGCAAGGCCAGUGUAAACUAUCAAUAUCUGAGCCAAUGCCUCUUGUAGGCCUGGAAUCACAUUGGGCACAGCUGGUGCCUGAGCGGGUCCCGCAGGCUCAACUACAUCUAGAAUCUGCUCCUGAGCUGGAGAAACUGGUGGUGCUACAUGUGCUGCUCCAAUUGAUGUACGAGCGACACCUCAACCUCGACCUCUACCUCGGCCCCGGCCUCUCAUGGCCCUAACUGGUGGCAAUGGUUGCUCACCGUCCAAUCCGGUAGUACGUGUUCUCACCAUCUGUGAGAGAAUAGAAUAACAUAAUUUUAGUUUUCUAGAAUCAACAAGUUUGCACGACCGAAUAUAGGAAAGUUAAAUUUUCCUAAGGAUUCGACAGCCUCUCGAAAAUAAGUACGGCCGUCUGCGUACCGAUCCGUAAGACUCUACUAAACCAACUCAUGAGUCAUGAGACCUAUGUAACCUAGGCUUUGAUACUAACUUGUCAUGACCCAAAAUCUCACCCGUCGUGAUGGCACCUAUCUCAAUACUAGGCAAGCUGAUAAUCUCAAUAAAUCACAUAUCUUUUAAAUUUGAAAAUACAAUAAUUAAAUUCAGCGGAAGAAAUCUCACAAGUAUAAAUAUAAACACUCCCAAAACCCAGUGUCACUGAGUACAUGAGCAUCUAAUAUGAAUACUAGUCUGGAAAAUAUGGUUUAUAAUAGUCUGAGACCAAAUACAAUAAACAAGGAGAUAGGGAAGGAGAGACAAGGUCUGGGAAACAUGGCAGCUACCUCUAAAUCUUUGGAAAAUCAACUGUGUGAAGGAAUCAACACCCACUAUGUCCGGGAACACCUGGAUCUGCACACAAAGUGCAGGGUGUAGUAUGAGUAGAACUAACUCAGCAAGUAACAAUACUAAAUAAAGAACUGACAGUAGUGACGAGCUUCACAGCUGAGUCCAAUUAUAGUAAUUUCCAACAUAAUAAGGUAGGCAUGCCUUCAAGUUCAACAUUUAAGACCAAAAAAUUAAUUUCAUGACAGUGAUAUCUCUCAGAAAUUUCAUGAAAUCAAUUGCAUCCUCUCAGGACCACAGUCACUUAGCCAUUCCAUCCGCUCAGCACUCGCACUCAGUAGGUACCUGCGCUCACUAGGGUAUGUACAGACUCCAGAGGGGCUCCUACAGCCUAAGCGCUAUAAUCCGCACAGACAACUAACGUGUUAUAGUAUAAUAUCUCACAAUCAGGCCCUCGGUCUCACUCAGUCAUAAAUCUCUUCAGUCUCUCGGGCUCCUAAUAAACAUGAAAAUCAGCCCAAACAACAAUGAUAUGAUGCAUUAAUAAUGGCAAUAGAGACUGAGAUAAAAUAAACAAGUAAACUGUGACUGGGUACAAAAUAAGAAUUUAGCAGAUAGUUCAGCAUGUACUUGACCUAUGUGGGUCCCUACAGAACCAACACAUAAUCUAAAGAUGAUUUGUGGUUCAAUUUCUCUACUGCAUGGAGAAUGUACAGAUAACAACAGAUUAUUCAACUACACAGUUCCACGAAAUUUAACCAAUUCAUAAUUCCUACGGUGCAUGCCAACACGCCCGUCACCUAGCAUGUGCGUCACCUCAAAACCGAUCACAUAGCACAAACUUCGGGGUUUCAUACCCUCAGGACCAAAUUUAGAACUGUUAGUUACCGCAAACCGUGAAAUUCUCUAUUCUGCUAUGCCCUUGCCUCAUGAAUCGGCCUCCAAACGCCUCGAAUCUAGUCACAAAUAAUUCGAUUCAAUCAAUACAAAUUAUGAGAAUUAAUUCCAUAUGAAAAUACUAAUUUUCCAACAAAAAUCCGAAAUUGCACUCAAAAUCACCCGUGGGGACCAUGUCUUGGAACCCGACAAAAGUUACGGAAUAUGAAUGCCCAUCCAACCACGAGUCCAACCAUACAAAUUUCACCAAAUCCUGUCAUCAACUCGACCCUCAAAUCUUCAUCUAAAGUCUUCAAAGAUUUCUACCAUUUUCAACCCAAUCCUUACCCAUUUGAACUCAACAAUCUUGCUACAAACUUUAUUGGUACAAGCAUGAAUAAAUAAUACUUGUACACUCAAGAAUUAUACUCUUAAUCUGCCAUCUUUUACUCCAAACUCAAAAUUGACGAAUUGGGGAGAAAAAUUCUUACCUCUUUGAAGCCCUAGCAAGACCCUUGUGAAAUCUUCAAGCCUUGAACAAGAAUUGAUGAACAAUUGACUAGGUAUUCACUUUCUCUCUCUAAGAUUCUCUCACCACUCUCUAAAAUAUCAGAUAUUUGUUCCAAAAGAGUCCCUUUGCCUCAAUAUAUCGAAAUAGGGUCGGGUAAAAAAUUAGAAAAAUAGAAGCCCCAACAUAGAUCUGCGAUCGCAUAAUGCUUCUGCGGUCCGCAUAAUGCGCCGCAAACCUGAUCCCUAAAACUUGCCUUAACUGCUUCAUUCUGCAACCAUUAUGCGGUCCGCAGAGUGAUUCUGCGGCCGCAUAGUGGGAAGCAUAAAUGUAUUUUCCUGCUCGAAAUUUUCUUUUACUCACCAGCGCUGAAAUGUAUUUUCCUGUCCGAAAGUUUCUUUUACUCGCAAGCUGGCCGCGAGAAAUUUCUACAACCUUAGUAAUAAUUAAUCUACCUCGGUACCACAAAACCUUAAUUUCCUUAGCAAACAUUCUCUAGGGUCGUUACAUAUAAGUCAACCUCCGGUCAACCUUUUCAACUUAAGUUCUAAACCUUGGAACUAAGUAUUCCAAAUCAUUCCAAAACCUCAGCGGACCCGAACUAAUCACCCUGGCAAGUCACAUAACAACUAUAAAGCAUAAAUUGAGCAGUAAAUGGGGGAACAUGGUUGUAAUACUCAAGUUGUGGCAUGUGCCCAUGACACACAAUUGUCCCCGGCCGGGUCGUUACACAUACAUACAACAUAUCCCCCACCCCACACUUUAAGUUAUGGUAUGUCCCCAUGACACACAAUUAAAAAUCAUAAGGUAAAGGAAACUUCCCUUGCUCACUGUAGCCUUCUCUCUUGAGCCCUUCACUUUCCACUCAACACUUGUAGUUGGUUUGUCCUUUUGUGUCCCCUUUGCUAUAUUCAUCUCAAAAAUCACAAUAUCCUCACCCACUCUAAGCAUGAGUAUUUUCUCGUGUAUAUCCAAUAUAGCUCUACCCGUUGCUAAGAAUGGUCUUCCUAGGAUGAGGGGGACCUCGUUUUCCUCCAUUUUCACCAAUAUAAAUUCUACAGUAAAUACGAACUUAUCCACUCGAACUAACACAUCUUCUACUAUCCCCUCGAGUAUUAAAGUCAUUUGGUCUGCCAGUUGUAAAGAUAUUGGCAUCGACCUUAUCUCUCCAAUAUCCUUCUCCAGUUUCCUGUAAAUAGAUAGAGGCAUUAAACUAAUUGAGGCACCAGAAUCACAUAAGGAUUUAUCAAACUUAAUAGUGCCUAAAGAGCAAGGUAUAGUAAAACUCCUUGGAUCUCCACACUUUUGUGGGAGUUUGUUUUGCAAUAUCGCGCUUCAAUGCUCUGUGAGCUUCACCAGUGAAGUAUCCUCUAUCUUCCUCUUCUUUAUAAGGAUCUCAUUCAUGAAUUUGGCGUAAGCAUGCAUUUGUGAGAGCACUUCUAUGAAUGGAAAAUUUACAUGAACCUAUUUUAGCACAUCUAGAAAUCUCCUAAACUGCUUGUCCAGCUUUUCUCUAUAUAGCUUUUGAGGAAAAGGUAAAGCAGGCAUAUGCUCGCUCUCAUCAUGUUCCUCCCUUCUUAAUUUUUCUUCCAUCUUAUUCUUCUCAGUUUUCAUCGAGCCUUUCUUAUUUUUAUCAAUAUCAUUCUUCAGCUACUCCCCACUUUCGUUUUCAUGUAUCGCAUCCUUUUGGAUCGGGGUGGGAUCUUUCAACACUUGCCCACUUCUCACAUUUACAGCAUUCACUGUUUCUUUAGGAUUUCUCUCAAUAUCAGUGGGGAGAGUUCCUGGAUCCCUCUUAGAUAAUAUUGUUGCAAUCUGCCUAACUUGUCUCUCCAGGUUCCGAAAAGAUGUGCCCAACUCUUUGAUAGCUACUCCAUGAGCGUCCAGCCUCUCAUCUGUCUUGAUAAUGAAGGCCUUUAAUAGAUCCUCUAGACCUGACUGAAUGGGAUGUUGAGGCUGAAAUUAUUGCCUCUACUGAUUUUAGUAUGCUGGAGCUCCUUGUCCCUGCAGUCUAGAGUUAUUUUGUUACCAAGCAUUCACGGUACCUCCAGGUGAACUCCAUGAAAAUUCGGGGUGCCUCUAACCCAUUGUAUUGAAACUGUAGUUUCCCACAACAUUUACUUUCUCAGUUGAGGCUUGACACUCAUGAAUAGGGUGUCCUCUUCCACAUAUAUCACAAACUAUAUGAGGCUCAUUUUGUAUCGAGGCUAAGGUCAGCUUCCGUAUUUCUUAGCCAUAGCAUCCAGUUGUACCUGCAUAGAUGUAUUAGCAACAACUUGGUGAAUACUAGUUGUUCUUCUUCUUUCAACACUCUCAGAGGGCCACUGAUUUGCAUCUUUAGAUAACUCAUCAAGAAUUAUAACUAUCUCCUCUGGAGUCUUCUUCAUCAAUGGGCCUCCAGCUGCAUUGCUCAAUGUUCUACGUGAGGCUGGUGUCAAUCCAUCCCUAAAGUCCUAGAGUUGCAUUCAGAGUCCAAUUCUGCUAUGUUGAUGCUUUCGAAUAAUCUCUUUAAACCUCUCCCAUGCUUCAAAAAUAGUUUCCGUAUCAAUCUGGUAGAAGUUAUGGAUUUAUCUUCUAAACUUGCUCGUUUUAGUAGAGGAGAAAUAUUUAUCAAGGAAUUUUCUAGUCAUCUUCUCCCAAGUUCUAAUGGAUCCCGUGGGUAAGCUUCGAAGCCACUGUUUUGCAUCAUCUUUGAGUGUAAAGGGGAAUGCCCUCAAGUACACUGCAUCUCGUGAUACACCAUUGUAUUGAAAGGUGUUCAUAAUCUCUUCGAAGUCCAUCAUAUGUGUAUUUGGAUCUUCGUUCAUCUUCCCUAUGAGGACACAACAAUUUUGAAGGGUUUGAAGCAACCCUUGCUUCAACUCGAAAUUAUUUGCUGUAAUUGGAGGUGGUCUCACACUUGAUAAUCCUUGAUUGUAGACCAGUCUAAUAUAAUCACCAAGAGGUCUUCCUUGUAUGGGAGCUAUAUUUUCGAACUGGUCCGCACCCAAAGGUUGAUUUUGAGCAAUUCUCUGACCCCUUACUUCUCCAUAGAUAAUUUGUGCAUCUCUGAUAGUUUCUUCCUCAGCAUCCCGUGCAACUUGUUAUCUUUGUUAGGUUGCCUCUCUUGCAUCCAAAUCUAUAUUAUCAUCACCGUUUCCAGCCAUAAGUUCUUUGGUCGAGGAUUGCCCAACCUUUUCUGAUGUCUCGGUGAGAUUUCUCUCCUUCCUCAAUUGUCGCAGUUGUUUUUCUACCUUUGGCUCGUAUGGUAGAACUUCUUUAGCAGAAGCUCGAGUCAUGUACCAAUCUAAACCUGUAACCUGCACACAGUCAAAGAACACCAACCGUAAAAAGAGAAAAAUAAAAUUAAAUAAAAAGAACAAAAUCAUGAAUUAGCACUACAAACUAUUUCAAAUGCACACUAUUAAUCCAAUAGCACAUACAGGGAACCAGGAAAAAAUAAAAGCACAACACUUUGGUUCUGAGGGAAAUCACCCAGUCAAAUACCAUGCUCAAGUUGUUAUUGAGGGGGGAAUGGUGAGGCUGGUUUUUACUAACAUGGUUUGUUCUUUUGCAGGAAACGAUAGUGUACUCAUCCCUUGCCAUUUACUAUGACUUCCAUGGGUGGUUGUAGCACUAUGUGCUCAUUCCCUAUAAGGAGGAGUGAUGGCAAGCACAAGCAUGGGAACGAAAUAUAACGGCAAAAAGCUAAGAAAUCGCCAAUACAGUGGCUAUUUUUGGCGAAGAUUUCUGGGCAAUUUGGAAACAAAGUAGAACAAAAUAUCAGUGCAACACUAUAAUACAAUAGCUCAUAAUCCAAAACUUGCAAAGAUAUCAAUAAGAUUCACAAGGCAAGCACACGAAAUUGUAGGCAAAAUCUGGACUGCUGAGCACUUUUGGACAGUACACUCGCGAGGGCUCUUUUAGCGAAAUAUUUCGGGCACAAUGGGUAUAAAAUGGGCUAAAUUAUUGAUGCAGCAUGGGAGAAGGAAAACCAAGAUCGAAUUCAUUCAAAGGUUUCAAGAGAUAAUAGAGGGAGGUCACGCAAAAAAGAUCGCAAACAUAGUGCACUUGCAAGUUUCUGGGCAGAGCACAUGCUUAAAAUUUUGCGAGCCUCGGGUAAUUUUUGUAGAUGUUGUAAUGACACUUUAUGGAGCAUGCAUGGACAAACAAUUCAAAUGAUGCUACAACACCAAUGGAGGGUGGCUCACAUCACCAUUUUUUGGGCAGUGUCUAUUUUUUGGCAAAUGGAAAUUGGCUAUUUGUGCAAGCAGCGUAACUGAGUAGUGGCUUUCAAUGAAUAUGGCUAUUUUUGCAAACAUCGGAUCUUGCAACUGGACGCUAAAUAUAAUGAGCUUCAAGGGCUAGAUCUUAAGUAUAAAAGCUACAUUAGAUUUCAUGUGCUAUCAUUGUUGAGCAUUUUACUCAACUUUGAUAAUAGGCUAUAUGUAGUUUGCAAAGUUUAUUUCUUUCAUUUCUUAGGAUUUCAUGAUACUUNNNNNNNNNNNNNNNNNNNNNNNNNNNNNNNNNNNNNNNNNNNNNNNNNNNNNNNNNNNNNNNNNNNNNNNNNNNNNNNNNNNNNNNNNNNNNNNNNNNNNNNNNNNNNNNNNNNNNNNNNNNNNNNNNNNNNNNNNNNNNNNNNNNNNNNNNNNNNNNNNNNNNNNNNNNNNNNNNNNNNNNNNNNNNNNNNNNNNNNNNNNNNNNNNNNNNNNNNNNNNNNNNNNNNNNNNNNNNNNNNNNNNNNNNNNNNNNNNNNNNNNNNNNNNNNNNNNNNNNNNNNNNNNNNNNNNNNNNNNNNNNNNNNNNNNNNNNNNNNNNNNNNNNNNNNNNNNNNNNNNNNNNNNNNNNNNNNNNNNNNNNNNNNNNNNNNNNNNNNNNNNNNNNNNNNNNNNNNNNNNNNNNNNNNNNNNNNNNNNNNNNNNNNNNNNNNNNNNNNNNNNNNNNNNNNNNNNNNNNNNNNNNNNNNNNNNNNNNNNNNNNNNNNNNNNNNNNNNNNNNNNNNNNNNNNNNNNNNNNNNNNNNNNNNNNNNNNNNNNNNNNNNNNNNNNNNNNNNNNNNNNNNNNNNNNNNNNNNNNNNNNNNNNNNNNNNNNNNNNNNNNNNNNNNNNNNNNNNNNNNNNNNNNNNNNNNNNNNNNNNNNNNNNNNNNNNNNNNNNNNNNNNNNNNNNNNNNNNNNNNNNNNNNNNNNNNNNNNNNNNNNNNNNNNNNNNNNNNNNNNNNNNNNNNNNNNNNNNNNNNNNNNNNNNNNNNNNNNNNNNNNNNNNNNNNNNNNAACUCGGGUCUUGAGUGAAGAAGGAAUGAUGAAAUCCUUGUGCUCGUGUUUUUCCAUCUCCUCCUUAGCCUCCUUAGGUCGAACAUGUGUCAAAAGUGCAAAAAAUAAUAUUUUUUCCAUAUAUUUAUAUCAAGUAGGGUCGGGCCCAAACGAAAUCACCUUUACCUAGCCAAAAUAGGACAUUUACUUUGUAAAUAUUGCACAGGCGCGCUGUAUGGGGCGACGCGCCAUGCGGGGUAUUAGUGGGAAAAUCUAGAGAGAUCAACAAUUCAACAGGCAACAAAAAUACACUGUUUCAUCACACUAUGCCUCGCACCCAGCGUCGCACUAGUGCAAAUUACUCAAAGUACGGCUCAAACCUUGUGUUUUGACAUCCAGACUUGGUCCUCGACCCCCGAACACGAUCCCGGCUAAAUCCCUUGGGCUUUUACUCAAACUUUAAAGCUCAAAAUCGCUCGAAUUUAUUCCAUAACAUCUACAUAGCUCAGAAUCACUCCUACAUGGCAUAAAACACACAAUAAGUGCAAAAACACUAUCAAUUAAAGAUCAAACACAAGUAAAUUGCAGUUAAAUAGAGUGUAAUAAGCAACUAAAAUACGAGAUUAUAGCCUACCAUCAUCGAGGAAAAAGUACCUUGCCCUUUGUCCAGCCCAAGACAAUAAGAAAGAAAAUAAUAGUCGGCAGAGGGAGAGGUGCAGACCUCUCUGAGUCUAUCUCCUAUAUCCCAUCUAGGGAGGUGUCAGAGGGAAACUCAGCCUUUAUUCAAGAGGAGUAGACGGCCACCCAGUCGAGGCCGCAGUGGUGAUACCAGCUCAGGGAUGAUCCGUCUUCAUGUCACAGCACCUACGAGAGGUCGGAGAGUGCUAAUCAGGCUUCUUAGCCAUCGGCUACACCAGUCCCUGAGGCACAGGUUACACAUGAUAUCCCCGAUGAUGGCAGAGGGGGAGAUGCUACAACUACAGGGCUUGAGAGAUCAAAGAAGAAAGAGGUUUGGGAGGAUUGCUUUGUUUGCUUGGCCGCUUUUACCAGUUUCCGUAUGUGGUGGCCAGUGAGCUCGCUAACUCUUGAGCGACAGUUUCUGUUAAAUGAUUUGGAGAAAUACAACCCAACUAUAUUGAGACAGUUCAUGGCACGAAAGGGGUGGAUGUGGUUCACCGAGAAAGUAGACGAUGCCAAAUAAUACCUUGUUUGAUAAUUAUAUGCCAAUGUGGCUCAUAUAAAGAAAGGUACGAAGGUGACCAAAGUACGCAACCUCAAGGUGAGAUUUGAUCAGCAUACGCUAAAUACGUAUUUGGGCUUCAAAGAUUUUGAGCUGAAGGAAUAUCUGGAGAAGUGCGCACUAAAGGAUGAAGUCCGACCUUGGUUGGCUAAGAUUCUAGCACCACCAGGGCCACCGCCACCAUGGAUCACUGCUGGGGUUCCCAUCCACCGGAACACCCUAAGUUUUGAGGCAAAGAGGUGGCAAACCUUUGUCUACAACAGACUAGAUCCAAGCCAGAACCAGAUUCACCUCCCUAUCCCUCGAGCAGUGCUUGUGGCUUCCAUCAUGGUCAGCUACCCAAUCAAUGUGGGUGUCAUGAUGUCGGCCAACAUUUUAGUGAUUGCACGGUAGGACAGCUCAUCCUACCCUUAUCCCAUCACUAUCACAGAGUACCUCACCUAUGCAAAGGUAGAGCCGAGGGAUUUUGACACCAAGGUGAAACCAAAGAAACCAUUCGACUGGUAUUCUCUGAUGGAUGCGAGCAACCCAAAGAAGAAAGCACAGCCUUCUACCACCGUAGGCCAGUCUAAUGAGCUAAUAGUGGUAGCUUCUGAGGCAGUUGAUCUUCCAUCCACCUCUGCUAAGCCUUCUACCAGUGCCACUGCUAUGACUCCACCAUCAUCUUCAACUCCCAUAUCUGCUCUGCUAGUCUCCCAAACAUUGGCGAGUCUCAACAACUGGAUGCAGAUAGCUACUUCUAAGUUGUCUGACUUAUCUAGUACUGUUACAAUGCAGUCCACUUCUCAGGCACCAUAGUCUCCUUCUGACAUUGAUGAUACAGUGAAGAAAAUUUUGGAGAACCAGAAGACGAUCAUGGAUAACUUGGUAUGACACUGGUCAGUGAUUAAGAAGUUGGGAAAGGAAGUAAAGAAGAGGAGGAAGUCCUAGGUCAGCAAGAAAUCAGUGGAAAAGCUCUGUAAGGAGGUGACUAGACUUGCUAUAGCUGGCGACCUUCUCUUUGACAUGCUGCUUGACCCGCACCAGUUCGCCCCAGAUCCUUCAACACCAUCUGCAUCGGUAGCACCAACUGGCCAGUCUGACGAUCCAGACCAUGAUGCAGACACUAUUGAGGCAAUGCAUGAGAUGUUCGCCAACCCAGCCAUACCUAGAUUUGAUGAUGAUGUGACUCAGUUGGCUGAUCCUGAGGGAGAUGACAUUGUCAGGGACACUGAGAUGUCCAAGGAUCCAUAGGGAGUUUUUUUCACCCUCUCAUUUUUUUACUCUUAUUUUGCUAAGCAUUGGGGACAAUGCUUACUUUUAUUUGGGGGGUAGAGUUUAGUUGACACAUUGGUACACUUUGAUACAUUUGGUCUGUAAUAAUUUGACGAUACUCUUUCUCUUCUUAUUUGUAUUUAUCUAGCUUCUCUCUCUUCUCUUAUGUAUAUUUAUCUCUCUUUAGUAGUUUUUGCGUAUUAGCUUCUAUAUUAUUUCCAUAUUAGCUCGUGUUUUGUUAAGUAUCUUCUUUUUAUGCUUUAGUAGAUAAUAAGCCUUUGGUUUUCUUAACGCCAUGGUUCUUUCCAAAGAAAGUUGUGUGAACUGGUUUACUUGUCCCAACGAUGGAUAGCGUGACAACCUUCUUAAGGGAAUGAGUCUAUUUUUGUGUUUAGGUAAUAAUAAUAGUAGUAAUGAAUAAAAGACCAAAUCUAGUCGUGCUCAAAGAGUCAAUCAUGCUUCAAUUGGUACCAACACACUUAACUACAUGUUUAUGGUUAGAGACAAGGUUUUUGAAAGAAAUAGCUCUAGUUAGUGGCUUUGUGACUCUUGAGUUGACUUUGGUAAUCAUCGAGUGAUUUAAUUGGACCAUGGUGAUCUUUAAACUUAAAUGUGGUCGUUGUAGGCUCUCGACUCUAUCCUCUUUUACUAUCUAGUUGUGUGAGGGGUGAGAUGAAUUGUUGCAAGUACAAGUAUCCGUGCGAAGGGUCUAGAACCUGUCCCGAAUGUGUUUCAAGGCGAAAUCCUAAGUUUUGCUUGGUUUGAGAAGUUAUUGUAGGGUUUCCUUGGCCCGUUUGAGCUUUCUAUUACCAACCAAUAUCGUUAUCCCAAGUCAACCCAUUUGAACCUCUAGCCUUUUGUCAUUUGAUAACCAUGUUCUCUGUCUUUUCCCCGUUUUGUCGUAACCCUCUCUUGGCACCCGAACUUUUCUUAACACUCCUGUGAAACACGUAGCUUAAAACAUAAGUUUAGGGGAGAGAUGAGGAGUUUGAAAAUGUAUCGAGGCACAGAAAGAGAAAAGAAACGAUCUCCAUGAAAGAGAAGGCAAGAAAAGAUAAGAACAAAAAGAAAACUGCAGAACAUGAAUAAGUGGAAGGGUUGGUGGAUUCAAAAAAAAGAGGUAAUGAUCCCUAGCAUGAGAAAUCAAAAAAGGAUAAAAAGAAUGAAAUUAACAAAAAAAAAGAGUGACGUUAGUCCCCAAUGAAAAAAAAUGCCUCUAAGAAUUGGUAAUUGUGAUCCGAGAAAUGAAAAUGUAGAGUGCUUAAGUAAAGGUGUAACCACUUACCCAUAUGGUAUCCUACUCUAAUCCAAAAGCCAUCAUUACAACCCGAAAUAAGUCCUACUUGAUUUCAAAUUAAGUGACCAUACAUUAGUGGCAAUCUACAUGAGGGCAAGCCUAUGGUACUUGAAGCUGUACUUGUGACAUUCUCUUGUGAGAGACAGGUGAACCUUUCAUGAAUCUUAAGAUUGAGUGCUAAUUUCUUAAGUGAUCUUGGCAAAUGGAAAGUAGAGGAGGAAGUGUUUGGAGUCCACCAUGACCUACAUGAUAGAACAAGAGUCAUUGAUGAGUAAAGUCAAUUUUUGAAGCUCAAAUAUCACAUUAGAACUAUAUGUGCAUGAAUAUUUGACUUGUCACCUUGUUGAUAAUACAUGAGUAGUGUGGGUAAUUGUUGAUCCCAAAUGAUGUGUGACUAGCUCACCUUUGACUUGGUGAAAUGACCCUUAACUCUAGGAGGUGGGGACCAAUUUAUUUGCUUAAGGACAAGCAAAGACUUAAGUUUCGGAAAGUUGAUAAGUGGGAAUUUUGACUACUUAUUAGCACUUUUUUGCUUUGUUUUAGUCUGAAAGUGUUGCUUUAUGUCCCCGAAACUAAUGAAAGUGUGCAAAUUACAGGAAUGUUGGAAGCUUGUUCUCGCAUGAUGAAAUCUGACACAAAAAGGAGUGUUUCGAAUCACAAGGCAAGAAAGGGGCAUAGAACUAAAGAAGUAUGGUCCGCAGAAUUCUAUUUGCGGCCGCAGAUCAAGUGAAAGAGACCAACAAGAACUUGGCCAAUGUGCGGCCGCAGAAUAAGGUCUACACUGACAAAUGAUUCAAAGUUCAGAGAGUGUUCAAAAGACCAAGUCCUGAAGCCUUGUUGAAGUGCGGACCGCACAAGAAUUGUGCGGCCGUAGAAGAUGCUUCACAGCCGCAAUCCAUAAUUGUGCGGCUGCAGAAUCCAAGAUCUUUCCAACUGAAUAAAUCUUCGUACCGCACAUAGAAUUGUGCGGCCGCAUAGCCUCCCAAGGGGAAUUAUUGUGAGCGAAUUUUGGGCCACUAUAAAUAGACGAGUUUCACAUUUUUAGGUCAUGUUUCGAAGUUUAAACUGUUGUAGCCGUUACAUUUUUUCCAUAUUAGGAAGUUUGUGACUAUUUUAGUGUUUAAAUAUUACAUUUUAUCAUUUUAAUUUUAGAUUAUGAGUUAUAAUUAGCAUUUCUUCUUUAUUUUCUUCAAUUCUCACUAUGAGUAGCUAGAUUCUAACUAGGGUUGUGACCCAACCCUAGUGUGUAAACCUUGUGAGUAUUUAAUUUAAUGUUUGUUUAUGAUUGGGUAUUGAUUAUUUAUCUUAGUUUAUGCUCUAAUUUUAGAAUUAAUGGUUGCAAACAUUGAUUCAUGCCUUUUUGACUUAGUCUCUACUUGAGAAAGAGGGACCUAGUCUAGGAUAACUUGGCUAACAAGGAAUUGGGCUAAUUGAAGGUCUGAUUAGCCUAUUUAAAGGGUUCAAACUAGAGGUAGUGAGAACCUAACUUGAGCUCAUAUCAACUAUUUUGUUUGAUACCCAUUUGAACUUGAGAAAGCCAAAUUGGGCAAAUCACUCUUUGAUCGAGAGGUAUUGAGUAAGUAACGUAGAGUUGAGAGCUAUAAUACACCCCAAUCAACAAAAUAAGUAUUAACGUAUUUAACCCAUUAGGCGAACACCUAGGUUAUGGUCACAUCCCAAGGCUUUUUAAUUAUUUGAAAAAAAUACCAAAAACAAUCAUUCGCUUGUAGUUUCUUUUCUUAGCUUAUAAUUGCUAGAGUAAAAUUAGAAUUAGAAAUCAAAACCUUUUGUGGAAGUUAAAUUUAGUUAUUCCAUUCACUUUCGUCAAGUGUAUACUCUUAACACCCAUGUAACUCCCUAUGGAAAUGUAAUGACCCGACGGGUCAUUUUGAGUAUUACAACCUCGUUCCCCUAUUUAAUACUCAAUUUAUACUUUGCAGUUGAUAUAUGGCUUGCCAGGGUAAUUGGUUCGGGUCCGGUGAGGUUUUGAACUGAAUUGAGACACUUAGUCUCCAAGAUGAAAACUAAAGUUGAAAAGGUUGACCGGAUAUUAACUUAUGUGUAAAUAACCCCGAAAUAGAAUUUUGAUGAUUCCAAUAGCUCUGUAUGGUGAUUUUGGACUUAGGAGUAUGUCCGAAAAAAUUAUUUGGAAGUCCGUAGUUACAUUAGGCUUGAAAUGGCUAAAAUAGAAAUUUAAGUUUGGAAGUUUGACCGGGGAGUUGACUUUUUGAUAUCGGGGUCGGAAUUCGAUUCUGAAAUUUGAAUAGGUCUGUUAUGUCAUUUACGACUUAUGUGCAAUAUUUGAUGUCAAUCGGGCUUGAUUUGAUAGGUUUCGGCACUGAAUGUAGAAGUUGGAAAUUUUUAGUUUUAUUAGGCAUGAAUUGGGGUACGGUUCAUGGUUCUAGCAUUGUUUGAUGUGAUGUGAAGUUUUGACUAAGUUCGUCUGAUGUUUUAGGACUUGUUGUUGUAUUUGGUUGAGGUCCCGGGGGCUUCGGGUGAGUUUCGGAUGGUUAAACGGAUAAAAGUUGGACUUAGGACAAAGCUGGAAGUUGCUGCAUACUGAUGCAAUCGCAUCUGUGGAAUUUGGCUCGCAGGUACGAGCCCGCAGAAGCGAGCUUGGAAAGCGCAGAAGCGAGUAGGGGCCGGUGAGUCAGAGUGCAUAGGUGCAAGCAUUUUACCGCACCUGCAAGGUCGCAGGCGCGAGGAGAAAUGCGCAGAAGCGGAGGCAGCACUGUGGACGAUUGCAGAAGCGGACAUUUUUGUCGCACCUACAAGACCGCAUAUGCGGCUAUGCUGAUCGCAAGUGCGACAGGCCCUGGACAGAAUAAAUUGGAGGAGUUGCAGGAUUUUGGCAUUUUUGGACAUUUUCAACACGGUUUUGGGCAAUUUUUCAGAGAUAAUUCACGAGAAAUCUUGAGAUAAGUCACUUGUGAUCAUUUUUAGUCAAUAAUAUUGGAUUAUGAUUGAGUAUUUCGACUAGAUUACAUAUUUUUAGGUGAAAUUAGAGGAUUUGGUCCUAGAGAUUUCAAAAUAAGAAUUUGAGAUUUAGAGGUCGAGUUGAUGUCGGAAUUUGGUAAAUUUGUAUGGUUGAACUUAUGGUUGAAUGGGCGUUCAUAUUUUGUAAAUUCAUCGGGUUACGAGACGCGGGCCCCACGGGCAAUUUUUGGGUGAAAUUUUGGAAUUAAUUCCUAUAAUUUGUUUUGACUGAAUCGAAUUAUUUAUAACUAGAUUCGAGGCGUUUGGAGGCCGAUACGUGAGGCAAAGGCAUUGCAGAGUAAAGAAUUGCACGGCUUGAGGUAAGUAACACUUCAAAAUUUGGUUCUGAGGGUAUGAAUCCCUGAAUUUGGUGUUAUAUAAAUUGUUUGAAGGUGAUGCACACGAUAGUUGACGAGCGUGUGGACGUGCACCAUAGAAAUUGUGACUUGAAUAAAUUCUGUGAAGUUGUAAAAUUAAAGAAUCAUGUUAUUAUCCGAAUAUUUUCCACGUAUUAGGAAUAUUGAGCUGAGACUCGUAUUAAAGAUCAUGAUUGGGCUACGUGCCUAUAUUUUGGGACCCACAGGGUCGUAUUGCUGUUAAAUUAUUUGUUUAAAUUUAUAAUUUUGUACUCAGUCACAUCUAUCACUUGCAUAUCAUAUCUCAGUCUCUUUUAUCAUUCACUGAUACUUUAUAUCAUCAUGUCAGGUUUAUUAUUUUCAUGUCAUUGAGAACCCGAGAUACUAUAGAUUCUGAAUGAUAGUUAUGUUUAUUUAUUUAUGCCUGGAUCUGGCUAUUAUAACGCUUGGGUUGAAGGAGCCCCUCCAGAGUCUGCAUCCCCACAGUGAGUAUAGUUGNNNNNNNNNNNNNNNNNNNNNNNNNGAGGGAUGGAUCUUCCCUGGGCAUGGAUCUUACCCUAAGCAUUUAUGUUGAGGGAUAAAUUUUCCGUGGACAUGGAUCUUGCCCGAAUCAAUGAUAUUCGGGGAUGGAUCUUCCCCUGGGCUGUAUUGGCCUUAUAUAGUACUGAGUGACUAACUGACAGUUGAUAGAUAUACAUAUAUAUUUGGGAUGGAUCUUCCUUGGGCUAGAUUGGCCAUAUACAGUACUGAGUGAUUGAGUAUUUUAGAUUGUGAGUAAACGGAGUUUUCACUAAGGUGCAUCACAUACAACAUGUACAUUAGCAUGUAGAUACAGAGAUGUCAUAUUCCUCGUAUUUUCAGAAUUGAUAUGUUUUAUUUGUACUGAAAGCAACUGUUGAACUUGAAAGCAUGCCUACAUUUCUAUAUUAUUAUUACUUAUACUGGACUAUACCUGCGGAGCUCAUCACUACUUUCAGCCCAGAGGUUAGUCUUGUUACUUAUUGAGUUAGUUGUACUCAUACUACACUCUGCACCUCGUGUGUAGAUCCAGGUGCUUUCGGACACGGUGACCGUUUGAUCUCAGAGUGCUAUCAGUUGGAGACUAUCAAGGUAGUUGCCUGGAGUCCGCUAACCUUGACUCACUUUCUUUAAGUUAUUGUACUAUUCUAUACUUUCAGACAGUGUUUUGUCAGUCAGACUUUAUAUUCAUAUUAGAUGCUCGUGUACUCAGUAACACCGGGUUUUGGGAGUGUUUAUAUCUGUAUUUGUGGGUUUGUUUCGCUGAAGUUAAAUAUUAUGUUUUUCAAACUUCAAAGAUAUGGUAGUUUAUUGAUAUUUUCAUCUUGCCUAGUAUUGAGAUAGGUUCCAUUACGACAGAUGGGAUUUUGGGUCAUGACAGGAAAUCAACCCCGACUCUUGUUGGGUAUUAUUCUUCCAACGACCGUUUCCAAUCACUAUUGAGUGCGGAUUGGAUGUGGAUCAGGGGCUUGAUCUGGACAGGUUGAAGUUUUUGUAUAGUCUCAGUUAGAGGGGAUACUCUACCGAAAAUUUUAUGAAUUUAGAGAGUUAGCCAAAUUUGGGGGCCUUAAGGAAGUUGAAAUUUUGGAAGAAUAUCUAAGAUCCAUAUAAAGUCAAGAAUGAUUAAAGAUGAUGGUUAAGGUGAAAGUAGUAUAACACUGUUCCUAAUAAUGACUUGUAAAACAUUCUAGGACAAAUUUUCUUAAGUGGGGGAGAAUCUAACACUCCGUACAAUUUCGAAGUGUUUAACGGCUUUAAAGAAGAUCGGCAUGUGCUAAUUAUAUUAAUUCGCGUGUGAGCAAGGGAUAAUGAUAUAAAUGAUAUCACUUGAACAUGAUAAUAUGUGUAUGAGGUAUAUUAAAAAUGGUUUAUGGUCUAAGAAGAGCCCUUAAGCUAAGUCAAGUUGGAAAUUAUAUGAUGGGCUAAAGUUUCAAGUGGGUUCGCACAAGAUUUAACUUCAAACGAGCAUAAAUCUCAAGAUAUGAAGUGUUUUUCAUGGUGUAUGACCUAUCAUAUAAAAGUUCUAUGUGUCUACUUUCUAAUGCUUCAAACCGUUCGACAUUUGGAUAUUUCAACAAUACGUUAUGGCCUUUUUACCAUAAGGUGGUAGUACAGCUACGCAGCAGGCUACUCAACCUGCAUAGCCAAUUUAAGAUUUUGGCCAAGGGAAAGGCCUCAUGCGUAUGUUUUAUGAGUAGGCUAUACAAGGAGAACGCAAUUUUAGGGGCCAUUUUAAAGGGGAUGAAACAAAGGGUUUAGAAAGAUAAAAAGUUAGUUCUUCAACUUGAAAUUGAUUUCUAGAGAGAAUGAGGAGCUAUUCCACCAUUAAUACACUUCAAGGUAAAUUAUUUUGGUACAAGGAUGAUUAUAUUACAUCAUUUAGUGAUUAUACUAACACUAUUAUAGAUCAAAUCCAUAGAAAAUGGGUUGAAUCUUCAAGAACAUCAAAAAGAGGAAAAGUGAGAUUCUUCCACCAAGAGUUAAUCCCUUCACUUGAGCUUCAUAUAUAUGUCAUAUUGGAGAAUUGGUAGAAUCUUUAUGUGUUUUAUUUGAAGUUGUAAUGGGAUAUUGUAUGAACCCUAAGGGUGGGUCUUGAAAAUGAUAUUUUGGGCAAAGAAGAAGAUGAAUAGUGAUGAAUUGAUAUAAAUGGAAUUGUUUUGAGUUUCUAAUAAUUCCAAUAGACUUGAUAACUUAAUUGAUGAAUGAAUUGAAUAGGGAAUAACCAUUUGGACAAGAUGCAACACUAGUUCUUAAAAUGGGUGUUCUUGAACCUAGGGUUUUGUUAGAGAAAACAAUAUAUAGUGACUUAAUGAUGUUGGAUAAUUAACGUAGUGCUAUUAAUGACUCCAAAUGAGUAUUAAAUAAUAAGAAUGGAAUUGAAUAGGCUAAUGGGUGAGCCUAUUGGAUAAUUUGGGAUGGUUGAAGGCUUGUUGCCGAAUUUUGAAGCCUAAAUAAAUAUUUAUGCAUCUUUUUGUAUUUGUUUUGAUGUAGUUGGAUAUCUUAUGGUAGAUACUGAAUUGUGGGCAAUAUUGGAGCAUGAUAGUAUUUUUGGAGCUUGAAGUUUGAGGUAAGUUGAUUAAAACUUACUCUCGUGAGGGAUUCUCUUUAAAAGCAUGUCUUAAGUAGAUACAUUGUAUUAUAUGUAAGUGUGCAUCAGUACUUGCGGGGACAAGCGGGAAAGAUGUCACCAUGUGUUUUUAAAUUAUUGCUUAUGAAGUGUCGUGUAAUUUUAUAAAAAUAUUAUUUUCAAAACUUGUUGGCAAAAUGACACUUAAGAAAAUUCUUAUAAGUUAUAUUAAAACUUAUUUGUUGAUAAGAGUCUAAAAUGCUCGAAUGCUAAAGAUAUAUUUUCAUGAAAAAGUUUGUCUUUUAAAAUUUCAAAAAAGGAAGCACUUGUUGUAUCUUUAAAUUGAUGUUAAUUCCUGAAAGCUUUAACAUGAAAAAGGUUAUUCAAUUGAUUUUGUUCCAAUAGUUUGGAUUGGCUAUGAAAAUAAUGAUUUGAUAAAAAUAGAUCCCUUGAGGCAAUUAUGCUAUGAAUAUAUUUUUGAUAUGUCAAAUAUUUUGGAAGUUACUAGUGGACCACCGAGAUUGGUUCGAAUGUUGAAUUCAUUACUAUGAAACUACAUGUGCCGGUGUAGGGACACAUUCCAAGGCUAAGCCGAGGUUUGUGGGAAGAGGGCAAAUGAUCAUUACUUAAAGUAAUGAGGUUAAGUCGACUCAUACGGGACUAUGGGAAGCCGCCCAGACAAGUACGGUCAAAAACUUAUUGCUAGGAUGAUCACCUAGUAGUUGUUCAUUAUGUCGGUGUCUGUAUAGUACUCCCGGUGAAAGAUAAAAAAGAUAUUUCUAAUAUCAGGCCUAAGGAGCCGAAAAUAAUUUCAAUGACUUAAUGAGAUUAAAAUGGUUUUAUACGAUUUACUUAAUAAGAUUGAAAUGGCUUUAUAUUAUUUCUAUUAAAUAUAUUGGGUUGAUAGAGACAUUCUAAAACGUUAUACCAUGGCUUACAUUUCACUUGUCUUUUAUUUAAAAUAAUAAAGAACAUGAUUUAUAACCGUUUAUCACUUUAUGUCCAAUAUUGGUUGCAAAAGUUUUAUAAAAUCUUGUCCCACGAACUUGAGUUAGAGAGAGUCUAUGACACUUAUUGAGUACCGUUGUGGUGUACUCAGCCCUUAGGAGCCCCCUUCUAAGGCCCCACUUAAUAUAUGUUAGUCGGGCAUUAGCCCAAGAAUUUAGUUCUAUUCCUUGGUAUAGAGGCUCCAUAGUAGUUGUGAAUAAUUAUAGUAAUGGGUUUGUACGCGACAUACGUGAAAAGAUAUUUAUUUUACUUAGUUUCAUUAUUAUGAUUAUGAGAGGCUUCAUGUAUAAUUUUGAAUUGGAAAAUUGUUCCAUUGUUUAACUUGAAAAAUAUAUAAAAUUUCAAAGAGCUUCCACAGUUAAAUUGGUUUUCAUGCAUAUCGUUUGGGUGCAUCUUAUAGGUUGGUUCGCUCGGGCCAGAUAGUGUGCCGGGUGUCGGUCACGUGGAUGUGGGUCAUGACAUCCUCCUAAUGACUGUUGCUGGUACUGGAGGAAAAUAUGCACUAUACAUAACAAAUUUGCAGCUGGAUAUGUUUAGGAUGGGUGGCUAUCAGUGAAUGGACAAUACUCAUUAGGCAACGACUACAAAUAGAGACAGGGGAGUAGAGAGGGUUUGGCUGGUAUGAGAUGGGUUUGGUGUAAAUAUAACACCCCAACAUAUAGCUUCAUCUAUUGGGUAGCUAUGGACAAAAUAUUGUUAACGAUGGAUAGAUUGGCUCGAUUGGGAAUAUGCAAAGAAAACUCAUGUGCCAAAUGUGGGGAAGCCAUUGAAACAAUUGACCACCUAUAUUUUGAAUGCCCAUUCUCAAAAACAUGUACACUGGAAGUGCUGCAAUGGUUGAACAUGGGGGUCCGGCAAUGGGACUUGAAGGGUCUCUGGAGACGUAUGACUAGAAGAAUGCAAGGCAAAGUAUGCAGGCAAUUAAUAAUAUCGAUAAUGGUAGCGGUGGUGUACCACAUCUGGAGAGUAAGGAAUGUUGCUAAUUGGGAUCAUAGAGUCCCCACAUGAUUGUCAAUAAUAUUAAGCAGGAAAGCAAAUAGAAGAUACAUGAUAUACUUGUUUGGAGAUCCUUAAGACAUAAUUAGAGAGCAUGGGUAGAAAGAUUAUCAUAAAUAGGAGUAAUUGUAUAGCUGCUUGAUAUGGCCAGAAUAGAACAGAAAUGCUAAUAGAAAAGGGGGUUGAGUGAGGAAGGAAUAUGGGGGAUUCAAUUGUAAAGUUUUUGUGCUGGUGAUCGAUAAAAUUCUUUUUUUCACCAAAACAACAACCUUUUAGCGGUUAUACAUGUAUAGGGUAAAAUAUGUUAUAUUAAAUGAUCGCAUGAGGAAAUGACACGUGGAGACGAAGACAGUAGAUAGCUGAAACUGAAGGCAACGAUCUCGUCUGUUAUCGUAGAGAAUGAUAUUCAUAAAGAUGAAAUAAACGCAUUCCACCCGGUAGCAUUUAAUGAAGAUUAUUCUACAGCAUUAAGAAUACUGCCUGUUACAAGAAAUAUGAUAUUCAUUGCGGCGCCGUUAGACAUUCUUCAAUGGCCCUCAUAAUUGACACUAAAGAGGGGCUUGAUCCUAGGAUAUUGUUCCCUAGGUGUAGCUAUAAAUAAUGAGCUCUAUUAUCAUUGUAGUUUCUGGAAAACAUAUGCUACACUCUAUUCAAAGCUUAAUAUAAUUUUAUCUUCUUGUUUUUUGAUAUCAUUGUUGUUGUGCCCGGAAGCCCUGCUCCCGCAAUUAUUAUUUCUACUAUUUCGUCUCCAUCUCAAGGCUAAGUAUUACAUUUUUAUCUAAUUCAUCUAUUAUUUCAGGAUCAAAUUAAUUCACUUUUCUAAAAAUUACGUAUAAAUUCAACUAUAUCGUUUUACGGGUAAACAGUUUGGCACCCACCGUGGGGCCUAGACAGUUGUGUAAUUAAGUCGGUCCCUUCCUUUUUUUUACUAACAUGUUUAAUCAUUUGUUCUUAGCAAAAAAUUAUAAAAAAUGACAGAUAAUGGUGUUAACUACACACACAACCUUGAGGCCCAAGGAAAUCAGCCUCAGCACGAAGAUUCAAUUAGUGUUACCCGCAGUAAGGGGAACGAGGCCACACCAGUCCACGGCAGGCGGUACCCGCGACAUGUUCGGGAGGCGACUCCUAAUAAUGCGGAAGAAGAGUCGUUGAAGCGGUAAGGGUCCUGCAGGAACAACAAGAGGUCAUUCUAGGCCAUCUCACGCAGCAGGAUAAGGUUAUGACAGAGCUAAAAUAUGCGUUAUCGGGUGCUUCCAAUAACGUGAAUGGACGAGGUCCAGUCCCUCCCGGUGAUCCCGCAAAUCAAACAAUGCAGAGGGUCGACAAAACACCCCGAGAGGCGAGGUCGGCUUUGAUGGGGUUGGGGGAGCAAAUCUGGUCAUAACAACGAUAGUGAUCCCUUCAAAAACGAACUCAUACGAUUUAUGAGGGAAGUGAAGGCCUGCAUGGACCAAAUCCUUUGUGCACCACCGGUGCUGAAAGGACUAUGCUAAAAGAACUACACUCUAUUGCCGUACAAACCAAGCGCGUCACCAGAAUUGAUCCCGUAGCGGUUUAAAAUUCCUGACGUACCGAAAUAUGAUAGGACUUCAGACCCUCAAGAUCAUAUCACCACCUAUACAACAACGGUGAAGGGUAACGAUUUAGCUCCCCACGAGAUUGAAUCAGUUUUGCUGAAACAAUUCGAAGAGACUCUCACGAGGGGAGUCUUGACAUGGUAUUUGUUGUUGCCCGAGCAUUCUAUAGACUCAUUUGAGAUGCUCGCAGACUCUUUCAUUAAGGACAAUGCUGGGACCAGAAAGGUGUAGGCCCGAAAGGCCGAUAUAUUCAGGAUUGCACAAGGAGAGUCUGAGUUGCUGCGAGAAUUUGUAACCCAGUUCCAGAAGGAAAGGAUAUUGCUCCCGGCCAUUCCGGAUGAAUGGGCCUCUGAAGCAUUCACCAAGGGUUUGAAUUCGAGAAGUUUUUAUGCUUCCUAGAAGUUAAAACAAAGCUUACUCGAGUUCCAAGCGACGACUUGGGCGGAUGUUCAUAACCGGUAAGAGUCAAAGAUAAGGAUUGAGGAUGAUCAGCUUGUCUUCCAGCAUUGGUUAAAGGUCGGGAGAAGAAUAAAGAGAAAUCAAAAGACGAUUUUGACACAGAUAGACGGUCUUCGAGGAGCCGGGUUUUGCCUUAUGAACGGGCCGAUGGAUGCGGCACAAGCUUCCAAUAUGCAUAUAGGUUUGUUACUGAUAGAAGGAUUGAUCGCGGCCGGAACAACAGGUCGUUACAGGACAAGGAAACGUCAGGUUCUCGAGACCCUUCCUACCCCAGACUUUCAGAAUACAACUUUAACGUCAGCAUGGUACAGUUAGUAUCAGCUAUGAAGAACAUUAAAGAAGCACGGUUCCUAAAGUCUAUGAGGUCCGAUCCAAGCCAGAGGGAUCCUAAUUUAUGGUGUGAAUACCACGGGAUGAACAGUCACCGGACUGGGGACUGCCGGCAUCCGCACGAAGAAGUGGCGAUACUGCUGAAAAAUGGCCAUCUCAGGGAGUUCCUAAGUGACCGAGCCAAGAACAAUCACAGUCGCAAUCAUGACAACAUGGAUCCCUCAAAAGCAGGAGAAGAUCCCCCACGCCUGACGAUCAAUAUGAUUUUUAAGGGGAACGAGAUUAACAGGGUUACCUUUUCGGCAGCAAAAAAAGAUGAAGGUAUCAGUAACCCAUAUCAAGAGACUCCGGGAAGUCACUGAAGAUGACAUCACUUUCACGGAGGAAGAUGCAGAUGGAUUGUUGCUACCAUACAAUGACGCAUUGGUAAUUUCUUUAAAUGUGUUAGAUUUUAAAAUCAAACGUGUUCUAGUGGAUCUAGGGUGUUCGGCCAAUAUUAUACAAUGGAGGGUAUUGGAACAAUCCAAACUUACUGGAAGCAUCAUUCAGGCCACAAAACUUCUCGCCGGGUUCAAUAUACCAAGCGUGACAACCCGAGGAAAAAUCAUGUUGUCCACGGACGCCGAGGGGGUGAUGAAGACGACCCUUUUCCAGGUGGUGGAUGGUGAUAUGGGCUACAACAUUAUCCUGGGAAUACCAUGGUUGCACGAGAUGAAGGUUGUACUAUCAACGUAUCACCAGUUGCUGAAAUUCCCAACUCCUGAGGGGAUUAAACAAAUAAAAGGCGAUCAACCGGUGGCAAGAGAGAUGAAUGUGAUUUCGGUAUCCAGUAGCAAAGAGAAGGAGCAUGCGGCAUAGCAAUUACAAGAACCGACGCCUACUCCCGAGUCAAGCAAAGUCAACCAGAGGGAAGAGACGUCGGAAUCUUAUCAAGUGCCAAGAUAUUUCCAGGUACUAGAAGAGAUGAACGCAACAAAGUCCACAGCGGAAAAUCUUGAGCAAGUCCUGUUGUUCAAAAAGUUCUUGGAGAGGAAAUUUCACUUGGGGACAAGACUGCACCCCGAGCUCAAGUCCGGGUUUAUUGAAUUUCUUAAAUUUAAUGUCGGUUGUUUUGCGUGGUUGCAUGCGGAUAUGACAGGUAUUCCAACGGAAGUGGCCGUACACAAGUUAAGCCUAGAUCCUAACAUUCUUCCGGUAAGAUAAAAAAAAAUGUCAUAUCAUCGAGGCCAGAAAUAAAUUCGUCAAGGAAGAGGUAACUCGCUUACUUAAUAUCGGUUUAAUCCGAGAGGUAAAGUAUCCAGACUGGCUACUAAUGUAAUAGUAGUUCCUAAGAUGAAUAAUAAAUUUUGCAUGUGUGUAGACUAUAAGGACUUGAAUAAGGUGUGCCUAAAGGACUCAUUCCCAUUGCCAAACAUCGAUCAAAUGAUUAAUGCAAUGAUCGGGUAUGAGUUAAUGAGUUUCCUCGAUGCUUACUCUGGGUACAACCAAAUUAAGAUGAACCCGGAAGAUCGGGAAAAAACUUCAUUCUUAACAAUUUUCGGCACAUACUGCUAUAAUGUGAUGCCCUUCGGGCUAAAGAACGCUGGAGCCACUUGUCAAUGGCUCGUAAAUAAGAUGUUUGAAAAACAGAUAAGGAAAACCAUGGAAGUUUAUAUAGACGAUAUGCUUGUUAAGUCUUUGAACGCAUGUGAUUAUCUUAAAUACUUGCAAGAAACUUUUGACAUCCUAAGGAAGCAUGACAUGGAGCUUAACCCCGAAAAGUAUGUGUUCGGGGUCAGCUCCGGCAAGUUCCUGGGGUUUCUGGUGUCACAAAGGGGUAUUGAGGUUAGCCCCGAUAAAAUCAAAGCCAUCAAAGACAUCCCAGACCAGCUAUCAAGCGUAAAACAGGUUCAAAGGCUUAUAGGGAGAUUGGCCGCUUUGAGCAGGUUCAUUUCUCAGUCUUCAGAGAAAUGCCACUAUUUCUUCUUCUGCUAAAUAAGAAGAACAACUUCGAAUGGACCACAGAAUGUCAGCAGGCUUUGAGGUAAUUGAAAUGAACUCGGACUUUAUGGCCGAUUUCAGCCCGGGAUUACUACCUCUGGCAACCAAAGAGGCAGUAAUGGCAUCAGAAUCAAUAUUAGAAUUUUGGACCCUAUUUAUGGAUGGAGCUUCCAACGUAAAAGGGUUUGGUCUUGACAUAGUAUUAACUACGCAUUCGAGAGAAACCCUAAGGUAGGCCAUAAGAACGGUUAUUUUAACUAACAAUGAAGCAGAAUAUGAAGCUUUGAUUGCAGGUCUCGAAUUGAUCCAAGAGUAGAUUCUGAGGUCAUAGAAAUCAAAUGCGACUCCCAGCUAGUGGUAAAUCAGGUCUAUGAGAUCUUUGAAGCCAAAGAUAAGCGCAUGUAACAAUAUGUAGCGAAGGUUCAGGCUUUGCUUGCUCGAUUCUGAGAGUGGUCAAUUACGCACAUCCCGGGGGAAGAAAACACGGAAGCAGGCGUACUAGCUUAUCUUGGCUCAUCAACGGAAAUAAAGGGAUCGAAUUCCUGUACGAUAGUAUAGCUUAUACACUUGGUUCUAGAUGCAGGUAGCUACUACGAGGUAAACACGACUAAUUUGGUCUGGAAUUGGAGGAAUGAGAUCAUUAAUUAUCUCGAGCACGGAAAAUUGCCUGACGCCAAGGCAUCCCGGGCGAUGCGCGCUAAAGCAAUACGAUAUAGCUUUAAAGUGGGCCAAUUGUGUAGGAAAUCUUUCCAAGGUCCGCUGGCCCGAUGUUUGGGAGCCUCCGAAGCCAAUUAUGUCAUGCAAGAAGUCCACGAAGGAAUCUGUGGAAAUAUUUCGGGUGCAGAUUCCUUAGUACUAAAGUUUAUAAGGGCAUGAUACUAUUGGCCCCAAAUGGAACAAGACACCAAAUCUUUUGUACAAAAAUGUGAUAAGUGUCAACGCUACGCUUCGUUGGUACAUUAACCACAAGAACCAUUGCACUCAUUGUUUUCUCCAUGGUCGUUCAUGAAGUGCAGAAUGGAUAUUGUCGGACCACUGCCGCCGACCCCUAGUAAGGUAGGGUUUCUUUUGAUUUUAACUGACUAUUUUUCUAAGUGGGUUGAAGCAAGUCCUUUUAGAAAUUGGCGAACGUGAAGUGGUGGAUUUCUUGUGGGAGAACAUAAUUUGCAGAUUUGGGAUACCAAAAGAGAUAGCAUGCGACAACGGGCCACAAUUUAUAGGUGCUAAGGUCACAAAGUUCCUUGAAGACUUGAAAAUCAGAAGGAUCACAUCCUCACCCUAUCAUCCGAGUGCAAAUGGUCAAGCGGAAUCAACGAACACAGUGAUUAUAUAAAAUCUCAAAAAGCGAUUGGAAGUAGCUAAAGGUAGAUGGCCUGAGGAACUGCCCGGAGUACUAUGGGUGUAUCAAACAACGACCAAAUCGAGCAUAGGAGAGACUCCUUUCUCCCUUGUGUACGGAGCAGAAGCCUCGAUCCCGGUGGAAGCAGGGGAGUUACCUUGAGAUACUUCCAGGCAAAUAAAGAAGCAAACAACGAAGUAAUGUUGAUCAAUUUGGAGCUUCUCAAUGAGCGCAGGGACUUGGCGCAUAUAAGGAUGGCAGCUCAAAAGCAGAGAAUAGAAAGAUAUUAUAAUCGAAGAGCCAACCUCCAUUAUUUCAAAGUGGGAAACUUGGUUCUAAGGAAAGUAACUCAAAACACUGGGAAAAUCAAUACAAGGAAGCUAGGUCCAACAUGGGAAGGCACCUACCGGGUUUCAUCUAUCACCGGAAAAGGUUCAUACGAGUUGGAGAAUCAAAAAGGAUAAAAGUUGCCAAGCAACUAGAACGUGGUGCAUCUCAAGAGAUACUAUUACUGAUGAACAUCACUUAUACUGAAAGUAUGUGUUGCACUUUUUUUCCCUCCAUCCAGCUUUUGUCCCAAUUGGGUUUUUCUAGCAAGGUUUUUAAUGAGGCAGCAAUGAAAAACAUACUACGAAGAAGGUUUCAACAACAGCAACAAGACCUUUUAAUAACAAGGCACACAAGCGAAGAACCACUCUGGAGCGGUUAGAUAAUCAUUUGCUCGAUAGCAAAGUUCCCACCGGGAAGUUAUAUUUUCUAUCGAGCAAGGGUUACCCCACUGUUCACAAGUGCAAACCACUAGAGGAUUGUUAGAUAGUCUUUGGCUCCAUAGCAUAAAUUCCUAAGGGGAAGUAAAGUUUGUUAUCGAAUUGAAGAUUAUCUAGCAAUUCAUUAGUGGAAUCCUCGAAGGUGUUAAACUUACAGUGUUCCAAUUCGCCUUCUUCGCAUUCGAACAGGGAAGAAUAGUUAUAUCAUUGGACCGGGGACUGCGCGGCCAGCCCCGUAGAAACAAGUUGUACAAGUUAGCCACAAGAAAUGGUGAUUUCCUUUUAGCAUAACAAAUGCUUAUGUAAUUUUUGAAAAUGGGAGGAAUAAAGUAAAAUUCUUUUAUUUCUAUCUUGUUUCUUGUCUAAACGAUGAAUUGAUUUUUUCAUUUGAAAGUUAAACAAGUACUUCAAAUGCUAGUGCCGUAAUGAACAGGAGACGUCCUCUUCAAGAUCAUUGUAAACAUAAGGGGGCCCUCUCUUAUGAAAACCCUCACGAUAAAGGGUUGAUUUCGGAAGACCUUGUGCCCAAAAUCCAAAUGCUUUUAGGAGGAAAUACACCCAAAGCCUUACAUAAUCAGGCGCAAACAGUAAAACUUGCGCAAAACACUCAAACAAGAAAGGAUACAAAGAUUAAACUUGCAUAAAUGUUCAACAAAUGAACGCAGAAAGACUCAUGCAAUACUUGAAAAAAGGUGUUUUAUUUACAAUAAAGGUUCCAAAAUGGCACAAGUACAAAAGUUGGGAAAAGAGAUGAAAAGCUAAGCUGUUGCAUCUCCUGAACCCGGAGGAAGAGAAGCAUCUAGGCCCCAGGAGAAAUGGGUAGAUCCGCCACCGGCUCAAUAUGACCUUCAUCAUUUUGGCCUUCAACAUCUCUGCCUUCCGGUUCCUCUUCAGUUCCUAAGAAUUCGUAACCGGAACCAGAAGAAUCAGAAGCAUCAGGUCUGGCCGGAAGACCCCUUUUAGCAGACUCCAGCUCACGGGCUUUAGCGAUUUCAGCAUCAAAGUCAAUGACACCCGUUUUAUCCUCUUUGAAGGUUUUUCUCCUCAUGUUAUAACAUACAUUUUUUCAACAACGAGGGAAGCCACUCGUUUCUUGAGUUCUUCUUUAAGUUGGUCAACCUCGGUAGAAAGAUUUUCCCGUGUGGAUCUAACUGACCAGAGGCUAACAUCGAGAUCACGGACAGUAGAGAUGAAAAGCCUAUUAUGCUCAAUGGUUGCUCUUAUACUUCUCCUCCAAUUGGGCAAAUUUCACCCCGGCAAUAGCAAGCUCUUCAGUUUUGGAGUUCAAGGUUGCUCCAAAUUAUUUAAUCUUUUAGCGGAGGCAGCCUCAUGAUCGGAUGCAGCAAGAACGUCACUAUGGACUUCAACCUAUUUGGCCUUAGCCUCUUCAAAUUGAACCCUCAAUGGGGCGAUCUAUUGGCUAAGGGUCUCUACUUCUUGCUCUCUUUGUUGCAAACAAGCCUCCAACACAAUAGCCUCAGUAGCUUUGGCUUCCAGUUCUGAGAGGCAAGCAGUAGUUUGGUCCCGCUCGGCCAAAAGUUGAUCCCGCUCGGAGGUAAGUUCCUCCUUAUCCCAAAUCAAACUUUGAAGGCCCUAGAAAGCAAGGUAUUGGCCUGCGAAACAAAAACGCCAAACUCAAAUUACUACUAAAUCAAGGAUAGAAGAGAGAACAAAGGAAAUAAAGAGUAUACCGUUGUGAAGUUGUGCAUAACAUUGUUCAACAAGAACUCUCCCGAGAGAGCUUUUAUUUUUUCCCAAUCUUUUUCUAAAUCCAAAGGCUCCAGAUAGUUAGCGAGUUCUACCGACAAGGAAAACAGAUUGCACCCGGCAAAGACAGAGAGCAUAACGCUCCUCCUCCUUUGCGUAUCUUCUGAGAAGGUGGCAUAAUUUUGCCCCAAGUUCCCAUGAAUUGGGGAUUGGGGAUAGGAACAUCCUCUUCUCGGACAGAUGCGGCCGAUGGAGAUGAUGUAGCAGUUGUUGGUUGAAGAAUCAGUGAAGACGAAGAUGAAGCUAAUGGUGUUGAAGGAGGAGAAGUGGUUGCGGCAAGCGCAAUGCUGGGUGUUGGUUACUCAUCAACCGAAGAAAGCAGGAACCCGGUACUCAAUCUCAUAGUAUCGGGUGCAGUGAUUGUGAUCCGAAAACGAAAUUGGCAUUUUCCACCAUCUCAAACUCCCCCUAGAGCGUCGAGGCAUCAUCCUCGGUUGGUAUAACUAAGUCAACAAAUUGAGUAGUCUGUUGAGCUGAGGAAGGUCGUCGUCUUCUGUGUAGAGAAGCCCCUCCUCGCUGGCUUCCCCAUCAUCGUCAAUCAUCACGAUGUCUAUGGUCGGCCCGGGCGGAGGACUCAUCACCACAACUUCCGGAGAUGACUUGAGAGUGGCAUUCUUCGCCCUAUUAUUCUUUCCCCCAUCUGCGGAGAAACGUCUUCUUUUUAGUGGCUUGUUCUCCGGCCGGAGACUCCGGGAAGAAGCACACGCACCAGAAGUAGGCCCGAAAAUGCCUUUCUGUGUAAAAGCCUCCUGCAGCAACCUCUCUGUGUCAGCAGGAUUAGCCAAAACGUCCUCCUCAAGGAUGACAACUGAGCCCUGGGUAGACCUGAAUCCAACAGGAGAGAAGAGUCAAACAACUUCCUUAUAUGAAAAGGUAAAAACAAGAUGAGUUCAACUUACCAUUAUUUUUGGUGUUCCACCCAUAUUUUAAGGAAAGUUCUUUCCACGUGUGGGUUUUGGGCAUAGUAACGUCCAAACUUUUCUAGACCCAAUGGUCCAAGCCCUCAACCCUAGGUGGAACCCACCGAGUCGCUGAAAAAGGUAAAGGAAGAAAGAGUCAGUAAUAAUGUGAAAUGAUCUUUAACAGAAGAAGAAACAAAUGAUAGACUUACAUGUGCGGUUCCAUAAUUUCGAGAAAGACGGAGUCAUGGCCGGGAUGAUGUCACUGGUGGCGACUGAAAUGAAUUGUUCUAUCCACCCACGAUUGUUGUCAUCAUCCAUGAUGGAUAGCAGUGCAUGGUGGCCACGAUUGCUGAAAUUUAUCAUUCCCCCGCGGAAGCUUUUGGGCGAAUAGAGGUUCAUCACUCGAGCUAAGGAUAUCUCUUCUCCUAUCUCCUGGCACUAGCACCGAAGGCAAGAGAUUGUCCUCCACACAGAGGGACUUACUUGUGCCAAGCACACCUAAUAGAUGAGGCAUAACUCCACAAUGACAUAGUGUAACAACCCGGACGGUCAUUUUGAGAGUUAUAGCCUCGUUCCCUUAUUUACUAUUCAUUCCCUAAUUAAAUUUUGUUAUGUGACUUGCCGGGGUAGUUGGCUCGGGUUCGGAGAGGUUUCGAAAUGAAUUGAGACACUUAGUCUCAAGGUUGAAAGUUUAAGUUGAAAAGAUUGACCGGAUAUCGACUUAUGUAUAGAUGAAUGUGGAAUGGAGUUUUGAUGGUUCUAUUAACUCUGUUGGGCGAUUUUGGACUUAGGAGCGUGUCCGAAUAGUAAUUUGGAGGUACGUGGUUGAUUUAGGCUUGAAAUGGCAAAAUUCGGAAAUUUAAAAGUUUGAUCGGGAGUGGACUUUAUGACUACCGGGCUCGGAUUUGGGUUCCGGGAGGUGGAGUAGAUUCGCGGUGUCAUUUGUGACUUGUGUUCAAAAUUUGAGGUCAAUCGGACGUGAUUUGAUAAGUUUCGGCGUCGUUUGUAGAAGUUGGAAUUUCUUAGUUUCAAUAGGAUUAAAUUAGGGUGUGAUUCGUGUUUUUGAUAUUGUUUGAUGUGAUUUGAGGGCUCGACUAAGUUCAUAUCGUGUUUUAGAAUUAUUGGUAUAAUUGGUUGAGUUCCCGGGGGCCUUGGGUGGAGUUCGGAUGGUUAACGGAUCGAAUUUGGAGUUUGAAAGAUUGUUGAAGUUGGGAGUCUUCUGGUGCAAUCGCACCUGUGGAGCUUUGGUCGUAGGUGCGAGCUCGCAGGUGCGAGCUCGCAGGUGUGAGAAAAGGAGCGCAAGUGCAUCCAUGGAAGGGUUGUGCAGUGGUCGUAGGCACGGAAGGAGUUCCACAGAUGCGGAUGUGCAUCUGCGCGAGGUUGACCGCAUAAGCGGAUUUGGCUAGGCAGCAAGGGCGUCGCAAAUGUAGAGAAGGCUCGCAGAUGCGGUCCUGCAGGUGCGAGGCUGGGACCGCGGGUGCGAUGGGUUGCCAGUUAAGUGGGUUCCGUAUGAGCGUGAUUUUUUCGCAAAAGCUGAUGCGUAGGUGCGAGCCCAGGCUCCACAUGUGCGGAAAUGCCUGGGGCAGUAUUUAAAUUCGAGGGUUUCCGAGAUUUUCUUCAUUUUAAACAUUUCAAGCUUAGGAUUUGGCGAUUUUGAGAGGAUGUUCGAGGGGUUUAUUGAGGUAAGUCACUUGUGGUUAAAUCUAUUCAAUAAUUAUGUUUUCCCAUUGAAUUUCUCACCUAGAUUGUGUGGUUUUGAGGUGUAAUUUGGGGGUUUGAGACUAGGGAUUUGGAGAGUUUAAAUUGGGGGUUUGGGUGUCGAUUUGGUGAUGGAUUUUGGUAAAUUUAGUAUGGUUGGACUUAUAGUGGAAUAAAUUUCUGGAUUUUGUGACUUCUAUUGGAUUCCGUGACGUGGGCCCGGGGCCGACUUUUGAGUGGACUUUUUGACUUUUAAUUAAAAGCUUAGUAAUUUCAUAUGGAAUUGAUUCCUUUAGCUCGUGUUGAUUGUAUCGAACUAUUUGUGGCUAGAUUCUUGGCAUUUGGAGGCCAUUUUGCGAGGCAAGAGCUUUUUGGAGUAGAGUUUCGUACGGUUUGAGGUGAGUAACACUUUUAAGCCUGGUUCUGAGGGUGUGAAACCCCGAAUUUCGUGUUAUGUGAUUAGUGUUGAGGUGACGCAUGUGCUAAGUGACGGGCAUGUAGACGUGCACAAUAAGAAUUGUAACUUGGUCGAUUCCAUGGAACUGAAAAGUUGUUAAAUCUUGUUGCUACCCGUAUUCUCACCAUGUGUUAGAUCUAUUGAGCUGUCAGUCAUGUUUGAAACCCUGCUUAGGCUAUAUGAUGGUACUAUUGGGACCCACAGUGGUCAUUUUUUGCUGUAGAACUAAUUGCUUAAUCUAUCAAUUUAUACUCAGUCACAGUUAUUACUUGCAUAUUAUGUCUCAGUCUCUGUUGUCUUUACAUAUUAUAUAAUAUCAUCAUUUGUAGGCUGAUUAUCAUGAUUCUGGUAAGCCCGAGAGACUAGAGAGAUUAUUGGCUGAGUGGAGCUGAGGUCCUAUUGUGAGUGAUAUUUAUGGGAUCGGGCUGCACACCGCAACAGGAUUUAUUGAUUGAUGCCAUGAUUUGGCUUAUUAUAGCGCUUGGGCUGGAUCGCCCCCUCCAUAGUCUGCACACCCACAGUGGGCGCAAUGCUAGCAGUUAUGACAUUUGGGUUGGAUAUGCCCUGUUUACUUGUAUUUGGGCUGGAUCAGCCCUGCUUUAUUUGCAUGUGGGCUGGAUCUGCCCUGUUAUAUGUUAAAUUUUGUUGUGAAAUCUGAAAGCAUGUCUAAGUUCUUAUUGAAAGCAUGUCUAAAUGCUUGUACCUUCACUUGCAGAAUAUAAAUAUCUGAGAUAUCAUUGUCAUAAUUUUUUAACUUUUCGUACUGUUAAAUGUUGAAAGUGGACCGUAAUAAUUGGACUUGUUACUAUUUUCAGUCUAAAGAUUAGAUUUUUUACUUAUUGAGUUGGUUGUACUCAUACUACACCAUGCACCUCGUGUACAGAUCCAGGUACUUCCUAUUACGGCGGUUGUUGAUUUGCAGAGGUCAAACUAUCGGAGAUCAUCGAGGUAGCUGCUUGGCAUUUCACAGACCUUGACUCUCCUCCCUUAUCUUUCAGUUUACUUAUUCAGUAUUACUCUUAGACAGUGUACCCGACUUUGUCUCUUCGUAGAUGCUAAUGUACUCAGUGACACCCCGAUUUUGGAAAGAAUUUAUGUAUUGAGUUAUGAUUUUCUAUCCUGUUUUAAGAGAUUUUCCUUUAUUUAAAUUGUUUUAGUAUCUGUUAAAGAUUUAAAGUGUUGGAAAUGUCUGAAUAGUUGGCUUGUUUAGUACCAUGAUAAGCGCCAUCACGACGGGUUGGUUUUGGGUCGUGACACGGAGUCAAGCUCCCGCUCAAAGAAAAUACUCCAAAAGUGAAGGAAUACGUGUAAAAGUAUGUAAAACCCUUCUUGGGUAAAGUUAUCUGCUCCACCAGAUCGGGAGAGAUAAUGUCCAAUUCUUGACAGUGGCAUUCUUCCUUCAUAGCAGGGAUACUGGAAGGACGGAUAGAAGAAGGAUAUACGUUAAUAGCCCACGUACGAGGGUGAGCAGAAGGGUAUUUUUCUUCGAAAUCUUUGGUGGUAAUAAGGUUCUUUGGGAUGAUGGUACUCAACGUAGGGGGAACAGCAUCAUCAGUUUUGCUUUUGUUCUUUAAAGAACUAGGGUUUCUUGAAGAGGGGGCCUUUUUUUUUAUCAGAAAGAGGGUUUUCUCUCAAAGAAGGAAGAUAAAGAAAGGUUAAAGUCGAAGUACGAGUUGAGUAAAGAAAGUUUUAGAAGAUUUAGAGUAUUAUGAAGUGUAAAUGAAGGAGGUUGAUGCAUAUAAGUAAAGGUAUAGGCGGCUAAACUCGUGGCCAUAAUUACCUCGAUAACCGACAAAAGUUAUGCUAAAUCAUGGGAUGACGCGUGUUCGGGGCAUUUAAUGCGAAGAGACAUGCGUCUAAUCAAUCGUCAGAAACCUUUUAGAGGGGUCAGUAAAUUUCCCGCCAAAAAGAAAGUUUCUACCAAGUUCCCAGUGACACAAAGGUAUGCCACUGAAAAGUAGGAGGACUAUAUGUAUAGGGUAAAAUAUGUUAUAUUAAAUGAUCGCAUGAGGAAAUGACACGUGGAGUCGAAGACAGAAGAUAGUUGAAACUAAAGGCAAGGAUCCCAUCUGUUACCGAAGAGAAAGAUACUCAUAAAGAUGAAAUAAAUGUCUGUCACCCGGUAUUAUUUAAUGAAGAAUAUUCUAUAGCAUUAAGUAUAUUGCCCGUUACAAGAAACAUGGCAUUCACUGCCCGUCAUUACACAUUCUUCAAUGACUCUCAUAAUUGACAUUAAAGAGGGGCUUGAUCCCGCGAUCUUGUUCCAUAGGUGCAGCUAUAAAUACUGAAUUCUAUUAUCAUUGUAAAGGACACAGAUUUUCUAGCAAACAUACGCUACACUCUAUUCAAAGCUUAAUAUAAUUUUAUCUUCUUGUUUUUUGAUAUCAUUGUUGUUGUGCCCGGAAGCCUUGCUCUCGGGAUUAUUAUUUCUGCUAUUUUGUCUCCAUCUCAAGGCUAAGUAUUAUAUUUUUAUCUAAUUCAUCUAUUAUUUCAGGAUCAAAUUAAUUCACUUAUCUAAAAAUCACGUAUAAAUUCAACUGUACCAUUUUACGGGUAAACAACAUAUAAUAAAAGUCAUAUAUGGAUAGAAGCACUAGGUCUACCGGAAAUAACUUACGUGCAACUGAUAAACACACCAAAGUAAUAAGGGGUCAUUUGUUUGGAGGAAUUAAAAAAAAGUUUAGAUAAAAAUCAACAUGAAAUAAAUAAAAACUUUUAGCUGAAGAGAUUAGAAAAUAAAAUUAAAUGGCUAUAAAGUGGAAAAUGCCUACAUAACUUUCUAAUUAUUAUUAUUAUUAUUAUUAUUAUUAUUAUUAUUAUUAUUAUUAUUAUUAUUAUUAUUAUUAUUAUUAUUAUUAUUAUCAUCGCCUAAUUUCACUGCAUAAUACUCCUCUGAUAAUUAUUAUUUGUCGAAUCGCGAUCUUUAAGAACAUGACAUGUAUCUGUAUACGGAAUUUAUCACCCAAUAAUCAUGACCCGUUAAUUUAUAUUCUUACCUUAAAUUAUUAAUGUCGGGUUUUAGUUCAAAAAUUGAGGUGAAUAGAAAAUGGAGGAAAAAAAUAAAAUUUUGAUUUUCACUCCUUUACAAAGGAACAAUAUCCCAUAUUGGCGGAGAAAAGCUCAUUUGUUAAGUAUAUAUAUAGUUGCACUUUUUCUAGCUCUUAAAGAGUUGAGAAGAAGUCAAGUCUUGCAUUGUCGUUGUUGGCUCGGCUUUGGAUUUGACCUGAUUGAUUAGUUUUUUUGACCAAAUUUAUUUGUUAAAUAGUUAAAUUAAAUUAGUAUUUCAAUCCAAAUCAACCGUUUACGUAAUGGUAAUUUGAAUUUCCUCUAGUUUGAGUUUUUCAUUUUAUUUUGCGUAAAUAGCCAUUUAUGUAAUAGUCGGUUUACGUGAACAAUCAUCAGGACGAGUUGCACCUCUUCGUUUGAACUCAACUGAACAAUCAUCAGGACGAGUUGCACCUCUUCGUUUGAACUCAACUUGUUGGCUAUAAAUCCCAAGCCAUUCCCUCAUAUUUUUCUUACAAAAAUUCUGAAUUCUCUUUCUUCCUUCUACAUUAUUUUUAACUUAAACAAAGCAACAAUAAGUAACUACCGAUUAUUUGUGUUCGCUGAAAUAUUGGGGUUUGAAGUACCGCUACACCAGCGUGUAAUCCGUUCUAUCCUGAGAGAAAAUAAUCCACAACCUCGGAUAUUAGGAGGGGAUUAAGUUCCUUAAUGAAACACUGUGAAUUCAAUGCGCUCGAAUUAAUUUCUAUUUCUUCUACCUUUCUGAUUUUAAGUUAUUUUUGUUAUUGCUUUACAAAUAGAUAAGACUAACAAUUAAUACUUAACAUUAAUAACUAAAUUUGAGAUUACAAUUUUCGGAUUAUCGGGAUACAAUGUAGUACCCUCACUUUUUCGAAAUAAAGUUAGCAUUCUUUAUUGGCGGCUAACAUAUUUUGCUUUUCUAUUUGAUGUAAAAAUAAAAAAGAUAAGCACACUCGGUAUUUGCAUAAUAAUAAUAAUAAUAAUAAUAAUAAUAAUAAUAAUAAUAAUAAUAAUAAUAAUAAUAAUAAUAAUAAUAAUAAUAAUAAUAAUAAUAAUAAUAAUAAUAAUAAUAACGAACAGAAAUAUGUCUUUUAAUUUGUGUAGUCAUUGUAUGCAAUGUUCAAAUUGAAAUAUUUUAAUCGAAAGACCAAAAACAGUAUGACGACCACACGGCUCUUUCAUAGAAAAUUUCGUGAUUCCUCUUUAAGUCUAAAUCAUGGAACAAAAAAAUAUCCAAGUGGAUAACUUUAUAUGGCUAUAAAUUUGAGCCUUGUUCCUGCUGUUUUUGUAUCAAUUUAGCUAACUAUUCUAGAAAGAGAAAGCAGCCAUGGUGUCCACUACCUCAAGUUUUCUACUUCUUGUUCUUGUUUCUUCUUCCUUCUUUGUAAUAGAAGCUCAGAUACCUGCUCCAGUGAAAGGUCUUUCAUGGAAAUUUUAUGAAUCUAGUUGCCCUCAGCUUGAAUCCAUUAUUCGGAAGAGGCUUCAAAAGCAGAUCAAAGAUGAUGUUGGUCAAGCUGCCGGUUUACUUCGCCUUCAUUUCCAUGAUUGCUUUGUUCAGGUAAUUUUAUUUAUUUUUUGAAAUGUUUGUAUUUAUUAAUAUAUAUGGUCAUGAUUAAAAAAAAACUACCUUUUAAUUAGUUAUCUUUGAUAUAGUGAUAUUUAAAAGUAGAUUAAUUUCAUUAUUGGUAAAUAUACAUUAUUGUAGGGAUGUGAUGGUUCGGUUUUGCUAGAUGGUUCAGCAGGAGGGCCAAGCGAACAGACUGCAAUUCCUAAUUUGACCCUAAGAAAGAGAUCAUUCAAGAUUAUUGAUGAUCUUAGGAAAAGGGUUCACGAUGCAUGUGGGAAAGUUGUGUCUUGCUCUGACAUUACAGCUAUUGCUGCUAGGGACUCUGUUGUCUUGGUAAGACCAAAAUUACCAUUUAGUCCAUGCUAAUCUUGCUUUAGAUCAUGUUAGUUUAUUUUUACUAAUCAGAAACUCUUCAUUUAAUUUUCAUAACUAUAUUUAUAUAAUUGAGCAACUCACUCUUAACUACUUCUAUUAUAUGUACCUAUAAGUUAAGUUAGACUCAUUUGUUAACGGCCUAGGAAAUUGAUUCACUCCUCAUUCUCUUGCAUAAAUAAAGCUAGCUAUGGGCCGGAGCUGCAACACGUUCUUUAAAACCUAGUAGCUUUUGUCUAAAUUAUUUAUUUGUUUUAAAGAAUGCAUCGAAUAGUACUAUUAAUUAAUUUGAUAGUAGCUUAAUUUACUAUCAAUAACUUAAUUAAUUACUUAUGAGAUUAUGUUCCUUUCAGACCGGUGGGCCCAACUACAAUGUGCCCUUAGGAAGAAAAGACGGACGGACCUUUGCAACAGAACAAGCAACCUUAGACAACCUUGUUGCACCAUUUGCCAACACUACAGUCGUCCUCAGUCGCCUUGCAACCAAGGGUUUAGACGCCACCGACGCCGUCGCUCUAUCCGGGGCCCACACCAUCGGAAUCAGCCACUGCACUUCCUUCACCGACCGUCUCUUCCCUAACCAAGACCCAACCAUGGACCAAACAUUCGCUAACAACCUUAAAACCAGUUGUCCAACCGCGAACUCCAACAACACUGUCGACAUGGAUAUCCGAACUCCUAAUUUAUUUGAUAACAAAUACUAUGUUGAUCUCAUGAAUAGGCAAGGGCUUUUCACUUCUGAUCAAGAUUUGUUCACUGAUACAAG
rnacentral:lncRNA from 1 species